rnacentral:lncRNA from 1 species
AUCUAUAUAAGUAAGGGGGCACAUAUUACAAAUGAGAGAUGCAACACACAAUAUCUCAGUUGAGAGCUUAUAUUUUCUGUGAACAAACACUGCAUUUUCUUUUUGUACAAGCGGGCACUAGUGAACAAGCUCAUUCUUUUUUCCUUGGCUUUCUUUCUUGAUUUCACUUUACUUUGUCACCUUCCUUGAUGUCUCCAUUGGCUUCCUCUGCUGCUUUGUCCUUCCCUUUGUUUUCCUCCUUGGCUUUCUUCACCGCCGCCUCUUCUUUCUCCUUGGCUAUCUUUGCUUUAGCCUCCUUGGCCUCUUCUUCCUCCUCCGCCUUGGCCGCUGCUGCCGCCGCAUCUUCCUUGGCCUGCUUGAGUGCCUUGACGAGGCCCGACAAACACAAAUCAGGGUCCCUCUUUUUCUUCUUCGACAUUGGCAUCAGGUUCUCUGCAACGUCGGCGGGUGACAUGUCGGUCUCCUCGAGCAGCCGCUGAAUUUCCCCAAACAGCUCAUGCUCGAUGACAUCUAAGUAGUUCUUGGCGAGCACCUUGAAGCCCUCGAAGUGGCAGUAUGACAUCUCGAUGUGCUUGUCCAUCCUUCCUCGACGGAUCAUCCUUGUCACUAGAGGCCUUCUUGUCCUUGCGGCGUUUUCCGGUGAGGUCGAUCGAGCAGUCGAUGUCCUCUAUGACUAUGAUGGACUUGCCCGUGGUCUCAAUGAAGAGCUUCCGCAGCUCGGUGUUGUUCUUGACGGCAGUGAGCUCGAGAUCGUAGACGUCGUAGUCAAGGAAGUUGGCCAUGGCAGCGAUCAUGGUGGACUUGCCGGUGCCAGGCGGUCCAUAAAGGAGGUACCCGCGCUUCCACGCCUUGCCGACCUUUGCAUAGUAGUCCUUGCUCUCCUGGAACGCCAUGAGAUCGUCAACGAUGGCCUCCUUCUCAUCAGGGUGCAUGGCGAGCGUGUCGAAGGUGGCGGGGUGCUCGAAGGCGACGUGGCUCCAGACGCUCUUGCUGUGGUAGGGGUUCCAGUUGCGGCUGGCGUUGUUGGUGAAGAGACGGCGCUGGCGGUUCUUGACGGUGACGGCACGACCCUCGCCGAGCACGAAGGGCAGGUAGGAGUUGACGACGAGGUCGCGGUGGCGCCUGUGGAAGACGACCUUGUAGAAGCGCCGCUCGUCCUCGCCGGGGUAGAAGCUGAUGACUUGGGCCCUGGACUGCCGCUUGGAGGCGUACCACCAGAUGGUCGUGCCGGAGAAGUCGUCGGUGACCUCGUCGUGGUCGUCAACGGUGACUCGGAGGUUCUUGCUGUCCUUGCCGAGCUCGGCCUUGAGCUUGCGUGCGCGGCGGGCGCACGCAUCGCUGAGGUAGGCCUCGACGGCGAGGAAGAAGUCGCUGCGCUGGAAGCGCUCGGCCCCGUUCUCUGAGAUGGUGAUCUCGAGGUAGGGGUUGAAGCAGGCGGCGACCUUGGCGGCCCAGGCGGUGAGGUAGAGGCGGAAGGUGGGCGGUACGUAGUUCUGCACCACGGACCAGAGGAAGAUGAUAGUCGCCAUCGCCGACCCGAACCCUGCCCACCUCUCCACCAUCAUUGCCGCCAUUGCUGCAACUGGACCUCCUGCUGUUGUUGUGUCUUGUGCCGAUGGAAAGCUGUAACUCGACCUGGACGCAUAUAUAUAAUGCCAAUGAUUCGUGUGGUGAUCUGCUUAGGUUGAAGCUAAGCAACGUGUAGUCGUCGUCGUUGUCGCCGUCUGCGUUGGAGCCGGUGAGGAGGCGAGAAGAGGCGGCGGGCGUCGAUGGAACUGUCCAAGGAAACGGAGUUACUUAACUCUGAAGACAGUGGCAAAAUGGGAAUCGCCAAGCUCAGUCUAGCCAAUCGCCAAGCUCCGUCGCUGUUUUUAGCUCAUGGAUUGCAUCUCUGAGACUGACAGCCGAGUAUAGAACAGAGACGAGGCAGGCCGGCCGGUGACAUGUUCAGUCGUCGGCAAAUGGAAGCAUGGGUGACGACAUGGUGUUGCGUUGGUGAGUGCUGAGGAUGCAUGACGCCAUGUACUCCUAAUAUUUACCACAAUAGUUCUAUCUUCUAUGUAAGUUAACUGAAUUUGCAUUGGACUGGUCCAUUUUUGCGGGAAAGGAAGGAGGAGGCAAGGCCGGAAAGAGGGGGGCGCCACAGCGAGCGGCAGAGAGAUGCUGGGACCCAGGUGAGGCCCAGCCAGGAAUGGCCGUGAUGACAUGGCUCGCCGCGGCGUCGCAUCCGGAGGCGAGUUUGAGAGUUAACAGGUGCGGGUGGUGGGCCUUUUCGUUUUGAUUCCGGGGGCGGAGAAGAAACUGGAGGUUUUAGGUUGUGGUGAAGAUUUUAAGGUUUGGGGUGGGACACCGGGGCCGGAGAAGAAACUCAUGUCUCCGGCUAGAGGGUGGCAUGCAGGAGGAGGCGGCAGCAGUAAUUGAGAUAGUGUGUGGUGAUUCAGUCAGGAGAGGCUACGGAGCCAGCCGUGGAGCUUGGAAGACAACCGACUGAGCAGGAUAGGAGGAAGAGGAUGAGAAAAGAGAAAAUCAAUGGUAAUUUUCGGAUAGAAAAAAAGAGAGGUGAUGUUUGCUAUUGACACUAAGUGUCAACUUGUCUGGGCCUAGAAAUUUGACUUGGUAUUUUCAUGAGAUAGAAAUCCUUACUCAAAUCUUUGCAUAUGGACCGACAUUGGGAGCAUAUGGACCAUAGGUUUAGGGGUUGUUGGAAGGAUAUAGCUCAAUCUGCAUUGGACACGGCUGCGUGUGUCUAUAUAUAAUAUUCGGAUGUUCGUGUAGUGAUUUAAUUAGGUUGACCCAGGUCUUCGUCUCCGUCUUCGUCUUUGUCGUCGUCGGAGCAGGUUCGACUUUGUCUUUGUCAUCAUCGGAGCAGGUUCAUGUUCUUCUUUGUCGUCGGAGGAGGAUGGAGGAGAUUCAUCUUCAUUGCCGUCGGAGCAGAUGAGGCGGAGCUGUCGGAGCUGAGAAGAAUCUACAGUCCAUGCACGCAUGGAAAAAACCUGUGGAUUCCCUUUUCCCAGUACGUUUGAGACAGGGGAGUGAGAGGUUGGGUGUAGCCAAAGGGUCAUGUUAGCAUUUCGUAUUGUAGCACCAUUCCAUAGUCCAUACAUAGGAAUAUUAUCAUUCCUGUUGAGAGAUACAUAUUUUGUUUUGCCUCCCCUUCGCCUUUCUCUUUGGCUUCACUCUCUCCUUCAUGAUCAUGGCGUGUGUCGUACCGCUCGUAUUGUUCGUUGGAACAAGCAAGUUUUCUACGCGGGCUUAUAUACGCCAGAUUGCUGUGUUUUGUAGAGAAAUGAGGAAAAUGGCGCUCAGUUUCCAUUCGGUUCUUACAGAUCAUGUUAGCAUUUGGUAUUGUGUAGUACCAUCUCUAUAUGGUAUAACACUACAAUGGUCACUUCCUGUGUGAAUAAGCAAAAGAAAAGACACCAAUAUUAUUUUAUUUGUGUUGAGUGACACAUCUUUAUCAGUAAAAAAAUUAAGUGAUACAUAUUUUCUUUGAACAAACACUAAAUCUUGUUUUUGGAAGGGUGCACUAGUGAACAAAGCUCACUCUACUCAUGGGUGGCUUCCUCCAAUGUUUUAUCCUUUCAUUUUUCUUUCUUAGUGUCUGCUUCCCCUUUCUCCUUGGCUUUCUUUGCUUCUGCCUCCUCUUCCUCCUUGGCCUUUGCCGCUGCCGCAGCCGCGACCGCGUCUUUCUUGGCCUGUUUGAGUGUCGCGAUGAGGCCUGCCAAGCACAUGUUCGGGUCCUUCUUUUUCUUCUUUGACAUGGGCAUCAGGUUCUCUGCCACGUCGGCUGGUGACAUGUCAGUCUCUUCCAGCAGCUGCUGGAUCUUGCUGAACAACACAUGCUCGUUCACGUCUAGGUAGUUCAUGGCGAGCACCUUGAAGACCUCGAAGCAGCAGUAGGACAUCUCGAUGUGCUUGUCCAUCCUGCCCCGCCGGAUUAGUGCCGGGUCCAGCUUCUCCUUGUGGUUGGUGGUGAAGAUGAUGAUCCGCCCACCGCCGCUUGCCGACCAUCGCCCGUCGAUGAAAUUGAGUAGGCCUGAGAGCGUCACCUUGCUUUCAUCGUCCUUCUGCGGCUUCGUCAGGUCCGCUUCAUAUUCAUUGUCAGAGUCCUUGUUACUUGAGGCCUUCUUGCCCUUGUGGUGCUUACCAGUGAGGUCAAUGGAGCAAUCGAUGUCCUCGAUGACGAUGAUGGACUUGCUUGUCAUCUCGAUGAAGAGGUUUCUCAACUCGGUAUUGUUCUUGACCGACGUAAGCUCGAGGUCAUAGACGUCGUAAUCAAGGAAAUUGGCCAUGGCGGCGAUCAUUGUGGACUUGCCGAUGUCGGGCGGGCCAUACAAUAGGUGCCCCCGCUUUCAUGCCUUGCCGACCUUUGUGCAGAACUCCUUGCCAUCCUUGAACGCGAUGAGGUCGUCGAUGAUGGCCUCCUUCUGGUCACGGUGUCCAUGGCAAGUGUGUCGAACAUAGCCGGGUGAUCAAACUUAACAUAGUCCCAGACGCUAUUGCGAAGCUAGCACCUCCGUCUAUGUAACACCCACAAUGCGGCUAUAUCUCCCACGUGUCGGGGCACGACUUAGAGGCAUAGCCGCAUGGUAGUUUUGUCGCAAGAGGGAUAAUCUUCACACAAUCCCAUGUACUGAAUAAGAAAUGGAUAAAGAGUUGGCUUACAAUCGCCACUUCACACAAAUAACAAGUUAAACAUACAUCAUCCAGAGUACAAUCAAAGGUCCGACUACGGAACCAAAAGAAAAGGAAGACAACCCCAAAUGCUAGAUCCCCGAUCGUCCCAACUGGGCACCACUACUGAUCAUCCGAAAAAGACACACAACAACGAUCAAGAUCUUUAUCGAGCUCCCACUUGAGCUCGGUUGCGCCACCUGCACUGGUACCAUCGGCACCUGCAACUGUUUGGAAGUAUCCGUGGGUCAUGAGGACUCAGCAAUCUCACACCCGCGAGAUCAAGACUAUUUAAACUUAUGGGUAGGAUGGGGUAAUGAGGUGGAGCUGCAACAAGCACUAAGCAAAUAUGGUGGCUAACAUAUGCAAAUAAGAGUGAGAAGAGAAGCAACGCAACGGUCGUGAAGCUAGAAGUGAUCAAGAAGUGAUCCUGAAACUACUUACGCACAACCAUAACACAAGAACCGUGUUCACUUCCCGGACUCCGCCUAAAAGAGACCAUCACGGCUACACACGCGGUUGAUGCAUUUUAAUUAAGUCAAGUGUCAAGUUAUCUACAACCAGACAUUAACAAAUUCCCAUCUGUCACAUAACCGCGGGCACGACUUUGAAAGUUUAAACCCUGCAGGGGUGUCCCAACUUAGCCCAUCACAAGCUCUCACGGUCAACGAAGGAUAUUCCUUCUCACGGAAAGACCCGAUCAGUCUCGGAAUCCCGGUUACAAGACAUUUCGACAAUGGUAAAACAAGACCAACAAGACCGCUCGAAUGUGCCGACAAAUCCCGAUAGGAGCUGCACAUAUCUCAAUCUUAGGACACAUCAGAUGGGCAAGACGUCGGGUUGGCAUAGACCCUGGUUUCCCAAGGGGCGCCGGACAUCGCCCAGUUCGGACCAACACUUAGAGAAGCACUGAACCGGGGGGAGGGGGGUUAAAAAUAAAGACGACCCUCGGGAGCGCGACUCCCAAGGGAAAAGUAAUAGGUGGUUGUGGAAAAUGUUAAAACCAAGGUUGGGCCUUGUUGGAGGAGUUUUAUUCAAAGCGAACUGUCAAGGGGUUCCUGUUGGGGAUAUAGCUACCAGGUAUGACCCGCCCAGGAGGGGCCUGGUCAACCCCAAUGGCGGGUUACAAAAGAAGCCCAGUAAUAUUCAAGGUGAUAGUUUAUUAAGACUUGUAGAAGGCCUAAGCCCAGAGGCAGCUUAAGGCCCAACAUUGUAAACCGCCGUAUGUAAAGAAACACUUGUAAAGAAAGGCAUAUAAAAGAAGUCACCGAGCUGGACACGUUUUAUGAGCCGGCCGGGACUCUGCAGGCCGCCAGGCGUCAACCCAUGUAUAUAAGGGGACGACCCAGCGGCGGCUUAGGAGAAGAAACAAGAGAUCGAUAGCCAAGCUAGCGGAUUAGCUCCUUGGUCAUUGAAACCCUAGCAAUUCCAACACAACUAGACAUAGGCUUUUACCUUCAUCGUAAGGGGCCGAACUAGUAUAAAUCUCUCGUGUCCUUUGUCCCGAUUAACCCCUUUGAGCUUCCUAGUUGCGAUGGCCCUAUGACUAAGUCCUUUUACUAGGACAUCUGCCGUGACAAUUCCACGACAGUUGGCGCCCACCAUGGGGCCAGUGCACGGUGGAUUUGAGUUCUUGGAGGGCAACUUCGAAGGGCUCAAGGGAUACGUUGUGGGCCCGAUGACCAAGAGUCGUCGCGGCAAGCUCUACAUCAACGACGAAGGCUGGGGCCCCGAGGCCGGCUCAAUUGAGUACGGGUACUGGGUCCCCUUCGGCGGAAUCCAUGUCUUCAUCGGCCGGAUCGGCGAGUCAGACCCUAAGCCGGACGUCUACACCAACCUCGUUGAGACGACUCAACGCGCGAGAUCCGCCCGGGCUCAACUUGCCGUGAAGCAUGCCUUCAUGGUUGCAUCCAUGGAGGUGAAUUCUCUGAAGGAUCAGUGGAUGGUGGUGAGACGGCCAUCUGUUCCGAUGCUACUGUUGGAAAUAUGCCCUAGAGGCAAUAAUAAAAUGGUUAUUAUUAUAUUUCCUUGUUCAUGAUUUAUACUACGGGUAUCUCUGAAAGUGUCUGUUGGGUUGGCACGAAUCGAGACUGGGAUUUGUCACUCCGUAUGACGGAGAGGUAUCUCUGGGCCCACUCGGUAAUGCAUCAUCAUAAUGAGCUCAAUGUGACCAAGUGGUUGAUGACGGGAUCAUGCAUUACGGUACGAGUAAAGUGACUUGCCGGUAACGAGAUUGAACGAGGUAUUGGGAUACCGACGAUUGAGUCUCGGGCGAGUAACGUACCGAUUGACAAAGGGAAUUGUAUACGGGAUUGAUUGAAUGCACGACAUCGUGGUUCAUCCGAUGAGAUCAUCGAGGAGCAUGUGGGAGCCAACAUGGGUAUCCAGAUCCCGCUGUUGGUUAUUAACCGGAGAGUCGUCUCGGUCAUGUCUGCGUGUCUCCCGAACCCGUAGGGUCUACACACUUAAGGUUCGGUGACGCUAGGGUUGUAGAGAUAUUAGUAUGCGGUAACCUGAAAGUUGUUAGGAGUCCCGGAUGAGAUCCCGGACGUCACGAGGAGUUCCGGAAUGGUUCGGAGGUGAAGAAUUAUAUAUAGGAAGUCCAGUUUCGGCCAUCGGGCAAGUUUCGGGGGUCACCGGUAUUGUACCGGGACCACCAGAAGGGUCCCGGGGGUCCACCGGGUGCGGCCACCUAUCCCGGAGGGCCCCAUGGGCUUAAGUGGGGAAGGGAACCAGCCCCUGGUGUGCUGGUGCGCCCCCCUUGGGCCUCCGCCUGCGCCUAGGGUUGGAAACCCUAGGGGUGGGGGCGCCCCAUUUGGCUUGGGGGGGGGGAGCCACCCCCUUGGCCGCCGCCCCCCUUGAGAUCCAAUCUCUAGGGCCGGCACCCCCCAUAGGGGCCCUAUAUAUAGUAGGGGGGAGGAAGGGUAGCCGCACCAUAGCCCCUGGCGCCUCCCUCUCCCUCCCAUGACACCUCUCCCUCUCGUUGAGCUUGGCGAAGCCCUGCCGAGAACACCGUUGCUUUCACCACCACGCCGUCGUGCUGCUGGAUCUCUAUCAACCUCUCCUCCCCCCUUGCUGGAUCAAGAAGGAGGAGACGUCUUCCCAACCGUACGUGUGUUGAACGCGGAGGUGCCGUCCGUUCGGCACUCGGUCAUCGAUGAUUUGGAUCACGACGAGUACGACUCCAUCAACCCCGUUCUCUUUAACGCUUCCGCGCGCGAUCUACAAGGGUAUGUAUAUGCACUCCCCUUUCCCUCGUUGCUAGAUAACUCCAUAGAUUGAUCUUGGUGAUGCGUAGAAAAUUUUAAAUUCUGCUACGUUCCCCAACAGUGGCAUCAUGAGCUAGGUCUAUGCGUAGUUUCUAUGCACGAGUAGAACACAAAGCAGUUGUGGGCGUUGAUAUUGUCAAUUUACUUGCCGUUACUAGUCUUAUCUUGAUUCGGCGGCAUCGUGGGAUGAAGCGGCCCGGACCGACCUUACACGUACGCUUAUGUGAGACUGGUUCCACCGACUGACAUGCACUAGUUGCAUAAGGUGGCUAGCGGGUGUCUGUCUUUCCCACUUUAGUCGGAUCGGAUUCGAUGAAAAGGGUCCUUAUGAAGGGUAAAUAGAAAUUGGCAUAUCACGUUGUGGUUUUGGCGUAGGUAAGAAACGUUCUUGCUAGAAACCUAUAGCAGCCACGUAAAAACUUGCAACAACAAUUAGAGGACGUCUAACUUGUUUUUGCAGCAUGUGCCGUGUGAUGUGAUAUGGCCAAAAAGAUGUGAUGAAUGAUAUAUGUGAUGUAUGAGAUUGAUCAUGUUCUUGUAAUAGGAAUCACGACUUGCAUGUCGAUGAGUAUGACAACCGGCAGGAGGCAUAGGAGUUGUCUUAAUUUAUUUAUGACCUACGUGUCAACAUAAACGUCAUGUAAUUACUUUACUUUGUUGCUAAACCGUUAGCCAUAGUAGUAGAAGUAAUAGAUGACGAGACAACUUCAUGAAGACACGAUGAUGGAGAUCAUGAUGAUGGAGAUCAUGGUGUCAUGCCGGUGACGAUGAUGAUCAUGGCGCCCUGAAGAUGGAGAUCAAAAGGAGUAAAUGAUAUUGGCCAUAUCAUGUCACUAUUUGAUUGCAUGUGAUGUUUAUCAUGUUUUACAUCUUAUUUGCUUAGAACAACGGUAGCUUAAAUAAGAUGACCCCUCACAUAAUUUCAAGAAAGUGUUCCCCCUAACUGUGCACCGUUGCGAAGGUUCGUUUUUUCGAAGCACCACGUGAUGAUCGGGUGUGAUAGUUUCUAACAUUCGAAUACAACGGGUGUAAGCCAGAUUUACACACGCAAUACACUUAGGUUGACUUGACGAGCCUAGCAUGUACAGACAUGGCCUCGGAACACGGAAGACCAAAAGGUCGAGCAUGAUUCGUAUAGAAGAUACGAUCAACAUGAAGAUGUUCACCGAUGUUGACUAGUCCGUCUCACGUGAUGAUCGGACACGGCCUAGAUGACUCGGAUCAUGUUUCACUUAGAUGACUAGAGGGAUGUCUAUCUGAGUGGGAGUUCAUUGAAUAAUUUGAUUAGAUGAACUUAAUUAUCAUGAACUUAGUCUGAAAUCUUUACAAUGUGUCUUGUAGAACAAAUGGCCCACGCUAAUGUUGCCCUCAACUUCAACGCGUUCCUAGAGAAAACCAAGCUGAAAGAUGAUGACAGCAACUAUACGGACUGGGUCCGGAACCUGAGGAUCAUCCUCAUAGCUGCCAAGAAAGAUUAUGUCCUAGAAGCACCGCUAGGUGACGCAUCCAUCCCAGAGAACCAAGACGUUAUGAACGUUUGGCAGUCACGUGCUGAUGAUUACUCCCUCGUUCAGUGCAGCAUGCUUUACAGCUUAGAACCGGGGCUCCAAAAGCGUUUUGAGCAACACAGAGCAUAUGAGAUGUUCGAAGAGCUGAAAAUGGUUUUCCAAGCUCAUGCGCGGGUCGAGAGAUAUGAAGUCUCCGACAAGUUCUUCAGUUGUAAGAUGGAGGAAAAUAGUUCUGUCAGUGAGCACAUACUCAAAAUGUCUGGGUUGCGUAACCGCUUGACUCAGCUGGGAGUUAAUCUCCUGGAUGACGCGGUCAUUGACAGAAUCCUUUAGUCGCUUCCACCGAGCUACAAGAGCUUUGUGAUGAACUUCAAUAUGCAGGAGAUGGAAAAGACCAUUCCUGAGGUAUAUUCAAUGCUGAAAUCAGCAGAGGUGGAGAUCAAAAAGGAACAUCAAGUGUUGAUGGUGAAUAAAACCACUAAGUUUAAGAAAGGCAAGGGUAAGAAGAACUUUAAGAAGGACGGCAAGGGGGUUGCCGCGCCUAGUAAGCAAGCUGCCGGGAAGAAGCCAAAGAAUGGACCCAAGCCCGAGACUGAGUGUUUUUAUUGCAAGGGAAGUGGUCAUUGGAAGCGGAACUGCCCCAAAUACUUAGCGGACAAGAAGGCCGGCAACACUAAAGGUAUAUGUGAUAUACAUGUAAUUGAUGUGUACCUUACCAGUACUCGUAGUAGCUCCUGGGUAUUUGAUACCGGUGCGGUUGCUCACAUUUGUAACUCAAAGCAGGAGCUGCGGAAUAAGCGGAGACUGGCGAAGGAUGAGGUGACGAUGCACGUCGGGAAUGGUUCCAAGGUCGAUGUGAUCGCCGUUGGCACGCUACCUCUACAUUUACCUAUGGGAUUAGUUUUGAACCUCAAUAAUUUGUUAUUUAGUGCCAGCUUUGAGCAUGAACAUUGUAUCAGGAUCUCGUUUAAUUCGAGAUGGCUACUCAUUUAAAUCCGAUAAUAAUGGUUGUUCUAUUUAUAUGAGAGAUAUGUUUUAUGGUCAUGCCCCGCUGGUGAAUGGUUUAUUCUUAAUGAAUCUCGAGCGUAAUGUUACACAUAUUCAUAGUGUGAAUACCAAAAGAUGUAAGGUUGAUAAUGAUAGUCCCACAUACUUGUGGCACUGCCGCCUUGGUCACAUAGGUGUCAAAUGCAUGAAGAAGCUCCAUGCAGAUGGACUUUUGGAGUCUCUUGAUUACGAAUCAUUUGACACGUGCGAACCAUGCCUCAUGGGUAAAAUGACCAAGACUCCGUUCUCAGGAACAAUGGAGCGAGCAACCAACUUAUUGGACAUCAUACAUACUGAUGUGUGCGGUCCAAUGAGUGUUGAGGCUCGCGGUGGCUAUCGUUAUGUUCUCACCCUCACUGAUGACCUGAGUAGAUAUGGGUAUGUCUACUUAAUGAAACACAAGUCUGAGAGCUUUGAAAAGUUCAAGGAAUUUCAGAGUGAGGUUGAGAAUCAACGUGACAGAAAAAUCAAGUUCUUGCGAUCAGAUCGUGGGGGGGAAUACUUGAGUCACGAAUUUGGCACGCACUUAAGGAAAUAUGGAAUAGUUUCACAACUCACGCCGUCUGGAACACCUCAGCGUAAUGGUGUGUCUGAACGUCGUAAUCGCACUCUAUUGGGUAUGGUGCAAUCUAUAAUGUCUCUUACCGAUCUACCGCUGUCAUUUUGGGGCUAUGCUUUAGAGACUGCCACAUUCACUUUAAAUAGGGCUCCGUCGAAAUCCGUUGAGACGACACCGUAUGAAUUAUGGUUUGGGAAGAAACCUAAGCUGUCAUUUCUAAAAGUUUGGGGAUGCGAUGCUUAUGCCAAGAAACUUCAACCUGAAAAGCUCGAACCCAAAUCGGAAAAAUGCGUCUUCAUAGGAUACCCUAAAGAAACUAUUGGGUAUACCUUCUACCUCAGAUCCGAAGGCAAGAUCUUUGUUGCCAAGAAUGGAUCCUUUCUAGAGAAAGAGUUUCUCUCGAAAGAAGUAAGUGGGAGGAAAGUAGAACUUGAUGAAGUAUUGCCUCUUGAACCGAAGAGUGGCGCAGCUCAAGAAAAUGUUCCUGAGGUGCCUGCACCGACUAGAGAGGAAGUUAAUGAUGAUGAUCAUAAAACUUUAGAUCAAGUUGCUACUGAACUUCGUAGGUCCACAAGGGCACGUUCUGCAACAGAGUGGUACGGCAACCCUGUCUUGGAAAUCAUGUUGUUGGACAAUGGUGAACCUUUGAACUAUGAAGAAGCGAUGGCGGGCCCAGAUUCCGACAAAUGGUUGGAAGCCAUGAAAUCCGAGAUAGGAUCCAUGUAUGAAAACGAAGUAUGGACUUUGACUGACUUGCCCGAUGAUCGGCGAGCCAUAGAAAAUAAAUGGAUCUUUAAGAAGAAGACAGACGCGGAUGGUAAUGUAACCAUCUAUAAAGCUCGGCUUGUCGCUAAGGGUUAUCGACAAGUUCAAGGGGUUGACUACGAUGAGACUUUCUCACCCGUAGCGAAGCUGAAGUCCGUCCGAAUCAUGUUAGCAAUUGCCGCAUUCUAUGAUUAUGAGAUAUGGCAAAUGGACGUCAAAACGGCAUUCCUUAAUGGUUUACUUAAGGAAGAAUUGUAUAUGAUGCAGCCGGAAGGUUUUGUCGAUCCUAAGAAUGCUGACAAGGUGUGCAAGCUCCAACGCUCGAUCUAUGGGCUGGUGCAAGCAUCUCGGAGUUGGAACAUUCGUUCUGAUGAGAUGAUCAAAGCGUUUGGAUUUACGCAGACUUAUGGAGAAGCCUGCAUUUACAAGAAAGUGAGUGGGAGCUCUGUAGCAUUUCUCAUAUUAUAUGUGGAUGACAUACUGUUGAUGGGAAAUGAUAUAGAAUUCUUGGAAAGCAUAAAGUCCUACUUGAACAAGUGUUUUUCAAUGAAGGAUCUUGGAGAAGCUGCCUACAUAUUAGGCAUCAAGAUCUAUAGAGAUAGAUCGAGACGCCUCAUUGGUCUUUCACAGAGUACGUAGCUUGACAAGAUAUUGAAGAAGUUCAAUAUGGAUCAGUCAAAGAAGGGGUUCUUGCCUGUGUUGCAAGGUACGAGAUUGAGCAUGGCUCAAUGCCCGACCACGGCAGAAGAUAGAGAAAAGAUGAGUGUCGUCCCCUAUGCCUCAGCCAUAGGGUCUAUCAUGUAUGCUAUGCUGUGUACCAGACCUGAUGUAAACCUUGCCGUAAGUUUGGUAGGAAGGUACCAAAGUAAUCCCGGCAUGGAACAGUGGACAGCGGUCAAGAAUAUCCUGAAGUACCUGAAGAGGACUAAGGAUAUGUUUCUCGUUUAUGGAGGUGACGAAGAGCUCGUCGUAAAGUGUUAGGUCGAUGCUAGCUUCGACACAGAUCUGGAUGACUCUAAGUCACAAACCGGAUACGUGUAUAUUUUGAAUGGUGGGGCAGUAAGCUGGUGCAGUUGCAAGCAAAGCGUUGUGGCGGGAUCUACAUGUGAAGCGGAGUACAUGGCAGCCUCGGAGGCAGCACAAGAAGCAAUCUGGGUGAAGGAGUUCAUUACUGACCUAGGAGUCAUUCCCAAUGCGUCGGGCCCGAUGACUCUCUUCUGUGACAACACUGGAGCUAUUGCCCUUGCCAAGGAGCCCAGGUUUCACAGGAAGACCAGGCAUAUCAAGCGUCGCUUCAACUCCAUUCAUGAAAGUGUUCAAAAUGGAGACAUAGAUAUUUGUAAAGUACAUACGGACCUGAAUGUAGCAGAUCCGUUGACUAAACCUCUCCCUAGAGCAAAACAUGAUCAACACCAGAACUCUAUGGGUGUUCGAUUCAUCACAAUGUAACUAGAUUAUUGACUCUAGUGCAAGUGGGAGACUGUUGGAAAUAUGCCCUAGAGGCAAUAAUAAAAUGGUUAUUAUUAUAUUUCCUUGUUCAUGAUAAUUGUCUAUUGUUCAUGCUAUAAUUGUGUAAUCCGGAAAUCAUAAUACAUGUGUGAAUACAUAGACCACAACACGUCCCUAGUGAACCUCUAGUUGACUAGCUUGUUGAUCAAAAGAUAGUCAUGGUUUCCUGACUAUGGACAUUAGAUGUCAUUGAUAACGGGAUCACAUCAUUAGGAGAAUGAUGUGAUGGACAAGACCCAAUCCUAAGCAUAGCUCAAAGAUCGUGUAGUUCGUUUGCUAGAGCUUUUCCGAAUGUCAAGUAUCAUUUCCUUAGACCAUGAGAUUGUGCAACUCCCGGAUACCGUAGGAGUGCUUUGGGUGUGCCAAACGUCACAACAUAACUGGGUGACUAUAAAGGUACACUACGGGUAUCUCCGAAAGUGCCUGUUGGGUUGGCACGAAUCGAGACUGGGAUUUGUCACUCCGUAUGACGGAGAGGUAUCUCUGGGCCCACUCGGUAAUGCAUCAUCAUAAUGAGCUCAGUGUGACCAAAUGGUUGAUCACGGGAUCAUGCAUUACAGUACGAGUAAAGUGACUUGCCGGUAACGAGAUUGAAUGAGGUAUUGGGAUACCGACGAUCGAGUCUCAGGCGAGUAACGUACCGAUUGACAAAGGGAAUUGUAUACGGGAUUGAUUGAAUGCAUGACAUCAUGGUUCAUCCGACGAGAUCAUCGAGGAGCAUGUGGGAUCCAACAUGGGUAUCCAGAUCCCGUUGUUGGUUAUUGACCGGAGAGUCGUCUCGGGCAUGUUUGCGUGUCUCCCGAACCCGUAGGGUCUACACACUUAAGGUUCGGUGACGCUAGGGUUGUAGAGAUAUUAGUAUGCGGUAACCCAAAAGUUUUUCGGAGUCCCGGAUGAGAUCCCGGACGUCAUGAGGAGUUCCGGAAUGGUCUGGAGGUGAAGAAUUAUAUAUAGGAAGUCCAGUUUCGGCCAUCGGGAAAGUUUCGGGGGUCACCGGUAUUGUACCGGGACCACCAGAAGGGUGCCGGGGGUCCACCGGGUGGGGCCACCUAUCCCGGAGGGCCCCAUGGGCUGAAGUGGGGAAGGGACCCAGCUCCUGGUGGGCUGGUGCGCCCCCUUGGGCCUCCCCCUGCGCCUAGGGUUGGAAACCCUAGGGGUGGGGGGCGCCUCACUUGGCUUGGGGGGCAAGCCACCCCCUUGGCCGCCGCCCCCCUUGAGAUCCAAUCUCUAGGGCCGGCGCCCCCCUAGGGGCCCUACAUAUAGUGUGGGGGACGGAGGGUAGCCGCACCCUAGCCCCUGGCGCCUCCCUCUCCCUCCCGUGACACCUCUCCCUCUCAUUGAGCUUGGCGAAGCCCUGCCGAGAACACCGUUGCUUCCACCACCACGCCGUCAUGCUGCUGGAUCUCUAUCAACCUCUCCUUCCUCCUUGCUGGAUCAAUAAGGAGGAGACGUCUUCCCAACCAUACGUGUGUUGAACGCGGAGGUGCCGUCCGUUCGGCACUCGGUCAUCGGUGAUUUGGAUCACGACGAGUACGACUCCAUCAACCUCAUUCUCUUGAAUGCUUCCGCGCGCGAUCUACAAGGGUAUGUAGAUGCACUCCCCUUUCCCUCAUUGCUAGAUAACUCCAUAGAUUGAUCUUGGUGAUGCGUAGAAAAUUUUAAAUUCUGCUACGUUCCCCAACAGCUACGUCAUCAAUAGGCGAGACAAAUUCUUUGUAUCAGCUGCAAGAUGGCAUGCUUGGGGGCUGUUCCGAUCGCAGCAGUAUUCCGGACCCCUUUGAGCCACCGAAUCGAACCGGAGUCUUCAUGGCUGGCACUCAACCCGGGCAGAACUCCACGGCAGCAGCAGCAAUAACCACCGGGUCGGCAGCGGCCGGGUCAGGAGACCCCGCGCGCCCCCAGCCCAGAUGCUAAUGGACCUCAUGGAUAAGUUGACGACUUUGUUGACUGCUGUGGUGGAGCUGGCGGAUAAGGAUCAACAUGAAGCGGAGGUGGCACGGCUACGAGAAGAGAUGGCACAAGCCAAGGAAAAUUUAGCAGCAGAAGAGAUCAGGAUGGCCGCGGAGCGGGAAUUUUUGGAUGCUUGUGCUCCGCAGCUUCAAGCGGAGACUUUCUGGCUCUCGGUGGAUCUGAACGCGUCAAACGAGGUCAUGAGGAGAAGGCACCAGAAAACUCAGUCACGUCUGCCUCUGACAUACGAUCCUAGGAACCUUUUCCACACACCCGGGGCUGGUCCAAGUAACCCGCCGGAGGCAAACCGGAUCAUGACACCCGGGGUCGGGGCGCCGGUUCAACCGCGGGCCAUGGAACCACCUCAUAUGAAUACCGCUCCGCCUCAUUACACACCAAUACCACCGGGUCACUUUUCUAACCCUUUGGAGAAUCUCAUUGCUGCGUCGGCUCGUUUGGCGGCUCUCCCGAUGGAAGGCGACUCUCUGACAACAAUUGAAACACGAAGGGUGAGAGAACUUCUUCAGACGGCUUUGGCGCAGCAGGAUGCGUACUCUUACAGUCGAGACAGAAUCGAUUCAACCCCUCGCCCAAGCCGGAGCCCGAGCUAUAUCAGGCAUAUGGACUCAGCCGCUAUGUCGAGCAAUGCUCAACGCUGUAACCAACCGUGUAGGCAUGAGCCGGCGCAGGGUGGAGCCCUUAACCCGGCGGAUCAGGAGAGAAUCCCUCAAGAGGCUGAGCGGGCGGCUCAACUGGCAGCUGAGCAGGCGGUGUUGGGGAAUGUAGUAAUUUCAAAAUUUUCCUACGCACAAGCAAGAUCAUGGUGAUGCAUAGCAACGAGAGGGGAGAGUGUGAUCUACGUACCCUUGUAGACCGACAACGGAAGCGUUAGCACAACGCGGUUGAUGUAGUCAUACGUCUUCACGGCCCGACCGAUCAAGCACUGAAACUACGGCACCUCCGAGUUUUAGCACACGUUCAGCUCGAUGACGAUCCCCAGACUCCGAUCCAGCAAAGUGUCGGGGAAGAGUUCCGUCAGCACGACGGUGUGGUGACGAUCUUGAUGUACUACCGUCGCAGGGCUUCGCCUAAGCACCGCUACAAUAUUAUCGAGGAUUAUGGUGGAAGGGGGCACCGCACACGGCUAAGAAUAUGAUCACGUGGAUCAACUUGUGUGUCUAGGGGUGCCCCCUNNNNNNNNNNNNNNNNNNNNNNNNNNNNNNNNNNNNNNNNNNNNNNNNNNNNNNNNNNNNNNNNNNNNNNNNNNNNNNNNNNNNNNNNNNNNNNNNNNNNNNNNNNNNNNNNNNNNNNNNNNNNNNNNNNNNNNNNNNNNNNNNNNNNNNNNNNNNNNNNNNNNNNNNNNNNNNNNNNNNNNNNNNNNNNNNNNNNNNNNNNNNNNNNNNNNNNNNNNNNNNNNNNNNNNNNNNNNNNNNNNNNNNNNNNNNNNNNNNNNNNNNNNGGGGGGGGUGCGGCCGGCCAGGAGGAGGGCGCGCCAGGAGGAGUCCUACUCCCACCGGGAGUAGGAUUCCCCCCCCCUUUCCUAGUUGGAAUAGGAUUCGGGAAGGGGGAAAGAGGAGAGAGAGAAGGAAGGGGGGCGCCGCCCCCCUCUCCUUGUCCUAUUCGGACUAGGGGGGGAGGGGCGCGCGACCCAGCCCUGGCCACCUCUCCUCUCUUCCACUAAAGCCCACUAAGGCCCAUAUACCUCCCGGGGGGUUCCGGUAACCUCCCUGUACUCCGGUAAAAUCCCGAUUUCACCCGGAACACUUCCGAUAUCCAAAUAUAGGCUUCCAAUAUAUCAAUCUUUAUGUCUCAACCAUUUCGAGACUCGUCGUCAUGUCCGUGAUCACAUCCGGGACUCCGAACAAACUUCGGUACAUCAAAAAGCAUAAACUCAUAAUAUAACUGUCAUCAAAACCUUAAGCGUGCAGACCCUACGGGUUUGAGAACAAUGUAGACAUGACCGAGACACGUCUCCGGUCAAUAACUAAUAGCAGAACCUGGAUGCUCAUAUUGGCUCCUACAUAUUCUACGAAGAUCUUUAUCGGUCAGACCACAUAACAACAUACUUUGUUCCCUUUGUCAUCGGUGUGUUACUUGCCCGAGAUUCGAUCGUCGGUAUCUCAAUACCUAGUUCAAUCUCGUUACCGGCAAGUCUCUUUACUCGUUUCAUAAUACAUCAUCUCGCAACUAACUCAUUAGUUGCAAUGCUUGCAAGGCUUAUGUGAUGUGCAUUACCGAGAGGACCCAGAGAUACCUCUCUGACAAUCGGAGUGACAAAUCCUAAUCUCGAAAUAUGCCAACCCAACAUUUACCUUUGGAGACACCUGUAGAGCUCCUUUAUAAUCACCCAGUUAUGUUGUGACAUUUGGUAGCACACAAAGUGUUCCUCCGGGAAACGGGAGUUGCAUAAUCUCAUAGUCAUAGGAACAUGUAUAAGUCACGAAGAAAGCAAUAGCAACAUACUAAAUGAUCGGGUGCUAAGCUAAUGGAAUGGGUCAUGUCAAUCACAUCAUUCUCCUAAUGAUGUGAUCCCGUUAAUCAAAUAACAACUCUUUUGUUUAUGGUUAGGAAACAUAACCAUCUUCAAUUAACGAGCUAGUCAAGUAGAGGCAUACUAGUGACACUUUGUUUGUCUAUGUAUUCACACAAGUAUUAUGUUUCCGGUUAAUACAAUUCUAGCAUGAAUAAUAAACAUUUAUCAUGAUAUAAGGAAAGAAAUAAUAACUUUAUUAUUGCCUCUAGGGCAUAUUUCCUUCAGUCUCCCACUUGCACUAGAGUCAAUAAUCUAGUUCACAUCGCCAUGUGAUUUAACAGCAAUAGUUCACAUCACCAUGUGAUUAACACCCAUAGUUCACAUCGAUAUGUGAUCAACACCCAAAGGGUUUACUAGAGUCAGUAAUCUAGUUCACAUCGCUAUGUGACUAAGGUGUGAUCAUGUUUUGCUUGUGAGAUAAUUUUAGUCAACGGGUCUGUCACAUUCAGAUCUGUAAGUAUUUUGCGAAUUUCUAUGUCAACAAUGCUCUGCACGGAGCUACUCUAGCUUAUUGCUCCCACUUUCAAUAUGUAUCUAGAUCGAGACUUAGAGUCAUCCAGAUCUGUGUCAAAACUUGCAUCGACGUAACUUUUUACGACGAACCUUUUUGUCACCUCCAUAAUUGAGAAAUAUUUCCUUAUUCCACUAAGGAUAAUUUUGACCGCUGUCUAGUGAUCUACUCUUAGAUCACUAUUGUACUCCCUUGCUUAACACAAUGUAGGGUAUACAAUAGAUCUGGUACACAGCAUGGCAUACUUUAUAGAACCUAUGGCUGAGGCAUAGGGAAUGACUUUCAUUCUAUUUCUAUCUUCUGCCGUGGUCGGGCUUUGAGUCUUACUCAAUUUCACACCUUGUAACACAGUCAAGAAUUCUUUCUUUGACUAUUCCAUUUUGAACUACUUCAAAAUUUUGUCAAGGUAUGUACUCGUUGAAAAAAACUUAUCAAGCGUUUUGAUCUAUCUCUAUAGAUCUUGAUGCUCAAUAUGUAAGCAGCUUCACCGAGGUCUUUCUUUGAAAAACUUCUUUCAAAACACUCCUUUAUGCUUUGCAGAAUAAUUCUACAUUAUUUCCGAUCAACAAUAUGUCAUUCACAUAUACUUAUCAGAAAUGUUGUAGUGCUCCCACUCACUUUCUUGUAAAUACAGGCUUCACUUCAAGUCUGUAUAAAGCUAUAUGCUUUGAUCAUCUCAUCAAAGCAUAUAUUCCAACUCCGAGAUGCUUGCACCAGUUCAUAGAUGGAUCGCUGGAGCUUGCACAUUUUGUUAGCACCUUUAGGAUUGACAAAACCUUCUGAUUGUAUCAUAUACAACUCUUCUUUAAUAAAUCCAUUAAGGAAUGCAGUUUUGUUUAUCCAUUUGCCAGAUUUCAUAAAAUGCGGCAAUUGCUAACAAGAUUCGGACAUACUUAAGCAUAUAUACGAGUGAGAAAAUCUCAUCGUAGUCAACACCUUGAACUUGUCGAAAACCUUUUGCGACAAUUCUAGCUUUGUAGAUAGUAACACUAGUAUCAGCGUCCGUCUUCCUCUUGAAGAUCCAUUUAUUUUCUAUGGCUUGCCGAUCAUCGGGCAAAUCCAUCAAAGUCCAUACUUUGUUCUCAUACAUGGAUCAUAUCUCAUAUUUUAUGGCCUCAAACCAUUUCGUGGAAUCUGGGCUCAUCAUCGCUUCCUCAUAGUUCGCAAGUUCGUCAUGGUCUAGUAACAUGACUUCCAGAACAGGAUUACCGUACCACUCUGGUGCGGAUCUCACUCUGCUUUACCUACGAGAUUUGGUAGUAACUUGAUCUGAAGUUACAUGAUCAUCAUCAUUAGCUUCCUCACUAAUUGGUGUAGUAGUCACAGGAACAGAUUUCUGUGAUGAACUACUUUCCAAUGAGGGAGCAGGUAUACUUACCUCAUCAAGUUCUACUUUCCUCCCACUCACUUCUUUCGAGAGAAACUCCUUCUCUAGAAAAACUCCGAAUUUAGCAACAAAAGUCUUGCCUUCGGAUUUGUGAUAGAAGGUGUACCCAACAGUCUCCUUUGGGUAUCCUAUGAAGACAUAUUUCUCCGAUUUGGGUUUGAGCUUAUCAAGAUGAAACUUUUUCAUAUAAGCAUCACAAUCCCAAACUUUAAGAAACGACAACUUUGGUUUCUUGCCAAACCACAGUUCAGAUUGUGUCGUCUCAACGGACUUAGAUGGUGCCCUUUUAAACGUGAAUGCAGUUGUCUUUAAUGCAUAACCCCAAAACGAUAGUGGUAGAUCGAUAAGAGACAUCAUAGAUCGCACCAUAUCUAAUAAAGUACGGUUAUGAUGUUCGGACACACCAUUAUGCUGUGGUGUUCCAGGUGGCGUGAGUAGUGAAACUAUUUCACAUUGUUUUAACUGAAGGCCAAACUCGUAACUCAAAUAUUUUACCUCUGAGAUCAUAUCGUAGAAACUUUUAUUUUCUUGUUACGAUGAUUCUCCACUUCACUCUGAAAUUCUUUGAACUUUUCAAAUAUUUCAGACUUGUGUUUCAUUAAGUAGAUAUACCCAUAUCUGCUCAAAUCAUCUGUGAAGGUCAGAAAAUAAUGAUACCCGCCACGAGCCUUAACACUCAUCGGAUCUCAUACAUCAGUAUGUAUUAUUUCCAAUAAGUCAGUUGCUCGGUCCAUAGUUCCGGAGAACGGCGUUUUAGUCAUCUUGCCCAUGAGGCAUGGUUCGCAAGCAUCAACUGAUUCAUAAUCAAGUGAUUCCAAAAGCCCAUCAACAUGGAGUUUCUUCAUGCGCUUUACACCAAUAUGACCUAAACGGCAGUGCCACAAAUAAGUUGCACUAUCAUUAUUAACUUUGCAUCUUUUGGUUUCAAUAUUAUGUUUAUGUGUAUCACUACGAUCGAGAUCCAACAAACUAUUUUCAUUGGGUGUGUAACCAUAUAAGGUUUUAUUCAUGUAAACAGAACAACAAUUUAUUCUCUUAAUUAAAUGAAUAACCGUAUUACAAUAAACAUGAUCAAAUCAUAUUCAUGCUCAACGCAAAUACCAAAUAACACUUAUUCAGGUUCAACACUAAUCCCGAAAGUAUAGGGAGUGUGCAAUGAUGAUCAUAUCCAUCUUGGAACCACUUCCAACACACAUCAUCACUUCACCCUUAACUAGUCUCUGUUUAUUCUGCAACUCCUGUUUCGAGUUACUAAUCUUAGCAACUGAACUAGUAUCAAAUACUGAGGGGUUGCUAUAAACACUAGUAAAGUACACAUCAAUAACAUGUAUAUCAAAUAUACUUAUGUUCACUUUGCCAUCCUUCUUAUCCGCCAAUCACUUGGGGUAGUUCCGCUUCCAGUGACCAGUCCCUUUGCAGUAGAAGCACUUAGUCUCAGGCUUAGGACCAGACUUGGGCUUCUUCACUUGAGCAGCAACUUGCUUGUUGUUCUUCUUGAAGUUCCCCUUCUUCCCUCUACCCUUUUCUUGAAACUAGUGGUCUUGUCUACCAUCAACACUUGAUGUUCUUCUCGAUUUCUACCUUCGUCAAUUUCAGCAUUACGAAGAGCUUGGGAAUUGUUUCCGUUAUCCCUUGCAUAUUAUAGUUCAUCACGAAGUUCUACUAACUUGGUGAUGGUGACUAGAGAAUUCUGUCAAUCACUAUUUUAUCUGGAAGAUUAACUCCCACUUGAUUCAAGCGAUUGUAGUACCCAGACAAUCUGAGCACAUGCUCACUAGUUGAGCGAUUCUCCUCCAUCUUUUAGCUAUAGAACUUGUUGGAAAAUUCAUAUCUCCUAACUCGGGUAUUUGCUUGAAAUAUUAACUUCAACUCCUGGAACAUCUCAUAUGUUCCAUGACGUUCAAAACGUCUUUGAAGUCCCGAUUCUAAGCCAUUAAGUAUGGUGCACUAAACUAUCAAGUAGUCAUCAUAUUGAGCUAGCCAAACUUUCAUAACGUCUACAUAUGCUCCCGCAAUAGGUCUAUCACCUAGCGGUGCAUCAAGGACAUAAUUCUUCUGUGCAGCAAUGAGGAUAAACCUCAGAUCUUUCAACACAAUUUUCUCUAGGAACAUAUAAAAAUAAACACAGGGAAGCAACAACGCGAGCUAUUGAUCUACAACAUAAUUUGCAAAAUACUACCAGGACUAAGUUCAUGAUAAAUUUAAAGUUCAAUUAAUCAUAUUACUUAAGAACUCCCACUUAGAAAGACAUCCCUCUAAUCUUCUAAGUGAUCACGUGAUCCAAAUCAACUAAACCAUGUCCGAUCAUCACGUGAGAUGGAGUUGUUUCAUUGGUGAACAUCGCUAUGUUGAUCAUAUCUACUAUAUGAUUCACGCUCGACCUUUCGGUCUCCGUGUUCCGAGGCCAUAUUUGUAUAUGCUUGGCUCGUUAAGUAUAACCUGAGUAUUCUGCGUGUGCAACUGUUUUGCACCCGUUGUAUUUGAACGUAGAGCCUAUCACACCCGAUCAUCACGUGGUGUCUCAGCACGAAGAACUUUCGCAACGGUGCAUACUCAGGGAGAACACUUCUUGAUAAUUAGUGAGAGAUCAUCUUAUAAUGCUACCGUCAAUCAAAGCAAGAUAAUAUGUAGAAAAGAUAAACAUCACAUGCAAUCAAUAUAAGUGAUAUGAUAUGGCCAUCAUCAUAUUGUGCUUGUGAUCUCCAUCUUCGAAGCACCGUCGUGAUCACCAUCGUCACCGACAUGACACCUUGAUCUCCAUCGUAGCAUCGUUGUCGUCUCGCUAAUCUUAUGCUUCCAUGACUAUCGCUACCGCUUAGUGAUAAAGUAAAGCAUUACAGCGCGAUUGCAUUGCAUACAAUAAAGUGACAACCAUAUGGCUCCUGCCAGUUGCCGAUAACUCGGUUACAAAACAUGAUCAUCUCAUACAAUAAAAUUUAGCAUCAUGUCUUGACCAUAUCACAUCACAACAUGCCCUGCAAAAACAAGUUAGACGUCCUCUACUUUGUUGUUGCAAGUUUUACGUGGCUGCUACGGGCUUAAGCAAGAACCAAUCUUACCUACGCAUCAAAACCACAACGAUAGUUUGUCAAGUUGGUGCUGUUUUAACCUUCGCAAGGACCGGGCGUAGCCACACUCGGUUCAACUAAAGUUGGAGAAACUGUCACCCGCUAGCCACCUUUGUGCAAAGCACGUCGGGAGUACCGGUCUCGCGUAAGCGUACGCGUAAUGUCGGUCUGGGCCGCUUUGUCCAACAAUACCGCCGAACCAAAGUAUGACAUGCUGGUAAGCAGUAUGACUUAUAUCGCCCACAACUCACUUGUGUUCUACUCGUGCAUAUAACAUCAACACAUAAAACCUAGGCUCUGAUACCACUCUUGGGGAACGUAGUAAUUUCAAAAUUUUCCUACGCACACGCAAGAUCAUGGUGAUGCAUAGCAACGAGAGGGGAGAGUGUGAUCUACGUACCCUUGUAGACCGACAGCGGAAGCGUUAGCACAACGCGGUUGAUGUAGUCGUACGUCUUCACGGCCCGACCGAUCAAGCACCGAAACUACGGCACCUCCGAGUUUUAGCACAUGUUUAGCUCGAUGACGAUCCCUGGACUUCGAUCCAGCAAAGUGUCGGGGAAGAGUUCCGUCAGCACGACGGCGUGGUGACGAUCUUGAUGUACUACCGUCGCAGGGCUUCGCCUAAGCACCGCUACAAUAUUAUCGAGGAUUAGGGUGGAAGGGGGCACNNNNNNNNNNNNNNNNNNNNNNNNNNNNNNNNNNNNNNNNNNNNNNNNNNNNNNNNNNNNNNNNNNNNNNNNNNNNNNNNNNNNNNNNNNNNNNNNNNNNNNNNNNNNNNNNNNNNNNNNNNNNNNNNNNNNNNNNNNNNNNNNNNNNNNNNNNNNNNNNNNNNNNNNNNNNNNNNNNNNNNNNNNNNNNNNNNNNNNNNNNNNNNNNNNNNNNNNNNNNNNNNNNNNNNNNNNNNNNNNNNNNNNNNNNNNNNNNNNNNNNNNNNNNNNNNNNNNNNNCGCCAGGAGGAGUCCUACUCCCACCGGGAGUAGGAUUCCCCCCCUUUCCUAGAUGGAAUAGGAUUCGGGAAGGGGGAAAGAGGAGAGAGAGAAGGAAGGGGGGUGCCGCCCCCCUCUCCUUGUCCUAUUCGGACUAGGGGGGAGGGGCGCGCGGCCCAGCCCUGGCCACCUCUCCUCUCUUCCACUAAAGCCCACUAAGGCCCAUAUACCUCCCGGGGGGUUCCGGUAACCUCCCGGUACUCCGGUAAAAUCCCGAUUUCACCCGGAACACUUCCGAUAUCCAAAUAUAGGCUUCCAAUAUAUCAAUCUUUAUGUCUCGACCAUUUCGAGACUCCUUGUCAUGUCCGUGAUCACAUCCGGGACUCCGAACAAAGUUCGGUACAUCAAAAAGCAUAAACUCGUAAUAUAACUGUCAUCGAAACCUUAAGUGUGCGGACCCUACGGGUUCGAGAACAAUGUAGACAUGACCGAGACACGUCUCCGGUCAAUAACCAAUAGCGGAACCUGGAUGCUCAUAUUGGCUCCUACAUAUUCUACGAAGAUCUUUAUCGGUCAGACCGCAUAACAACAUACUUUGUUCCCUUUGUCAUCGGUAUGUUACUUGCCCGAGAUUCGAUCGUCGGUAUCUCAAUACCUAGUUCAAUCUCGUUACCGGCAAGUCUCUUUACUCGUUUCGUAAUACAUCAUCUCGCAACUAACUCAUUAGUUGGAAUGCUUGCAAGGCUUAUGUGAUGUGCAUUACCGAGAGGGCCUAGAGAUACCUCUCCGACAAUCGGAGUGACAAAUCCUAAUCUCGAAAUACGCCAACCCAACAUUUACCUUUGGAGACACCUGUAGAGCUCCUUUAUAAUCACCCAGUUAUGUUGUGACGUUUGGUAGCACACAAAGUGUUCCUCCAAUAAACGGGAGUUGCAUAAUCUCAUAGUCAUAGGAACAUGUAUAAGUCAUGAAGAAAGCAAUAGCAACAUACUAAAUGAUCGGGUGCUAAGCUAAUGGAAUGGGUCAUGUCAAUCACAUCAUUCUCCUAAUGAUGUGAUCCCGUUAAUCAAAUAACAACUCUUUUGUUUAUGGUUAGGAAACAUAACCAUCUUCGAUUAACGAGCUAGUCAAGUAGAGGCAUACUAGUGACACUUUGUUUGUCUAUGUAUUCACACAAGUAUUAUGUUUCCGGUUAAUACAAUUCUAGCAUGAAUAAUAAACAUUUAUCAUGAUAUAAGGAAAUAAAUAAUAACUUUAUUAUUGCCUCUAGGGCAUAUUUCCUUCAGGCGGCUCAUCAGGCUUUUCCGGUUUAUCCGGCAACCUGUAUUGAGGCAGGAGUAGCCACAGGAACAGGAGGUGUCCCUUGCCUGGUGUCGGCUAUACGUAAUGAGCGCUUGCCAAAAGACUUUAAGGGGCCUCGUAAAGUGCCUAAUUACAUGGCCGACUUGCAGCCUGGGCAUGGAUUGAAAGUUAUGAGAUGGCGAUGGAGCUGUUGGAGGUUAGCGAUGCAGCAAUGGCUAAGUAUUUCACUAUGAUGUUGGAUGGAAUGGCUCACACUUGGUUGAAAGGGUUGCCACCCAAUUCCAUCAGCUCAUGGGCAGAGUUAAAGGCCCUGUUCAUUCAGAACUUCAAGGACACAUGCAAACAACCUAUGUCAAUCAUGGACCUAACUAAUUGUAAGCAAGAGGAAGGUGAGUCCACGACCCAUUGGGUGCGCCGGGUCAAGGAGAUAAUACAUUCAUCUGAUAAGAUGGAUGCCGGCUCUGCAGUCUUAAUGUUGGAGAAAAAUUGUUGUUUUGAACCUCUGAAGCAGAAGCUGGGGCGGCUCAAGCGUGAUUGUAAUGACAUGGGCCAGUUGAUGGAGGCCCUGGUCAAAUAUGCUGAUUUUGACAGUACCAAGGAUCCCAUGUCUGACGAAGAGAAAACAGGGAAGGGAAAGAAGAACGACAACGGCAAGGGUCACCAGCAUAACCCGGCGAAUCAAGGAGGUAAUAAACGUAAGGCUGGCGAGUUUGUGGCUAACACCAAUACACAGGGCAACAACCAACGGCGCAAGGGUAGGCCACCUCCUUGUUCAGGCGGGUCAGGUCCCACCCUCGAACAACUAUUGAAUGAGCCUUGUCCAAGAUACGGCACCCGGGAGAAGCCAUCUACCCAUCUGUGGAAGGAAUGUAUGAUCAUGAAGGCAUUUAAAAAUUCCAACAUGUUUGAUGGUAGUCACAGGCCUAGAGGCAGUUCAGGCAGAGGCGGCUUUCAUGGCCCGGGCGCCAUUUUAGGCGGGGGCGGUUUUCACGGUCAGGGCCAUCCGGGUAACCAGGGUGGCUAUAAUCAGCAACCCUGCCAAAGUUAUCAGCAGCAACAACAGCAACAGUCCGGGUAUCAGAGAAAUCCAAAACAGUUGAAUAGUGGGCAGUACCAUGUAUUUACCACUAGUUUAUGCAAAAGGGACCAGAAGCUUCUUAAGAGGGCUGUCAAUGCUAUUGAGCCGGCGAUUCCACGUUAUUUGAGGUGGUCAGAACAACCUAUUGUGUGGAGUAGGGAAGAUCACCCUCCUCGGGUUGAUAAUCCAGGUCACUUGGCCUUGGUGGUGGCACCUCAGGUGGGUGGACAUAAGUUCACUAAGGUGCUCAUGGAUGGAGGCAGUAGCAUCAACAUCCUCUAUUAUUAGACAUUUCAUUGGAUGGGGUUGACAGAUAAGAGUCUUAAACAAUCCAACACUAUUUUUCAUGGUGUUGUGCCUGGUAAGUCGGCAUACCCAGCUGGUAAUAUUGAACUGGAAGUAGCCUUUGGGGAUGAAUAUGAUUCCAGGGCUGAGAAGUUAACUUUUGAGGUGGUUAAGAUCAAAAGCCCAUAUCGUGCUCUGUUUGGACGGUCGGCUUAUGCCAAGUUCAUUGCUCGGGCGUGUUAUGUGUAUCUACAGCUCAAGAUGCCGGGUUAUAAAGGCACCAUCACAGUACAUGGAAUCCGGAAAAUAGCCAUGGAAUGUGAAGAGGGCGAUGCCGCUUAUGCUGAGUCUGUUUGUGCGACAGAGGAGUUAAAGGUUUAUAAAGAUAAUGUUGACCCAACAGACAUGACGUCUUUGAAGAAGCCAACUACGAAGCAUGAACCGGUGUUGAAAUUCAAGUCAGCUGAUGACACCAAGAUGGUCAAUUUUGUGCCUGGCGACUCAUCCAAACAGUUCAGCAUCAGUGCCAACUUGGAUCCAAAAUAGGAAAGCGCGCUCAUCGAGUUCAUCCGUGAGAACCAGGACAUAUUUGCAUGGAAACCUUCUGAUAUGUCGGGUGUCCCAAGAGAACUCGCUGAGCCGACUCUUAAUAUUGACCCGAAGUUCAAGCCGGUCAGGCAUUUUCUUCGAUGGUUUAAUGAGGAAAGGCACAAGGCCAUUGGAGAAGAGGUGGCCCGGCUCUUGGCGGCCGGGUUCAUUGUUGAAGUUUUUCACCCAGAGUGGUUGGCUAACCCGGUGCUUGUACUCAAGAAGAAUGGCACCUAGCGUAUGUGUGUGGAUUACACCGAUUUGAACAAGGCUUGUCCGGCCGAUCCUUUUGCUCUCCCUCAAAUUGAUCAGAUCAUUGAUGCUACGGCGGGUUGUGAGUGUUUGAGUUUUCUGGAUGCCUGUUCAGGUUAUCAUCAGAUCAAGAUGGCAGUCAAGGACCAGAAGAAGACAUCUUUCAUCACUCCGUUCGGAGCCUUCUGCUAUGUGUCUAUGCCUUUUGGGCUUAAGAGUGCCCAGGCGAAUUAUCAACGGCGUGUACAGAAUUGCCUUCAUAGUCAGAUUGGGCGUAAUGUUCAUGCUUAUGUGGAUGAUAUAGUGGUGAAGUCCAGAGAGAAGGAAACCUUGGUAAUAGAUCUGAAGGAAACCUUUGAUAACCUCCGGGUCUACAAGAUGAUGCUUAACCCGGCCAAGUGUGUCUUUGGAGUCCUAGCUGGUAAACUCUUGGGUUUUUUGGUGUCUAACAGAGGUAUUGAGGCUAACCCAGAGAAAAUUAAGGCAAUCACAUCUCUGGCCAAACCGGUUUGCAUCAAUGACGUUCAGUGGCUGGCGGGUCGCAUCGCUGCCUUAAGCCGGUUCAUAAGCCGGUUAGGGGAGAAGGCGAUGCCUUUGUGUCAAAUGAUGAAAAAGGCGGAUGACUUUGUCUGGAGUGAUGCUGCUAACUCUGCUUUUGAGGAUCUGAAGAAACAGCUCACUGAGCCGCCGGUUCUUGCUGCUCUAGUUGAGAAAGAGCCGUUGUUAUUAUAUGUAGCUGCUAACUCACGUGCUGUCAGUGUGGCCAUUGUUGUGGAGCACAAGAAGGCUGGAAAAGAACAUCCGGUCCAACGGCCGGUUUACUAUGUUAGUGAGGUGUUGAUUGAGUCUAAACAAAGGUAUCCACAUUGGCAGAAUCUCGUUUAUGGGGUGUUCAUGGCAAGCCGGAAGCUCAAACAUUACUUUCAGGGUCACCCAAUCACUGUGGUUAGCUCUGCUCCUCUAGGAGACAUCACUACUAGGAAAAGGGCUAUAGAUGGAAAUGACACUAAUGGCGCACCAGACAUGUGGUGCGCCAUUACUAUAUACUAAUGGCGCACCAUCUGUUGGUGCGCCAUUAGUGUGGAAGACACUAAUGGCGCACCGGGCACACGGUGCGCCACUAGUAACAAAAUGUUUUUUUUUCAUUUUUUCAAACAUACUAAUGGCGCAUCCGGGCAGAGUACGCCAUUAGUAGUUAGAACUACUAAUGGCGCACCAGCCAUAGAGUGCGCCACUACUGUAUUUUUGUUUACUUUUUUGCAAAACUACUAAUGGUGCACCGUUGCAUAGUGCGCCAUUACUAGUUUAAACUAGUAAUGGCGCAUUGUGCCAUGGUGCGCCAUUAGUUUAAAAAUUAUUAUUUUUACUUUUUUGCAAAACUACUAAUGGCGCAUGUCUGUGUGGUGCGCCAUUAGUAUGUUGGGUUACUAAUGGCACAUGUCUCUGUGGUGCGCCAUUAGUAACCUGGGACCAGCUAGAUAUUUUUGGACAGCCACACCUACACACUCACUUUCCCCACUUCAUUCCCCCCACCUCCUUCUCUAAGCUUGUCGGCUGCCUCCUCCUCCUCACCUCAUUUGCACCAUAGAUUCAUCAAAAUUAAGUGUUGAAAUUACCUUUUUUUGAUAGGUAAGUAAGGGGAAAGCUAUCUUCAUGUUGUAGAUCUACUUUUUUUCUCCCUAGCUCGCUCCAACAACGUGCACAUGCACUUUUUGUGGCCUAGCUAGAUCUAUGUAUGUUUGUGGUGUUGCAUAUGUUUGUGGUGUUGCAUAUAUGUUUGUGUUUGCAGGUACCGGUAUUUGAAAUGCGAUAGUUGUCAAUAUUUUGCUGGAAUGUUGAUUCAUUUCCAUUUCGGCGAGAAUUUUGGCACUAUGCAUUCUUUUUGGUCCUAUUUUUAGGGAAAGUCAUGCCAAAUUUUUUCUUGGUUCUAAAAUAUCGUUUUGCUCUACCCCGCAGGCGACCAUAGUCCGCACGAUGACCGAAGGCAUCGUGAAUAGGUUUUUGAGCUCCGCGAAGGCCGAGAUGCUUCAAAAGAAUGAGACGGAGAUAAGAUGUCCGUGUCGAAGAUGCAAGCUGAAGAGCCUUAUUGCGGACCCAGAUUCCGGGUAGGUGCGGGACCACCUGCUCUUGCGUGGUUUCAUGGAUGGCUAUCGGUGGCAAGGUGAUGAAGAUGACUAUGAAGUCAUCCAUGGGGGCCGGGCAAGAAAUGAGGAAGGGCAGCAAGACAACCACCGCGGCUCGAGCGGGCAAGAAGACGAAGAAUCUCCAGGACAUGAUCACGACGGUGAUGCUGUACACAGUCAUCAUGCAGAAGAUGCCGGACAUGAUGAUGAGGAAGAUGCCGGAGCAGACGAAGGGCAUGAUCAUGAAGAUCUAGAUGCCGGAGGAGCAGACGACGGUGGACCAUCGAUGGGCUGGGUGCAGGACCCUCAUAUUCAAGAGCUGCUUCUCAAGCAGACGGGUAACGCAAGAGCUGCCGCCCAAGAGAAAGCCAAGCUGGAUCAACUGGAGAUUGACGCGGUUACUCCAUUGUAUGAAGGAUGCAGACCCGAGGAUACCCGCCUGAAAGUAACGCUCAUGGCUUUGGAGAUGAAGGUAAAACACAAAAUGACCGACGCAUGCUUCGACAAGAACAUGUCAUUCUGGCACGAACGUCUUCCCAAGGGGAACAAGUGCCCGACCAGUUUCGAGGAGGCGAAGAAAGUCGUGUGUCCUCUGGAUUUACCGCACGUGAAAUACCAUGUGUGCAUGAACAAUUGCAUCAUUUAUCAGGGCGAGCACGCGGAGUCUACCAUAUGUCCGGUGUGCGGCGUCACUCGAUACAAGAAGAGGAAGAAAGCUCCUCGAAAAGUGGUGUGGUACUUUCCGAUCACUCCUCGUCUGCAGUGGUAUUUCGUGGACUCUAAGGUAGCAAAGCUCCUGCGUUGGCACGCGGAUAGGGAGGAGAAGAAGCGAGAAGAUGACGCAAAUGUCACGUCCAGAGGGAAGUAUAGCCAGGGGCUUUCUGACCGAAGAGUGCAUCUCCUACUGCACGAAUUAUCUAGGCAUCGAGAACCCCGUUGGUCUGCCCGUCAACAGGCACCUCAGCAGGCUCGCUGGAUGGGGUCACCGUGAGGGUCGCCGCGAAAUGCAUGUCGACUUCGAGGGUCGACUCGCCGACUUUGAAAGAGCAAACCUAGUCGCGCUACAACACAUAGACGUGGUCGAUCCUUGGGUGGUAGAGCACAAAACCUUUAUUGAGAAGACGUACAAUGACCGAGGCCAACAGAGGACGGACGGAGAUAUAAUCAAAGAGCACAACUCAUGUUUCACGCGUUGGUUCAAGCAGAAGCUUCUCUCGUACCCUUUACAUGAGGAUUCUUCCGCGGAAGAACAACUCAUAUUCGCCUUGUCACUGGGCGCCGAGCACAACCUGAUGACCUAUGAGGCGUACAAUAUCAACCGCUACACAUUCUACACCGAGGACAAGGACAUGAAGAGCGAUGGUUAUCAGAACUCCGGGGUAACGAUGGAAUCCUACACCGGUAACAACAAGGACAGAUACUACGGAAGGAUCAAGGAGAUCUGGGAGCUGAGCUACGCUGGAGAGAAGGUCCCGAUGUUCCGUGUCAGAUGGGCCAAGAGCGUCCUAAAAGAAGACCGGUAUUUCACCACCAUGGUUAUACCCGAAGCCAAAUCCAAGACCGCGGGCGCAAACUGUUGGGGAACGCAGUAAUUUCAAAAAAAUUCCUAUGCACACGCAAGAUCAUGGUGAUGCAUAGCAACGAGAGGGGAGAGUGUUGUCUACGUACCCACGCAGACCGACUGUAGAAGCGUUGAUGCAACAUAGAGGAAGUAGUCGUACGUCUUCCUGAUCCGACCGAUCCAAGCACCGUUACUCCGGCACCUCCGAGUUCUUAGCACACGUACAGCUCGAUGACGCUCCCCGGGCUCCGAUCCAGCAAAGCUUCGGGGAAGAGUUUCAUCAGCACAACGGCGUGGUGACGAUGAUGAUGUUCUACCGACGCAGGGCUUCGCCUAAGCACUACAACGAUAUGACCGAGGUGGAAUAUGGUGGCAGGGGGCACCGCACACGGCUAAGGAACGAUCACGAGGAUCAACUUGUGUGUCUAGAGGUGCCCCCUUGCCUCCAUAUAUAAAGGAGCCAAGGGGGAUGGGGCCGCCGGCCAGGAGGAGGGCGCAGGAGGAGUCCUACUCCUACCGGGAGUAGGACUCCCCCCCCCCAAUCCUAGUUGGACUAGGAUUCCCCGAGGGGGAAAGAGAGAGAGGGGGGCCGGCCACCUCUCCUAGUCCUAAUAGUACUAGGGGAGGGGGGAGGUGCGCGGCCACCUUGGGAUGCCCCUUUCUCCUUUCCACUAAAGCCCAUUAAGGCCCAUAUGGCUCCCGGGGGGUUCCGGUAACCUCCCGGUACUCCGGUAAAAUCCCGAUUUCACCCGGAACACUUCCGAUGUCCAAAUAUAGGCUUCCAAUAUAUCAAUCUUUAUGUCUCAACCAUUUCGAGACUCCUCGUCAUGUCCGUGAUCACAUCCGGGACUCCGAACUAACUUCGGUACAUCAAAAUGCAUAAACUCAUAAUAAAUGUCAUCGUAACGUUAAGCGUGCGGACCCUACGGUUUGAGAAUAAUGUAGACAUGACUGAGACACAUCUUCGGUCAAUAACCAAUAGCGGGACCUGGAUGCCCAUAUUGGCUCCUACAUAUUCAACGAAGAUCUUUAUCGGUCAGACCGCAUAACAACAUACGUUGUUCCCUUUGUCAUCGGUAUGUCACUUGCCCGAGAUUCGAUCGUCGGUAUCCAAUACCUAGUUCAAUCUCAUUACCGGCAAGUCUCUUUACUCGUUCCGUAAUACAUCAUCUCGCAACUAACUUAUCAGUUGCAAUGCUUGCAAGGCUUAUGUGAUGUGCAUUAUCGAGAGGGCCCAGAGAUACCUCUCCGACAAAUCGGAGUGAAAAAUCCUAAUCUCGAAAUACGCCAACCCAACAUGUACCUUUGGAGACACCUGUAAUGCUCCUUUAUAAUCACCCAGUUACGUUGUGACGUUUGGUAGCACCCAAAGUGUUCCUCUGGCAAACAGGAGUUGCAUAAUCUCAUAGUCGUAGGAACAUGUAUAAGUCAUGAAGAAAGCAAUAGCAACAUACUAAACGAUCGGGUGCUAUGCUAAUGGAAUGGGUCAUGUCAAUCAGAUCAUUCAACUAAUGAUGUGAUCUCGUUAAUCAAAUAACAACUCUUUUGUUCAUGGUUAGGAAACAUAACCAUCUUUGAUUAACGAGCUAGUCUAGUAGAGGCAUACUAGUGACACUCUGUUUGUCUAUGUAUUCACACAUGUAUUAUGUUUCCGGUUAAUACAAUUCUAGCAUGAAUAAUAAACAUUUAUCAUGAUAUAAGGAAAUAAAUAAUGACUUUAUUAUUCCCUCUAGGGCAUAUUUCCUUCAGUCUCCCACUUGCACUAGAGUCAAUAAUCUAGAUUACACAGUAAUGAUUCUAACACCCAUGGAGCCUUGGUGCUGAUCAUGUUUUGCUCGUGGAAGAGGCUUAGUCAACGGGUCUACAACAUUCAGAUCCGUAUGUAUCUUGCAAAUCUCUAUGUCUCCCACCUGGACUAGAUCCCGGAUGGAAUUGAAGCGUCUCUUGAUGUGUUUGGUUCUCUUGUGAAAUCUGGAUUCCUUUGCCAAGGCAAUUGCACCAGUAUUGUCACAAAAGAUUUUCAUUGGACCCGAUGCACUAGGUAUGACACCUAGAUCGGAUAUGAACUCCUUCAUCUAGACUCCUUCGUUUGCUGCUUCCGAAGCAGCUAUGUACUCCGCUUCACAUGUAGAUCCCGCUACAACGCUUUGUUUAGAACCGCACCAACUGACAUCUCCACCGUUUAAUGUAAACACGUAUCCAGUUUGCGAUUUAGGAUCGUCCGGAUCAUUGUUAAAGCUUGCAUCAACGUAACCGUUUACGAUGAGCUCUUUGUCACCUCCAUAUACGAGAAACAUAUCCUUAGUCCUUUUCAGGUAUUUCAGGAUGUUCUUUACCGCCGUCCAGUGAUCCACUCCUGGAUUACUUUGGUACCUCCCUGCUAAACUUAUAGCAAGGCACACAUCAGGUCUGGUACACAGCAUUGCAUACAUGAUAGAGCCUAUGGCUGAAGCAUAGGGAACAUCUUUCAUAUUCUCUCUAUCUUCUGAAGUGGUCGGGCAUUGAGUAUUACUCAACUUCACACCUUGUAACAUAGGCAAGAACCCUUUCUUUGCUUGAUCCAUUUUGAAUUUCUUCAAAACUUUGUCAAGGUAUGUGCUUUGUGAAAGUCCAAUUAAGCGUCUUGAUCUAUCUCUACAGAUCUUAAUGCCUAAUAUGUAAGCAGCUUCAUCGAGGUCUUUCAUUGAAAAACUCUUAUUCAAGUAUCCCUUUAUGCUAUCCAGAAAUUCUAUAUCAUUUCCAAUCAGUAAUAUGUCAUCCACAUAUAAUAUCAGAAAUGCUACAGAGCUCCCACUCACUUUCUUGUAAAUACAGGCUUCUCCAAAAGUCUGUAUAAAACCAAAUGCUUUGAUCACACUAUCAAAGCGUUUAUUCCAACUCCGAGAGGCUUGCACCAGUCCAUAAAUGGAUCGCUGGAGCUUGCACACUUUGUUAGCUCCCUUUGGAUCGACAAAACCUUCUGGCUGCAUCAUAUACAACUCUUCUUCCAGAAAUCCAUUCAGGAAUGCAGUUUUGACAUCCAUCUGCCAAAUUUCAUAAUCAUAAAAUGCGGAAAUUGCUAACAUGAUUCGGACAAACUUAAGCAUCGCUACGGGUGAGAAGGUCUCAUCGUAGUCAAUCCCUUGAACUUGCCGAAAACCUUUUGCGACAAGUCGAGCUUUGUAGACAGUAAUAUUACCGUCAGCGUCAGUCUUCUUCUUGAAGAUCCAUUUAUUCUCAAUUGCUUGCCGAUCAGCGGGCAAGUCAACCAAAGUCCAUACUUUGUUCUCAUACAUGGAUCCCAUCUCAGAUUUCAUGGCUUCAAGCCAUUUUGUGGAAUCUGGGCUCACCAUCGCUUCUUCAUAGUUCGUAGGUUCAUCAUGAUCUAGUAGCAUGACUUCCAGAACAGGAUUACCAUACCACUCUGGUGUGGAUCUUACUCUGGUUGAUCUACGAGGUUCAGUAGUAUCUUGAUCUAAAGUUUCAUGAUCAUCAUCAUUAGCUUCCUCACUAACUGGUGUAGGUGUCACUGAAACAGUUUUCUGUGAUGUACUACUUUCCAAUAAGGGAGCAGGUACAGUUACCUCGUCAAGUUCUACUUUCCUCCCACUCAGUUCUUUCGAGAGAAACUCCUUCUCUAGAAAGGAUCCAUUCUUAGCAACGAAUGUCUUGCCUUCGGAUCUGUGAUAGAAGGUGUACCCAACAGUCUCCUUUGGGUAUCCUAUGUAGACACAUUUCUCUGAUUUGGGUUCGAGCUUAUCAGGUUGAAGCUUUUUCACAUAAGCAUCGCAGCCCCAAACUUUAAGAAACGACAACUUUGGUUUCUUGCCAAACCAUAGUUCAUAAGGCGUCGUCUCAACGGAUUUUGAUGGUGCCCUAUUUAACGUGAAUGCGGCCGUCUCUAAAGCAUAACCCCAAAACGAUAGCGGUAAAUCUGUAAGAGACAUCAUAGAUCGCACCAUAUCUAAUAAAGUACGAUUACGACAUUCGGACACACCAUUACGCUGUGGUGUUCCGGGUGGCGUGAGUUGCGAAACUAUUCCACAAUUUUUCAAAUGUACACCAAACUCGUAACUCAAAUAUUCUCCUCCACGAUCAGAUCGUAGAAACUUUAUUUUCUUGUUACGAUGAUUUUCAACUUCACUCUGAAAUUCUUUGAACUUUUCAAAUGUUUCAGACUUAUGUUUCAUUAAGUAGAUAUACCCAUAUCUGCUUAAAUCAUCUGUGAAGGUGAGAAAAUAACGAUAUCCGCUACGAGCCUCAAUAUUCAUCGGACCACAUACAUCUGUAUGUAUGAUUUCCAAUAAAUCUGUUGCUCUCUCCAUAGUACCGGAGAACGGUGUUUUAGUCAUCUUGCCCAUGAGGCAUGGUUCGCAAGUACCAAGUGAUUCAUAAUCAAGUGGUUCCAAAAGUCCAUUAGUAUGGAGUUUCUUCAUGCGCUUUACACUGAUAUGACCUAAACGGCAGUGCCACAAAUAAGUUGCACCAUCAUUAUCAACUCUGCAUCUUUUGGCUUCAACAUUAUGAAUAUGUGUGUUACUACUAUCGAGAUUCAACAAGAAUAGACCACUCUUCAAGGGUGCAUGACCAUAAAAGAUAUUACUCAUAUAAAUAGAACAACCAUUAUUCUCUGAUUUAAAUGAAUAACCGUCUCGCAUCAAACAAGAUCCAGAUAUAAUGUUCAUGCUCAACGCUGGCACCAAAUAACAAUUAUUUAGGUCUAAUACUAAUCCCGAAGGUAGAUGUAGAGGUAGCGUGCCGACCGCGAUCACAUCGACUUUGGAACCGUUUCCCACGCGCAUCGUCACCUCGUCCUUUGCUAGUGUUCGCUUAAUCCGUAGUCCCUGUUUCGAGUUGCAAAUAUUAGCAACAGAACCAGUAUCAAAUACCCAGGUGCUAUUGCAAGCUCUAGUAAGGUACACAUCAAUAACAUGUAUAUCACAUAUACCUUUGUUCACCUUGCCAUCCUUCUUAUCCGCCAAAUACUUGGGGCAGUUCCGCUUCCAGUGACCAGUCUGCUUGCAGUAGAAGCUCUCGGUUUCAGGCUUAGGUCCAGACUUGGGUUUCUUCUCUUGAGCAGCAACUUGUUUGCCGUUCUUCUUGAAGUUCCCCUUCUUCUUACCUUUGCCCUUUUUCUUGAAACCAGUGGUCUUGUUGACCAUCAACACUUGAUGCUCCUUCUUGAUUUCUACCUCCGUAACUUUCAGCAUUGCGAAGAGCUCGGGAAUAGUCUUGUUCAUCCCUUGCAUAUUAUAGUUCAUCACGAAGCUCUUGUAGCUUGGUGGCAGUGAUUGGAGAAUUCUGUCAAUGACGCAAUCAUCUGGAAGAUUAACUCCCAAUUGAAUCAAGUGAUUAUUAUACCCAGACAUUUUGAGUAUAUGCUCACUGAUAGAACUGUUCUCCUCCAUCUUGCAGCUAUAGAACUUAUUGGAGACUUCAUAUCUCUCAAUUCAGGCAUUUGCUUGAAAUAUUAACUUCAACUCCUGAAACAUCUCAUAUGCUCCAUGACGUUCAAAACGUCGUUGAAGUCCCGAUUCUAAGCCAUAAAGCAUGGCACACUGAACUAUCGAGUAGUCAUCAGCUUUGCUCUGCCAGACGUUCAUAACAUCUGGUGUUGCUCCAGCAGCAGGCCUGGCACCCAGCGGUGCUUCCAGGACGUAAUUCUUCUGUGCAGCAAUGAGGAUAAUCCUCAAGUUACGGACCCAGUCCGUGUAAUUGCUACCAUCAUCUUUCAACUUUGCUUUCUCAAGGAACGCAUUAAAAUUCAACGGAACAAUAGCACGAGCCAUCUAUCUACAAACAACAUAAACAAGCAAGAUACUAUCAGGGACUAAGUUCAUGAUAAAUUUAAGUUCAAUUAAUCAUAUUACUUAAGAACUCCCACUUAGAUAGACAUCCCUCUAAUCUUCUAAGUGAUCACGUGAUCCAAAUCAACUAAACCAUAACCGAUCAUCACGUGAAAUGGAUUAGUCUUCAAUGGUGAACAUCAUUAUGUUGAUCAUAUCUACUAUAUGAUUCACGCUCGACCUUUCGGUCUCCGUGUUCCAAGGCCAUAUCUGCAUAUGCUAGGCUCGUCAAGUAUAACCCGAGUAUUCUGCGUGUGCAAAACUGGCUUGCACCCGUUGUAGAUGGACGUAGAGCUUAUCACACCCGAUCAUCACGUGGUGUCUGGGCACGACGAACUUUGGCAACGGUGCAUACUCGGGGAGAACACUUCUUGAUAAUUUAGUGAGAGAUCAUCUUAUAAUGCUACCGUCAAUCAAAGCAAGAUAAGAUGCAUAAAGGAUAAACAUCACAUGCAAUCAAUAUAAGUGAUAUGAUAUGGUCAUCAUCUUCUUGUGCCUGUGAUCUCCAUCUCCGAAGCACCGUCAUGAUCACCAUCGUCACCGGCGCGACACCUUGAUCUCCAUCGUAGCAUCGUUGUCGUCUCGCCAAACUUAUGCUUCUACGACUAUCGCUACCAUUUAGUGAUAAAGUAAAGCAUUACAUCGCGAUUGCAUUGCAUACAAUAAAGCGACAACCAUAUGGCUCCUGCCAGUUGCCAAUAACUCGGUUACAAUACAUGAUCAUCUCAUACAAUAAAAUUCAUCAUCAUGCCUUGACCAUAUCACAUCACAACAUUCCCUGCAAAAACAAGUAAGACGUCCUCUACUUUGUUGUUGCAAGUUUUACGUGGCUGCUACGAGCUUAAGCAAGAACCAAUCUCACCUACGCAUCAAAACCACAACGAUAGUUUGUCAAUUUGACUCCGUUUUAACCUUCGCAAGGACCGGGCGUAGCCAUAAUCGGUUCAACUAUAGUUGGAGAGAUAGUCGCCCGCAAGCCACCUAUGUGCAAAGCACGUCGGGGGAACCGGUCUCGCGUAAGCGUACGCGUAAUGUUGGUCCGGGUCGUCUCAUCCAACAAUACCGCUGAACCAAAGUAUGACAUGCUGGUAGGCAGUAUGACUUAUAUCGCCCACAACUCACUUGUGUUCUACUCGUGCAUAUAACAUCAAACCAUAAAAACUAGGCUCGGAUGCCACUGUUGGGGAAUGCAGUAAUUUCAAAAAAAUUCCUACGCACACGCAAGAUCAUUGUGAUGCAUAGCAAUGAGAGGGGAGAGUGUUGUCUACGUACCCACGCAGACUGACUGCGGAAGCGUUGACGCAACAUAGAGGAAGUAGUUGUACGUCUUCCCGAUCCGGCCGAUCCAAGCACCGUUACUCCGGCACCUCCGAGUUCUUAGCACACGUACAGCUCGAUGACGCUCCUCGGGCUCCGAUCCAGCAAAGCUUCGGGGAAGAGUUUCGUCAGCACAACGGCGUGGUGAUCAUGAUGAUGUUCUACCGACGCAGGGCUUCGCCUAAGCACUACAACGAUAUGACCGAGGUGGAAUAUGGUGGCAGGGGGCACCGCACACGGCUAAGGGACGAUCACAAGGAUCAACUUGUGUGUCUAGAGGUGCCCCCUUGCCUCCGUAUAUAAAGGAGCCAAGGGGGAGGGGGCCGCCGGCCAGGAGGAGGGCACAGGAGGAGUCCUAGUCCUACCGGGAGUAGGACUCCCCCCCCCAAUCCUAGUUGGACUAGGAUUCCCCGAGGGGGAAAGAGAGAGAGGGGGGCCGGCCACCUCUCCUAGUCCUAAUAGGACUAGGGGAGGGGGGAGGCGCGCGGCCACCUUGGGCUGCCCCUUUCUCCUUUCCACUAAAGCCCAUUAAGGCCCAUAUGGCUCCCGGGGGGUUCCGGUAACCUCCCGGUACUCCGGUAAAAUCCCGAUUUCACCCGGAACACUUCCGAUGUCCAAAUAUAGGCUUCCAAUAUAUCAAUCUUUAUGUCUCGAACAUUUCAAGACUCCUCGUCAUGUCCGUGAUCACAUCCGGGACUCCGAACUAACUUCGGUACAUCAAAAUGCAUAAACUCAUAAUAACUGUCAUCGUAACGUUAAGCGUGCGGACCCUACGGUUUGAAAAUAAUGUAGACAUGACUGAGACACAUCUCCGGUCAAUAACCAAUAGCGGGACCUGGAUGCCCAUAUUGGCUCCUACAUAUUCAACGAAGAUCUUUAUCGGUCAGACCGCAUAACAACAUACGUUGUUCCCUUUGUCAUUGGUAUGUCACUUGCCCGAGAUUCGAUCGUCGGUAUCCAAUACCUAGUUCAAUCUCGUUACCGGCAAGUCUAUUUACUCAUUCCGUAAUACAUCAUCUCGCAACUAACUUAUCAGUUGCAAUGCUUGCAAGGCUUAUGUGAUGUGCAUUACCGAGAGGGCCCAGAGAUACCUCUCCGACAAAUCGGAGUGACAAAUCCUAAUCUCGAAAUACGCCAACCCAACAUGUACCUUUGGAGACACCUGUAAUGCUCCUUUAUAAUCACCCAGUUACGUUGUGACGUUUGGUAGCACCCAAAGUGUUCCUCCGGCAAACGGGAGUUGCAUAAUCUCAUAGUCGUAGGAACAUGUAUAAGUCAUGAAGAAAGCAAUAGCAACAUACUAAAUGAUCGGGUGCUAAGAUAAUGGAAUGGGUCAUGUCAAUCAGAUCAUUCAACUAAUGAUGUGAUCUCAUUAAUCAAAUAACAACUCUUUUGUUCAUGGUUAGGAAACAUAACCAUCUUUGAUUAACGAGCUAUUCUAGUAGAGGCAUACUAGUGACACUCUGUUUGUCUAUGUAUUCACACUUGUAUUAUGUUUCCAGUUAAUACAAUUCUAGCAUGAAUAAUAAACAUUUAUCAUGAUAUAAGGAAAUAAAUAAUGACUUUAUUAUUGCCUCUAGGGCAUAUUUCCUUCAGUCUCCCACUUGCACUAGAGUCAAUAAUCUAGAUUACACAGUAAUGAUUCUAACACCCAUGGAGCCUUGGUGCUGAUCAUGUUUUGCUCGUGGAAGAGGCUCAGUCAACGGGUCUGCAACAUUCAGAUCCGUAUGUAUCUUGCAAAUCUCUAUGUCUCCCACCUGGACUAGAUCCCGGAUGGACUUGAAGCGUCUCUUGAUGUGUUUGGUUCUCUUGUGAAAUCUGGAUUCCUUUGCCAAGGCAAUUGCACCAGUAUUGUCACAAAAGAUUUUCAUUAGACCCGAUGCACUAGGUAUGACACCUAGAUCGGAUAUGAACUCCUUCAUCCAGACUCCUUCGUUUGCUGCUUUCGAAGCAGCUAUGUACUCUGCUUCACAUGUAGAUCCCGCUACGACGCUUUGUUUAGAACUGCACCAACUGACAGCUCCACCGUUUAAUGUAAACACGUAUCCGGUUUGCGAUUUAGAAUCGUCCGGAUCAGUGUCAAAGCUUGCAUCAACGUAACCGUUUACGAUGAGCUCUUUUUCACCUCCAUAUACGAGAAACAUAUCCUUAGUCCUUUUCAGGUAUUUCAGGAUGUUCUUGACCGCCAUCCAGUGAUCCACUCCUGGAUUACUUUGGUACCUCCCUGCUAAACUUAUAGCAAGGCACACAUCAGGUCUAGUACACAGCAUUGCAUACAUGAUAGAGCCUAUGGCUGAAGCAUAGGGAACAUCUUUCAUAUUCUCUCUAUCUUCUGCAGUGGUCGGGCAUUGAGUCUUACUCAACUUCACACCUUGUAACAUAGGCAAGAACCCUUUCUUUGCUUGAUCCAUUUUGAAUUUCUUCAAAACUUUGUCAAGGUAUGUGCUUUGUGAAAGUCCAAUUAAGCGUCUUGAUCUAUCUCUACAGAUCUUAAUGCCUAAUAUGUAAGCAGCUUCACCGAGGUCUUUCAUUGAAAAACUCUUAUUCAAGUAUCCCUUUAUGCUAUCCAGAAAUUCUAUAUCAUUUCCAAUCAGUAAUAUGUCAUCCACAUAUAAUAUCAGAAAUGCUACAGAGCUCCUACUCACUUUCUUGUAAAUACAGGCUUCUCCAAAAGUCUGUAUAAAACCAAAUGCUUUGAUCACACUACCAAAGCAUUUAUUCCAACUCCGAGAGGCUUGUACCAGUCCAUAAAUGGAUCGCUGGAGCUUGCACACUUUGUUAGCUCCCUUUGGAUCGACAAAACCUUCUGGUUGCAUCAUAUACAACUCUUCUUCCAGAAAUCCAUUCAGGAAUGCAGUUUUGACAUCCAUCUGCCAAAUUUCAUAAUCAUAAAAUGCGGCAAUUGCUAACAUGAUUCGGACAAACUUAAGCAUCGCUACGGGUGAGAAGGUCUCAUCGUAGUCAAUCCCUUGAACUUGCCGAAAACCUUUUGCGACAAGUCGAGCUUUGUAGACAGUAAUAUUACCGUCAGCGUCAGUCUUCUUCUUGAAUAUACAUUUAUUCUCAAUUGCUUGCCGAUCAGCGAGCAAGUCAACCAAAGUCCAUACUUUGUUCUCAUACAUGGAUCCCAUCUCAGAUUUCAUGGCUUCAAGCCAUUUUGUGGAAUCUGGGCUCACCAUCGCUUCUUCAUAGUUCGUAGGUUCAUCAUGAUCCAGUAGCAUGACUUCCAGAACAGGAUUACCAUACCACUCUGGUGUGGAUCUUACUCUGGUUGAUCUACGAGGUUCAGUAGUAUCUUGAUCUAAAGUUUCAUGAUCAUCAUCAUUAGCUUCCUCACUAACUGGUGUAGGUGUCACUGAAACAGUUUUCUGUGAUGUACUACUUUCCAAUAAGGGAGCAGGUACAGUUACCUCAUCAAGUUCUACUUUCCUCCCACUCAGUUCUUUCGAGAGAAACUCCUUCUCUAGAAAGGAUCCAUUCUUAGCAACGAAUGUCUUGCCUUCGGAUCUGUGAUAGAAGGUGUACCCAACAGUCUCCUUUGGGUAUCCUAUGCAGACACAUUUCUCUGAUUUGGGUUCGAGCUUAUCAGGUUGAAGCUUUUUCACAUAAGCAUCGCAGCCCCAAACUUUAAGAAACGACAACUUUGGUUUCUUGCCAAACCAUAGUUCAUAAGGCGUCGUCUCAACGGAUUUUGAUGGUGCCCUAUUUAACGUGAAUGCGGCCGUCUCUAAAGCAUAACCCCAAAACGAUAGCGGUAAAUCUGUAAGAGACAUCAUAGAUCGCACCGUAUCUAAUAAAGUACGAUUACGACAUUCGGACACACCAUUACGCUGUGGUGUUCCGGGUGGCGUGAGUUGCGAAACUAUUCCACAAUUUUUCAAAUGUACACCAAACUCGUAACUCAAAUAUUCUCCUCCACGAUCAGAUCGUAGAAACUUUAUUUUCUUGUUACGAUGAUUUUCAACUUCACUCUGAAAUUCUUUGAACUUUUCAAAUGUUUCAGACUUAUGUUUCAUUAAGUAGAUAUACCCAUAUCUGCUUAAAUCAUCUGUGAAGGUGAGAAAAUAACGAUAUCUGCCACGAGCCUCAAUAUUCAUCGGACCACAUACAUCUGUAUGUAUGAUUUCCAACAAAUCUGUUGCUCUCUCCAUAGUACCGGAGAAUGGUGUUUUAGUCAUCUUGCCCAUGAGGCACGGUUCGCAAGUACCAAGUGAUUCAUAAUCAAGUGGUUCCAAAAGUCCAUUAGUAUGGAGUUUCUUCAUGCGCUUUACACCGAUAUGACCUAAACGGCAGUGCCACAAAUAAGUUGCACCAUCAUUAUCAACUCUGCAUCUUUUGGCUUAAACAUUAUGAAUAUGUGUGUUACUACUAUCGAGAUUCAACAAGAAUAGACCACUCUUCAAGGGUGCAUGACCAUAAAAGAUAUUACUCAUAUAAAUAGAACAACCAUUAUUCUCUGAUUUAAAUGAAUAACCGUCUCGCAUCAAACAAGAUCCAGAUAUAAUGUUCAUGCUCAACGCUGGCACCAAAUAACAAUUAUUUAGGUCUAAUACUAAUCCCGAAGGUAGAUGUAGAGGUAGUGUGCCGACCGCGAUCAGAUCGACUUUGGAACAGUUUCCCACGCACAUCGUCACCUCGUCCUUUGCUAGUGUUCGCUUAAUCCGUAGUCCCUGUUUCGAGUUGCAAAUAUUAGCAACAAAACCAGUAUCAAAUACCCAGGUGCUAUUGCGAGCUCUAGUAAGGUACACAUCAAUAACAUGUAUAUCACAUAUACCUUUGUUCACCUUGCCAUCCUUCUUAUCCGCCAAAUACUUGGGGCAGUUCCGCUUCCAGUGACCAGUCUGCUUGCAGUAGAAGCUCUCGGUUUCAGGCUUAGGUCCAGACUUGGGUUUCUUCUCUUGAGCAGCAACUUGUUUGCCGUUCUUCUUGAAGUUCCCCUUCUUCUUCCCUUUGCCCUUUUUCUUGAAACCAGUGGUCUUGUUGACCAUCAACACUUGAUGCUCCUUCUUGAUUUCUACCUCCGCAGCUUUUAGCAUUGCGAAGAGCUCGGGAAUAGUCUUGUUCAUCCCUUGCAUAUUAUAGUUCAUCACGAAGCUCUUGUAGCUUGGUGGCAGUGAUUGGUGAAUUUAAACCGUAGUCUUCAUUUCUCGGUUGUAUUUCAUGGGCACUUUUUGAUAUCAUGAAUAUUUUUAAAUUUCAUGGGCACUUUUUGAAUUCAUGAAUAUUUUUUCAAAUUUGAUGAUAUUUUUUCAUAUUCAAUAUGAUAAAAUAUUGAAUAUUCAUGAGGACACUCGAUCUCGAUCCCCCUCCAUCUCGAUCUUGAUCCCACCCGCGCCUCCUCUCCCCUCUUCAUUUAAAAAAUAAUAAUAAUAAAAAAGUGUAGACUACAAUUGUUGUUAAAUAACAAUUAUUACUGUUUUUAUAAAAAAAUAUUACUGUUUCAUAUUCAUAUUCAUUUUCUAAAAAAUUAUUACAUGCAACAAAAAAAAUUACUUAUGGCGCACCUCUGGCUGGUGCGCCAUUGCUAUANNNNNNNNNNNNNNNNNNNNNNNNNNNNNNNNNNNNNNNNNNNNNNNNNNNNNNNNNNNNNNNNNNNNNNNNNNNNNNNNNNNNNNNNNNNNNNNNNNNNNNNNNNNNNNNNNNNNNNNNNNNNNNNNNNNNNNNNNNNNNNNNNNNNNNNNNNNNNNNNNNNNNNNNNNNNNNNNNNNNNNNNNNNNNNNNNNNNNNNNNNNNNNNNNNNNNNNNNNNNNNNNNNNNNNNNNNNNNNNNNNNNNNNNNNNNNNNNNNNNNNNNNNNNNNNNNNNNNNNNNNNNNNNNNNNNNNNNNNNNNNNNNNNNNNNNNNNNNNNNNNNNNNNNNNNNNNNNNNNNNNNNNNNNNNNNNNNNNNNNNNNNNNNNNNNNNNNNNNNNNNNNNNNNNNNNNNNNNNNNNNNNNNNNNNNNNNNNNNNNNNNNNNNNNNNNNNNNNNNNNNNNNNNNNNNNNNNNNNNNNNNNNNNNNNNNNNNNNNNNNNNNNNNNNNNNNNNNNNNNNNNNCGCCGCCGCCCCCGCGCCUCCGUCUCCGUCGCCGCCCCCACGCCGCCGCCGCCCCCGCGCCUCCUCAUCGUGGUCAGGUAACCCUCCUCCCUCUGCCUCUCUUCUCCUCUCUUCCUCCUCUCCUCUCAGGUAACCCGAACUUAAUUUUGUGAUGGUGCAUUAGGAGGAUCAGGAGGCAAGUUGCAGUGCUGCAAGUGGCAAGAAGAAGAGCAGCAAGCAUUAGAUGCUUGCACUCCUGCUCUUAUUUGCUUUUGAAGCAAAGUUUUUUUCCUAGCUGGAAUAACACAGUAAAAAAGAAGUGUCUGAACAAGCUGUUGCUUUUUGCUGUGAAUGUGCAGGUGUUCCUGGGCUGAGGGAGAGGAUAGAGGCACGAGGAGGAGAAGAGCACCUGGACCAGAGGUGAGAAUGAAUGAGCUUGUGUUUAAACCAUGGCUAACUUAAUUUGUGUUUGGGGUUGGAGCUAGGAAAGAGAGACAGAGGGAUAGGAGGGGGGAGGGGAAAGAGAAAUGUUUAUUUUAGGGUUUAAUUAGACUCAAGAUUUUGGUGUUUAACCCUGUUGUGUUGCUUCUAGAAAAUAAUAUAAAAGCUAUGAAAAAGAAAUCUGUGGAGUUGGCACUUUACAUAAGGUUGUAGAUCAUUGUAGUGUCCUAAUGUCUAAGACUGUUGCAUUGGAGGUUCAUCUUGCAAACAUAUCAGAACUUGCAAACAUUUUAUUACUUGUUGCAUUGGAGGUUCAUCUUGUCUUGAGCCAAACAAAUCAGCAUUGGAGGCUCAUCUUUGAGGCUCAUCUUUAUUACAUAUCAGAACUUGCAAACAAAUCUGUGAAAGACUUGUAAAGUUGCUGGGUUUUGUCUCCGACCAUUGUGUCGUGAUGAAUUUGCAGGUACCCCGAGAGGCCCUUGAGUUUGCCGGAAUGUCGAUUAACUUCCGUUCCGGCAAAUUCGGGUACUCCAUAUGUCCUAUUUUCAGCAAAGGUCAUGCUGAGAUUUUCCAUGAAUUUUAGCAUGACUUUGCUAAAAAUAGGACAUAUGGGGUACUUGCGACUAAUGCAUGGGCCAGGGUAUCUUAGUACUUAGUUAAGUAGGAUCAACUGCCCCGCCAUUCUUGCUGCAUUAAACCAUAGGUGGCAAUAGAGCCAAGUGAUUAGGCCCUAAACCCUAGAUGAUAAACCCAACAUAGGUGGCAAUAGAGCCAAGUGAUUAGGCCCAACCUAGGGUGCCUCGGCAUCGAUAAACCCUAAAUGAUGAAAACUUAACUUGGCUUCUAUAGGGUGCCUCGAUGUCGAUGAGAACCUAAAUGAUGUACUCUUAGGCUUUUAGGGUGCCUCGGCGUCGACAAAACCUAAAUGAUGAAAGCUUAGGCUUUUAGGGUGCCUCGGAGUCGAAAAACCCUAAAUGAUAAAACCUUGGCUUUUAGGGUGCCUCGGUGUCGAUAAGAACCUAAAUGAUGAAAGCUUAGGCUUUUAGGGUGCCUCGGUGUCGACAAACCCUAAAUGAUAAAAGCUUAGCUUUUAGGAUGCCUCGGUGUCGACAACCCCUAAAUGAUGUAGUUUUGAAUUAUGAAUGUAGGAUAUGUCGUCAUCAUCAUCGGACGACGAAAGGGACGACGAAAGUCUCCCGGCGGAGUGCGACUGGUACCACGACGAUCGAGGUCUGCGUGACAUGCCUCACCUGGACGAUGAUCGGCGCUUCAGCAUUAAGCUCGAGGAGACCUUCGAAGUUGAAAUGGUACACAACGACGACAAGUGUUAUUUUCAUAAUUAAGCAUGACUUCAACUAUUUCAACGUGUAAUUUUCAUAUUUUACAAUUCGAGUAUAGCUUAUCCCAUGCCAUGCAAGACGCUAUGUCUUGGAGAGGAUGGAUUUUGAAGACCAUGAAAUUUCUGAAACAAAGAAAAUUCACCUAAGGACUCAUCACGAUGUGGACUUUGAAGUAAAUCUAUAUAAUUCUGAGAGCGUAACCCAUUUUGGUUGCAAAAAUUGGGAAGCAUUUUGCAAGAUGUAUGGUUUUGAUGAGGGUAUGCUUAUCACCAUGGAUCUUGGUAAUCCUGACAUCAACCAAGACAAUAUGGACAUUUUGGUCCUUGUUGAUACGCCUCCAGUUCUACCGCUAUGUGAGUUUCCCAAACAUAGUUAUUAGCUAAUUUAUAUUGUUUAUUUCAAAAUAGUUGACAGCUUAUUUCCAUUGACAGCUUAUUUUUAUUGUUCAAAGAAUGUGCGGGAGAUGGUAGACAAAACCCACUACACCGAUGGCUCCGAAUUAACAACUUACAAGGAGAAAAAUCAUCUGGUCGGAUUUUGUACUGACAUUGAGAAUUACGUGCCACUAGUGCAUGUGUUCAACUACGGUAACUACCAUGGAGAUACCCUGGUAAGAUUUUUACUAUUACAACAUCCGUGCAUCUUUUGCAUACUUCUAAAACUAGUACAUCAUUGCUAACUAUGAAGUUAUUACUAUGUUUUUCAACAGAUAAUCCCAGAGAAUUGUGUGCCUCAUAUGAUGUAUCAGAAAGCUAGUGUUAAUGUUUUGAACAUACAGCCAGGUCGUCCUACGAAUCUCAACUGUCCAUACGAGAUUUCUAAAAGAAGUGGAGACAUGAAAAUCAAAGGAUGGAAAAAAUGUAUGGACAGUCGUAAGGAGCUUCUUGGAAGCAAAAGGAAGCGAAGCGCAAGAAUUGGAGACAGGAUGUUCUCCAUUCUCCAUAAUGGAGAGUCAGAGUCUAUAUUGUUUUAUGCUAUUUUAGCUUAAAUAGGGUAUUUAGGUCCUGCCUAAUACUGAUGAUCAUGUGCUAAGAACAAUUAAGUAGGGUUGGUUCGAUGACUAUCAAGAUGAUGAUCGUAUGACUUGUUAUGAAUAACGAGUAGAAGUUGUAUGAUGAUGAUUAGUAGGACUUGUUAGGAUUAGUAUUACUUCUGACAAACUCGAUACUUGCGGUCUCGAGACUUGUAAUGUUUUAUCUUUGUUCGGUCUUUUGAAUUCGGAGACUAAUAUGAUGAAUUGUAUUCGGAGACUAAUCUUCUAUUGUAUUCGAUGAAUCUGUUGUUGCUGUGUGCUACUGUCUAUAUUCUGUCAAAUAAUAUAUUUUGUAACCUGUGCAAAAAUCAGAAAAGUAAAAAAACCUAAUAUUCAUACUAAUGGCGCAUCACUAAAGAGUGCGCCAUUAGUAUGCCAAGUAUACUAAUGGCGCAUCCAUCCGCAGUGCGCCAUUAGUGUGCCAAAGCACAUGGUUAAAUAUGGCCCUGGGAGGCAUACUGAUGGCGCAUGGUCUUAUAUACUAAUGGCGCACUGAGUGGUGCGCCAUUAGUAGCCAUUAGUAAAAAAUACUAGUGGCGUGAUACUAAUGGCGCACCAGUGAUGCGCCAUUAGUAGGCAAAACUGGUGCGCCAUUAGUAGGCCUUUUCCUACUAGUGCAUCAUUCAAAAUAGAGAAGCCACAGGACGAGUCGCCAAGUGGGCUAUUGAGCUUGGGUCUCAUGGUUUGAAGUAUAUGCCACGUACUGCGAUUAAAUCUCAAGCGCUAGUUGACUUCAUUAACGACUGGACAGAGUUGCAGAUGCUAGAGGGAAACCGGACAACACAUAUUGGAUGAUUCAUUUUGAUGGGUCCAGACAGUUGGAAGGCUCGGGGGCUGGAGUUGUUUUAACUUCUCCUCGAGGGGAGAAGUUUUGUUAUGUGUUGCGAUUGAUGUUUCCUUGUACUAACAACGUAGCAGAAUAUGAAGCCUUGCUCCAUGGUCUUCGAAUGGCUAAAGAGAUGAGUCUGGGCCGAGUCCGGUGCCUUGGCGAUUCAGAUUUGGUGGCCCAACAGGUGUCAAGCAAGUGGGAUUCCAAGGAUCCUCUCAUGGCGACUUAUCGCCGCGAGGUCGACGCUGUUGCAGGGCAUUUUAAGGGUUAUCAAGUGGAACACAUUGACCGCAGAAAGAACGAAGCGGCCGGUACCCCCUAGAACCUUUUUGGAUGUUUUACAUAACCCGUCUGUUAAGUUGCCUACAGAAGAAGAUUUGGCCAUUCCUGACCCAGAGGCACAAUUAGUGGCGGCUACUCAUGUUAUUCCAGAUUGGACAAUACCGUUCCUGGCUUACAUGACCCGAGGCGAGUUGCCAGAGGACGAGACCCUGGCCCAGCAAAUAACCUGAUGGUCCAAGUCAAUGACGAUUUCUGACAGAGAGUUGUAUCAUCGCAGCGUCACUGGAGCGUUUCAGCGUCGCGUUUCUCCUGAAGAAGGUCAAGAAAUACUUCGUGAGAUCCAUAAAGGGGAUUGUGGUCAUCACGCCGAGUCAAAGUCUCUUGUGGCCAAAGCUUUUCGUCAUGGUUUUUACAAGUUAACGACUCACGCUGAUGCAGAGGAUCUGGUCAGUAGGUGUGAUGGAUGUCAAAAAUUUGCACGACGAGCGCAUGUGCCAGCUCAAGAGUUGCGGAUGAUUCCAAUCACUUGGCCGUUUGUGGUUUGCGGGCUUGACAUGGUUGGACCUUUCAAAAGGUCUAAGGAUAAAAAGACACAUCUUUUAGUGGCAGUUGACAAAUUCACAAAAUGGGUUGAGGCAGAGCCAGUGAGUAAGUGUGAUGCAGCCAUGUCGGUUCAGUUCGUGAAAAAGGUGAUUUUUCGCUUUGGUUUUUCACACAACAUUAUCACUGACAAUGGCACUAAUUUGUCCCAAGGUGCUAUGGAGGAGUUUUGUCAAUGUGAGCAUAUCCGUCUUGAUGUUUCUUCCGCAGCUCACCCUCAAUCAAUGGUCAGGCUGAGAGAGCAAAUCAGGAAAUCUUAAAAGGUCUCAAACCCCAGCUUAUGGUUCCCUUACAACGGACGCCGGGUUGUUGGGUAGAGGAAUUACCCUUGGUGCAAUGGAGUAUCAACACCACUCCUAACAGGUCUACAGGUUAUACACCUUUCUUCAUGGUUUAUAGAGCGGAAGCAGUGCUGCCUAGUGACAUCCGUCAUGAUUUGCCUCGCGUGACGGCUUACGUUGAAGCUAAUAAUGAACAAGCACGACAAGAUGCACUUGACUUGUUAGAUGAGGAGAGAGACUUGGCGGCGGCUCGAUCAGCAAUUUAUCAACAGGACCUGCGCUGUUAUCACAGCCGUCGGGUUAAGUCCAGGACCUUUCAAGAAGGUGACCUGGUGCUCCGGCUCAUUCAUGAUCUGUCUGUGACGCCCCCGAUUCAAUCGUACACUAAUCAUGCACGCAAAUGUCUACGAUCAAGAUCAAGGACUCACGGGAAGAUAUCACAACACAACUCUAAAACAUAAAUAAGUCAUACAAGCAUCAUAUUACAAGCCAGGGGCCUCGAGGGCUCGAAUACAAGAGCUCGAUCAUAGACGAGUCAGCGGAAGCAACAAUAUCUGAGUACAGACAUUAGUUAAACAAGUUUGCCUUAAGAAGGCUAGCACAAACUGGGAUACAGAUCGAAAGAGGCGCGGGCCUCCUGCCUGGGAUCCUCCUAAACUACUCCUGAUCGUCGUCAGCGGGCUGCACGUAGUAGUAGGCACCUCCCGAGUAGUAGUAGUCGUCGUUGACGGUGGCAUCUGGCUCCUGGGCUCCAACGUCUGGUCGCAGCAAUCGGGUAUAGAAAGGGGAAAAAGAGGGAGGAAAGCAACAGUGAAUACUCAUCCAAAGUACUCGCAAGCAAGGAGCUACACUACAUAUGUAUGCAUUGGUAUCAAAUGGAAUAAGGGUAUCAUAUGUGGACUGAACUGCAGAAAGUCGGAAUAAGAGGGGGAUAGCUAGUCCUGUCGAAGACUACGCUUCUGGUAACCUCCGUCUUGCAGCAGAAGAAGAGAGUAGAUGGUAAGUUCACCAAGUAGCAUCAUGUAGCAUAAUCCUAACCGAUGAUCCUCUCCUCGUCGCCCUGUUAGAGAGCGAUCACCGGUUGUAUCUGGCACUUGAAAGGGUGUGUUUUAUUAAGUAUCCGAUUCUAGUUGUCAUAAGGUCAAGGUACAACUCCAAGUCGUCCUGUUACCGAAGAUCACGGCUAUUCGAAUAGAUUAACUUCUCUGCAGGGGUGCACCACAUAACCCAACACGCUCGAUCCCAUUUGGCCGGACACACUUUUCUGGGUCAUGCCCAGCCUCGGAAGAUCAACACGUCGCAGCCCUACCUAGGCACAACAGAGAGGUCAGCACGCCGGUCUAAAUCCUAUGGCGCAGGGGUCUGGGCCCAUCGCCCAUUGCACACAUGCACGUUGCGUACGCGGCCGGACAACAGACAUAGCAACCUCCAUUACAAAGGAAGUUGCGUUACGCGGUCCAACCCGGCGCGCGCCGCUCAGUCGCUGACGUCACGAAGGCUUCGGCUGAUACCACGACGUCGAGUGCUCAUAACUGUCCCCGCGUAGAUGGUUAGUGCGUAUAGGCCAGUAGCCAAACUCAGAUCAAAUACCAAGAUCUCGUUAAGCGUAUUAUUUUGAAAUAACCACGGACACCGACCAGGGCCAAGCCCACCUCUCUCCUACGUGGUCUCAACCUGCCCUGUCGCUCUGCCACAAAGUAACCGUCGGGGGCCUUCGGGAACUCAGGCCCACCUCUAUCGGGAUGGAGCCACCUGCCCCUUCAGCCCCCAACAUUGGAAUCACUCGCAGGUACUCCUACGAGCCGACCCAUCUUUAGUCAUCACAAGAAUCAUAUAUUAUGUAUACGUAUAUACCCGUGAUCACCUCCCGAGUGAUCACGGCCCGAUAGUAUAGCAUGGCAGACGAACAAGAAUGUAUGGCCACUGAUGAUAAACUAGCAUCCUAUACUAAGCAUUAGGAUUGUAGGUAUAGGUAACAACAGUAAUAGCAAGGACAGGUUAUGCAUCAGGAUAGGAUUAACGGAAAGCGGUAGCAUGCUACACUACGCUAAUGCAAGCAGUAUAGAGGAGAGUAGGCGAUAUCUGGUGAUCAAGGGGGGGGGGGCUUGCCUGGUUGCUCUGGCAAGAAAGAUGGGUCAUCAACACCUUAGUCAUACUGGGUAGCAGCGACGUUGGUCUCGAUGUCUAGCAAGAGAAGAGGAGGAAGAAACAAUAAAUAUAAUGCAAACAAAGCACCACAAAACAUAAUGAGUCAAUACGCGGUGCUAGGUAUGCCCUAACGCGGUAGGAGGUGAUACCGACGAAGGGGGGAAACAUCCGGAAAAGUAUCCCCGGUGUUUUGCGUUUCCGGACAGAUGAACCGGAGGGGGGAAGUUGCAUGUUCACUAUGUUAGGGAUGCGUGGAGGACGAACGGGUUGCGUAUCCGGGUUCGUCUCGUCGUUUUGAGCAACUUUCAUGUACAAAGUAUUUUCAUCCGAGCUACAGAUUAUUUUAUAUUAAUUAUUAAAGUUUUCAUUGAUUUUUUCUAAUUUCUGAAUUUAAUUAAAUUAAAUGCUAUGGGUACACAGGAAGUGUACCCAGAGUGUGCCUAAGGGGCUGACAGGUGGUGCCCUGGUCAAAUGUCCAGUCAACAUUUGAUUGGACCGUUGACUGGUCAAAAGGGCCCAUGGGGCCCGCAUGUCAUUCAUACGUGUUUUACUAAACAACAUUUGAUUAACUAAACCGGUUGAUUAGGUUAUUAAGCAGGUUAAUUAAGUUAACUAAUUAACUUACUAAUUAAUUAACAAUUAUUAUUUAAUUAAUCUUUUUCUUUUUUUUGUUUUACUUAAACAGGGGCAUGGCCCAUUGUUAGUGGCUAACUAGGAGGGGGUUAGUGCUAAUCUAACCCCCAAUUAGCAGGGACCUGCCCAAUCUGGCAGAGGCGCAGCCGGCAGGGGCUAUGCCCGCGCACAGACGAGGGCCGCCGGCGCGGCAGUCCGGACGGCUGGAACGGCGGCGAGCGGCGCGACCUGGGAGCAUGAGGGACGGGCGCGGGGCUGCACGUCUGCGCAUGGAGGGGCGACCUCACGCAAAGCGUCGUGGUGCGCGGGCGGUCGCCAGGCGCGUUUAGGCGCGCGCGGACGGGAAUGGCCACGGUGACCGCGGGUGUCUAGGCGCGGUGCGCACGUGCGAUGGUGGAACAGCGAGUAGGAGCUCACGGCGAACAGGGUUCGGGGAAGCGCUUGGGGAGGCCGGCAGCGAGCGACGAGGAGGACGUCGAGGCGCGCAGGGCGGUGACGAGAUGCGGGCGAGCAUAGGCCACGACCGGGCAUGGCCAAGGGAGGCGCGGGGCGGCACCGACGGCAAGGGGCGGGCGGAGGAAGGCCGCGGCCGGUGGUGAAGCGGUCCUGGGCGGCGAGCAACGGCGGGGUCCUCGGGCGGCGAGGGUCGGUGAGGACCGGCGGGGAGGACAGGGACGGAGCCAGAAAAUUGAGAUGGGGGGGGGGCAAGAACCAAAAGCUUCAAAAUCAUAGGAUAUAUUUGCCGUAAAAGAAUCAUAGGAUAUAUUAAAAUAUACCAUAGUAAUUAGUAAAUAAUAGGAUUUAGGACAUCUAGAUAGUAAAAAUAUGUCUGUUGUUCAAUAGUAUGAAUAAAUUACAUUUCUAUCAAUUUGAAUUCUGCUUUACGAGCACCAGUAUCGAAGAUAUCAAUUAUUUCUUCAGAGCUAAACUUGGCUGCAAGUUCCUUCUCAAUGUAAACUAGCGUGCAAUGACAAAGAAAAUCAUCUCCCAUUUUGCUUCGAAGCCGCGUCUUGACUAGUUUCAUUGCAGAAAAGGCUCGCUCUGCUGUUGCAGUUGAAACCGGAAGAGUUAUCACCAAUCGUAACAGCCUCUCAACCAUUGGAUAGUCAGAAGACUUGCCAGUCUUAACUAUCCCUUUUGUUAGAUCAGCAAGUGAUUUGCAGUUCUUGAUCUCUGGAUGGUUGAAUGUAUCAAGCUGGAAAUGUGGUAGCUCGCACUCCAACCGAUCUCUUUCUUGACUAGAAAAAUCUGCAGGAUAGAAUUUCUCCACUAGUCUGCAUAUCUUUGACUUGCUGAAGGCAUCAUGCCUCGGGUCCAAUGAUGAACAAAGAUCUAGAAGCUCAGUAACAUGAGAACUAAAUCGAUCAUUCAACUCUAUCACUUGUUGAUCUAUUGCAACAUUAAACACAUCUACUUUGUAAUGAUGGAUAACUGUGGUGUUGUCAUGUUUAUUUCGAGAUUUCGUCACAUCAACAUACCUAAAAUUAAUAUAUAUUGAAAAAUAAGAAUUAGUUGCAUGAUCUACACAUUGAUGAGAAGUAUGUAAGUGGCUAAAUCUCUACAUUGUAAUUUAUAUAAUCAUAAAGAGAUAGGAAAAUAUACGUACUUUUGAUCCAUGUCCGGGAUGUCAAUCUCAUGUUUCACACAAAAGGAUUUCACAUCUUCAAAAAGGUUGUCCCAUCCAUCUUCUCUUAGUUCACCAAGCAACACCUUUGUGUUAGAAACACAAUCUAAUGCAUUUGCAAUGUCCAAAGAUUUAUGUUGAAGUUUGAGACACAAGACAUCUGUGAUUUUCAUGAUUCUUUCCAUUAAGUGUAGAAUGAACACAAAAUCAAAUGUCAGUAGGAUUUUCAAGGCACCUCCGGCAUCACCUCUUGAGUUCCUUGUAGCUGAACGAUCAGCUGCUACACUUCUUAGCACUGUAACAGUUGCGACAAACAUCUUUAACAAACUUUUGAUAGAUUUGUAGUGGGAACUCCAUCUCGUGUCUCCGGCCCUUUGUAAAGAACCUAUUUGAUUGGCCCCUCUUCCUGUGUCAAGCUCUCCCAAUUCAAUCUCACUAGCAAUUUCAGCAGCCUGAUUUUCUAACAGUUCAUCAUUCCGUUUGGGAGAUGCACUAACUGUAUUUACAAUGAAAUUUGCAUGCUGAAAAAAAUUAUGGACCUCAUGUACCUCCCUUGAAGCAGCAACAAGAGCCAAUUGGAGUUGAUGUGCAAGACAAUGGAUAUAGUAUGCAUAAGGGCACUCUUUGAGAAUUAGAGCUUUCAGCCCAUUCCACUCCCCCCUCAUGUUGCUUGCCCCGUCAUAUCCCUGGCCUCUAAUAUCUUGCACAUUCAACCCAUUAUCAACUAGGACGGCAAUAAUUGUGUUCUUGAGAGUCAAAGCACUAGUGUCUCUAACAUGAACAAGAUCAAGAAAAUGUUCUCUUAUCACCCCUUCUAUGUUUGCAAAUCGAAGAACUACUGCCAUCUGCUCUUUUUUAGACUCGUCUCUACAUUCAUCAACCAAGAUAGAGAAUUUGCUAUUACCAAGUUCUUCUUUAAUUGAGGUUUUCACUUUUCCAGCAAAUAUGCUAGCAAUUUCCUUUUGAAUAGUUGCUGAGGUGUACUUUGCAUUUCUUGGAGCAUUCUGUACAACUUCAUGUACAUCCUUGUUAUAAGACGCCAAAAGCUUAAUCAUUUCCUUGAAAUUACCUUGGUUCUUGGAAUCCUCAGACUCAUCAUUUCCUCUGAAGGGACAUGCUUGAAACAUUAGCCACCUGAUGCAAUCAACAUAGAAUAAUUAUUAGAUGUCCAGUAUAAAGAAAUUCUAAAUGUUCAAAAUUAAAUACUUCUUACUUACCUCAUGGCAUCAAUGGAAGUCUUUAGCCUUAGUCUUGCAUCAAGAACCCGCUUCUUAGUUUGCUUUUUCAUCACCUCAUCAACAUGAUUAAGUCUGUUUCUCAAGUUUUCAUAACACCGAACUGCAAAAUUGUGAGCCGAGCUGGGAGUAGUGCCCAUAUGCUUGAGGAAAGCACAUUCUUUUCCAUUGUUAACUUUCUUCCACUUAUCAAAUCCGCUCACUGUGAAUGUAUCUGAACCACACUUCCCAAUUGGCUUCUUUGAGAAGAGAAAACAAGGCAAACAAUAGGCACAAUUUUUUAGAGGUGAAUACUCCAACCACCAAUGAUUCGUGAACCAAUCACUUUGGAAUCGCCUACGGCCAGCCCCUGUCCCAGUAAAUUCAUACUCAUCUGGCUUUAAGAUUGGUUGAUAAGCCCCUUUAGAUAUAUAAAAGCGCCUAGCAGCAUCAUGCUCAUCGGGAGGAAGUUGCCAAAUUUGAAGACGUCGCCCGGGCUCUCGGUCAUAACUUGUGGUUAUAAUUGUAUCUUCUUCCGUAGCUUCUGGCACGGAAACAUCAUGAUCAAUUUGGGCAUCACCAUCAGUACAAUUUGGGUGAUUCUGUUCGCUAGGUUGAACGUUGUCGUUGUCUACAGUAGUAUCAUGUUCUGAUGGCCGAGAGCUUGAACCAACGGGUUUGAAAAAGUUCUGAAUUGAUUCUCUCUUUCUCUUCAUGUCUACACAAGCACAAACAAUUGAAAAUUUUAUAUUGAUGAUUAAGGGCUGCAAUUUGGAUGAUUAUACUUCUACAAUUGUUAAAGGCAUGAACUACUAAUCCAUGUGAAAAUAAAUUACCUUUUCCCCUUGUGCUGCUGCCGCUUAUCCUGCCCGGGCCCGGCUGCCCGUCGUCCGCCGUCGUUCUGUCCAGGACUCUGGCCUCCGGGCUGCCGGCAACGUGUCCGUGGAUCGGCGCCUGUCCGAGCGUUGCGGCGUCCCCUUCCUAUCCUGGCUUCUCGACGGGCGUUGGCAGCGCCGGCGACCUGGCGUCCCUGAGCGCUGGAGGCAGUCCCCAGAGAUCCAAUCGCUAAUUUUUUGGAGACGAAGAGUCGAACGAACUGACGACGUGCGCAGCGUGCUAGCGUUGUCUUUGCCUCUUUGGGGCCUGUCAAUCUAGUGUGUCGUGGUGUGCAGGGCCUGCUCGGCUUAGUUUUUUUGCUUUUAGCCUGUAAAUGUUCAAUGGGCUGCACUGGUUACAUGGGCUAUACGCCUAUACAAAAAGGCCGAUGGGGAAUAGGGGGGGCGAAGCAGGCUGCAGGGAAGCACACAGGUAAAAAAAGUAGCGCUAAUCUCUCCCGUUUCAAGGGACUGCGCGAUCGUUGGGGGGGGUCUCGCCCCCCCUCGUCCCCCCCUUAAUCCGUCCCUGGGGGAGGAGAUGAUGACGGGGCGGUCCGGUGGCCCUGGUCCGGUGGGGAGGCGGCGUCAGCGAGGUAGAGGCGGGGUUGCGGCGCCAGGGGCGCCCUCAGGGGCGUGCGGCAGAGGGUGGGAAGGGGGCGCUCGUCGAUGGGGGGAGGGGGCGCUCGUCCCUGAUCCAGAUCGGGACGAGGAGAGGAGAGAAGUGGGGAGUGGGAGGAGUGGGUUAGGGUUCGGUGUCCCCUGGGGGGGUUAGUAGGUGAUGUGGGGUGGGCCGGUCCGGCCGGGCCGGCCUGUAGCUAGCUGGGCCAUUCGGCCCAGGGAGAGGAGUUCUUUUCUUUUGUCUUUUUUUUAGUUUUGUUUUCUGUUUUCUUUUAAACUUUAAUAGAUUUUAGUUUAAUUAAAAUACAAUAAUAGUCCCUAAAUUAGUAUUACUAAACAUCCCACUGCCAUAAGAAAUAUAGCACAUUUUAGAAAGUAGUUUGUAUUUGUUUAUUAAUUUAUGGGCAACUAAUUAAUAGAUCUACCACUAUUUUAUUUAUUUUAGUGCAUUUAACUACUUUAUAACAGUGUGUCUUCUCCACCAAUAUUUAUUAUGAAUUACUUGCUACAUUUGGAACAUAUUAGUUUUGACUUUUGAAAACUUUUCUAGUUUGACUUUAUUUCAAAUUUGAAUUUGAAAGAGUUUUGAAUCAUCGCGAGAUUAUCAACAGUAAUUCGCUGUCUUUGACGAGUAGUAACUCUCGAAUUGAAACUUAAGAAAUUAUCGAGAGUAAAGUAAGGAGGUGCAAAAUCGAAGUUUCAAGCGUUUAGGCAAUCGUUCGUUGCCUAAAACGAAGUGUGAAAGAGGGUUCAAAGCAAUGGCAAUAAGUAUUGCGUCUGAUACCAUAAUAGAUCACUAGGCAGGUGGCCCGUGAAUUACAUACGAAGUCAAGCGUGGGGAAUAACUUUGACAAUAGGUUGUUGUGACGCCCCGAGACCGAUGUGCCAGGUGUCUUCCAGUUAUUCGUUGUUUUUGCCAUGUCAUUUGCUUGCGUGUUUCAUUUUAUCAUGUCAUCAUGUGCAUUGCAUCAUCAUGUUUUCAAAACUUGCAUUAGCCCGGGUCUCCCAGUUUUUUUCGUUGUCCGUUCUGAGCCCAGAAACACUUGCACGCGCCCGCGGCACGUCUGAAAUAUUAUUUUAUAAGUGGCCAGAAAAUGUUCUCGGAAUGGGUUGAAAGUUGGCAUGCGGUGUUUUUACAUUGUAGGUAGGCCGCCUGCCAAGUUUUAUCGCAAUCGGAGUUCGUUUGAUAGCCCAACCGUUAAACUAUAGCGGCAUAGUAGCCGGUCUUUUCGUCGGACGUUUUCGGUCUCCGAAAACAGUCGCCGGGCCUCUCUCUCUUCUCUUCUCUCAGCUCGAGCCCUUCUGCACAGCCCACGAGUUCCAACCGACCCCUCGCGCGCGCGUCCGAAAAGCUGUCCCGGACCCGACCCGGACAGUCGUCACCGUUGGAUCCGGAUCAUCCCCAAACGUCUACAAAAUAUCACCGUUUUACUAUUUGGGCUCCCUAGCCUAUUUUUCUUGACCGCCUGAUUACGAUCGGACGGACCGAAUACCCCUAAUCAAAAACCCACUUAAUAUAUAACCAGACUGAACCCUAGAAAUGAGGAACCUUGUCCCAUGCUCCCAGCCGCCGCCGCCAGCAUCUCCCACCUCGGGAUCCUCCCAUUCCCCACCGCGCCAACCACCAGCCACACCUGGAUCCAAUCCAUCCACUGCAGCCAAUCCAUCGAUCACGUUCCACCCUGCCCGGGGCUCUCCUUGUUCCUCUCGCACCCGAGGAGAGAGCAGACGCAUCGCUCGCGCUCGAAGCCUCAUGCCUCCCCGAUGCCCUUGCCUCGCGCCGGCAAGUGACCUCGCCGGAGUGCCUGCCAGAGUAACAGCCACACCAGGGACCCUCGUGCCCUUCUCCUUCCCUGCUCUCUCUCUCUCUCUCGGCUACCCUCCCCCGUUUUCUUCUCUCAAUUCUCUCUGUCUGUCUUUCUUCAGGUCUCAGUAGCCGCCAUGGACGUCGUCACGCAGACCUGCCUCCGUUCCUGCGACCACGCGCCGGUCAGCAGCAGUAGUUCGUUGUGCCGCUACCCAUCUUUCGCCUUCCUCCCGUUUCCCCUACCUCUAUCUCCCUCUAAUCUAUGUGUUUCUCUGUUCUUUGCCUCGAACAGGAGCAGGCAUGGCCGUCACCGUAGAACUCGAUGCCGAACGCCGCCGUUGAAGUCCUCCGCCAUGGACGCCGUGCCCCAAGGCCGUGCCUCUCCUCCUCCUCACCUUCCCCUCUUUCCGUUUUCCCCUGCCAUGGCCUCUCUCCUCACGAUAUCCCUCUUGUGCUGCACCAGGGAACGCCAUGGCCGCCACACCAUGGAGCCACAUCGACCCGGAUCCGGCUGGAAACAGGACGAGCCCGUGCCUUCCCCGCCUCGGAUCGGGUCGUCCCCGCGCCAAGUCCGUUGCUUCGCCUCCAGCCCUCGUGCACGCGGCUCCACUACUUCGCCUGCGUCCUCGCGUCCUCUGCUUCCCCUGCGUCGCCCCCUGUCUUCUUCCUCGUCCUCAUUCAAGCAGAGAACGAGCUCGCUGCCGCCUCACUCGUUAACUGCUCGCUGACCAUGCUUGGGCCGCAAGCGCGCAAUCCGACCCAGCGCCUCCUCACCUCGCGGCUGGACCGCACCAAGCCAGCCUCCCUGCUGCAAGCCGCUCCACGAGCCCAAGGCCUCGAAGGCCCAUUGUGAGCAGCUCCUCAAUCCGCCCAGAUUCAGCCUGCCUAUGUUUUUUCGUGCCCUGUGAAUUUGUCUAAUUAUCUAGAGACUUCCUGUUUUAUAGAAAACCCUUCAUAGUUCAUGCAUAUAAUAACUUAUUAACUAAGCAUCACAUGUAAAAACUUAAUAUAUGAAACUUGCUUAGAAUUUUGUCUAGUUUCAUAAUUUGUCAUUUUCAUCUAUGUUUAAAAUGUUUAAAAUGCGGUUUGAUUAAAUUUGCCCCUAUGCCAUGUUAAAAUGCUUUAAUUCAUAACUAAAUAAUUGUAGCUCAGAUUUAAAUAAUCUUUAUAUGUAAAUGGGGUAGAAAAAUGCCUAGUUUAACAUGGUGGCAUCACUUUGCAUGUUUAACAACUAUAAAAUAUGGUUUAGGGCAGAACAGUACCAAACCUAAUAUAUGCAUAUGAGGAGUUUCUGGACUUGUUGUUUUGUUGUUCCGGCCUCAUUUAGACUUGCCUAGAUAGAUAGUUUCAUUAUGCUUCACCUCUUGCCAUGCUAACAACAUUUAAUCUUGUUGGGUACAUAAACGAGAGAGAACUAAAUAAGUCAUGUGGUGUUUUGUCAAUAUGCACCCCGAUGCAUAUUGAGCUCCACUUAACUUGUAGUGUUGUUGGUGCACUUUGCCAUGCCAUGCCAUGUAUCAUUAAACUGGACAUGCAUCAUACUUGGUUGUGCAUCAUGCCAUGUCCAUGUGUUGUUUGUUUACUAUGUUGUGUGCUUCUUUCUGGUGUUGCUUCUUCGGGUUGGUUCCGAUAACGUCGUGUUUGUGAGGACCCGUUCGACUAUGCCCGUUUGUCUUCUUCAUGGACUCGUUCUUCUUCCUUGCGGGAUUUCAGGCAAGAUGAUCAUACCCUCGAAAUCACUUCUAUCUUUGCUUGCUAGAUGCUCGCUCUUUUGCUAUGCCUAUGCUGCGAUACCUACCACUUGCUUAUCAUGCCUCCUAUAUUGUUGAACCAAGCCUCUAACCCACUUGGCCUAGCAAACCGUUGUUUGGCUAUGUUACCGCUUUGCUCAGCCCCUCUUAUAGAGUUGUUAGUUGCAGGUGAAGAUUGGAGUUUGUUCCAUGUUGGAACAUGGAUAUUUUGUUGGGAUAUCACAAUAUCUCUUAUCUAAUUAAUGCACCUAUAUACUUGGUAAAGGGUGGACGGCUCGGCCUUAUGCCAAGUGUUUUGUUCCACUCUUGCCGCCCUAGUUUCCGUCAUAUCGGUGUUAUGUUCCUAGAUUUUGCGUUCCUUACGCGGUUGGGUUAUAAUGGGAACCCCUUGACAGUUCGCCUUGAAUAAAACUCGUCCGGCAAGGCCCAACAUUGGAUUUACCAUUUGCCACCUAGCCUUUUCUUUCCCUUGAGUCGGCCGGCUCAAGGGUCAUCUUUAUUUAACCCCCCCGGGCCAGUGCUUCUCUAAGUGUUGGUCCAACUGAGCGAUGUCCGAGGCUAUCAGGGGCAACUAUGGGCUGGCUUACCCGACAUCUGGCUCAUCCGGUGUGCCCUGAGAACGAGAUAUGUGCAGCUCCUAUCAGGAUUUGUCGGCACAUCUGGGUUGCUUUGCUUGUCUUGUUUUACCAUUUUCGAAAUGUCUUGUAACCGGGAUUCCGAGUCUGAUCGGGUCUUCCCGCUAGAAGGAAUAUCCUUCAUUGACCGUGAGAGCUUGUGACGGGCUAAGUUGGGACACCCCUGCAGGGAUUUGAACCUUCGAAAGCCGUGCCCGCGGUUAUGGGCAGAUGGGAAUUUGUUAAUGUCCGGUUGUAGAAAACCUGAAGUUGAUCUUAAUUAAAAUGCACCAACCGCGUGUGUAACCGUGAUGGUCUCUUCUCGGCGGAGUCCGGGAAGUGAACACAGUGUUGGAGUAAUGCUUGACGUAGGUUGUUCUAGGAUCACUUCUUGAUCAUAGUUCAUCGACCGUGCUUUUGCCUUCUCUUCUCGCUCUCUUUUGCGAAUAUGUUAGCCACCAUAUAUGCUAGUCGCUUGCUGCAGCUCCACCUCAUACCUUUUACCUUACCCAUAAGCUUAAAUAGUCUUGAUCGUGAGGGUGUGAGAUUGCUGAGUCCCCGUGAUUCACAAAUACUUCCAAAACCAGCUUGCAGGUGCCGAUGAUAUCGUGCAGGUGACGCAACCAAGCUCAAGGAGGAGCCCGAUGAAGAUCUUGACCUUUAUGUUGUUCCGUUCUAGUUGAUCAGUAGUGGAGCCCAGUCGGGUCGAUCAGGGAUCUGUGUAGCAUUUGGGGUAGUCUUCUUUUAUUUUGGUUCUAUAGUCGGACCUUGUUUGUAUCUGGUUGAUGUAAUGCUUUAUUCAUGUAAUUGUGUGAAGUGGCGAUUGUAAGCCAACUAUGUAUCUCUUUCCCUUUAUGUAUUACAUGGGUUGUGUGAAGAUUACCUCACUUGCGACAUUGCUUUCAAUGCGGUUAUGCCUCUAAGUCGUGCUUCGACACGUGGGAGAUAUAGCCGCAUCGAGGGUGUUACAAGUUGGUAAUCAGAGCCUUCCCCGACCUUAGGAGCCCCCUGUUUGAUCGCAUCGUUGGCGUUGUUGAGUCUAGAAAAAUGUUUUGAGUCAUUUAGGAAUUAUAUAUAUAUCGGAGAGUUAGGAAUUCUUUUUACUCCCCAGUCCCUUCAUCGCUCUGGUGAGGCAUCCUGACAUAGAGUUUUGACUCUUCUCUUCUCAAAUUUCACUAAAAUUUUUUAGGAUCACGUGGGUAUCUUGGAAUCGUUCUGAUGGUUUUGUGACGAGAACAUUGUUCUUGGUGCCUCCUGACAUUUAGGGGUUGUGGUAGUGUCCCGGGGAAUUGAGCUCCGAGGUGUUGUCAUCACAAUUUUAUCGUUGCAGUUCUGGAAUACCUGAGAGUAGUUUCGACGACAUCAAAAAUUUCUUUUAUGUAGUUGUUAGUGAGAUAACCUUGAUGCCACCCAGUACUGGGGCGAGAGUUCGGGAGUAUUGCCAUAACUCGUAUAAUGGAUGCUUUUUGAAGGUUGAGGUAAAUGAUUUCGGAAGGUUUCUUGGUUAUGUGUUGAAGGAUGGAUACAGCUGGAUGUAGGAUUUGCUAGUUUUGGGUGAGAUAUUAUGCUUCCCUUGUAUCCCCAACACCUGAUUGCAUAACCGGAAAGUUUCGGGAGUUUAUAAGUGGGAAUUCAAGUAGCUCUUAGGAUAUCUUUCCGACGGAUGUAUGAUAUGAAAUUGGGGUUCGACGUCUAGUGGUCCGCCUAUCCACGGUUGGUUUUACAGUGGUCUCGUUGCGUCUUAAAGAGUCCUUGGCUAUGCCGACUUGGGGAUGCUUCGUAUGUCAUGUGCACUGCCUUGUACAUGAUGGUGCUGUACGAUCGAGCCCGUGUAGGCCCCGCCACGAAAACUUUGGACGAAAUCUCUAUCAUAUGUUUUUUCCGGCUUAUUUUGCAAGCCAAUCCUAUGUUUUGUUUUCAGUUGUGGUAUUCGAGUUGCUUCGAUGUCAAAUGUUGAUUCCAUGCCUCUUUCCAAACGGUGUUCUCAUAUUCCUCUGUGAAUACUAAUCCUUCUCGUCUAUCGAGAUUGUCAUGUCAAUCCUUUUCAACUGGUGUUUGCUUCAUCCGUUUCAAGUUGUCUUUGUUUUCCCACCCACCCACCCUUUUUCCUCAAGGACUCGAAUUUCUUAAUCAAGCAUCCUUUUAUUCUUGUGAAGUCUCUUCAUUCUUUUCUUUCAAUGUCCUUAUCCGAUGAUUCUCAUGAAGAUCCUAACGGAACCUCAAGUUCAUCAUUAUUCAUUCUUUUUUUCUUCUCCGGUGGAUUCAAUUCAAGCUUUGUCGAUCAUAUCUUUUCCUCAUUUCAAAUGUUUUCUCAUGCCGGUGCACCUCAUAAUCAUUCACUUCUCGCUAUUCAUUUGUUCGGGAGUGCUGAAGAUAUCUCGAAGAUUCGUGCUUCCACUCUGCAUUCGUUCAAGCUCUUUCGAGGAUGUUAGCUCAUUCAAGCCUUUUAAUUCAACCGGUGCAAUCUCUCUUUUAAUCGUUCAACGGUGUAUCUUUUGAGUGGGACCUAACCCACAGGUCUUUUCCCAGGAUCUUACCUGACUCUUCUUAUUUUCCCGGAGCUUUUCAAAUUCAUUUCGAAGUUUCACGUAAGAAUGAAUUAUCAUCAGUCAAUUGCCUUUCUCCUAGAUCUUUCAAAUUCUUUUCAUCAUUGGUUCAAUCUUUCCAAUUUUAAUUCCGGAGUACCUCAAUAAUUCUUGGUGGUGUUUCUGAUCGUCGUUAUCAACAUUUGAAGAACGAAGAAGAUUUUUCCUCCAUACCGUGUUCCAUUUGCUUCAAGAUUCAUGGUUCUAGCGUCACGCCAUCCUUUCUUAAGUGUUUUCGAUUGUGACAAUUCUUUUCUUCCUUCCAGAGCAAUUCAGGAGCCUUUUCAGUUUGAUUCUCCAGAGGACAUCAAUUCAGGAUUAUUCAUUCUCAGCUUUCAGAUAUCAUUCUCCAAAAUCAUACCGGUGCAUCGUUCAAGUAUUCUCUUAUCAGCUCGUGAUCUCUUUGUUUCACUUGUAUCUAAAUUCUCUCAAGCAUCUUCGUUCAUUUGCUAAUUCUUCCCGGUGUUUCUUUAUGGUAUCUUCAUUCGUUUUCAAUUCUUACGGUGGUUUGUUCAAGAGUUCUCUUCCUUCUUCAUCAUAUCAAUUCAUUCGUUGUUCCAAUCCUACCAGCGGUUCAUUGAAGACCUUCUCAAGUUUAUGUUAUAUCUCUCUUAAUCUUUUCUAUGAGAAUAAGUAAUAUGUCAAAUCCGUUGAUGGUCAUCAAUUUAAUUGGUGAAGGAUAAGCAUAAUGUAAUUCUUAUUCUUGUUCCAUCCAAAUGAUUCAAUUCCUUAUUCCGGAGGCUCUUCAAAUUCUCGGUUUCAUUGGAUUCAUCUUUCUUUUCCCGGAGUUCCAAGCUCUCUCAAUUUAUUUCAUCGCGAAGAUCCAUCUAAUCAUUGCAAGGAUUCACCUUGUCUUUUCAACUUCUCUUUCUUCUCGUUAUCCUUUUAUUACCGGAGUUCUUCGAGAGUUUCUUCAUGGUGGCUCAUCAAGGAGUUAAUUCAUUCUCGAAGUUUUCAUCGAGAUUCUUUUCUAAGGAGCUCAAGUAUUCUUCAUCUUACAAUAUGGAGUGCAAUUCUUUCUACCGUAUCAUUAGAGGUGGUAUUAUGUCAUUCUUGAUAAUUUUAGUUCAUGUUUCAUGAUUCAUAAGUUGUCCAGAAUGAGAUAGUUAAACCUAUCAAAAUUCUUCGAGCAUGAGCUCUUCUCAAUCCAUCAAUCUCUUCGUUGGAGUUAUCUUGUGUCAUGUUUCACCUAAAGCUUUCUCUAAGGAUUGUUGCUAUUAUGGUGCUUAUAAAUGACCCAAGUUCUUCUUUUAUCCUUCCGGUGAAUAAGCUUUCUUGUCUCCUUGUUCAUAUCAAUCCAAUUCUUCUUCCUGUGAGUGGCAGGUUGUCACCUCAUAUUUUGAGAUAUAUUUCAUAAGACCAUAUCAAGAAUAUUUUCGUUGUUGGUGUUCCAACAACUCCGCUUGACCCGUCUCCUAAGGAUGCAUUCUGAAGCUCUCCUGUGGCAGUAGUUGGCAUUUUCUUCUCAAUUCUCCUAUUUCAAUUAUCUAUCUUCUAUUCUUUUGAUCCGGAGCCAUUGUGAUGUUGCUCUUUUCUCUCAUCAUCUUGGUUCGUGUUCUUUCAUGCCUAUCCAUUUAACCGGAGUGUCGUGCCCUCUUUUCAAGUUCUCUCAUCGUAUCAAGUUUUACCUCCCUUCUCAACCGGAGUGCUGCCUGAAUUUGUUCUUCCUUGUUCCUCUUUCCUAACGGAGGCUUUCAACUUUGUUCAUCUUUGCUGUAUUCUUUCUUUCAAAUUUUGUUCAACCUCUCAAGGCUCGUGGUUUCACUCAUUUGUCCAAGAAGCAACUUAGUUUUACCUCCUCUCUUUCUCUUCCAUUUUCCCUCCGGUGCCAUUCUAGAUCUCGGGACGAGAUCCUCUCAUAGUGGUGGAGUGUUGUGACGCCCCGAGACCGAUGUGCCAGGUGUCUUCCAGUUAUUCGCUGUCUUUGCCAUGUCAUUUGCUUGCGUGUUGCAUUUUAUCAUGUCAUCAUGUGCAUUGCAUCAUCAUGUUUUCAAAACUUGCAUUAGCCCGGGUCUCCCAGUUCCUUUCGUUGUCCGUUCUGAGCCCAGACACACUUGCACGCGCCCGCGGCAUGUCCGAAAUAUUAUUUUAUAAGUGGCCGGAAAAUGUUCUCAGAAUGGGUUGAAAGUUGGCAUGCAGUGUUUUUAUGUUGUAGGUAGGCCGCCUGCCAAGUUUCAUCGCAAUCGGAGUUCGUUUGAUAGCCCAACCGUUAAACUAUAGCGGCAUAGUAGCCGGUCUUUUCGUCGGACGUUUUCGGUCUCCGAAAACAGUCGCCGGGCCUCUCUCUCUUCUCAUCUCUCAGCUCGAGCCCUUCUGCACAGCCCACGAGUUCCAACCGACCCCUCGCGCGCGCGUCCGAAAAGUUGUCCCGGACCCGACCCGGACAGUCGUCACCGUUGGAUCCGGAUGAUCCCCAAACGUCUACAAAAUAUCACCAUUUUACUAUUUUGGCUCCCUAGCCAAUUUUUCUUGACCGCCUGAUUACAAUCGGACGGACCGAAUACCCCUAAUCAAAAACCCACUUAAUAUAUAACCAGACCGAACCCUAGAAAUGAGGAGCCUUGUCCCAUCCUCCCAUCCGCCGCCGCCAGCAUCUCCCACCUCGGGAUCCUCCCAUUCCCCACCGCGCCAACCACCAGCCACACCUGGAUCCAAUCCAUCCACUGCAGCUAAUCCAUCGAUCACCUUCCACCCCGCCCGGGGCUCUCCUCGUUCCUCUCGCACCCGAGGAGAGAGCAGACGCAUUGCUCGCGCUCGAAGCCUCAUGCCUCCCCGACGCCCUCGCCUCGCGCCGGCAAGUGACCUCGGCGGAGUGUCCUGCCAGAGUAACAGCCACACCAGGGACCCUCGUGCCCUUCUCCUUCCAUGCUCUCUCUCUCUCUCUCUCUCGGCUCCCCUCCCCCGUUUUCUUCUCUCAAUUCUCUCUGUCUGUCUUUCUUCAGGUCUCAGUAGCCGCCAUGGACGUCAUCGCACGGACCUUCCUCCGUUCCUGCGACCACGCGUCGGUCAGCAGCAGUAGUUUGCUGUGCCGCUACCCAUCUUUCUCCUUCCUCCCGUUUCCCCUACCUCUAUCUCCCUCUAUUCUAUGUGUUUCUCUAUUCUUUGCCUCGAACAGGAGCAGGCAUGGCCGUCACCGUAGAACUCGAUGCCGAACGCCGCUGGUGAAGCUCCUCCGCCAUGGACGCCGGGCCCCAAGGCCGUGCCUCUCCUCCUCCUCAGCUUCCCCUCUUUCCGUUUUCCCCUGCCAUGGCAUCUCUCCUCACGAUCUCCCUCUUGUGCUGCACCAGGGAACGCCAUGGCCGCCGCACCAUGGAGCCACAUCGACCCGGAUCCAGCCGGAAACAGGACGAGCCCGUGCCUUCCCCGCCUCGGAUCGGGUCAUCCCCGCGCCAAGUCCGUUGCUUCGCCUCCAGCCCUCAUGCACGCGGCUCCACUACUUCACCUGCGUCCUUGCGUCCUCUGCUUCCCCUGCGUCGCCCCCUGUCUUCUUCCUCGUCCUUGUUCGAGAAGAGAACGAGCUCAGUGCCGCCUCACUCGUUGACUGCUCGCUGACCACGCUUGGGCCGCAAGCGCGCAAUCUGGCCCAGCGCCUCCUCACCUCGCGGCUGGACCGCACCAAGCCAGCCUCCCUGCUGCAAGCCUGCUCCACGGGCCCAAGGCCUCGAAGGCCCAUUGUGAGCAGCUCCCCAAUCCGCCCAGAUUCAGCCUGCCUAUGUUUUUUUCGUGCCCUGUGAAUUUGUCUAAUUAUCCGGAGACUGCCUAUUUUAUAGAAAACCCCUCAUAGUUCAUGCAUAUAAUAACUUAUUAACUAAGCAUCACAUGUAAAAACUUAAUAUAUGAAACUUGCUUAGAAUUUUGUCUAGUUUCAUAAUUUGUCAUUUUCAUCUAUGUUUAAAAUGUUCAAAAUGCGUUUUGAUUAAAUUUGCCCCUAUGCCAUGUUAAAAUGCUUUAAUUCAUAACUAAAUAACCAUAGCUUAGAUUUAAAUAAUCUUUAUAUGUAAAUGGGGUAGAAAAAUGCCUAGUUUAACAUGGUGGCAUCACUUUGCAUGUUUAACAACUAUAAAAUAUGGUUUAGGGAAGAACAGUACCAAACCUAAUACAUGCAUAUGAGGAGUUUCCGGACUUGUUGUUUUGUUGUUCCGACCUCAUUUAAACUUUCCUGGAUAGAUAGUUUCAUUAUGCUUCACCUCUUGCCAUGCUAACAACAUUUAAUCUUGUUGGGUACAUAAACGAGAGAGAACUAAAGAAGUCAUGUGGUGUUUUGUCAAUAUGCAUCCCGAUGCAUAUUGAGCUCCACUUAACUUUUAGUGUUGUUUGUGCACUUUGCCAUGCCAUGCCAUGUAUCAUUAAACCGGACAUGCAUCAUACUUGGUUGUGCAUCAUGCCAUGUCCAUGUGUUGUUUGUUUACUAUGUUGUGUGCUUCUUUCCGGUGUUGCUUCUUUGGGUUGGUUCCGAUAACGUCGCAUUUGUGAGGACCCGUUCGAUUACGCCCGUUUGUCUUCUUCAUGGACUCGUUCUUCUUCCUUGCGGGAUUUCAGGCAAGAUGAUCAUACCCUCGAAAUCACUUCUAUCUUUGCUUGCUAGAUGCUCACUCGUUUGCUAUGCCUAUGCUGCGAUACCUACCACUUGCUUAUCAUGCCUCCUAUAUUGUUGAACCAAGCCUGUAACCCACCUUGUCCUAGCAAACCGUUGUUUGGCUAUGUUACCGCUUUGCUCAGCCCCUCUUAUAGCGUUGUUAGUUGCAGGUGAAGAUUGGAGUUUGUUCCAUGUUGGAACAUGGAUAUUUUGUUGGGAUAUCACAAUAUCUCUUAUCUAAUUAAUGCACCUAUAUACUUGGUAAAGGGUGGAUGGCUCGGCCUUAUGCCUGGUGUUUUGUUCCACUCUUGCCACCCUAGUUUCCGUCAUAUCGGUGUUAUGUUCCCGGAUUUUGCGUUCCUUACGCGGUUGGGUUAUAAUGGGAACCCCUUGACAGUUCGCCUUGAAUAAAACUCCUCCAGCAAGGCCCAACAUUGGUUUUACCAUUUGCCACCUAGCCUUUUCUUUCCCUUGAGUCGGCCGGCUCAAGGGUCAUCUUUAUUUAAUCCCCCGGGCCAGUGCUUCUCUAAGUGUUGGUCCAACUGAGCGAUGUCCGAGGCUACUAGGGGCAACUCUGGGCUGGCUUACCCGACGUCUGGCUCAUCCGGUGUGCCCUGAGAACGAGAGAUGUGCAGCUCCUAUCGGGAUUUGUCAGCACAUCUGGGUGUCUUUGCUGGUCUUGUUUUACCAUUGUCGAAAUGUCUUGUAACCGGGAUUCCGAGUCUGAUCCGGUCUUCCCGCUAGAAGGAAUAUCCUUUGUUGACCGUGAGAGCUUGUGAUGGGCUAAGUUGGGACACCCCUGCAGGGAUUUGAACUUUCGAAAGCCGUGCCUGCGGUUAUGGGCAGAUGGGAAUUUGUUAAUGUCCGGUUGUAGAAAACCUGAAGUUGAUAUUAAUUAAAAUGCACCAACCGCGUGUGUAACCGUGAUGGUCUCUUCUCGGCGGAGUCCGGGAAGUGAACACGGCGUUGGAGUAAUGCUUGACGUAGGUUGUUCAAGGAUCACUUCUUGAUCAUAGUUGAUCGACCGUGCUUUUGCCUUCUCUGCUCGCUCUCUUUUGCGAAUAUGUUAGCCACCAUAUAUGCUAGUCGCUUGCUGCAGCUCCACCUCAUACCUUUUACCUUAGCCAUAAGCUUAAAUAGUCUUGAUCGUGAGGGUGUGAGAUUGCUGAGUCCCUGUGACUCAUAGAUACUUCCAAAACUAGCUUGCAGGUGCCGAUGAUACGGUGCAGGUGACGCAACCAAGCUCAAGGAGGAGCCCGAUGAAGAUCUUGACCUUUAUGUUGUUCCGUUCUAGUUGAUCAGUAGUGGAGCCCAGUCGGGUCGAUCGGGGAUCUAUGUAGCAUUUGGGGUAGUCUUCUUUUAUUUUGGUUCCGUAGUUGGACCUUGUUUGUAUCUGGUUGAUGUAAUGCUUUAUUCAUGUAAUUGUGUGAAGUGGCGAUUGUAAGCCAACUAUGUAUCUCUUUCCCUUUAUGUAUUACAUGGGUUGUGUGAAGAUUACCUCACUUGCGACAUUGCUUUCAAUGCGGUUAUGACUCUAAGUCGUGCUUCGACACGUGGGAGAUAUAGCCGCAUCGAAGGCGUUACAGUUGUACAGGAGAGUCAGGUUUUGAUCCUGUGGAACUGUGGGUUAUGGUCCCACCAUGUGGGUUAAAAGUAGGAAGGGCGAUGGCAUCUUGCACGAUCAUGUGAGCAAGGCAUGUCAGAUGAUAGUCUGUCGGUUAUGUCGGCAACAACAUCGGUACCAAGGGCGAGGGACGAAGAGAACCAUUUUCCUGCUCGUUGAACGAGGCGGACCAGUAGGCAAAGUUCUCGUCCAUCGGCGGUUACCAGAAUGUCAUCAACAAAAGUAACAGGGUCUUUCUGACAGAGUUGUACACUGAGGUGUUUACAAAAGUAGGAGAAUAUUACUGCUUAGAUCAUAUAGUCCUCAAGAAAGGUUAAACCAAACAAUGGAAAGGAAAAUAUGAUUAUCAGAUUAAACCGAACAAUGGAAAGGAAAAAUGUGUUUAAACACAUAUACCAGGGGUAUAUCCUUCCCAAGGACAAGCAGAGAUUAAAUCAUGAUAUUCAUGCCAGGAUAUAAUGUAAGAAACCCUUUCAAUAAGGGGAGAGAAUUUUCAUGACUACCCAUACAACGGUGCCUGGAUAAUAGAGCAAGUAACAUUUAGCAUUGGGCUUCAAUUGUUCUUGUUGAAAAUCGGAGUACCAGAAACAUGCUUCGAGAUAGCAUCGAAAUGGUCUCCAAGCAAAGGCCAGACUUCGGAUACACAAAGGAUCUACAAUUUCCUCAUGGGAGAAUGGUUAACCUUGCUAAAAAGGAAACUAAAACAUUUGGUCCUCCGGUCAGGUGUGCUAGGCACGACAUCACCUUACCGGGUCAUAUAAGGACCAACGUUAUGACUCUUGAAAAAUGUUUCAACCAUCAUAUCUGUCCGAGGUUCAAAUCCGAUUGGUGUUAGGAUACCUGAGACAUUAGGAUGCCUGAGAAGAAAAGGUGCAACACAAUUUUGACAAGAUGACCAUGUUAGAUUCUCGGGAAAUGAACUUUGGGAGCGAGUUCCGAAACAAAAGCUCAUCAUGAAACCAAUGAAGGGAUAAGGAGGUAGCUGAUGAACUCGGCGACAAUUCAACGAGACUUCCGAAAGAUGGGUUUCCACAAUUAAGUGAACAAGGAGAUAACAUUAGUCAGAUCAAAUGGUAUAAUGAUGUAUGCUCGAGGAAAACAUACACAAUUAAACAUUGGUUGAAAGGUGCACCAGAAAUAUGGCCUGGGUUGCACGACCAACAUCGGAAAUGGUGAUUCAAUAAUCAAUAGUCUAAGAAUGAACGACCGACCAUUAACUUCAAAGAAAUAGGGUUGCUAGAAGAUUUGGAAUUACACAUCACAGACCAUUUGUCGGUGGUUAGAAACAACACGGUGACCAGGAAAAGAAUGGUGAGGGUGAUAAGUAUCACUUGUAUCAAGAAUUCUCCAGAGGUGGUGAAAUUCCCAUGACAUCCCUGACAUAAAAGAUGGUAAUACUCCAAGGUAAAGAAGAACAAUUGCUGGAUAGCAAGGAUCUCAAGGUAUAUCACAAAGCACGAACAAGUUUGUGUUGAACGAAAGGCAAUAAAGUGGUUGAUGAUAACACAAUUCAUCGAGAGCAAAGGGUGGUAUUUCUCAUCAAGAAUUCGAUAGAUAUCUUGGAAGAGCUUAGAAUGUUGAUGAUGUUCACGACCCAUUUUUCGCGAGAUUUCAUGAAGAUGUAAUUGAUCAGCGACGACAUCAAGUCAAAGGAAUGAUGAUGCGAAAGAUUAUUGGAACUAAGAGUAUGAUACAAACUCGAAAUCAAGCUUGGUGUUCAAGGCGAAAUGAUAUGAUGAGGAAGAUCGGCGUAAGGUUACCUUAUCGUCCAAAAUUGUGCUAGCCGAUCAGGCUAGGAAUGACGUGAUCAGGUACAGACUCGUAAGUAAAGAAGAUUUCUAAAAUUUGUUGAACCAUAGUGCGUACUUGGUUCAGUUAUUGGUGCCUUUGAGUGCUUAAUAACUCAGAGCCCGUGAAAAAUUAUAAUCAGUGAGAAUGUAGUACUUCAUGAAGAACUCAUAAGAAGUUGUGCGGUUCCAUGAUAAUUUUGAGAUACCAGGGGGGUAAUACUCGAUGACAGAUCAAAGUAGAGGUUGGACUAGGUUAUUGCUCUCCAGAAGACAAGUGCUUGAACUUGUCCGAGAAAUUGGAUCAAAGAAGAACAAUAUGGUCAGAAACCACGAUUUCAAAAGACCAAAUCCCAGAUAUAAGAUUAAAUUAUAUCAAGGGGAUAAUUGUUGUUACGAGAAGCUUCUAUGACAAGAUCUACAUCGUGUCCAUGGGCAUGAACACAAAGUUCAAGGUAAUUUGAUUGGUCGAGAUCCAUCUCAUGUUUAAAAUGACGUCUGAGCCGAAAGGAUGAAUUCUAGGAUCUGAUUAGGGAUUCCAACAUUCGCAUCAUAUUGAAUCAAGGGACCAAAGAUUUUAAAGGCAAAGGACAUCCAUGAAUAUUGCUAGUCAUUUGGAAUUAACCAAAAUACAGGUAGACACGCAUUUCAAGAGCCAUAGGCUAAUGAGGAUUCUCGAAAGAUCGGAUAGUAUUUUGAAGAAUUUUGUGAAACACAUGAACAACUAGGGAUGUGCGGAUACUCUAUAAGGGCGAGGAAUUAUCCGUAGGUAAUAAAAGAUCCUAAUACCACCCAAUGGCAACGUGGGCCCGUAAGGUAUACAUCCAAGUUAGUAAAAGUUUUGCAAUGACUAGACUCGACUUCGUCCAAGGAGUGUGGAAGGGGGAUUCCUACAGGCAGUCGGCUCUGAUACCAACUUGUGACGCCCCCGAUUCAAUCAUACACUAAUCAUGAAUGCAAAUGUGUACGAUCAAGAUCAGGGACUCACGUGAAGAUAUCACAACACAACUCUAAAACAUAAAUAAGUCAUACAAGCAUUAUAUUACAAGCCAGGGGCCUCGAGGGCUCGAAUACAAGAGCUCGAUCAUAGACGAGUCAGCGGAAGCAACAAUAUCUGACUACAGACAUAAGUUAAACAAGUUUGCCUUAAGAAGGCUAGCACAAACUGGGAUACAGAUCGAAAGAGGCGCAUGCCUCCUGCCUGGGAUCCUCCUAAACUACUCCUGGUCAUCGUCAGCGGGCUGCACAUAGUAUUAGGCACCUCCCAAGUAGUAGUAGUCGUCGACGACGGUGGCGUCUGGCUUCUGGGCUCCAACGUCUAGUCGCAGCAAUCGGGUAUAGAAAGGGGAAAAAAGGGAGCAAAGCAACCGUGAGUACUCAUCCAAAGUACUCGCAAGCAAGGAGCUACACUACAUAUGUAUGCAUUGGUAUCAAAUGGAAUAAGGGUAUCAUAUGUGGACUGAACUGCAGAAUGCCGGAAUAAGAGGGGGAUAUCUAGUCCUGUCGAAGACUACGCUUCUGGUAACCUCCGUCUUGCAGCAGAAGAAGAGAGUAGAUGGUAAGUUCACCAAGUAGCAUCGUGUAGCAUAAUCCUAACCGAUGAUCCUCUCCUCGUCGCCCUAUUAGAGAGCAAUCACCGGUUGUAUCUGGCACUUGGAAGGGUGUGUUUUAUUAAGUAUCCGGUUCUAGUUGUCAUAAGGUCAAGGUACAACUCCAAGUCGUCCUGUUACCGAAGAUCACGGCUAUUCGAAUAGAUUAACUUCCCUGCAUGGGUGCACCACAUAACCCAACACGCUCGAUCCCAUUUGGCCGGACACACUUUUCUGGGUCAUGCCCGGCCUCGAAAGAUCAACACGUCGCAGCCCUACCUAGGCACAACAGAGAGGUCAGCACGCCGGUCUAAAUCCUAUGGUGCAGGGGUCUGGGCCCAUCGCCCAUUGCACACCUGCAUGUUGCGUACGCGGCCGGAGAGCAGAUCUAGCAACCUCCAUUACAAAGGAAGAUGCGUUACGCGGUCCAACCCGGCGCGCGCCGCUCAGUCACUGACGUCACGAAGGCUUCGGCUGAUACCACGACGUCGAGUGCCCAUAACUGUCCCCGCGUAGAUGGUUAGUGCGUAUAGGCCAGUAGCCAGACUUAGAUCAAAUACCAAGAGCUCGUUAAGCGUGUUAUUUUGAAAUAACCACGGACGCCGACCAGGGCCAGGCCCACCUCUCUCCUAGGUGGUCUCAACCUGCCCUGUCUCUCCGCCACAAAGUAACCGUCGGGGGCCUUCGGGAACUCAGGCCCACCUCUACCGGGAUGGAGCCACCUACCCCUUCAGCCCCCAACAUCGGAAUCACUCGCGGGUACUCCUACGAGCCGACCCAUCUUUAGUCAUCACAAGAAUCAUAUAUUAUGUAUAGGUAUAUACCCGUGAUCAACUUCACCUGCAACUAACAACGUUAUAAGAGGCACUACUAGGGAAAAGCUUAUAGGCAGAUGCUUACUACUAGCGAGGGUUUAUAACCCUCGCUACUGCUACUUACUAGUAGCGCGGGUUUUUAACCCUCGCUACUACUAAGUUGAUACUAGUAGCGCAGGUUUUUAACCCUCGCUACUACUAAGCGGUCUCUACCGUGCCCUCCCGGGACAUGCCAUAGUAGUAGCGAGGGGUACAAACCCGCGCUUCUACUAAGUUGAUAGUAGUAGCGCGGUUUUACACCCCUCGCUACUACUAAGUACGAGGUAGCUGAAAUCCCCAUAUCCUCAGCCGAAUCCCUCCUCUCUCCCUCACUUUCCCCCUCUCUCACUUUCCUCGUCUCUCCCUCAUAGUCCAACGAUGGCCGCCGCUGGUACACUCUGCUUUCUCCGCCCCCUCCCUCCCCGAGAUCCCUUCGGUGGGCAGUUACCGGAGCUCCUCGCCGCCACCAAGAUGUGGAAGUGCGACCACGGCAUCCUCCUCCUCGCCGCCUUCACCGUCUUCUUCUUGCUCCAGGUCAGCCCUCCUCCCCCCUCUCCGAUUCGUUCCGGAACGCUAGCUGACCAAUCCCCCUCCUCCUCUGGCAGCACGAGGGCGACUUUUUGUUCCGGAAGACAUGGACCGCCUCCUGCCACCGCUCGUCGCCGACCUCAACAGCGACGGCCGCCGCGAGGUGUUGCUCCCCACGCACGAUGCCAAGAUGCAAGUCCUCCAACUCCUGGCCCAUGCCGGGCUGGCCUUCGCGGCCGCCCUCGACGGCUUCCACGAGGCACGCGUCAUGGACGAGAUCUCCCUGCUCCCGGCCAACGUGCGCGCGUCAUGGGGUUGAGAUUUUUUUUGGUUUUUCAAAUUAACAGUAGUAGCGUGGGUCACAGACACGCGCUACUACUAACACACGUACUAGUAGCACGGGAUGCACCGCGCUACUACUACUAGUUAGCUGUAGCGCCAUAGUAGUAGCGCAGGCACCCGCGCUACUACUAGCUUUUAACCCACGCUACUACUAGGCUUUUUCCUAGUAGUGAGGGGUUGAGCAAAGUGGUAACUUAGCCAAACAACGGUUUUCUUGGAAAGGUGGGUUAGAGGCUUGACAUGGCAAUAUGGGGGGCAUGAUAUAACAAGUGCUAGGUAGCGCGACAUAGCGAUAUAGCGAACAACUAGCAAGCAAAGAUAGAAGUGAUUUCGAGGGUAUGGUCAUCUUGCCUUCAAAGUUCUCAGAGUUGUCGAAAGCUUGAUCCUCGCAAGCGUACUCAAUAGGUUCCUCGGUCACGUACUCGUCUCCUGGCUCUACCCAAAGCAAGAACACAAGCAAUGGAACAACAAUCAAUCAUGAUGCAAUGCACAAGCAACAUGCUGCAAUACAUGUCAUGAUAUGCAAGAUAUGAUAUGCAAUGUGUAUGCAUGCCCCGGAAGGAAAGAAUGGUCAAGGAAUCAACUUGGAAAACCAAGUAUUCCGCUGGAAAGAUGAGAUGAUUUUGGUUGAAAUCGAUAUAAAGAUCACCAGAAACGGAUGCACGGUUUACAAAUGGCAAGCAAAACAAGAAUGGUGCAAAACUGUGAUUAACAACAUGAUAGCACUUAGAUUGCAACAAGAAACUAAGCUACUGCACUCCAACAUAGCAACAAAGCAUAUGGCAGUGAUGUACAAGAGAUGCUUGACAAAACAUGAGCAGUGAGCUAUGGCUAGAUCACACAAGAACAGGUUCAAACAAGCAUGGCAAAAAUGCAAAAGAUAUCAGCUUCACAGACUUUGUGAAAAUACUAACAUGUCAAUAACAACAUCAGGAAGCAAUGUUUAGUGCAAGCAAACAACAUGCUACAGGAACAUAUCAUAGCAAAUACAGGCAUGGCAUGAAUCUACCAAUUGCUUAGAACAAAAGUCUCGUAAUUAACAUGAGCCAAAAAGGCACAGAAAAUAUGAUGGCACCCAUGUAAACAUAGCAAGUUUUAUUAACAGAUUCAGACAGUGAAAAACAGAGCAUGGCAUGAACAGAUUUAUGAUAGCAACUUUGUGAGCUCGUGCCACUCAUCACAAAGCAUCAAAUGACAACAUAAGCAUACCAAUAGCAAGAUGACAUGUUCAUGAAGCUAACCAUGGCAAGAGCAUGUUCAUAGGAUGCAUGGAUCACUAGAAACAGCCAUGGCGAUAUUGAUUAACAUGUUAACAAUCUGUCAGGAAUAAUUUAUAGCAAAAGUAGAGCAAGCAAAUGACAUGCUAGGGCAAUCCAUAAUUGCAACUAGUGGCAUGAAUGGAUAGAGCAUAACCACAUGUUUAGAACAUCCUUCCUGAAGUAUCUCAAAAUAAGCAUGGAUCUCAUGGUAGCAUCAAGUUUACAUGGCAUCAAAAUAACAGCAGGAAAAUGACACUGCAAAAUCCUAAGUGCCUGAAACAACAACAUCACGAAGCCUAGUUUGCAUGCUUGUAUUAGUCACCACAUAGAUCACAAAAAUACAAGACUUGCACCUCUGUAAUAUGGCAUGUUGUAGUUCAAAACACAUGUAGACCUCAUGCUCAAAGGAUGCACAUAUCCAAUGCAACAAAAAUGACAAAUCACCAUGUUCUGUUAAGAAGUAGGAGUUAACAUUUUAUAGCACUAUUGCAACAAUGAAAAUGACAUCAUAAUGGAUAGUAACAUGCAUGGAAAUGCUUCUAACAUGAAGAGCUCAACGAGACGAACAUUUCGAUAUGUCAUAUGCAUGAUUUGGAGCCACGGUCAUGGAGAUACGACGUGUUGAAGGAGGCAUACAAAUUACAAGGGUUUCGGGACUUAGUGAAAUCUCACCCUACGAAAAAGUCAACAGGACAAAGGGAUCCGGGACGCGGGUGCUGUUUGGUUGGUUGAAGUGGUGGAUCUCAUCCAGUCGGGGAUCCGGGUCAGAUCCAGCGAUGACGGCGACGGACUCCGGCGAGAGGCACGGCCGGAGUCGAGGGGAAGCGUGGCGAGGAGGAGGCGACGGCCGGCGGGUCGCGAGGCGAUGGAGGAGGACGCGGCCGACGGCGAGCUUUGGCGNNNNNNNNNNNNNNNNNNNNNNNNNNNNNNNNNNNNNNNNNNNNNNNNNNNNNNNNNNNNNNNNNNNNNNNNNNNNNNNNNNNNNNNNNNNNNNNNNNNNNNNNNNNNNNNNNNNNNNNNNNNNNNNNNNNNNNNNNNNNNNNNNNNNNNNNNNNNNNNNNNNNNNNNNNNNNNNNNNNNNNNNNNNNNNNNNNNNNNNNNNNNNNNNNNNNNNNNNNNNNNNNNNNNNNNNNNNNNNNNNNNNNNNNNNNNNNNNNNNNNNNNNNNNNNNNNNNNNNNNNNNNNNNNNNNNNNNNNNNNNNNNNNNNNNNNNNNNNNNNNNNNNNNNNNNNNNNNNNNNNNNNNNNNNNNNNNNNNNNNNNNNNNNNNNNNNNNNNNNNNNNNNNNNNNNNNNNNNNNNNNNNNNNNNNNNNNNNNNNNNNNNNNNNNNNNNNNNNNNNNNNNNNNNNNNNNNNNNNNNNNNNNNNNNNNNNNNNNNNNNNNNNNNNNNNNNGGCGGCGCGGUCGCCGGCGGGCACGGGGCGGCGGUGCAGCGCGGAUGGUGCUAGUCGGCGUGCCGGUGGGAGGCGGGGCGAGGCGGCAGAGCAAGGCAUGCGGUGGUGGCCGGCGGCGAGGAUCGGCGGCGGGACCGGCGAACGGCGACGAGCGCGGGCGGCGCUACGGGCGGAGGCGGUGGGCCGGUUCGGGCCCGUGCGGGCCCGCAAUGGGCUCCGCGGGCCGGCGGAGCGGGGACGGCAGCGGAGGACAGGUGGAGGAUCCGGAUUGGGCAUGGGGCGGUGGCAUACAUGUCCGGGCGUGAGGGUGGACGUGUCCGGCGGCGCGAGGAGGAAGAAGACUAGGGUUAGACCGCGAAUUUUUGAGGGGAGGUGUUUAUAUAGGUUGAGGGAGGUAGGACUGUCCAAAUGAGGUGCGGUUUUCGCCCACACGAUCGUGAUCCGAUGACGGAGAACAUGGAGGUGGCUUAGAUGGGUUUAGGCUGUUUUGGAGGGGUGUUGGGCUGCAAUCCAAAGAGGCUUUUGCGGUUACCUGGUUAACCGUUGGGGCAUCAAACGACCUCCAAAUGGAACGAAAUUUUACAGGCGGGAUACUGGUGGUGUACCAAGGCCACUUGACAAAUCUCAGCCCAUUCCGAGAACAUUUCUCUCCCGCUCACGAAAAGAGACAAGAGGGGGGCGCCGGGUGCAUGUGGGAGUGUCGGAUUGCGAAACGGACAACAGGGAAAAUGACCGGACGCAUGAGACGAACACGAAUGCAAAUGCGAUGCACAUGAUGACAUGAUAUGAAAUGCAUGACAUGAACAAAAUGCAAACGAAAGACAAAAUCCAACCACGAAGGGAAUCUCAUAACAUAAAGCCGAGAAUGGCAAGAGUCGGAGUUACAAAUAUGGAAAGUUAUAUCCGAGGCGUUACAACACUCCACCACUACAAGAGGAUCUCGUCCCGAGAUCUAGGAUGGCACCGGAGGGAAAACGGAAGAUGAAGAGGUAAAACAAAGUUGCUUCUUUGACAACGAGUGAAACCAAAGAACCUUGAUAGGUUAAAAAAAUUCGAGAAAAGAAUACAACAAGAUGAACGAAGUUGAAAACACUCCUUUAGAAAAGAGGAACAAGGAAGAACAAAUUCCGACAGCACUCCGGUUUAAAAGAGAUGUAAGACUUGAUAAGAUGAAAAGAACUUGAGUAGAGGACACGACACUCCAGUUAAAUGGAUAAGCAUGAAAAGAACACAAUCCUCACUGCUCGAGAUGACGAGAGAAUAGAGCAACCUCACUAUGCGUUCGGAAGAAAUGCAAGAAUGGAAUGGAAUGAACGGAGGGAAACAAGAUCUUGAGAGAGCACACUUACAACAAAUGCUAGAACAGAGUUGUUGGAUUAUCAACAACGAAAGGAUAAGCUUGAUGUGGGCUUAUGGCAGACAUCUUAAAAUUAUGAGGUGACAACCUGCCACUCACGGAAAAAGAUUUGAUUGAGAGCUAGAAAAGAUAGAAAGCUUCUUCCACCGAGGUGAUAAGAAAACUUGGAUCAUAGGUAAUCAUCACAAAGAGCAACAUUCCCAAUGGAAUAAUUUAGGUGAAAUCUAUACCAAGAUAACUCCAAGGAAGAAAAUGAUGAGUUUAAAUAUCUUAUUCCUGAACUUGUGAAUCAUGAAACACAAAGAAAUUGUCAAGAAUGACAUAACACCACCUCAAAAGAUAAGAUAGAAAGAAUUGCACUUCGGAAUGAAAGAUGAAGAAUGCUUGAACUCCUCAAAACAAGACAUGUGUUGAGCACCAUGUUUAUUUGAGAGUAUAGCUUGGUGGAUCAUAACUUCAAGAGAAAUCUUAAAGAACGAAUGAAGAAUGAAAUAAAUCCUUGAUGAGCCACCAUGUUGAGCCAUCGUGAGAACUCCGGUAAUAAAAGGAUGAUAAAAAGAAAGAGAAGUUGAAAACACAAGGUGAAGCCUUGCGAUGAUUUAGAUGAAGCUUCACGAUGAGAUAAAGUGGAAACUUUGGAACUCCGGGAGAAAAGAUAAAGCAUCUUGAACCGAGAAUGUGAUAUGCUGAACCACUCCAGAAAGAAGAAAUUAGAUCGCAUGAAUGAAACAAUAAUAAGAAUUAAGUUAUGCAUAUCCUUCACCAAUUAAAUUGAUGACAAGCAACGGAUUUGGCAUACUGCUUAUUCUCAUAGAAAGGAUUAAGAGAGAUAUAGCGCAAACUUGAGAAAGUCUUCAACGAACCACCAGUAGGAUUUAAAAACGAAUAAAGAAAAGAUAAUGAAACACCGGGAAGAAUUAGAAAAUGAAUGAAGAUACUUGAGAAAAUUUAGAUGCAAGUGAACGAAGAGAUCCCGAGCUGAUUAGAUCAUACUCGAAUGAUGCACCGGUAUGAUUUGGAGAACAAGAGUUGAAAGCUAGAAUGAAUAAAUCUUCUGAAAUGAUGGCCUUUGGAUGAUCAAGAAAAAACGAAAACAACUCUUGAAAUGCUUCGGAUGGGUGAAAAGAAUUCUCACAAUCGAAAACAAUUAUGAGAGGAUGGCAACAAGCUUGAACUACGCAUCUUCGGAAGAACGGGUAAGGAUUGAAGAGAAACUCUUCUUUGGACUUCAAAUGUUGAGAAAGAUAAUGAGAACCACCAUGACAAUUGAUGAGACACUCCGGACCAGUGAAGAAUAUAAAUGUUGAACAAACGAUGAAAAUAAUUUGAAACGAUAUUGGAGAAGGCAAUUUUCUAAUGAAAUUCAUUCUUACGUCAAACUUUGAAAAAAAUUGAGAAUACCUCUGGAAAACUAGAAGAGUCAGGUAAGAUCCUGGGAAAAGACCCAUGGGUUAGGGCCCACUCAAAAGAUACACCGUUGAAUGAUUUAAAAGAGAGAUUGCACCGGUUGAUUUAAAUGGCUUGAAUGAGGUAACAACCUCGAAAUAGUUUGAACGGAUCUUGAAUGAAAAGACGAGCCUUUCUAAGAUAUCGUCAGCACUCUCGAGCAAAUGAAUAGCGAGAAGUGAAAGAUUAAGAGGUGCACCGGCAUGAGAAAGCAUUUGAAACGAGGAAACAAUAUGAUAUACAAAGCUUGAAUUGAAUCCACCAGAUAAGAAAAGAAUGAUGAAUGAAGGACUUGAAGCUUCCUUGGUAUCUUCCUAAGAAUCAACAGAUAAGAACAUUGAAAGAAAAGAAUGAAGAGACUUCACAUCCCUAAGAUGGAUACUUGAUUAAGAAAUCCGAGUCCUUGAAGAAAAAAGGUUGGGAGGGCGGGAAAACAAAGGCAACUUGGGACGGAUGAAACAAUAACAUUGGGAAGACUUUGAGUUGAUCUUGCGGAUGGGAAAAAUGAUGGGAUCAUCUUGAAGAGAAUCACACCGGUUGGAAAGAAUUGACACGACAACCUCGAUGAUCAAGAAGCAUUGGUAUUCACAUAGGAAUAUGAGAACACUGCUUAGGAAAGGUAUGGAAUCAACACUUGACAUUGAAGCAACUCGAAUACCACAACUCAAAACAAAACAAAGGAUUGGCUUGCAAAAUAAGCCGAAAACAAACAUAUGAUAGAUCCCAUAUCGUAUCAUGUGUCUGUUGGAAAGAUAUCCUAUGAGAUACUUGAAUUACCACUUAUAAACUCCCGAAACUUUCUGGUUAUGCAAUCAGGUGUUGGGGGUACAGGGGAAGCAUAAUAUCUCACCCAAACUAACAAUCCCUACAUCCAGCUGUAUUCAUCCUUCAACACAUAACCAAGAAACCUUCGGAAAUCGUGUACCUCAACCUUCGAAAAGCAUCCGUUAUACGAGUUAUGGCAAUACUCCUGAACUCCCGCCCCAGUACUGGGUGGCGUCGAGGUUAUCUCACCAACAACUGCAUAAAAGAAAUUUUUGAUGUCGGCGAACUCAGGCAUUGCAGAACUGCAACGAUAAAAUUGUGACGACAACACCUCGGAGCUCAACUCCUCGGGACACUGCCACAAUCCCUAAAUGUCAGGAGGCACUACUACCUCUCAAGCACUGCAUUGGUUUUCCCUUGAAGAGGAAAUGGUGAUGCAGCAAAGUAGCGUAAGUAUUUCCCUCAGUUUUUGAGAACCAAGGUAUCAAUCCAGUAGGAGGCCACGCUCAAGUCCCUUGCACCUACACAAACAAAUAAGAACCUUGCAACCAACGCGAUAAAGGGGUUGUCAGUCCCUUCAUGGCCACUUGCAAAAGUGAGAUCUGAUAGAGAAGAUAAGAUAAUAUUUUUGGUAUUUUUAUGAUAAAGAAUAAAAGUAAAGAAAGCAAAAUAAACGGCGCAAGAAAUAGCUUGUUGACGGGAGAUUGAUAUGAUGGAAAAUAGACCCAUAGGCCAUAGGUUUCACUAGUGGCUUCUCUCAAGAUAGCAUAAGUAUUACGGUGAGUAAACAAAUUACUGUCGAGCAAUUGAUAGAAUUGAGCAUAGUUAUGAGAAUAUCUAGGUAUGAUCAUUUAUAUUGGCAUCACGUCCGUGACAAGUAGACCGACUCCUGCCUACAUCUACUACUAUUACUCCACACAUCGACCGCUAUCCAACAUGCAUCUAGAGUAUUAAGUUCAUAAGAACGGAGUAACGCUUUAAGCAAGAUGACAUGAUGUAGAGGGAUAAACUCAUGCAAUAUGAUAUAAACCCCAUCUUUUUAUCUUCGUUGGCAACAAUACAAUACGUGUCGUUUACCCUACUGUCAAUGGGAUCGAGCACCGCAAGAUUGAACCCAAAACUAAGCACUUCUCCCAUUGCAAGAAAGAUCAAUCUAGUAGGCCAAACCAAACUGAUAAUUCGAGGAGACUUGCAAAGAUAACCAAUCAUACAUAAAAGAAUUCAGAGAAGAUUCAAAUAUUGUUCAUAGAUAAUCUUGAUCAUAAACCCACAAUUCAUCGGAUCUCGACAAACACACCGCAAAAGAAGAUUACAUUGAAUAGAUCUCCAAGAGAAUCGAGGAGAACUUUGUAUUGAGAUCCAAAGAGAGAGAAGAAGCCAUCUAGCUAAUGACUAUGGACCCGAAGGUCUGAGGUAAACUACUCACACAUCAUCGGAGAUGCUAUGGUGUUGAUGUAGAAGCCCUCCGUGAUCAAUGCCCCCUCCGGCGGAGCGCUGGAAAAGGCCCCAAGAUGGGAUCUCACGGGUACAGAAGGUUGUGGUGGUGGAAUUAGGUUUUCGUGGUGCUCUCCGAUGGUUUGGGGGUACGUAGGUAUAUAUAGGAGGAAGAAGUAGGUCGGUGGAUCCACAAGGGGCCCACGAGGUUGGAGGGCACGCCCAGGGGCGUAGAUGCGCCCCUGCCUCGUGGCCUCCUCGUUGAUUGCUUGACGUCCACUCCAAGUCCUAUGGAUCACGUUUGUUCCAAAAAUCACGCUCCCGAUGGUUUCAUUCUGUUUGGACUCCGUUUGAUAUUCUUUUUCCGCGAAACACUGAAAUAGGCAAAGAAACAACAAUUUGGGCUGGGCCUCUGUUAAUAGAUUAGUCCCAAAAAUAAUAUAAAAGUGUAAAAUAAAGCCCAUUAACAUCCAAAACAGAAUAUAUAAUAGCAUGGAACAAUAAAAAAUUAUAGAUACGUUGGAGACGUAUCAGCAUCCCCAAGCUUAAUUCCUGCUCGUCCUCGAGUAGGUAAAUGAUAAAACAGAAUUUUUGAUGUGGAUUGCGUCUUAGCAUAAUUUUUAAUGUAAUUCUUUUUAUUGUGGCAUGAAUAUUUAGAUCCGAAAGAGUCAAGAUAAAAGUUUAAUGUUGACAUAAAAAUAAUAAUACUUCAAGUAUACUAACUAUGCAAUCAUGUCUUCUCAAAAUAACAUGGCCAAAGAAAGUUAUCCCUACAAAAUCAUAUAGUCUGGCUAUGAUCUAUCUUCAUCACACAAAAUAUUAAAUCAUGCACAACCCCGAUGACAAGCCAAGCAAUUGUUUCAUACUUUUGAUGUUCUCAAACUUUUUCAACUUUCACGCAAUACAUGAGCGUGAGCCAUGGACAUAGCACUAUAGGUGGAAUAGAAUGGUGGUUCUGGAGAAGACAAAAGAGAGAAGAUAGUCUCACAUCAACUAGGCGUAUCAACGAGCUAUGGAGAUCCCCAUCAGUAGAUAUCAAUGUGAGUGAGUAGGGAUUGCCAUGCAACAGAUGCACUAGAGCUAUAAGUGUAUGAAAGCUCAACAAAAGAAACUAAGUGGGUAUGCAUCCAACUUGCUUGCUCACGAAGACCUAGGGCAAUUUGAGGAAGCCCAUCAUUGGAAUAUACAAGCCAAGUUCUAUAAUGUAAAAUUCUCACUAGUUUAUGGAAGUGACAACAUAGGGGACUCUCUAUCAUUAAGAUCAUGGUGCUACUUUGAAGCACAAGUGUGGGAAAAUGAUAGUAACAUUGUCCCUUCUCUCUUUUUCUCUCAAUUUUUUUAUUUGGGCCUUCUUUUUUUUUUCUUUUGGCCUCUUUUCCCUUUUUUUCGUCCGGAGUCUCAUCCCGACUUGUGGGGGAAUCAUAGUCUCCAUCAUCCUUUCCUCACUGGGCCAAUGCUUGAAUAAUGAUGAUCAUCACACUUCUUUUUACUUACAACUCAAGAAUUACAACUCAAUACUUGGAACAAAAUAUGACUCUAUGUGAAUGCCUCCGACGGUGUACCGGAUAUGCAAUGAAUCAAGAGUGACAUGUAUGAAAAAAUUAUGAACCGUGGCUUUGCCACAAAUACGAUGUCAACUACAUGAUCAUGCAUGGCAAUAAGACAAUGAUGAAGCGUGUCAUAACAAACGGAAUGGUGGAAAGUUGCAUGGCAAUAUAUCUCGGAAUGGCUAUGGAAAUGCCAUAAUAGGUAGGUAUGGUGGCUGUUUUGAGGAAGGUAUAUGGUGGGUGUAUGAUACCGACGAAAAGUGUGCGGUAAUAGAGAGGCUAGCAAAUGUGGAAGGGUGAGAGUACGUAUAAUCCAUGGACUCAACAUUAGUCAUAAAGAACUCACAUACUUAUUGCAAAAAACUAUUAGUUAUCGAAACAAAGUACUAUGCGCAUGCUCCUAGGGUGAUAGAUUGGUAGGAAAAGACCAUCACUCGUCCCCGACCACCACUCAUAAGGAAGACAAUCAAUAAAUAAAUCAUGCUCCGACUUCAUCACAUAAUGGUUCACCAUACGUGCAUGCUACGGGAAUCACAAACUUCAACACAAGUAUUUCUCAAAUUCACAACUACUCAACUAGCAUGACUCUAAUAUCACCAUCUCCAUAUCUCAAAACAAUCAUCAAGUAUCAAACUUCUCAUAGUAUUUAAUGCACUUAUAUGAAAGUUUUUAUUAUGCCUAAAAGAAAAUUACCAUGCUUUUCUAAAGGACUCUCAAAAUAAUAUAACUGAAGCAUGAGAGUUCAUUAUUUCUAUAAAAUAAAACCACCACCGUGCUCUAAAAGAUAUAAGUGAAGCAUUAGAGCAAAAACUAUAUAGCUCAAAAGAUAUAAGUGAAGCACAUAGAGUAUUCUAACAAAUUCCAAUUUAUGUGUGUCUCUCCCAAAAGGUGUGUACAGAAAGGAUGAUUGUGGUAAACUAAAAAUCAAAGACUCAAAUCAUACAAGAUGCUCCAAGUAAAACACAUAUCAUGUGGUGAAUAAAAAUAUAGCCCCAAGUAAAGCUAGCGAUAGACAAAGACGAAAGAGGGGAUGCCUUCUAGGGCAUCCCCAAGCUUAAACUUUUGGUUGUCAUUGAAUUUUACCUUGGGGUUCCUUGGGAAUCCCCAAGCUUAGGCUCUUUCCAAUCCUUGUUCCAUAAUCCAUCAAAACUUUACCCAAAACUUAAAAACUUCACAACACAGAACUUGACAGAAAAUCUCGCGAGCUCCGUUAGUAAAAGGAAACAAACAACCACUUCAAGAUACUGUAAUGAACUCAUUCUUUAUUUAUAUUGGUGUUAAACCUACUUUAUUCCAACUUUUAUAUGGUUCAUAAACUCUAUUAAUAGCCAUAGAUUCAUCAAAAUAAGCAAACAACACACGAAAAACAGAAUCUGUCAAAAACAGAACAGUCUGUAGUAAUAUGUAGGUUUCGAAUACUUCUGGAAACCCAAAAAUUCUAAAAUAAAUUGCUGGAGGUUAGGAAUUUAUCUAUUAAUCAUCUUAAAAAAGAAUUAACUAAAUAGAACUCUCCAAUAAAAAUGGCAGCAAUUCUUGCGAGCGCUAAAGUUUCUGUUUUUUACAGCAAGAUCGCAAAGACUUUCCCUGAGUCUUCCCAAAGGUUCUACUUGGCACAAACACUAAUUAAAAGCAUAAAACCACAUCUAAACAUAGGCUAGAUGAAUUAUUUAUUACUAAACAUAAUCAAAAAUCAAGAAACAAAAAUAAAAUUGGGUUGCCUCCCAACAAGCGCUAUCGUUUAACGCCCCUAGCUAGGCAUAAAAGCAAGGACAAAUCUAGGUAUUGCCAUCUUUGGUAGGCAAUCCAUAGGUGGAUCUCAUAAUAGAUUCAUAUGGUAAUUUAAUUUUCUUUCUAGCGAAGUGUUCCAUGCCUUUCCUUAACAGAAAUUGGAACUAAUAUUCCCUUCCUUCAUAUCAAUGAUUGCACCAAUCAUUCUAAGGAAAGGUCUACCAAGAAUAAUAGGACAUGAAGGAUUGCAAUCUAUAUCAAGAACAAUGAAAUCUACGGGCACAUAAUUCCUAUUUGAAACAAUAAGAACAUCAUUAAUUCUUCCCAUAGGUUUCUUAAUGGUGGAAUCCGCAAGGUUCAAGUUUAAAGAACAAUCAUCAAAUUCACGGAAACCUAGCAAAUCACACAAAGUUUUUGGGAUCGUAGAAACACUAGCACCCAAAUCACACAAAGCAUAGCAUUCAUGAUCUUUAAUUUUAAUGUUAAUUGUAGGUUCCCAUUCAUCAUAAAGUUUUCUGGGGAUAGAAACUUCCAACUCAAGUUUUUCUUCAUAAGAUUGCAUCAAAGCAUCAACGAUAUGUUUAGUAAAAGCUUUAUUUUGACUAUAAGCAUGAGGAGAAUUUAGCACGGAUUGCAACAAGGAAAUAAAAUCUAUCAAAGAGCAAUUAUCAUAAUUAAAUUCCUUGAAAUCCAAGAUAGUGGGUUCAUUGCUAUCUAAAGUUUUAACCUCUUCAAUCCCACUUUUAAACAAUUUUAGCAUCAAGAUCUAAAAACUACGAAUUUUUGGGACGCCUUCUAACUAAAGUUGAAUCAUCUCCAGUCCCAUCAUUAUCAAGAUUCAUAUUGCAAAACAAAUAUUUAAUAGGGUACACAUGAAUAACUUUUAGAUCUUCAUCUUUAUUCUCAUAAAAACUAGAAGAACACACCUUCACAAAGCAAUCUUUCUUAGCAUGCAUCCUAGCGGUUCUUUCCUUGCACUCAUCAAUGGAAAUUCUCAUGGCUUUGAGAGACUCAUUGAUAUCAUGCUUAGGUGGAAUAGAUCUAAGUUUCAAAGAAUCAAUAGCAAGAGAAAUUCUAUCCAUGUUCCUAGCCAAUUCAUCAAUCUUAGGCAAUUUUUCUUCAAGCAAAGCAUUGAAAUUCUUUUGAGAAAUCAUAAAUUCUUUAACACUAGUCUCAAAAUCAGAGGGCAUCUUAUUAAAAUUUCCAUAAGAGUUUUUGUAGGAAUUACCAUAAUUAUUAGAGGAAUUAUUAGGGAACGGCCUAGGAUUAAAGUUUCCUCUAUCACUGGUAGAAAAGGGCCUGUUGUCCCGGUUCAUAAGGGCCUUUUGUCCCGGUUCUGGAACCGGGACUAAAGGGUCGGUACUAAUGCCCUGUCCCUUUAGUCCCGGUUCAAUCCAGAACCGGGACAGAUGGGCCUCCACGUGGCCUGUGCGCGGAGCCCAGGCAAGAGACCCUUUGGUCCCGGUUGGUGGCACCAACCGGGACCAAUAGGCAUCCACGCGUCAGCAUUUCUGUGGUUGGGGUUUUUGUUUUUUUUGAAAGGGGGGGUGUUUGGGGGUUUUGGGGGGUUAAUUUAGGUGUUUCAUAUAUUGUGUUAGCUAGCUAUAAUUAAUAGAGAGAAGUGUCCUCUCUUAUGUCUGUGCUUGGUCGAUGCUACGUACUAUACAUACGUAUAGAGAGGACUAGACACGCUAGCUAGCUAGUAAGCAAAUGAAGGAAACAGAAGAUCGUCAUGAACAUAUAUGCAUACAGAGAGAAGUGAUAUCGACCACCUCUCCUUCUCCGAGAGAUUGGUCGAACAACAAGUUCUUGUAUAUCUAUCCGACACUACCGGCUACAUAUAUACAAUAAUUAUGUCUUACAAAUAUAAUCAUACGAACUCAUGGUCCACAUAGUAUUCUUUGUCUUCAGCGAUCACGUGGUCAAGAAAGAAUGCCGCCAAUUCCUCUUGAAUUGCUCGCAUGCGAGCUGGUGCUAGGAGUACAUCCCGCUUCCGAAACAUCUAAUUUGAAGAAGGGGGUCAAUACAUAUAUAUAUAUAUAUAUAUAUAUAUAUAUAUAUAUAUAUAUAUAUAUAUAUAUAUAUGAAUGAAUGAAACUCAACACAAAUGAUGGUAAUAAAAUAAAUUUGUGAAUGUUGUUAUUUACGUACUUCAUAUUGUUCGUCAGAGUACCCGCCCCGCUCACAGGUCGUGUGGCGGAUGGACUCGCGGACGUAGUAUCCACAGAAAUCAUUCCCUUGUUCCUGCCACAACCACUUUACAAGAAAUAGAGGUCAAUCAAACUGAUAAGCAAGAAUGCUAAAUGGUAUUGAUGAAACUAGCGCUUGAAUCACUAGGAGAUGCACGAAACAUGCUACUAUAGUACUUACUUUCGGGUGUCUAAAUUCCAGCUCCUUCGGCAGUCCCGGAACUUUUCUGGUGAAUUUUCUCCAAACCCUGUCGGACAAAGAAAACAAUUACUUGAUAUCAGGAAAUGAACAAAGUUGCUGAUAUGGUGGAUAAUGAUCGAUUUAACGUACUUCUUGAGGAUUUCAGUCAUGUCCGCAUACUCCCGGGGAUCUUUUUGUUUAGAGUCCAAGACAGUUACUACUCCUGCUCAAGCCUAAUCUCUAGGAGAAUAUAGUGGUACCUGCACACGCAUGCAUAACUCAUCAAUUACAUUACUAUAACCUGGACUAAUAUGUAAGGGAAACCGAAUAUGCACAAGACAGUAACACUCACUUGAAGUUGUAAGGAAAGAGUAUUAUAUCUUUGUUUUCAUUUUUUUUGAAUGAUCGUAGCAAGUUGGCCUCGGUAUCUUCGGGACGAUGUUCAACCUCAGUUGCAUCUAGGAGAUAUGUGUUAACGAACCCAAUAUCACCGAUUUGUCUUUUCUUCAAUUCGGCGAUCUUCAAUCUGCAUAAUAUAGUGAGGAUAAUUAUAAAUACAUGCAAUGAAAGAGAUGAGCUAUAUAGAGAGACUUAAUGACAGAAGUAGUAGUACUUACAGACAGUAGCAGGUGACCGUUGUUUUAUCGAGGGCCAAUUGAUUGAAAAACUGAUAGAACUCCUCAAAUGGAAUAGGCAACAGUUCAAUUCCAACGAGGUCAUGCUCCGGUUUAACUCUCGCAUACAAAGUACUCCUCCCCCUAGACUCUCUGCAGAUUUUCAAGUACCAAUCAUGUAAUCUUCGCAUCAUCGUUGUUAAAGAUUUUUCAUCUUUGACGAGAGGCUUCCCGUACUCGUAUCUGUGUAUCUGCACCUCCAUGGGAUCAUAAUGUACAUCGUCGGGCAGGUAAUUGUCAACAUUGCAAUAACCGGGCACCAUCCACGGAUCGACGAUGUCGCUAGGCACCUUGAGCGGGGGGCACGAUUGCUUCGCUUGUUCGCCGAGCUGGGCAAUUUGUUUCCCAGCUGCUCGUCGUUCUUUCAGCCUUUGAUCACUGACUGUACUUCCCGAUCGCUCCGCUUCGGCCCAUGUCUUUGCAAUAAUGCGCUCAUAGUUGCCUUUCGGCGGAGACUUGGGUGGUUUUGCCAGGGCAGCCAGAGUGCGCUUCACUUUCACCGGAUCUACCUUCUCCUCCGGAGGUGGAUGUCUCUUUGCUUUCAACCCUUGAAACCAGUCAUCCACUUCGGUUUGCGCGAUCUUCGCGUUCUCCUCCGGGGUCCUCUCGUAUGGUAACUUCUGUGGACUCUUCAGACAAGGACCGAAUCUGUAUGUCCUCCCGCCUCUGGUUGUACUGCUAGAUGCCGACCGAGCAGACGGAGCGGUUGUCUUCUUUACUUGCUUACGAGGCGGAGGAGAAGGACUAUGACGCGGCGGAGCAGCUGCCGGAGCAGCGGCGGGUCUCUUCCGCCCUUGCUGACGAGGCGGAGAAGGAGGACAUUGGCUGCUCGGGCGCGCCGGUGCAGGCGGAGAAGGAGGCGGAGUGCCGCCAUGUGCCAGAGAAGGAGCCGGCCGAGGGCCCUGAUCGUCACUCGCCAGAGGAGGAGGCGGUGGAGGAGGAGGAGUGCCCUGACUCGCCGGAGGAGGAGGAGGAGGCGGAGGCAUCCAGUUCGGAAGGUUGAUGAGCUCCUUCCGCCAUAGGCAUGGAGUCUUCAGAGCAGACCCCAACCGAGUCUCCCCUUCACCUGUAGGGUGGUCAAGCUGGAGGUCCUCAAAUCCCUCCGUUAUUUCAUCCACCAUCACCCUAGCAUAUCCUUCUGGAAUCAACCGAUAGUGAAAAGUUGCGCCGGGUUCAGUAGGAUAAACAGAGCCAACAGCCGCCUUGACCUUCAAAUUCAUCCAUUGCGUCAUAAGGUGGCAAUUUUGAGACUCCGUGAUAGCAUCCACGGGAUAGCUGGCAGGAGCCGUCAAGGCAUGCUUCGGCUGAAGCAGCUCGGUGGAAGCCACGCUGCUUCUGCGCUGAGAUGGCGGGGUAGCUUCGGGGGAAGCUUCGGCAGUACGUUUGCUGUGAUUUGCUUCUCGUUCCUCUAUCGCGUCUACCCUUGCUUGCAGCGCCUGCAUUUGGGUCUGCUGCACUUUUUUCCUCCUCUCAUGGGAUUUGUAACCGCCUACGUCCAAAAACCCAACCUUCCAUGGAAUGGAGCCUGGCAUGCCUCGUGUCCGUCUAGGGUGCUCAGGAUUCCCGAGGGCCAUUGUGAGCUCGUCGUUCUCUCUGUCUGGAAAGAACGUCCCUUGCUACGCUGCUUCAAUAUACUUCUUAAGCUUCCUGACUGGUAUGUCCAUUUGAUCGUUCGUCCAAAUGCACCUCCCUGUUACAGGGCCAAGGUUCCGCCAGCCCCAAAGAACCAAGUCCGACAACGGUCUGGCCAGUUAAUUGUCUCUGGUUCGAUCCCUUUAUCAACCAGAUCAUUCUCAGUCUUGGCCCACUUAGGCCAGGCUAUGAGGUAGCCACCUGACCCCGUGCGAUGGUGAAGCUUCUUCUUCGCAGCAUUUUGCUUGUUUGUCGCCAACAUCUUCUUACUCUUUGCCGAUGUCUUGUGGGCCACAAAUGCGGGCCAGUGAUCUCUGAUCUUCCCAUAUCUGCCCUUGAAUUCUGGUGUCUCAUUAUUUUCGACAAACUUAUUCAACUCUUUCUUCCACCUCCUGAAUAGUUCUGCCAUCCUCUUAAGAGCAAAAGACUUGAUUAAUUGCUCUUUAACUGGGUUCUCUGGAUUAUCCUCUGGCGGUAGGGUGAAAUUUGACUUCAACUCAGUCCAAAGAUCAUUUUUCUGCAUAUCAUUGACAUAAGACACCUCAGGGUCAUCUGUAGCCGGCUUAAACCAUUGCUGGAUGCUUAUCGGGAUCUUGUCCCUAACCAGAACCCCGCACUGAGCAACAAAUGCGUUCUUUGUUCGGAUGGGUUCAAUCGGUUGGCCGUCGGGUGCGAUUGCUAUGAUCUCAAACUUUUCAUCUGAGCUCAACUUUUUCUUCGGGCCUCGUCUCUUUACCGAAGUUGUGCUCGAUCCGGAGGGCUAGAAAAAAGAACAAAGACUUAAUUAAUAUGUGUACAUACCAAAACAAUGAAUGCAUCAAUCAGCUAGUCAGCACAGGCUUAACUAAUAUAUAUACCUGGCCGGACUCAAUUUGGUCACCGGAGCCGUCAUCACGGUCUCCUUCUUGCACCGGCAUUGGGUCACCGGAGCCGUCCUCAUGUUCUUCUUCUUGCACCGGCAUUAGGUCACCGUAGCCAGCUUCUUCACCCUCUCCUUCCAGACCAUCGGUGUCGUUGAGAAACAAUGAGACGGCAUCACUUCCUUCUGCAAUUAUGUCCCUCAACAACGCUUCUUUUGCUUCGUCUCGGGCGGUGUCCACAGUUUCUACAAAUAUUUACAACAUGGCAAUUAUUAUUCAAACAUGACAGAUGGAUAUAUUAGUGGCAAACGUAGAACUAGCUACCUAAUCAUAGUAAGGAAUCAUAUAUAUUAAUUAGUGGCCUCGACGCUGCUUCUCUAGGGUUUGGGGUGGCCUCGACAACGCUUCAAGGGUUUGGGGUGGCCUCGAGAACGCUUCAAGGAGGGGGUAAUAUCGACCCCCCCACAUGUUGAAGCUAUCGGGAGGGGGUAUAUAUCGACAAUGACGACACUACAUCUAUGUCCCUCGACGACCCUCGUUCUCAAUAAAAAAAAGAGGAAGAAGAAGAAAAAAAGAGGAGAAGAAAGAAUAGAGGAGAAGAACUCCUCUAUUCUUUCUUCUCCUCUUUUUCUUCUUCUUCCUCUUCUUUUAUCCUCUUCUUCCUCUCAUGUUCGAGAGGAUCACCGAGGGGUCGGGAGGUUGCCUAGUGUCAAAGGAUUCAACAAAACCAUGUCUUCAUCAUUAGGCGAAAGUAACAGGUGCAUGAUGGUACGAAGCUCUCCAAAGUUAUUUUGGAACGGAGUCCUAGAUAGGAUAAUUCGCUUUUUGGUACAAAGUUCAGCAAGAACCUUCCAAAUAUCGUUAUUUGGAAGGCCUUUGCUGAAAUUCAUACAAAAAGGAAAAUUAUCCUAUCCGGGACACCAUUCCAAAAUAACUUUGGAGGACUUCGUCAUGCCCUGGUUACUUCUGGCUAAUGAUGAAGCCAUGGAUUUCUUCAAUACUUUGACACUAGGAAAUCUCUCUCUCGACCCCUCGGCGAUCCUCGACCCCUCGAACCCUCGACGACCCUGGAACCCUCGACCCCUUGGUGAUCCUCUUCUUCGUCUCAUGUUCGAGAGGAUCGCCAAGGGGUCGGGAGGUUGCCUAGUGUCAAAGGAUUCAACAAAACCAUGUCUUCAUCAUUAGGCGAAAGUAACAGGUGUAUGAUGGUAUGAAGCUCUCCAAAGUUAUUUUGGAACGGAGUCCUAGAUAGGAUAAUUCGCUUUUUGGUACAAAGUUCAGCAAGAACCUUCCAAAUAUCGUUAUUUGGAAGGCCUUUGCUGAAAUUCAUACAAAAAGGCAAAUUGUCCUAUCCGGGACACCAUUCCAAAAUAACUUCGGAGGACUUCGUCAUGCCCUGGUUACUUCUGGCUAAUGAUGAAGCCAUGGAUUUCUUCAAUACUUUGACACUAGGAAAUCUCUCUCUCGACCCCUCGAACCCUCGAAGACCCUGGAACCCUCGACCCCUCGGCGAUCCUCUUCUUCCUCUCAUGUUCGAGAGGAUCGCCGAGGGGUCGGGAGGUUGCCUAGUGUCAAAGGAUUCAACAAAACCAUGUCUUCAUCAUUAGGCGAAAGUAACAGGUGCAUGAUGGUACGAAGCUCUCCAAAGUUAUUUUGGAACGGAGUCCUAGAUAGGAUAAUUCGCUUUUUGGUACAAAGUUCAGCAAGAACCUUCCAAAUAUCGUUAUUUAGAAGGCCUUUGCUCAAAUACAUACAAAAGGCAAAUUAUCCUAUCCGGGACACCAUUCCAAAAUAAUUUUGGAGGACUUCGUCAUGCCCUGGUUACUUCCAGCUAAUGAUGAAGCCAUGGAUUUCUUCAAUACUUUGACACUAGGAAACCUCUCUCGACCCCUCGGUGAUCCUCGACCCCUCGAACCCUCGACGACCCUCGAACCCUCAACCCCUAGACGACCCUGGAACCCUCGACCCUCGAUCCCUUGACCCUAUAGAACCCUUGAACCCUCGACCCUGAAACCCUCGACCCUUGACCCCUUAACGACCCUCGACCCUCUACCCUAGUUCCCGACCCUCGACCCCUCGGCGAUCCUCGACACCCUCGUUCCCGAUAAAAAAUAAGAAGAAGAAGAAGAAAAAAGAGGAGAAGAAGAAAGGAAUAGCUAGAGGAGAAGAUCGAAGAAAAAAAGAGGAGAAGAAGAAAGGAAUAGUGGAGAAGAAGAAAAAUAGAAUAUAUUCUAUUUUCUCUUCUUCUCCACUAUUCAUUUCUUCUUCUCCUCUUAUUUUUCUUCUUUUUUCUUCUUCUUAUUUAUUUCUCCUCUUCUUCCUCUCCUCUUCUUCUUUCUAAGUCCUGCUUAUAUACACAGAGUAUUGGUCCCGGUUCGUACCCCUCUCGACCCCUCGUCCCUCUCUCGACCCCUCAACGACCCUCGUCCCUGAUAACAUUUUUUUCUCCCCUUGACCCCUCUCGACCUCUCGUCCCCCUCUCGACCACUCAUCAUCAUCUAUCACCCCCUCGUUUUCUUUAGCAUAUAUCCAUGAACAAAAAAAUAAUUCAUAUAUAGAAAAAAUGCUAUAUGAACAUACAUACAUAUGAGCAUAUACAGAGAGCAUAUACAUACAUACAUACGUACAUAUGAGCAUAUACAUACAUACAUAGCCAAAUCCAAAUACAUAUGAGCAUAUACAUACACAUGAAAAAAAUUAUCACACACAGAGAGCAGCGGCGGCGGCGGCGAUGGUCAGAGCGACAGGGAUCGAUGGGAAGGGGGGAGCUCACUGGGGGCGCGACGGGGAGGAGGCCGGGGACGGGGAAGGAGGCCGGCGACCGUGCGGGGGAGGCCGGCGACGCGGCGCGGGGCGAAGGGGAGGGGGCGGAGAUGGCGCAUGCAGCGACGAGGAGGAGGCCGGCGACGGCGCACACAGCAACGGGGAGAAGGCCUGCGGUGGCGCGGUGCGACGGCGACGGGGAGCGGGCGACGACGGGCUCGGGGCGGCGACGACGAUGACGAACGGCCUGGCGGCGUCGGGGGGGAAUGGGAGCGGUUGGCGAAAUUUUCACAAGUGCUACCUUAUAUACCCAGAGCAAUGGUCCCGGUUCGUGGCACGAACCGGUACCAAUGCCCCCCUAUGGUCCCGGUUCAUGCCACCAACCGGGACCAUAGGUCUCUUUUCAGCAGCCGAAAGUACGGGAAGCAGAGGCCUAUGGUCCCGGUUGGUGGCACGAACCGGCACCAUAGGGGGGCAUUGGUCCCGGUUGGAGCCACCAACUGUGACCAAUGCCCCCUUUAGUCCCGGUUGGUGGCACCAACCGGGACCAAUGGCCUUGUGCUGCCCCGCGCCCAAAAGUUUAGUCCCACCUCGCUAGUUGAGAGGGCUCGGGAGUGGUUUAUAAGCGCUGCUGCGCCCACCCUCCCGAGCUCCUCUCAACUGCAGGCUUUCGGGCCUAAUCUGUCACUGCAAUGCCUGUGGGCCUACUAGGCCUACUGCGGGCCUGAAUCCUGGCCCAUGGUAGGGUUUCUAGUCGUAUUCAGGCCAUGGUGGCCCAGUAGGUGGCAUUUUUUUGUUUUUUUGUUGCUUUAUUUAUUUUCUUUUGUUUUUUGCUUUAUUUUUUAAUUCUUUAUGCUUUUAGUUUUAGAAAAAUUAUAAACUUUUUGUUAAUGCCAUUAGUUUUCAANNNNNNNNNNNNNNNNNNNNNNNNNNNNNNNNNNNNNNNNNNNNNNNNNNNNNNNNNNNNNNNNNNNNNNNNNNNNNNNNNNNNNNNNNNNNNNNNNNNNNNNNNNNNNNNNNNNNNNNNNNNNNNNNNNNNNNNNNNNNNNNNNNNNNNNNNNNNNNNNNNNNNNNNNNNNNNNNNNNNNNNNNNNNNNNNNNNNNNNNNNNNNNNNNNNNNNNNNNNNNNNNNNNNNNNNNNNNNNNNNNNNNNNNNNNNNNNNNNNNNNNNNNNNNNNNNNNNNNNNNNNNNNNNNNNNNNNNNNNNNNNNNNNNNNNNNNNNNNNNNNNNNNNNNNNNNNNNNNNNNNNNNNNNNNNNNNNNNNNNNNNNNNNNNNNNNNNNNNNNNNNNNNNNNNNNNNNNNNNNNNNNNNNNNNNNNNNNNNNNNNNNNNNNNNNNNNNNNNNNNNNNNNNNNNNNNNNNNNNNNNNNNNNNNNNNNNNNNNNNUUUUUGCUUUAAUUUUUAAUUCUGUUUGCUUUUAGGUUAGCAAAAUUAUAAACUUUCUGUUAGUGCCAUUAGUUUUAGAAAAAUUAUAAACUUUCUGUUAGUGCCAUUAGUUUUCAAAUUUGAAUAGUUAAAAUUUGAAUUCUUUGAAAAUUGUUUGAAUCACAAGUUUGUGAUUAACUUACUAAAAAAAUGAGAAUAGAUGCGCUUAUAGAGAAAAUUCAACCUAAAUUCCUAGUAAAUUUCUAUGAAUUUUAGAGAAAUUCACUAUGAAUUUAGGUUAAACUUUUCUCUAUUAGGGCAUCUAUUUUCACUUCGAGAGGAGCUCAACAAGGCAGAUAGGGAAGGGCUUAUAAACCGGUGUGAGCCCCCUUCGGUUGGCGAGGUGGGACUAAACUCUUCCUGCAACGAGGACCAACCCUUUAGUCCCGGUUUGUGGCACAAACCGGGACUAAUGGUCAUUUUGCCAGGGGCGAACCAUAAGACAUGAAAGCAUUUCAAAUGAACUCUGAAAAAGUUGAAAGUUGGGAUGGUAUCAUAAUUUCACCCACAUAGCAUGUGCAUGUACAAAACGGACAAUGGUAGCAUGUUCGUGUGUUACAAAGUUGGCAUGGUAUCAUCAUAAUAGUUGCGGGAGAAAGUCUUCACUUUUUCUUCGCUUGUGUCAUUUGCUUAUUGCGCCGUAACCAUGGAUAAUCUUCAUUGUUUAUCAGGAUGCUUGGGUCAGCCUUGACACUGAAGGGAGGAAUUUCAUGAAACUUUUCAUAAUCUUCAGACAUGUCUGUCUUGCCGUCCACUCCCAGGAUGUCCCUUUUUCCUGAAAGAACUAUGUGGCGCUUUGGCUCAUCAUAUGAUGUAUUCGCUUCCUUAUCUUUUCUUUUUCUCGGUUUGGUAGACAUGUCCUUCACAUAGAUAACCUGUGCCACAUCAUUGGCUAGGACGAACGGUUCGUCAGUGUACCCAAGAUUUUUCAGAUCCACUGUUGUCAUUCCGUACUGUGGGUCUACCUAUACCCCGCCGCCUAACAGAUUGACCCAUUUGCACUUAAACAAAGAGACCUUAAAAUCAGGUCCGUAGCCAAGUUCCCAUAUGUCCAGUAUGUAACCAUAAUAUGUGUCCUUUCCGCUCUCGGUUGCUGCAUCAAAGCGGACACCGCUGUUUUGGUUGGUGCUCUUUUGAUCUUGGGCGAUCGUGUAAAAUGUAUUCCCAUUUAUCUCAUCCUUUGUAAGUCAAUACAGUCAAAGAUGGUCCCCUGGACAACAAGUACAACUCAUCACAAACAGUGUUGUCACCUCUUAGACGUGUUUCCAACCAACUGCUGAAAGUCCUGAUGUGUUCACAUGUAAUCCAGUCGUCGCACUACUCCGGGUGUUUGGAGCGCAGACUGUUCUUGUGUUCAUCGACAUACGGGGUCACCAAGGUAGAGUUCUGUAGAACUGUGUAGUGUGCUUGAGACCAAGAAUAUCCGUCCCUGUAUAUUAUUGAGUCUCUUCCAAGAGUGCCUUUUUCAGUCAGUCUCCCCUCAUACCGCGAUUUAGGGAGACCUAUCUUCUUAAGGCUAGGAAUGAAGUCAACACAAAACCCGAUAACAUCCUCUGUUUGAUGGCCCAUGGAGAUGCUUCCUUUUGGCCUAGCACGGUUACGGACAUAUUUCUUUAGGACUCCCAUGAACCUCUCAAAGGGGAACAUAUUGUGUAGAAAUACGGGCCCCAGGAUGAUAAUCUCGUCGACUAGAUGAACUAGGACGUGCGUCAUGAUAUUGAAGAAGGAUGGUGGGAACACCAGCUCGAAACUGACAAGACAUUGCGUCACAUCACUCCUUAGCCUUGGUACGAUUUCUGGAUCGGUCACCUUCUGAGAGAUUGCAUUGAGGAAUGCACAUAGCUUCACAAUGGCUAAUCGGACGUUUUCCGGUAGAAGCCCCCUCAAUGCAACCGGAAGCAGUUGCAUCAUAAUCAUGUGGCAGUCAUGAGACUUUAGAUUCUGAAACUUUUUCUUUGGCAUAUUUAUUAUUCCCUUUAUAUUCGACGAGAAGCCAGUCGUGACCUUCAUACUGAGCAGGCAUUCAAAGAAGAUUUCUUUCUCUUCUUUCGUAAGAGCGUAGCUGGCAGGACCUUCGUACUGCUUUGGAGGCAUGCCGUCUUUUUCGUGCAAACGUUGCAGGUCCUCCCGUGCCUCAGGUGUAUAUUUUGUCUUCCCAUACAUGCCCAAGAAGCCUAGCAGGUUCACGCAAAGGUUCUUCGUCACGUGCAUCACGUCGAUUGAGGAGCGGACCUCUAGGUCUUUCCAGUAGGGUAGGUCCCAAAAUAUAGAUUUCUUCUUCCACAUGGGUGCGUGUCCCUCAGCGUCAUUCGGAACAGCUAGUCCACCGGGACCCUUUCCAAAGAUUACGUAGUGUAAAUCAUUGACCAUAGCAAGCACGUGAUCACCGGUGCGCAUGGAGGGCUUCUUCCGGUGAUCUGCCUCGCCUUUGAAAUGCUUGCCUUUCUUUCGACAUUGAUGGUUGGUCGGAAGAAAUCGACGAUGGCCCAGGUACACAUUCUUCCUGCAUUUGUCCAGGUAUAUACUUUCAGUGUCAUCUAAAUAGUGUGUGCAUGCGUGGUAUCCUUUGUUUGUCUGUCCUAGAAGGUUACUGAGAGCGGGCCAAUCGUUGAUGGUCAUGAACAGCAACGCCUUAAGGUUAAAUUCCUCCUAUCUGUGCUCAUCCCACGUACAUACACCGUUUCCAUUCCACAGCUGUAAAAGUUCUUCAACUAAUGGCCUUAGGUACACAUCAAUUUCGUUGCCGGGUUGGUUAGGGCCUUGGAUGAGAACUGGCAUCAUAAUGAACUUCCGCUUCAUGCACAUCCAAGGAGGAAGGUUAUACAUACAUAGACUCACGGGCCAGGUGUUGUGAUUGCUGCUCUGCUCCCCGAGAGGAUUAAUGCCAUCCGCGCUUAAAGCAAACCAUCCAUUCCUUGGGUCCUUUGCAAACUCAUCCUAGUACUUUCUCUCGAUUUUUCUCCACUGCGACCCGUUAGCGGGUAAUUUCAACUUCCCAUCUUUCUUUCGGUUCUCACUAUGCCAUCGCAUCAACUUGGCAUGCUCUUCAUUUCUGAACAGACGUUUCAACUGUGGUAUUAUAGGAGCAUACCACAUCACCUUCGCAGGAACCCUCUUCCUGGGGGGCUCGCCGUCAACAUCACCAGGGUCAUCUCGUCUGAUCUUAUACCGCAAUGCACCGCAUACCGGGCAUGCGUUCAGAUCCUUGUAUGCACCGCGGUAGAGGAUGCAGUCAUUAGGGCAUGCAUGUAUCUUCUCCACCUCCAAUCCUAGAGGGCAUACGACCUUCUUUGCUGCGUAUGUACUGUCAGGCAAUUCGUUAUCCUUUGGAAGCUUCUUCUUCAACAUUUUCAGUAGCUUCUCAAAUCCUUUGUCAGCCAUAGCAUUCUCUGCCGUCCAGUGCAGCAAUUCCAGCAUGGUACCGAGCUUUGUGUUGCCAUCUUCGCAAUUGGGGUAUAACCCUUUUUUGUGAUCCUCUAACAUGCGAUCGAACUUCAGCUUCUCCUUUUGACUUUCGCAUUGCGUCCUUGCAUCGACAAUGACCCGGCGGAGAUCAUCAUCAUCGGGCACAUCGUCUGGUUCCUCUUGAUCUUCAGUAGCUUCACCCGUUGCAGCAUCAUUGGGCACAUCGUCUGGUUCCUCUUGAUCUUCACCAGCUCCCCCCGUUGCAGCAUCACCGUAUUCAGGGGGCACAUAGUUGUCAUCGUACUCUUCUUCUUCGCCGUCUUCCAUCAUAACCCCUAUUUCUUCGUGCCUCGUCCAAACAUUAUAGUGUGGCAUGAAACCCUUGUAAAGCAGGUGGGAGUGAAGGAUUUUCCGGUUAGAGUAAGACCUCGUAUUCCCACAUUCAGUGCAUGGACAACACAUAAAACCAUUCUGCUUGUUUGCCUCAGCCGCAUCGAGAAACUCAUGCACGCCCUUAAUGUACUCGCGGGUGUGUCUGUCACCGUACAUCCAUUGCCGGUUCAUCUACGUGCAUUAUAUAUAAUUAAGUGUCCAAAUUAAGAGAAGUUCAUCAUCACAUUAAAACCAAAGUGCAUACAUAGUUCUCAUCUAACAACAUAUAGCUCUCCAGAGCAUCUAAUUAAUUAAACCAUACACUGAAACUAUGUAAAACAUUUCAAUGCGAAAACAAAUGCGAUCAUAAUCGCAACCAAGGUAACAAUUGAUCCAACGGCAUAAUGAUACCAAGCCUCGGUAUGAAUGGCAUAUUUUCUAAUCUUUCUAAUCUUCAAGCGCAUUGCAUCCAUCUUGAUCUUGUGAUCAUCGACGACAUCCGCAACAUGCAACUCCAAUAUCAUCUUCUCCUCCUCAAUUUUUUUAUUUUUUCCUUCAACAAAUUGUUUUCUUCUUCAACUAAAUUUAACCUCUCGACAAUAGGGUCGGUUGGCAUUUCCGAUUCACAUACAUCCUACAUAAUAAAAUCUAUGUCACGUUGGUCAGCAUAAUUUUCAUAAACAAUAAAUGAACCAAUAGUUAUAAAGAUAAUAUAUAUACCACAUCCGAAUCAUAGACAGGACGAGGGCCGACGGGGGCGGAUACCAAAACCAUCGCACUAUAUAAGAUGCAAUAAUAAAAGUAAGAAAAUAAUACAAGUAUCUAUGUAAACAUACAAGUAAGAAUAUUUUUCCUUUCAGAAAGAAGAUACGAAUAAGAGGCUCACCACGGUGGUGCCGGCGAUGAGCUCGGCGCGGGUGAUCGACAGCGGUGAAGACGGGGACGGGGCGUGACGGACCGCUAAACCUAGACAAAUAUUAUGGAAAAUGGAGCUUGGAGGUCGAGCUUGGAGAGGAGAAAGCUUAAGUAGUGUGGCUUGGGCAUUCCAUCGAACACCUUGUGUGCAUAGGAGGUGAGCUAGAGCACCACCAAGCCCUCUCCCCCUUGGGCAGAAAAAAACAAAGCAGUGUGCUCUGCUCUUACGCGAGGGGGUAUAUAUAGGCACCUCAUUGGUCCCGGUUGGUGGCAUGAACCGGGACUAAAGGGGAGCCUUUGGUCCCAGUUCAAGCCACCAACCGGGACCAAUGGUGGUGGGCCAGGAGUGAGGCCCAUUGGUCCCGGUUCGUCCCACCAACCGGGACCAAAAGGUCCAGAUGAACCGGGACCAAUGGCCCACGUGGCCCGGCCGGCCCCCUGGGCUCACGAACCGGGACCAAUGCCCCCAUUGGUCCCGGUUCUGGACUGAACCGAGACUAAUGGGCUGACCCGGCCUGGACCAAAGCCCUGUUUUCUACUAGUGUAUACACAUUGUUACCAAAAUUAUUCCUACCAACAAAAUUCACAUCCAUAGAUUCAUUAUUAUUCUCAAUCAAAGUAGACAAAGGCAUAUCAGUAGGAUCAGAAGAAACACUCUUAUUAGCAAACAAUUUCAUAAGUUCAUCCAUCUUUCCACUCAAAACAUUAAUUUCUUCACUCGCAUGACCCUUUUUACUAGUAGAUCUUUCAGUGUGCCAUUGAGAAUAAUUAACCAUAAUAAUAUAUAGGAGUUUAGUAGCUUCUCCUAAAGUGAUUUCCAUAAAAGUGCCUCCCGCGGAUGAAUCUAAAAAUUUCUAGAAGCAAAAUUCAAUCCAGCAUAAAAUUUUUAGGCAAAUUCAAACCAUGAGUAGGGCAAUUACGUAUCAUUAAUUUCAUCCUCUCCCAAGCUUGUGCAACAUGUUCAUGAUCAAGUUGUUUAAAAUUCAUAAUAUCGUUUCUAAGAGAGAUGAUCUUAGCGGGAGGAAAAUACUUAGAGAUAAAAGCAUCUUUGCAUUUAUUCCAAGAAUCAAUACUAUUUUUAGGCAAAGACGAAAACCAAGUUUUAGCAUGGUCUCUAAGAGAAGACGGAAAUAGCUUCAAGUUAACAAUAUCAUUAUCCACAUCUUUCUUCUUUUGCAUAUCACACAAAUCAACAAAGCUAUUUAGAUGGGUAGCGGCAUCUUCACUAGGAAGGCCAGCGAAUUGAUCCUUCAUGAAAAGAUUCAACAAAGCAACAUUAAUUUCACAAGAUUCAACUUUGGUAAGAGGAGCAAUCGGGGUAAUAAGAAAAUCAUUGUUGUUGGUAUUGGUAAAGUCACACAAUUUAGUAUUGUCUUCAGCCAUAGUGACAAGCAAGCAAUCCAACACACGAGCAAACAAGAAGCAAGAUAAAAAGAGGCGAACAAAAAAGAGGGCGAAUAAAAUGGCAUGGGUGAAGUGGGGGACAGGAAAACGAGAGGAAAAUGGCAAAUAAUGUAAUGUGAGGGAUAAGAGUUUGUGAUGGGUACUUGGUAUGUCUUGACUUGUGCGUAGACUCCCCGACAACGACGCCAGAAAUCCUUCUUGCUACCUCUUGAGCACUGUGUUGGUUUUCCCUUGAAGAGGAAAGGGUGAUGUAGCAAAGUAGCGUAAGUAUUUCCCUCAGUUUUUGAGAACCAAGGUAUCAAUCCAGUAGGAGGCCAUGCUUAAGUCCCUUGCACCUACACAAACAAAUAAGGACGUUGCAACCAACGCGAUAAAGGGGUAAUGCUUUAAGCAAGAUGACAUGAUGUAGAGGGAUAAACUCAUGCAAUAUGAUAUAAACCCCAUCUUUUUAUCCUCGAUGGUAACAAUACAAUACGCGUUGUUUCGCCUACUGUCACUGGGAUCAAGCACCGCAAGAUUGAACCCAAAGCUAAGCACUUCUCCCAUUGCAAGAAAGAUCAAUCUAGUAGGCCUAACCAAACUGAUAAUUCGAAGGGACUUGCAAAGAUAACCAAUCAUACAUAAAAGAAUUCAGAGAAGAUUCAAAUAUUGUUCAUAGAUAAUCUUGAUCAUAAACCCACAAUUCAUCAGAUCUCGACAAACACACCACAAAAGAAGAUUACAUCGAAUAGAUCUCCAAGAGAAUUGAGGAGAACUUCGUAUUGAGAUCCAAAGAGAGAGAAGAAGCCAUCUAACUAAUAACUAUGGACCCAAAGGUCUGAGGUAAACUACUCACACAUCAUCGGAGAGGCUAUGGUGUUGAUGUAGAAGCCCUCCGUGAUCAAUGCCUCCUCCAGCGGAGCACCGGAAAAGGCCCCAAGAUGGGAUCUCACGGGUACAGAAGGUUGCGGCGGUGGAAUUAGGUUUUCAUGGUGCUCUCCGAUGGUUUGGGGGUACGUAGGUAUAUAUAGGAGGAAGAAGUAGGUCGGUGGAGCCAUGAGGGGCCCAUGAGGGUGGAGGGCACGCCCAGGGGGGUAGGCGCGCCCCCUGCCUCGUGUCCUCCUCGUUGAUUGCUUGACGUCCACUCCAAGUCCUCUGGAUCACAUUUGUUCCAAAAAUCACGCUCCCGAAGGUUUCAUUCCGUUUGGACUCCGUUUGAUAUUCUUUUUCUGCAAAACACUGAAAUAGGCAAAAAAAAUAGCAAUUUGGGCUGGGCCUUGGGCAAAAAAUAGCAAUUUGGGCUGGGCCUUGGGUAAAAUAAAGCCCAUUAACGUCCAAAACAGAAUAUAUAAUAGCAUGGAACAAUCAAAAAUUAUAGAUACGUUGGAGACAUAUCAGGCACCAAGAACAAUGUUCUCGUCACAAAACUAUCGAAACGAUUCCAAGAUACCCGCAUGAUCCUAAUUUUUUCGUGAAAUUUGAGGAGAAAGAAGUCAAAACUUCUACGUCAGGAGGCCUCACCAGAGCGACGAAGGGACUGAGGAGUAAAAGGAAUCCUACUCUCCGACAUAUAAUCCUAAGACUCAAAACAUUUUGUUCUACACUCAACAACGUCAGCGAUUCGAUCAAGCAGGGGGCUCCUAAGUCAGGGAUGGCUCUGAUUAACAACUUUUAACACCCACAAUGCGGCUAUAUCUCCCACGUGUCGGGGCACGACUUAGAGGCAUAGCCGCAUUGUACUUUUGUCGCAAGAGCGGUAAUCUUCACACAAUCCCAUGUACUAAAUAAGAAAGGGAUAAAGAGUUGGCUUACAAUCGCCACUUCACACAAAUAACAAUUUAAACAUACAUCAUCCAGAGUACAAUCAAAGGUCCGACUAUGGAACCAAAAGAAAAGGAAGACAACCCCAAAUGCUAGAUCCCCGAUCGUCCCAACUGGGCACCACUACUGAUCAUCCGGAAAAGACACAUAACAACGAUCAAGAUCUUCAUCGAGUUCCCACUUGAGCUCGGUUGCGCCACCUGCACUGGUAUCAUCGGCACCUGCAACUGUUUGGAAGUAUCCGUGAGUCAUGAGGACUCAGCAAUAUCACACCCACGAGAUCAAGACUAUUUAAGCUUAUGGGUAGGAUGGGGUAAUGAGGUGCAGCUGCAGCAAGCACUAAGAAAAUAUGGUGGCUAACAUACAAAAAUAAGAGCGAGAAGAGAAGCAACGCAACAGUCGUGAAGCUAGAAGUGGUCAAGAAGUGAUCCUGAAACUACUUACGCACAACCAUAACACAAGAACCGUGUUCACUUCCCGGACUCCGCAGAAAAGAGACCAUCACAGCUACACACGCGGUUUAUGCAUUUCAAUUAAGUCAAGUGUCAAGUUAUCUACAACUGGACAUUAAAAAUUCCCAUCUGCCACAUAACCGCGGGGACGGCUUUCGAAAGUUUAAACCCUGCAGGGGUGUCCCAACUUAGCCCAUCAGAAGCUCUCACGGUCAACAAAGGAUAUUCCUUCUCCCGGAAAGGCCCGAUCAGUCUCGAAAUCCAGGUUACAAGACAUUUCGACAAUGGUAAAACAAGAGCAGCAAAACCGCCCGAAUGUGCCAACAAAUCCCGAUAGGAGCUACACACAUCUUGUCAUCAGGGCACACUAGAUGGUCAAGACAUCAGUUUGGNNNNNNNNNNNNNNNNNNNNNNNNNNNNNNNNNNNNNNNNNNNNNNNNNNNNNNNNNNNNNNNNNNNNNNNNNNNNNNNNNNNNNNNNNNNNNNNNNNNNNNNNNNNNNNNNNNNNNNNNNNNNNNNNNNNNNNNNNNNNNNNNNNNNNNNNNNNNNNNNNNNNNNNNNNNNNNNNNNNNNNNNNNNNNNNNNNNNNNNNNNNNNNNNNNNNNNNNNNNNNNNNNNNNNNNNNNNNNNNNNNNNNNNNNNNNNNNNNNNNNNNNNNNAGGGAAAAGUAAUAGGUGGUGGUGGCAAAUGUUAAAAACCAAGGUUGGGCCUUCCUGGAGGAGUUUUAUCCAAAGCGAACUGUCAAGGGGUUCCCAUAACACCCAACCGCGUAAGAAACACAAAAUCAAGGAACAUAACACCGGUGUCAGUGUCAAAACUGGCGGAUCUCGGGUAGGGGGUCCCGAACUGUGUGUCUAGGCGGAUGGUAACAGGAGACAAGGGACACGAUGUUUUUACCCAGGUUCGGGCCCUCUCGAUGGAGGUAAAACCCUACUCCUGCUUGAUUAAUAUUGAUGAUAUGGGUAGUACAAGAGUAGAUCUACCACGAGAUCAAGGAGGCUAAACCCUAGAAGCUAGUCUAUGGUAUGAUUGUUGUUCCUAUGGACUAAGACCCUCCAGUUUAUAUAAACACCGGAGAGGGCUAGGGUUACACAGAGUCGGUUACAAUGGUAGGAGAUCUACAUAUCCGUAUCGCCAAGCUUUCCUUCCACGCCAAGGAAAGUCCCUUCCAAACACGGGACGAAGUCUUCAAUCUUGUAUCUUCAUAGUCCAAGAGUCCGGCUGAAGGUAUAGUCCGGCUAUCUGGACACCCCCUAAUCCAGGACUCCCUCAACCGGUAUGAUGGAAACUAGGGCGGCAAGAGUGGAACAAAACACCAGGCAUAAGGCCGAGCCUUCCACCCUUUACCAAGUAUAUAGAUGCAUUAAUUAAAAUAAUAGAUAUUGUGAUAUCCCAACAUAUCCAUGUUCCAACAUGGAGCAAACUUCAACUUCACAUGCAACUAACAACGCUAUAUAUAAGUGUGGCUGAGCAAAGCGGUAACUUAGCCAAACAACGGUUUGCUAGGAAAGGUGGGUUAGAGGCUUGACAUGGCAAUAUGGUAGGCAUGAUAUAACAAGUGGUAGGUAGCGCGAUAUAGUGAUAGAGCGAACAACUAGCAAGCAAAGAUAGAAGUGAUUUUGAGGGUAUGGUCAUCUUGCCUUCAAAGUUCUCAGAGUUGUUGAAAGCUUGAUCCUCGCAAGUGUACUCAAUAGGUUCCUCGGUCACGUACUCGUCUCCUGGCUCUACCCAAAGCAAGAACACAAGCAAUGGAACAACAAUCAAUCACGAUGCAAUGCACAAGCAACAUGCUGCAAUACAUGUCAUGAUAUGCAAGAUAUGAUAUGCAAUGUGUAUGCGUGCUCCGGAAGGAAAGAAUGGUCAAGGAAUCAACUUGGAAAACCAAGUAUUCUGCUAGAAAGAUGAGAUGAUUUUGGUUGAAAUCGAUAUAAAGAUCACUGGAAACGGAUGCACGGUUUGCAAAUGGCAAGCAAAACAAGAAUGGUGCAAAACUGUGAUUGACAACAUGAUAGCACUUAGAUUGCAACAAGAAACUAAGCUACUGCACUCCAACAUAGCAAUAAAGCAUAUGGCAGUGAUGUACAAGAGAUGCUUGACAAAACAUGAGCAGUGAGCUAUGGCUAGAUCACACAAGAACAGGUUCAAACAAGCAUGGCAAAAAUGCAAAAGAUAUCAGCUUCACAGACUUUGUGAAAAUACUAGCAUGUCAAUAACAACAUCAGGAAGCAAUGUUUAGCGCAAGCAAACAACAUGCUACAGGAACAUAUCAUAGCAAAUAAAGGCAUGAAAUGAAUCUACCAAAUGCAUAGUACAAAAGUUCCUUAAUGAACAUGAGCUAGAAAGGCACACAAAAUAUGAUGGAACCCAUGUAAACAUAGCAAGUUUUAUUAACAGAUUCAGACAGUGUGAAAAACAGAGCAUGGCAUAAACGGAUUUAUGAUAGCAACUUUGCGACCUCGUUCCAUUCACCACAAAGCAUCAAAUGACAACAUAAGCAUACCAAUAUCAAGAUAACAUGUUCAUGACACUAACCAUGGAAAGAGCAAGUUCAUACACUACUAGGGAAAAGCCUAGCAGCAGUGUGGGUUUUGGGACUCUCAGUAGCGUGGGGACCGGCGCUACUAAUAAGGCGCUAUAGCUAACGUAUAGCAGUAGCGCCUAUUGUCCCACGCUACUGAUAUACAUGAAUAGCUAUAUCGCUCUUUAGAAAAGGGCGCUGCUGAUAUUAUCUGCAGCGCUGUUUACUGGGAAGCGCUACUGGUAAGGUGGCGCUACUGCUAAAUUUCCCCCCUCGCUACUACUAGUUUUAUUAGUUUUUUCCCUGCAUAUUUGUUUUGUAUUUGUUUUGUAUUUGAAUAGGCUUUAUGCAAUAAUCUUUAGCAUAUCAUACACAUACAAAUGUAAUCAUAGCAUAUACAUACAAUUAGUCUCAUCAAAUCAUGUCAUCAUCAUAAUCAUCAUCCAACACAAAGUGGUCUCUCGUCAUCAUCUCGAAAAUAGCGAUACAAGUCUCGAUUACUUGCAAAUACAUCGUCAUCCAUCUAAACAAUGAUAUACGCGAGAAGAGCUAUCACUUUGAGUACAUGAGUUCGUAUCCCUCUCUCGCAUUAGUGUGAACCUAAACUAACUACUGCCUGUUGCUCAGAAACCGGAAACCGGUACACCUGGGCCUGACACUUUGUCCACUUGUCGUAUAUAUACUCCUGGCGUAGCACUUCUUCGCCAUCUAUGAUCUAUGCGCCUGCAUCGUCACAUGAGUCGAUGAUAUGCAACAUAUAUAGUUGAGCAAUAGAAAGAGACAGACUUGGCAAAAAUAGAAACAACAUAUCAUAAGCAUAAAUAACAAAGUUCAUCGUACCCCAAAAUGCCCUAACUAGAGUGAUUUUCGCUAGUCGAGGAGGAAGACGGUUUAAUUACAUCGCAAAUAAAGUUUCACAGUGCAUAACUCAAAGUUUUGUCAUACAGAAAGUAUGGACUAAAUGGACACGUUGUCAUAUAUCAACAAUCACUCCAACACGUCGUUCCAUCCAUCGAAGUCAAGGAGAUAGUCCUCGAGCUUAGUGAAAGGCUUCAUGUCGAGACGCUGAGAGGCUAUCCAUGUUCGGACGUCUUCCCGCGACAUUUGUCCUUCUCCGUAGAACAUCCCUGUUUUUCCGACGACCUCCUUCAUGAUGAUUUGGGCAAGUCCAUGAUGGAUGUUAUAGAACUCAGCUCGAAGUUGAUGAUCCUCGAGAUCUCCUAUGUCCUUUGCCCAUUGCAGAAUAUGGGCAUCGCCAGAUCUAGGUGACAUGCGAAGGUUCUGGUGAUCCCGUCUGUACUCCAGCAUGUGGUGUAGGACAUAGAAUCCAUCAUUAAGAGAAUCAUUCGGUUGCUGGAUGCAGCAGAAGUCAGUCUUAUGGCCGAAGGCGACCCUCCCGCCCCUUCUCUUCUUGUCCUUGACCUCUCUACCCCUUGCUUGGUAGUAAAACAUAGCACUGUCGAGAACAUCCUUGAUGUGGCUGUAAUCCUUUUUUUGAAUGUUCUUCGACGAGUCCAAGUAAAGAGCAUGGGAGAAUCGGGCGUAGAGGAUGAUGAGGACGGCGCGCCCGCAGCUGCGCAAAAUAAGUACACCUCAAAUUAAUUAGCCUCUACCGUGCAAAUGAAUGAUUGAAAUCGAAGGAAGGAUAGCAGUGCAGAUGACUUACACGGGAUGGCAAGGCAUGAGAAUCGCCUCCUUGUCCUUAUUGGCGAGCAUGAAACUGACGAUGUAAUCCCUCGCGUAUUCACGGUGCUUUGCGCAGACUCCCAAGAAGCCCUUGUGCAUGUAGUACGGGUCAACAACACAUAUAUGAGAUAUCUACUCAACCCCGAUGAUGUAGUUCAUGUGCAAGGCAUAAAGGCGGACAAACGUAAAAUCCAGCUUCUUCACGUGAAACAUGUCGAAUAUGUAAUCGAAUCGGAGGAAGAACUUAUCCGCGGGGAAGCUGUCGACGUACGACAUUUGCCGCGGAAUGUUAACCACGUAGAGUGGGUAUCCUGGAUCUUUCGAGGCGAUGAGGCCUUUCUCUACCCUCAACACAUCGUCAUGAAGUCUCCUUAGAUCGCCGAAUCUGACCCGUAGCGUUGUUGCAGGUAGGAUUGGUUGACCGGGUAUAUGCCAUUUAUCCGCAUCGGGGAUAUCUAUACAGUCCUGGAGCCAAGGCUGCUGAGGCGGCUGGAUCAUAGAAUCAGCUUUUUUGCCUUUCCUCGCUCUCUUCCUAGACUUCUUUACUACCAGAAGGUCGUCCAUAAUAUGUUGAGACAGCAAUUCAGGCACCGACUCAUGACGCUCAAACCCUGAGGAGGCGCCAGUAUAGGCAUACUGUUCAGUGCCAUCGUCGUCCUCAUCCUCAUCCAUGCCGACGUCAUCAGCGACUAAUGGAGCCUCCUCCUUACCCCAUGCGCUAUCACCCAACCCGACACCCGAUGCUAAUUGGGUAGGUGAGGUGUUGAUGUCCAUACCUUGCUCAGGCCACGUGCUCGUGGGUGUGCUCCCAGCCGCCUCCAGAUGAAGCAGACUCUUUGGCCACAACAGGAUCCACCCAUUGCAACAAUCACCAAGCCGCCGCGGUGUCUCAUCGUCAUCCCCCACUAGUAUUGGAGGAGGCAAAUUCUCGUGGCCCGGUUUGACAUUGGCCACGGAAACCUUGAAGACGUUCGGGGGGAUCGGCUGGCUAUGGAACAAUGGUUCCUUCGGCUCCAUUAUCGUCGCCUUCCCCACGUCCACCUUAUGGUCGCCAAUGGUGUACAAUAUGGUGCACGGGGUUUUGUCGGCCUGCAAAGAAAAGUCUGCAACGUGAGACAUCCGAAAGGCAACGAAAACGGGAGAUUAUACAUUUAUAUUGAAGGGGGCGGUGUGACAGAUACCGUGAGCGCGUCGAGCUCAGCCAAAGACGAAGCACCACCGAGCACGUCCGGUGCAGGAGCCGGUGCGGGAGCAGGUGCGGGAGCCGGUGCGGGGGCAGGUGUUGGUGCAACGCUAGUCGAGCUGCUCCCCAAGAAGUCAGCAAGGGGAAAGUCCUCUACAUUUUUUUCUGGAUUUUGCCUUGUCCAAGUGAAAAUGCCCAUCACUAAGGAAGUAGACAAAUCUGCAACCACCUGUUUUGCGGCAGCUACCGCUGUUGCGACUGUCUAAGAUGAUUUCUUCUCAACUGCAAUCUCAACCUUCUUGUCGAUGUUUUCUUUAGUUAACCUCUGUCUUUCCUUUCUCUCCUCCGUGGUCUCCCGAUAGUACUUCUUCCACGUGGCGCCAUCUCCAACACCAUGCACGCGUCCAUACGAUGGUCGAGUCUCCACCGGUUGUCGUUUCAAUAUGUUCAAUGCCCGGUUGAAUGGAUUGUCCCACUUGGGCCUCACAAUGCCUCAGACGGCGAGUCGCUUUCGGCUGCAAUCCGGUGUUGCUCUCUCUGCAAAAGGCACAAGGAUCGUUUACAAAUAUGACUAACGUGUGCAGUCGAAUUAAUCAGAAACUAAAAUUACCAGUAGUCUCAUGAACUCCGUAAUGACCGGUUUUGUCUCGUAAACCUUCUUCACUGGGUCCCAACAGUGUCGGGCCCUGAGGACGUCACGCUCCUGCGGGACGGUGAAAUCCGCCAAGGGGUCUGGGAUGCCCAGAUUCGCGGCUUCCACGUCCUGCUUGGCCCAUUUGGACCUCUUUCCGCCGUAACCACGGCUUCCGAGGUGGUGGCUCCCAAUGUUCCUCUCUUGAAGCCCCUUCAUGUACUUAGACUUUUUUUGACAGCUUCGGCCUCGCAAGCCUCCUUGAAUAUUUGAAACUGCUCUUCCGUGAUUGUCGGAUUAUCCUUUACAAUCUCGGAGUAGGGUUCUUCUUGUCGAUGAUCUUUGCUUUCACUCGAUUUUUCCAGGCGGCCAACGCGUUGCUAAACUUGGUCAUGGCGUGUUUGUUUAUCUUCUUCAUUGCCGGGUCCUCAUCUGGAUCUUCAUAAUCCUUCUCAUUCCGGCCCGGGAACAAGAAUAUCUGGUGAAACUUCUUUAGGAGGGAGCUCCUCAUAUUUUCUAUCUUCUAUAGUUUCUCAUCGUUGAUGGUGGCGGUUGUCCGUACGAUGCAGCCUAGUUGAUUGCCGUAGCAUCGACGCGCUUCCUCGGGCGCCUUUGGCUCAAAAUUGCCGCCGUCCACCUCCGUGACCACCAGUCUAGUAGUCCUGAGUUUGUUAGGAAGACGUUGCCUCUUUGUUUUCGGUUCUACACCGGCUCCGCUCCCCGAGGCAGCGCCGGUCUCAGUCUCAGCGCCGGUCUCGAUGCCGGUCUGAGUCUUAGCGCCGGUCUCAGUCUCAGCAUCGGUCUGCGUGUCAGUCUCAGUCCUCGAUGCCACCGGUGGUCCUAGCAACAACAUCGGUUGAUCGUCAGCAAGGCUAAAAAAUUCGUCUGUCACCCGGUAGACUUCGUCGCAAUCACCAGAACCCUAUCCUUCAUCGUUGCUAGCUAUGUUUCCUAUGAUUAAAUCUAGUCAAUUAAUUCUAGACCUAAUAAAAUGAAUAAUGACAUAAAAAAGGCCUAUUGUUUUGCAGGAAUGUUGACUCCUUCCUGGCGCGGCAAAUCGCGGGCACUCGAUAUGUCCUAGUUUGUAGCACAAGUCAUGCCGAAAUUCAUGGAAAAUUUCGGCAUGACCUUUGCUAAAAAGUGGACAAAUUGAGAACCUGAAAUUUGCAGGAACAGAAAUGAAUCAACAUUCCGGCAAAACAUAGGCCACACAGCAUCAUUCCCUGGAAACAACAAAGCCACUUGGGCACAAUCGAACAACUUCAAUGAAAAGAUAUAACAUGAGCAAACACUAUUGAGGAAUUUGCAUAUAACAUGGCCACUUCAAUGAAAAGAUAUAAUCAACAAUAAUAGAAUAUGCAAAUGAACAUCAAUGACAUAUAUCAUAUAAAAACAGUCUUUUUUUUGUUUGCAUAGCAACAAUUAGUUUGACCAAGUUUUUGAAAAGAAAAACAAUUCUGUUUUUUGUUUAUAGCUAAAUGCCAUAGCUACUGUUUUUUAUUUAUAGCUAAAUACUUUUAUUUUUUGUCUAAAGCUAAAAGUCUAGGAACUCCAUUUUAUCUAACCCUUCUGACCUCACCAAAAUUUCCACAACAAGACCUUAGUACCUACACCCAAUUUCUUCAAAAAUAGGUCCAUAGUCCAAAUAAUUCAAAUUUCAUUUGAAUGAAAUUUGGAACAAAUUCAGGUCCGUAGUCCAAAUAUUUUUUUAUAGCUAAGUGUUUUUUGUUUAUAACCUCCGUUAAUUUAAAUCUAAAUGCUACUAUUAUUUAUAUACCCUCUAUUAGUUUAAAGCUAAAUGGAAUUACUGUUUAGGCAUUUUCAUAAAAAUUUCCCUAGCUAAUUUCCUAAGAAAAUUUCUAAUCAUUUUUCCUAAAUGCUAUAAAAUGCCUACUGCCCUAAAAAAUCUAGGGUUCAUAUGAACACCUAGGGUUCAUAUGAACACAGUAUCAACAUAUAUAUGAGUUGCCCUAGCAGAGAGAGAGGAGGGUAGGGGACAGGAGAGGCAGAGCCUUACGGUCGACGGCGAGGGAAGGCUCUGGCUCGGGCGGCGGCGGUGAGCUCAAGGGAGGCGACGAUGAGGUUGACGAUGGCCUCGGGCGGCGGCUGUGAGGUCGAGGGCGGCCACGGGCGGCGGUGGUGUGGUCGAAGGCGGCGGGCGGCGGCGGUGUGGUCGAAGGCGGCCUUGGGCGGUGGCGGUGUGGUCGAAGGCGGCAGGGCGACGGCGGCGAUGGAGCAGUUGGGGGACAGGGGGCGGGAGUUGAGAUGGGGAAAGGACUUAGCGAAAUUUUGAGCCCGGGCUGCCAGGAUUUGAGUCAAACUAGCAGUAGCGCGUUUUGCCGAAACGCGCUAUAGCUAAGAUAGCUAUAGCGUGUUCCAAAGAUACGCGCUACAACUAUUCCUUUCUGUUUUAUUUUUCUUUUUCUUUUGUUUUCUUUACAUUUUCUUUUUUUCAUUUCUCCUUUUUCUAUUUCUUUCAUUUUCAUUUACUUUUCUACUUAUUUUUCUAUUUAUUUUCUUUUUCAUAGCAGUAGCGCUCUACAGCAUAAACGUGCUACUACAAAGUUUUUAGCAGUAGCGUGCUUCUGGGUGAACCGCUACUACUAUUCCUAGCCUACCGACAUUAGUGAGGGAAUUUUAGUAGUAGCGCUUUUCUGUGGAGACGCGCUACUGCUAAAACAAUGGUUGUAGCGUGGUUUUGUAACAAGCGCUACUACUAAGUAGCGCUAGCGCCGAGUUUUGACCAACGCUACAAUUGUACCUCUGUGUAUAAGGUUUUCCCUAGUAGUGAUAGGAUGCAUAGAUCACUAGCAACAGCCAUGGCAAUAUUGAUUGACAUGUUAACAAUCUGUCAGGAAUAAUUUAUAGAAGAAGUAGAGCAAGAAAAUGACAUGCCAGGGCACUCCAUAAUUGCAACCAGUGGCAUGAAUGGAUAUAGCAUAACCACAUGUUUAAAACAUCCUUACUAAAGUAUCUCAAAAUAAGCAUGGAUCUCACGGUAACAUCAAGUUUACAUGGCAUCAAAAUAACAGCAGGAAAAUGACUGCAAAAUCCUAAGUGCCUGAAACAACAACAUCACGGAGCCUAGUUUGCAUGCUUGUACUAGUCACCACAUAUAUCACAAAAAUACAAGACUUACACGUCUGUAAAUAUGGCAUGUUGUAGUUCAAAACACAUGUAGACCUCAUGCUCAAAGGAUGCACACAUCCAAUGCAACAAAAAUGACAAAUCACCAUGUUCUGUUAAGAAGCAGGAAUUAACAUUUUAUAGCACUCUUGCAACAAUGAAAAUGGCAUCAUAAUGGGCAGUAACAUGCAUGGAAAUGCUUCUAACAUGAAGAGCUCAAUGAGACGAACAUUUCGAUAUGUCAUAUGCAUGAUUUGGAGCCACGAUCAUGAAGAUACGACAUGUUGCAGGAGGCAUAAAAAUUACAAGGGUUUCGGGACAUAGUGAAAUCUCACACUCCGAAAAAGUCAACGGGACAGAGGGAUUCGGGGCGCGGGUGCUGUUUGGCUGGUUGACGUGGUGGAUCUCAUCCACUCGGGGAUCCGGGUCAGAUCCAGCGAUGAUGGCGACGAACUCCAGUGAGCCGUGCGACCGGAGUCGAGGAGGAGACCGGCAAGGGGCGGCGCGACGAGGAGGAGGCGAAGGCUGGCGGGUCGCGAGGCAGCGGAGGAGGACGCGACCGGCGGCGAGCUUCGGCGCGGGCGGCGUGCGCGCGAGGAAGCGGCGGCCGGCUCGGGUGGCGCAGUCACCGGCGGGCACGGGGCGGCGGUGUNNNNNNNNNNNNNNNNNNNNNNNNNNNNNNNNNNNNNNNNNNNNNNNNNNNNNNNNNNNNNNNNNNNNNNNNNNNNNNNNNNNNNNNNNNNNNNNNNNNNNNNNNNNNNNNNNNNNNNNNNNNNNNNNNNNNNNNNNNNNNNNNNNNNNNNNNNNNNNNNNNNNNNNNNNNNNNNNNNNNNNNNNNNNNNNNNNNNNNNNNNNNNNNNNNNNNNNNNNNNNNNNNNNNNNNNNNNNNNNNNNNNNNNNNNNNNNNNNNNNNNNNNNNNNNNNNNNNNNNNNNNNNNNNNNNNNNNNNNNNNNNNNNNNNNNNNNNNNNNNNNNNNNNNNNNNNNNNNNNNNNNNNNNNNNNNNNNNNCGGCGCUACGGGCGUAGGCGGCGGACCGGUUCGGGCCCAUGCGGGCCCGCUAUGGGCUCUGCGGGCUGGCGGCGGAGGACAGGUGGCUGCUUCGAAUUGGGCGUGGGGUGGUGGCGGACAUGUCCGGGCGUGAGGGUGGACGUGUCCUGCGGCGUGAGGAGGAAAAAGACUAGGGUUAGACCGAGAAUUUUUUAUGGGAGGUGUUUAUAUAGGUAGGGGGAGGUAGGAAUGUCCAAAUGAGGUGCGGUUUUCGCCCACACGAUCGUGAUCCGACGACACAGAACAUGGAGGUGGCUUAGGUGGGUUAUUGGGCUGUUUUGGAGGGCUGUUGGGCUGCAAUCCAAAUAGGCUUUUGCGGUUACCCGGUUAACCGCUGGGGCAUCAAACGACCUCCAAAUGGAACGAAAUUUGACAAGCGGGCUACCGGUGGUGUACCAAGGCCACUUGACAAAUAUCGGCCCAUUUCGAGAAUGUUUCUCUCCCGCUCACGAAAAGAGAUAAGAGGGGGCGCCGGGUGCAUGUGGGAGUGUCGGAUUGCGAAAUGGACAACAUGGAAAAUGACUGGACGCAUGAGACGAACACGAAUGCAAAUGCGAUGCACAUGAUGACAUGAUAUGAAAUGCAUGACAUGAACAAAAUGCAAACGAAAGACAAAACCCAACCACGAAGGGAAUCUCAUAACAUAAAGCUGAAAAUGGCAAGAGUCGGAGUUACAAAUAUGGAAAGUCAUAUCCGGGGCGUUAUAGUCUACCACCGCAGUUGGUGAAGAGGCGGCGCUGGCGGUUCUUGACGAUGACGGCGCGGCCCUCGGCAAGGUCAAAGGGCAAGUAGGAGCCGACGACAAGGUCGCGGUGGCUCCUGUGGAAGACGACCUGGUAGAAGCAUCUCUUGUCCUUGCCAGGGUACAAGCUAAUGACAUUCCCCUUGGAAUGCUUCUUGGAAGCAUACCACUAGAGUGUCGUGCUAGAGAACUCAUCGGUGACCUCCUCAUAGUCGUCCACAGAGACCUGUAGGUUUCUGCUGUCGCUCCCGAGUUCGGCCUUGAGCCUGUGGGCGCGUCGGGCACAUGCGUUGCUGAGGUAGGCCUCGACGGCGUAGAAGAACUCGCUUUGCUGAAAGCGCUCAACGCUGUUCUCCAAGAUGGUGAUUUGGAGGUAGAGGCUGAAGCAGGCGGCGAGCUUGGCGUUCCAGGUGGUGAGUAGAGGCAAUGGGUAACUGGGAUGUGGUUCUGCACCAUGGACCACGGGAAGAUGAUGCUCGCCAUGGCGGAUCCCAGCCCUGCCCACUUCUCCACCAUCGCCACCAUGCCUGGUGUUAGAAUCCAUGUUUUAUACAUUUGUAUAUAUCAAAUGGCUCUGCAUGUUAUAGAUAGAGCCGGAGGGCAUGUGGGCAUAGAUUUUGCGCAAUAACUAUUUGUAGUCGAAAACACUCGUCUCGGUUACCAUGAGACCAACUGACUCGCCAUUAUGGAAAGGGCUUAUGAGAAUGAAGGACUUGUUCUUUCGUAGGGUCAAAUUCUUGGUUGGCAAUGGGAUGUCAACAAGAUUUUGGGAGGAUACGUGGUUAGGAGAGACACCCUUGGCCGUACAAUAUCCAACCCUUUAUAACAUUGUGCAACAUAAGGAGGAUUACAUAGGCACAGUUUUCCAAACGAUUCCCUUGAAUAUUCAGUUCAGACAUGUGUUAGUUGGUGAGCGAUGGACAGCCUGGAUGCAAUUGAUUCGGAGAUUGAUAGAUGUUCAACUCUCCGACCAGCCGGAUUCGACGCAAUGGAAAUUAGCUAAAAAUGGGGGUUUUAUGGUGAAAUGUUUUUAUAUGGAUUUGAUUAAUUCUGGCCCAAUCUCAAGAUCGUUGCAUAUUUGGAAGAUUAAGGUUCCCUUGCGUAUUAAAUUUUUUUAUGUGGUUUGUCCACAAGCAAGUAAUACUCACCAAGGACAACUUAAUCAAGAGGCGAUGCGUAGGUAGUUCAUGUUGUUGUUUUUUUCAUCAUGAUGAAACAAUACAACAUUUAUUCCUUGAAUGCCCACUCGCCAAAUUGCAUUGGAGAACGAUUCAUAUAGCCUUGAACAUUAACCCCCCAGUUAACAUUGAGUUGUUGUUUGGAACGUGGUUAGCUGGGGUUGAUCAUACUACUGCGGCUCGUAUUCGGAUUGGAAUAUGUGCGCUUCUGUGGGCUAUAUGGAACUGUAGGAAUGAUUUGAUUUUUAACACACAAUACAAUUUAACUUUCUUGCAGGUCAUCUUCAGAGCUACCGCAUGGAUCCGUACGUGGUCCUUACUCACUCCUAUGGACUCCAGGGAGCUUUUGGUUACUGGGUGCAACAAGUGGGAGAUGGUAGCAUGGGCUAUAUUCAACCGGUUCGGAUGGAGGUCGCAUAACAGGAUAGGAAUCUAGGAAGUUUAUCCUUCAUAUUAUCGUACCAGUUAUGAUUGUCAACAUGUAUUUUCAUUUUAUCGUUUUGCUUUGCUCCGACUGCGAGUUGUAAUACUUUUUUUGACUUUGUGAUACUUCGUGGAUUUUUUAAUAAGAUGGUUGCAUGCAUCAUUAUGAUGCAGAGGCCGGGGAUACGCCUCCAUCUCCAGAAAAAUACGUUUGUACAUACCUAUUCGUAUCUACCUUGUACAUGUAAUACCUACUGCUAUAUAUUGAUAAGCAAUGCACCCUAUUGGGAUUGUGCGAGACCCUCCAUCAAUUACGUAUGUCUUAUAUGGUAUCAGAUAGGUUACGAUCAUGACUUCCGCUGCUCCUUUGGCCACCGCCGUCGCCCCAUCGACAGCCGCCGCCGCUCCAUCAACCGUUGCACCCGCGUAGGGGGUCUACUCUCCCACCCUCACUGCUCUUCUCGUCGACACCAGCGGCGCGCAGAACACCCUCGUCGUCAGCUCCGCUACAACCAGCGCCGGCAACCUCGGCUCCUUCAUGGCCAGGUUGAUGUUGUCUGCUUCUUUAGCUCCUCAGGUCGCCGCAGUCCAGCCUGCUCAUGUUCACCUGCAUGUGGUGUCCGAUGUGCCCACUCUGGCGCCAUUCCACUUUGCACAUCUGCUGACGAUCAAGUUGUCGGCGGAAAACGUCCUCUACUAGCGCGCACAAGUUCUUCCUCUCCUCCGUAGCCAUGAUCUUCUCGGCUAUGCUGAUGGAUCGCUACCGUGUCCGUCACCGACCGUCCUCGCCACCACUGCUAAUGGCGCGCAACACCUGGUUCCUAAUAGGGCGCACAUAAGUUGGGUACAACAUGAUCAAGCCAUCCUCUCGGCGAUCCAAUCGUCAUUGACGGAGGGGUUGGCUGGCAUGGUUUUGUUUGCUGCGACUUCCCAAGACGCCCGGACAACCCUAGAGAGCAGUUUCUCCUCCCAAUCCACAGCGCGUUCCAUGGCUCUUCGUCGGCAACUUUAGGAUAUCAAGAAGCUUGAUUUCUUGGCCACCGUCUACUUCAACAAAGUUAAAACCCUAGCCGAUACUCUUGCUACCAUCGGGAAGCCUCUCGCCGAUGAGGAGUUCACUGGAUUUAUUCUGGGUGGUUUGGAUGGUGUUUAUGUCACACUGAUCGAGGUUGUCCAAGAACACAACACUCCGAAGCCUCCUCGCGAUCUUUAUGCUCGACUUCUUCAGAUUGAGCAACGGAUCGAGUCUCGACAAUCGGUUGAGGUUCAUGGUGGUUUCUCCUCAGCUAAUGUUGUGACUCGUGGCAGUCCACUACAACCUGUAGGAUCUAGAAGUAGAUGUGUCUAAAGGGGGGGGGUGAUUAGACACUUAGUGCUAAAGUUGCAAUCUUUUAGCUUUUUUCGGUUUAAGUGGGGUUUAGGCACAAUUUCAGCACACACAAUACAUAUCAAGCAAGCAUGCAAAGAGUAUAUGAGCAGCGGAAUGUAAAGCAUGCAACUUGCAAGAAUAUAAAGGGAAGGGUUUGGAGAGAUCAAACGCAAUUGGAGACACGGAUGUUUUUCCCAUGGUUCGGAUAGGUGGUGCUAUCCUACAUCCACGUUGAUGGAGACUUCAACCCACGAAGGGUAACGGUUGCGUGAGUCCACACAGGGCUCCACCCAAGGGCAACGGUUGCGCGAGUCCACACAGGGCUCCACCCACGAAGGGUCCACAAAGAAGCAACCACCCACAAAGGGUCCAUGAAGAAGCAACCUUGUCUAUCCCACCAUGGCCAUCGCCCACGAAGGACUUGCCUCACUAGCGGUAGAUCUUCACGAAGUAGGCGAUCUCCUUGCCCUUACAAACUCCUUGGUUCAACUCCACAAUCUUGUCGGAGGCUCCCAAGUGACACCUAGCCAAUCUAGGAGACACCACUCUCCAAGAAGUAACAAAUGGUGUGUAGGUAAUGAACUCCUUGCUCUUGUGCUUCAAAUGAUAGUCUCCCCAACACUCAACUCUCUCUCAUAGGAUUUGGAUUUGGUGGAAAGAAGAUUUGAGUGGAAAGCAACUUGGGAAGGCUAGAGAUCAAGAUUCAUAUGGUAGGAAUGGAAUGUCUUGGUCUCAACACAUGAGUAGGUGGUUCUCUCUCAGAACAAAUGAGUUGGAAUGGUGUGUGUGUUCUGAUGGCUCUCUCAUCGAAUGAGAAGGAGGUGGAGGGGUAUAUAUAGCCUCCACACAAAAUCCAACCGUUACACAGUUUUCCAAUCUCGGUGGGACCGAAUCAGAAAACUCGGUCUGACCGAAAUAGUAAACCUAGUGACCGUUAGGAAUUUCGGUGGGACUGACAUGCAACUCGGUAGGACCGAUUCGGUUAGGGUUUGGGCAUAACGUAAUCUCGGUGAGACCAAUUACACAAACUCGGUGAGACCGAAUUUGGUAACUAGCUAACCAGAGAGUUGGUCAGGCAAACUCGGUGGGACCAAUUUGCUCUUUCGGUGAGACCAAGUGGAACUCGGUGAGACCGAAAAGUUACAAAGGGGAAACACUGAGUUUACAUUGCAAUCUCGGUGGGACCGAUUGCAUAUCUCGGUGGGACCGAGAAUAUUGCAAUGGGUAACAGAGAGUUUGCAAGCCCAUCUCGGUGAGACCGAGAUCCUUAUCGGUAGAACCGAAUUGCUAGGGUUUGGUAGUGGCUAAUGACAAGUGAAACUCGGUGGCUCCGGGUAGGAAGAAUCGGUAGGACCGAGUUUGGCUUAGGGUUUAGGUCAUAUGUGGAUAUGGGAAAGUAGUUGAGGAGUUUGGAGCAUAUCAUUAAGCACAUGAAGCAAGAGGAUCAUUAAGCAACACCUCAUCCCUCCUUAAUAGUAUUGGCUUUUCCUAAAGACUCAAUGUGAUCUUGGAUCACUAAAAUAUAAAAUGAAGAGUCUUGAGCUUGAAGCUUUAGCCAAUCCCUUGUCCUUAGCAUCUUGAAGGAGUUCCCACAACCUUUAGUCCAUGCCACUCCAUUGUUGAACUUACCCGAAACAUGCUAGAUAGAAGUGUUAGUCCAACAAGAGAUAUGUUGUCAUCAAUUAUCAAAACCACCUAGGGAGCACUUGUUCUUUCACAACCCUACCGCGCCGGUGGGAACAUGUCUUCUUCGUUGGGUGGCAAGGCAAUUCUUCCCUCGCCAUCAUACCAGCAGCAGAGCAUCACCAACAACAAGUCUGGAUCCUCCUGCCCUGUGUGUGGUUGUCCUAAUAGCGAUCGUCCCACGUGCUAGCUCUAUGGGUUUCAGGGGCAUAUUGCAUCUCGCUGCCACAAACGCUUUAAGCGUGAUUUUCUAGGAUCGGCAAUGAUGGACACAACAAUGAGAGGCAGGCUGCCAUGGCUAAUGUAAGGGCAUAUUUAUCCCUUAGUUGUUUUGGUGAUUGAUGAAAAUGAUUUUGCGGACUAAUCGUGUGCAUUGAGUAUUUCAGACAUUUCAUCACUAGGCACAAGACGAUUUGGUGCCCCUUGAAGACUAUUGAAGACGGCGUUUCUCUACAUUUCUUUUCGGUGGAUUUGAGUCAUAGGAAAGCCGUACUAUUAAGAGGGGUCCGCUUUGGAAAGGUUUGGGUGGAAUCAUCAUGUACACAUCUACUCCUUUGCACCGCCUUUCCUUUGGCACUUUGGAGCAUCCUCCGUCUUUUCUUGUAUAUGCAAAAUGCCGUGUUUGCUGAUCUGGGGCAUGCGGUAGUACUGCUCCCAGGAGCGGUAGUACCACAGGCCCUUGCGGUAGUACUGGCCUCUAGCAUGGUAGUACCGCAAGUGCCCAUGGUAGUACCGCUUCCUUGGAACGGUAGUACUGUGGCCUCAGGCUAGGCGUUGCUGCAUUUGCGGAAGUAGCGGCGGAUGUAAUUUUUUACAUCCGUGCCCUACACGGUAGUGCCGCACCAGGUGCGCGGUAGUACCGUGCGCUCUGGCCAAGCUCAGGAGCUUGCGCGUCAGUAGGAGCGGAUGUAAUUUUUUACAUCCGCACCCCGCGCGGUAGUACCGCUCCUAGCUUGCAAUACUACCGUGUAGGAUUUUUGCAUAGGUCCCAACUCGGCGGAAGUUGCCACGGAUGUAUUUUUAUAUGUCCGUGCCUUCCCAAAAUCUGGACCAUCCCUGCCUUGCAGUAGUACCUCAAGGGGGAGCGGUAGUACCACGCCACUCGUUCUACCACCCUCUACUUCAUUGCAUCUGGGCUGUCCUAGUUUUUGCUGCCAGGGAUGUAGUACCACGGGGUCCCGCGGUAGUACCGUGUGACCUUGCGGUAGUACCGCGUCCCUGCCGCGGCAGUACCGUGCUACGUAGGCUGAGUUGGUGGAUAAUAGUUGGAUUUGUUCUUCCACUAUAUAAGGGGUGUCUUCUUCUCCGAGUUGACUAUCUCUUCUUUCCCUAAGCUCCAUUAUUGCUCCAAGCUCCAUUUUCGCCCGAUCUCUCUCCCUAGCCAAUCAAACUGGUUGAUUCUCUAGGGAUUGGUUGAGAAGGCCUAGAUCUACACUUCCACCAAGAGAAAUUUGAUUCCCCCACUCAUCCCUUGCGGAUCUUGUUACUCUUGGGUGUUUGAGAACCCUAGAUGGUUGAGGUCACCACAGAGCCAUAUUCCAUUGUGCUGAAGCUUUGUGGUAUCGUUGGGAGCCUCCAAUUAAGUUGUGGAGAUAGCCCCAACCUUGUUUGUAAAGGUCAUGUCGCCGCCUCCAAGGGCACUAAUAGUGGAAUCACGGCAUCUUGCAUUGUGUGAGGGCAUGAGGAGAAUAUGGUGGCCCUAGUGGCUUCUUGGGGAGCAUUGUGCCUCCCCACCGCUCCAACGGAGACGUACUUCCCCUCAAAAGGAAGGAACUUCGGUAACACAUCCUCGUCUUCACCGGCUCCACUCUUGGUUAUCUCGUGCCUUUACUUGUGCAAGCUUAUUUGUGUUAUAUCCCUUGCUUGCUUGUGUACUUGUUCUUGUUGCAUCAUAUAGGUUGCUCACCUAGUUGCAUAUCUAGACAACCUACUUUGAUGCAAAGUUUAAAUUGGUAAAGAAAAGGUAAAAAUUGUUAGUUGCCUAUUCACCCCCCUCUAGUUAACUAUAUCGAUCCUUUCAGCUACUCAAGGACCCAUUGGCUCAGGUGGUUCUGGCCACGGGCACACUCCCUCAUACCCCAUUGAUUCAAGUUGGUACAUGGAUACUGCAGCUACGGAUCACAUGACCAAUGAGAUGGACAAGUUGCACUCAAGCCAAGCCUACCUCGGCCAUGAUAAGGUUCACGUUGCAAACGGGUCAGGUAUGCACAUUACACAUAUUGGUCAAUCUUCUCUUCCGACUAGCACAUCUAGGGAGCUUCAACUUCAUGAUGUUCUUCAUGUUCCCGAUGUUACUCGCAAUCUUCUAUCUGUUCCUAGACUUACUCAUGACAACGAUGUUUUUUUGUUGAAUUUCACCCUUUUGAUGUUUUUGUAAAGGAUCGCAACAAUGAGGGACGUUCUUCUUAGAGGUCACUUCCACCAUGGUCUCUAUCCACUUAAUGCACCUUCAAGGUUCAGUGUCUUCAGCAGUGUUCGUGUCAAGCCGUCUCAGUGGCACUCACAUCUUAGUCAUCCAACUAUUCCCAUUAUACGUCAUGUCCUUCGUCGUCAUCAACUUCCAGUCAAGUCUAGCACAAAAAGAUGAGUCCAUGUGUGGUGCCUGUCAGCAAGGCAAAAGUUCCCGUUGUCUAGUCGUGUAGUUACAGCUACUCUUGAAAUUGUCUUUUCAGAUGUAUGGGGUCCUGCUCAAACUUCAGUUAGUGGUCAUAACUACAAUGUUAGUUUUAUUGAUGCUUAUAGUCGAUUUACUUGGAUUUAUUUUCUUAAGCGUAAGGCAGAUGUGUUCAAUGUUUUUCUUCAAUUCCAAACUCAUGUUGAGCGUCUACUUAGCCAUAAAAUCCUUCAUGUUCAAUCAAAUUGGGGUGGGGAACAUCGCAAUCUCAACACUUUUUUUGGGAAACUUGGGAUUACACAUCGUGUGUCCUGUCCACCUACACAUAAGCGGAAUGGCUCCGCUGAACGUAAGCAUCGACACAUAGUUGAAACCGGUCUAACUUCCUUAGCACAUGCAUCUAUACCUUUUCGUUUUUGGACUGAUGCCUUUUCCACAACUUGCUUCUUCAUCAACAGGCUUCCCACACAAGUUCUAGCCAUGAAAACACCCAUUGAGUGUUUACUCCAAGAGACACAUGACUAUACAUUCCUCAAGAUUUUUGGUUGUGCUUGCUGGCUGCUACCACUUGAGCACUGCGUUGGUUUUUCCUUGAAGAGGAAAGGGUGAUGCCGCCGAGCAGCGUAAGUAUUUCCCUUGGUUUUUGAGAACCAAGGUAUCAAUCCAGUAGGAGGCCACGCAUGAGUCCCUCGCACCUAAACAAACAAAUAAACUCCUCACAACCAACAUGAUAAAGGGGUUGUCAAUCCCUUCACGGUCACCUACGAGAGUGAGAUCUGAUAGAUAUGAUAAGAUAAUAUUUUUGGUAUUUUAUGAUAAAGAGAAAUAAAGAUGCAAGUAAAAUAAAUGGCAAAGGAAAUAACUAACUAUUGGAAGUUUAAUAUGAUGGAAAAUAGAACCGGAGGCCAUAGGCUUCACUAGAGGCUUCUCUCGAGAGCAUAAGUAUUACGGUGGGUGAACAAAUUACUGUUGAUCAAUUGACAGCAUUGAGCAUAGUUAUGAGAAUAUCUAGGUAUGAUCAUGUAUAUAGGCAUCACGUCCAAGACAAGUAGACCGACUCCUGCCUGCAUCUACGACUAUUACUCCACACAUCAACCGCUAUCCAGCAUGCAUCUAGAGUAUUAAGUUCAAGAGAACAGAGUAACGCUUUAAGCAAUAUGACAUGAUGUAGAGGAAUAAACUCAUGCAAUAUGAUAUAAACCCCAUCUUGUUAUCCUCGAUGGCAACAAUACAAUACAUGCCUUGCUGCCCCUACUGUCACUGGGAAAGGACACCGCAAGAUUGAACCCAAAGCUAAGCACUUCUCCCAUUGCAAGGAAGAUCAAUCUAGUAGGCCAAAUCAAACUAAUAAUUCGAAGAGACUUGCAAAGAUAACCAAUCAUACAUAAAAGAAUUCAGAGAAGAUUCAAAUAUUGUUCAUAGAUAAACUUGAUCGUAAACCCACAAUUCAUCGAUCUCAACAAACACACCGCAAAAGAAGAUUACAUCGAAUAGAUCUCCACAAGAGAGGGGGGAACUUUGUAUUGAGAUCCAAAAAGAGAGAGGAAGCCAUCUAGCUAAUAACUAUGGACCCGUAGGUCUGAAGUAAACUACUCACACUUCAGUGGAGGGGCUAUGGUGUUGAUGUAGAAGCCCUCCGUGAUCGAUGCCUCCUCCGACGGAGCUCCAGAAAAGGCCCCAAGAUGGGAUCUUGUGGAUACAGAAAGUUACGGCGGUGGAAUUAGGAUUUUGGCUCCGUAUCUGGUAGUUUGGGGGUACGUAGGUAUAUAUAGGAGGAAGGAGUACGUCGGUGGAACAACAUGGGCCCCACGAGGGUGGAGGUCACGCCUGGGGGGGUAGGCGCGCCCCCCUACCUCGUGCCUUCCUGGUUGAUUGCUUGACGUAGGUUCCAAGUCCUCUGGAUCUUGUUCGUUCUGAAAAUCACGUUCCUGAAGGUUUCGUUCCGUUUGGACUCCGUUUGAUAUUCUUUUUCCGUGAAACCCUAAAAUAGGCAAAAAAAUAGCAAUUCUAGGAUGGGACUCCGGUUAAUAGUUUAGUCCCAAAAAUAAUAUAAAAGUGUAUAAUAAAGCCCAAUAAUGUCCAAAACAGGAUAUAAUAUAGCAUGGAACAAUCAAAAAUUAUAGAUACAUGGGAGACGUAUCAAGCAUCCCCAAGCUUAAUUCCUGCUCGUCCUCGAGUAGGUAAAUGAUAAAAACAGAAUUUUUGAUGUGGAAUGCUACUUGGCAUAAUUUCAAUGUAAUUCUCUUAAUUGUGGUAUGAAUAUUCAGAUCCGAAAGAUUCAAGACAGAAGUUCAAUAUUGACAUAGAAAUAAUAAUACUUUGAGCAUACUAACUAAGCAAUUAUGUCUCUUCAAAAUAACAUGGCCAAAGAAAGUUAUGCCUACAAAAUCAUAUAGUCUGGCUAUGCUCCAUCUUCACCACACAAAGUAUUUAAAUCAUGCAGAAUCCCGAUGACAGGCCAAGCAAUUGUUUCAUACUUUUGGUGUUCUCAAACCUUUUCAAUCUUCACGAAAUACAUGAGCGUGAGCCAUGGACAUAGCACUAUAUGUGGAAUAGAAUGGUGGUUGUGGAGGAGACAAAAAAAGGAGAAGAUAGUCUCACAUCAACUAGGCGUAUCAACGGGCUAUGGAGAUGCCCAUUAAUAGAUAUCAAUGUGAGUGAGUAGGGAUUGCCAUGCAACGGAUGCACUAGAGCUAUAAGUAUAUGAAAGCUCAACAAAAAUAACUAAGUGGGUGUGCAUCCAACUUGCUUGCUCACGAAGACCUAGGGCAUUUUGAGGAAGCCCAUCGUUGGAAUAUACAAGCCAAGUUCUAUAAUGAAAAAAAAAUUCCCACUAGUAUAUGAAAGUGAUAGCAUAGGAGACUCUCUAUCAUGAAGAUCAUGGUGGUACUUUGAAGCACAAGUGUGGAAAAAAAGAUAGUAGUAUUGCCCCUUUUUAUUUAUUUAUUUAUUCUUUUUUGGGGGGCCUUCUUUUUUUAUUUGGCCUUUCUUUUUUUAUUGGGACAAUACUCUAUGAAUGUUGAUCAUCACACUUCUAUUUAUUUAUAACUCAAAGAUUACAACUCGAUACUAGAACAAAGUAUGACUCUAUAUGAAUGCCUCCGGCGGUAUACCGGGAUAUCAAUGAUGCAUGAGUGACUUAUAUGAAAGAAUUAUGAACAGUGGCUUUGCCAUAACUAAAAUGUCAACUACAUGAUCAUGCGAAGCAAUAUAACAAUGAUGGAGCGUGUCAUAGUAAACAGAACGGUGGAAAGUUGCAUGGCGAUAUAUCUCGGAAUAGCUAUGGAAAUGCCAUGAUAGGUAGGUAUGGUAGCUGUUUUGAGGAAGGUAUAUGGUGGGUGUAUGAUACCGGCGAAAGGUGCGCGGUAUUAGAGAGGCUAGCAAUGGUGGAAGGGUGAGAGUGCAUAUAAUCCAUGGACUCAACAUUAGUCAUAAAGAACUCACAUACUUAUUGCAAAAAUCUAUUAGUUAUCGAAGCAAAGUACUACGCGCAUGCUCCUAGGGGGAUAGAUUGGUAGGAAAAUACCAUCGCUCGUCCCCGACCGCCACUCAUAAGGAGGACAAUCAAUAAAUACAUCAUGCUCCGACUUCUUAACAUAACGGUUCACCAUACGUGCAUGCUACGGGAAUCACAAACUUCAACACAAGCAUUUCUCAAUUUCACAACUACUCAACUAGCACGACUCUAAUAUCACCAUAUCCAUAUCUCAAAACAAUUAUCAAGUUUCAAACUUCUCAUAGUAUUCAAGACACUCAUAAGAAUAUUUUUUAUUAAUCUUGAAUGCCUAAAAUAAUUAAAGAAAAUUACCAUGCUGUUUUGUAGGACUCUCAAAAUAAUCUAAGUGAAGCAUGAGAGAACAAAAGUUUCUAUAAAAAAAUCCACCAUCAUGCUCUAAAAGAUAUAAGUGAAGCACUAUAGCAAAAACUAUAUAACUCAAAAGAUAUAAGUGAAGCACAUAGAGUAUUCUAACAAUUUCUGAAUCAUGUGUGUGUCUCUCAAAAAGGUGUGUGAAUCAAGGAUGAUUGUGGAAAACUAACAAAUAAAGACUCAAAUAAUACAAGACGCUCCAAGCAAAACACAUAUCAUGUGGUAAAUAAAAAUAUAGCUCCAAGUAAAGAUACCGAUAGAGGUAGACGAAAGAGGGGAUGCCUUCCGGGGCAUCCCCAAGCUUUGGCUUUUAGGUGUCCUUAGAUUAUCUUGGGGUGACAUGGCAUCCCCAAGCUUAGGCUCUUGUCAUUCCUUGUUCCAUAAUCCAUCAAAUCUUUUACCCAAAACUUGGAAACUUCACAACACAAAACUUAAAGUAGAAAAUCUCGUGAGCUCCGUUAGCGAAAGAAACAAAAACACCACUUAAAGGUACUGUAAUGAACUCAUUAUUUAUUUAUAUUGGUGUUAAACCUACUGUAUUCCAACUUCUCUAUGGUUUAUAAACUAUUUUACUAGCCAUAGAUUCAUCAAAAUAAGCAAACAACACACGGAAAACAGAAUCUGUCAAAAACAGAACAGUCUGUAGUAAUCUGCAGCUAACGCAAGUUCUGGAACCCCAAAAAUUCUAAAAUAAAUUUCUGGACGUGAGGAAUUUAUCUAUUAAUCAUAUUAAAAAAUAAUUAACUAAAUAUCACUUUCCAAAUAAAAAUGUCAGCGGUUCUCGUGAGCUCUAAAGUUUCUGUUUUUUACAGCAAGAUAUCAAGACCUUCCCCAAGUCUUCCCAACGGUUCUACUUGGCACAAACACUAAUUAAACACAAAAAAACAACCAAAACAGAGGCUAGAUAAAAUAUUUAUUACUAAACAGGAUCAAAAAGCAAGGAAUCAAAAUAAAAUUGGGUUGCCUCCCAACAAGCGCUAUCGUUUAACGCCCCUAGCUAGGCAUGAAAGCAAGGAUAGAUCUAGGUAUUGCCAUCUUUGGAAGGCAAUCCAUAAGUGGAUCUCAUAAUAGAUUCAUAAGGUAAUUUAAUUUUCUUUCUAGGGAAGUGUUCCAUGCCUUUCCUUAACGGAAAUUGGAAUCUAAUAUUCCCUUCCUUCAUAUCAAUAAUUGCACCAAUCGUUCUAAGGAAAGGUCUACCAAGAAUAAUAGGACAUGAAGGAUUGCAUCUAUGUCAAGAACAAUAAAAUCCACAGGCACAUAAUUCCUAUUUGCAACAAUAAGAACAUCAUUAAUUCUUCCCAUAGGUUUCUUAAUAGUGGAAUCCGCAAGGUGCAAGUUUAAAGAGCAAUCAUCAAAAUCACGGAAACCUAGCAAAUCACACAAAGUCUUUGGAAUCGUGGAAACACUAGCACCCAAAUCACACAAAGCAUAGCAUUCAUGAUCUUUAAUCUUAAUUUUAAUAGUAGGUUCCCACUCAUCAUAAAGUUUUCUAGGGAUAGAAACUUCCAACUCAAGUUUUUCUUCAUAAGAUUGCAUCAAAGCAUCAAUGAUAUGUUUGGUAAAGGCUUUAUUUUGACUAUAAGCAUGAGGAGAAUUACGGAUUGCAACAAGGAAAUACAAUCUAUCAAAGAGCAAUUAUCAUAAGUAAAUUCCCUGAAAUCCAAAAUAGUGGGUUCAUUAAUAUUUAAAGUUUUUACUUCUUCAAUCACACUUUUAACAAUUUUAGCAUCAAGAUCUAAAGACUUCGAAUUUUUGGAACAUCUUCUAGGUAAAGGUGGAUCAUAUUCAGUCCCAUCAUUAUCAAGAUUCAUAUUGAAAACAAAGAUUUAAUAGGGACACAUCAAUAAAUUUUAGAUCUUCAUCUUUGUCUUCCAAAAAAAAUUCCGGCUUAGCGGCCAUCUUAUUAACUAAGGUGGCUUGCUUAUCCGAAACUUCAGCUAUUAAAUUAUCAAGAUGAGCAAUCUGAGAUUUCAAACCAUCAAAUUCUUUAGACAUAUCAUCAAGCUCUUUAUUCAUAUAACCCACAAAGCUUGUUUAUUCUUUAAGCUCAUUUCUAAAGAAAUUAUUAUGCUCAAAUUGUAAGACCAUAAAACUCCUGACGUUGCUUUCGAUCUCUUCUAACCUUUUAAGGUGAAGAUCACCAAAUCUAGAUAGAUCCAUCUUGACAAGCAAUUAAUCUGACACACAAGCAAACAAGAAACGGGCAAAAAGAGGUUGUGACGCCCUCGAUUCAAUCGUACACUAAUCAUACACGCAAAUAUGUACAAUCAAGAUCAAGGACUCACGGGAAGAUAUCACAACACAACUCUAGACACAAAUUAAAAUAAUACAAGCUUUAUAUUACAAGCCAGGGGCCUCGAGGGCUCGAAUACAUAAGCUCGAAAUACACAAGAGUCAGUGGAAGCAUCAAUAUAUGAGUACAGACAUGAGUUAAACAAGUUUGCCUUAGGAAGGCUAGCACAAAAAUAACAUCGAUCGAAAAGGCAGGGCCUCCUGCCUGGGAGCCUCCUAACUACUCCAAGUCGUCAGCGGUCUUCACGUAGUAGUAGGCACCCUCGGGGUAGUAGUAGUCAUCAGUGGCAUCGUCUGGCUCCUAGGAUCCGUCAUCUGGUCGCAACAAUCGGGUAUGGGGGAAAAGAGGUAGCAAAGCAGCCGUGAGUACUCAUCCAAAGUACUCGCAAUACUUACAUCAAAUCUAAACUAAGUAUGCAUCUGCAUCAAAGGAAAAGGGUUGUAUCUAUGGACUAAACUACAGAAUGCCAGAAAGAAGGGGAAAGCCUAGCCUAUCGAAGACUAGCAUCUUCAAGCAUCUUCUAGCAUCUUGCAGCAUAUAGAAGAGUACAGAUCAACAUAAUGUAAAGUAGUAGUGUUAUCAACCUCGGCCAGAGAUCCUUUCUCGACUCCUAGCGAGAAAGCAAUCCCAUAGCCAUACUAUCCAUUUCUCAUCACAAUCAAUUUCUCAUCACCAUCCAUUUCUCAUCACAGGUAUCCAGUUCUACUUGUAUCGAUCGGGAUACAACUCCAAGUGUCCGUUAUCGUAGGACAGGCUAUCGAUAGAUGUUUUCUUCCCUGCAGGGGUGCACCAACUUACCCAUCACACUCGAUUAACUCUGGCCAGACACACUUUCCUGUGUCAUGCCCAGCCUCGGCCAAACAAUACGCUGCAACCCGACCUAGGCUUAGUAGAGAGGUCAACACGUCGGACUAGACCUAUGCCCCCAGGGGUCAUGGGCCAUCUCCCCAGGAACUUCUGCACGUUGCGUACGUGGCUGGUGAGCAAACCUAGCUACCUCCGUAAACAAGGCAGGAGCUUACGCGGUCCAACCCGGCGCGCGCCGCUCAGUCGCUGACGUCGAUUAAGCUUCGGCUGAUGCAUACGAUGUAGAACGCCCAUACAAUGCCCAUGUGAUGGUUAGUGCUAUCAGGCCAAAGGCCCCUCGGAUCAAAUAUCCAAAUCAUAGUAGAUUAGGAGCACGCGGUAACGAGCAGAGACUCACGAUCGAUGUGACCCCGUCGCCCCAUCUCGAGUACUUACGGCAAGGGCUAAGAAUGCCCGGCCAUGCCUCGUAAGUAUCUCGCGGGCACCUUCCAGGUCAACCCGACUCCACAUCACUCGCUAUUAAGCUCGCAUGGGCACCCCUCAGGGCCGACCCGUCUUUAGUAACAUGGCCCAGUGCAAAGUAAUAGUAACCAUAGUAACUGUGUGUCUAACACCAAGGGGCAAACCCGAGGAAUCACCCCCGGUGAAUCCCACUCGAUGUUAUCAUCAAGGUGAACAUAAGAGGAUCCACCCUCGAGGUUCACAUUUGAUGGGUUGCACGAUAGAGCCGUAACGGAACUGGUUAAGGAGGAAAUCACCCUCGAUGACCUCGACCGUAUAGCUACACUAUAGAGAUCUCAUCAGGAGUGAUGUAAGAGGUUCCACCCUCGGCACUCAAUGGUAACUUUGUAGAGUCGUACAACUAGGGGGGUGAUGUGUGGUGUCGGGGUACGGACGUCGAUCACGUUGAUCGAGUCAUUGAACAUAAAGUGAGGCAACUGGGACAAGGUGGGGUCACUGAUGGAUCACUAACCAACCUAUACUAAGCAGUUUAGAAUAAGCAGGUAAGGUAACAAUAAGCAGGUAAUAAAAAUAGGCUAUGCAUCAGAGUAGGAUCAUACUAAAAACAGUAGCAUUUCUAAUGCAAGCAUGAGAGGGAAAGAAAUUGGCGAUAUCGAAAUGCUCAAGGGGGGUUCGCUUGCCUGGUUGCUCUGGCAAGGAGGGGGUCAUCGUCGACGUAGUAGAUCACAGGGGCAACAUUGGUCUCGGGGUCUACCGGUGAGAAGAGGGGGAAGAAACAGUAAAUACAAAGCAAACAAUGCAUCACAAGGAUAACAUGACGAUAGGCAGAGAUAGGGUUGUCCUAACGUAGCACUACACAUUGCAGACGGAGGGGAUAAACAUCCGAGGAUGAAUCCCCGGCGUUAGACGAAUUCCGGACAGAUGAAAGAGAGGGGACGGUUCCAUCUUCAGCAUGCUAGGGGCAUGUUACAGGUGAAUGGACCAUGCAUUCGGAUUCGUGGGAUUUUUCUGAGCAACUUUCCUAUAGAAAACAUUUUCAUCUGAGUUACGGUUUAAUUUCUAUGAAUUUUCAAAGAUUAAAGCAUUUCUAGAAAUUAGUUACAUUGACAGAAAAGGAAAAAUGACGUCAGCAUGACAUAUUGAUGAUGUCAGCAGUCAACAGGGCUGCUGACCAAGUCAAACUGACCAGUGGGUCCCACAUGUCAUACACAGAGGGCUAACAGUGGGUUAUUUUAAUUAAACAGAGUUAAUUAGCAGUAGGGCCCCACAUGUCAGUGACUGAUAAGGCUAACUAAUUAGUUCUAAUUAUAAAAAAUGUUUUAUUUAGCUUGAUUACGCGGUGGGGCCCGCGUGUCAGUGAUACUGUGUGCCCAGUCAGCACAGUUGACCAUGGUCAACGUGGUCAACUGGGCCAUGGGGCCCAUGGGCAGUGACCCAGAGGCGGGCCCCAGGUGCGCCACGUCGGCGGCGGCGGGGUUUUGCCGCCGGCGAUCAAAAUAGUGGCGGGGCUCGCCGGACUUCGCCGGAAUCGCGCCACAGGGGGUCAUUAGGCGCGGGACUUGGCGUGUUCGAACAAGGAGAGCUCACCGCGUCGCGUGGUGAGGCGAGCCGGAGCUGGAGCUACCGGAAACGGUGCCGGCGACGAGCAUGGGCGGUUGGCUUCGGGCCUCAUCGGGGACGAGGCUAUGGGCGUUCAAAAGGAGCACGGGGCAGUGCGUUCGAAAGCAGGGGCUCGGGCGCAGCCAUUCGAGGUCACAGCCAAGGUUGGGACGGAUGGAGUCAUCGGUGGCGACAUGGACGACGGAGACCCGAGGGACGAUGAGCUUGCAAAUGGCGCAACGGUGAGCAAAACGAGCGGUGCUGAGUACGUACGGCGUCUACACGUGCGGGCAAGCAUGAUGGACACACUUGUGCGGGCGUUCGGUCAUCGGAACGUGGCCGGCGAUGAGCUCGACGGAGGCGAGCUCGGACAUGUAGGGAACGACGCCUACGGGCGCGACAACGGUGGGAAGACGAUGGGGAGAGAGGCGAGGCUCACCGGGCAGCUACGUAAAGGUUAGUAGCAGAAGAAGGCGUCGCCGGAGUUGAAGGGGAUCGCCGGAGUAGAGGCGGAAGGAGGGUGGCUUGAUCCGCUGACUGCGGUGCUCCUCGAGCUAGAUGGCGAGGCGUAGUCGAGGUAGGGGUCGACGACGCGUCUUGUGGACGUGCUGGCGAGGCGCGGGGUGGCCGGUGGCCGCGUGGUCGAUGGAGAACGGCGGCGAUGGCGCUCGGCAGAGGGGGAGAGGAGCGAGCGAGCGAGAGGAGAGGGGAGAGGUGGAGAGGACGAGGGAGAGAGAGGGCAAGUGGGCGAGUGGGGAGGGAGCCCGAGGCGUCGGGGCCUUAUCCCCUCUCGCAGGUGAUGUGGAGUACGGGGCAGAGCGCCCGGUCCGGCGGGGACGAGCGGGACACGACCGGUCAGACGAACAGGGGGGAGGGGGAAACAGGGGAGAGGUAGGUGGGCUGGCCUAGGUGGGUUAGGUGGGCCGGCCUACGUGGGUUCGGUCCAGGGAGGGGUUCCUCUUUCCUCUCCCUUUUCUCUUUUUUCUUUUUAUUUUUUUAAAGCUUUUCUGUUUUAGCUAUUUUAGGCCACAUAGGCAUUUUGCAAAUAUGUUAGAUCACCACCAAUAUUACUAGGAGAAUAUUUUACACAUGAUGAACAUUUUAGUUUUCAUGUUUGAGCAUUUUUGAAAUUCACUCAGAAUUUGAAAUUGAAUUCAACUGGAAUUUGAAAAGAGAGAGAACCAAGGAUGAUCAAACACUUGUUUAGAAAAAUUAUUAACUUAACCCAAGGGGUUACUGUAGCAACAUUACACCGGGGUGUUACAACUCUCCUCCUCUAAAAGAAAUUCUCGUCCCGAGAAUGAAGAGGUAGAAGGGAACAUGUCGGGGUAUUCAACACGGAGGUUAUCCUCACAUUCCCAAGUGGCUUCAUCUUUAGAAUGAUUUGACCAUUUCACCUUGAGGAACUUGGUAACCUUCAGGCGUGUUCGACGUUCAGCUUCUUCAAGAAUGCAGAUCGGAUGCUCUUUGUAUGUGAGAUCAUCUUGAACUUCAAUCAAUUCUGGAUCCACUUCAUGUUCCGGAUCCUUGAAGCAUCGAUGAAGUUGCGACACGUGGAAGACGUCAUGGACGUGAGAGAACUGAGGUGUCAACUCAAAUUUAUAAGCCACCAGUCCACGACGGGCGAGGAUGCGGAAGGGGCCAAUGUAGCGUGGAGCUAGCUUGCCCUUGACUCUGAACUGAUGAGUGCCUCUCAAAGGAGUGACACACAGAUAAGCUUGUUCACCAGGUUGAUAAGUUGAACCCAGUGUUUCCGGUUAUAGUUGCUCUUCUGGCGGGACUGGGCCGCCUUGAGAUUAUCCCGGACAAUGAAACCUGCUCUUUAGCUUGUUGAAUAAUUUCUGGACCAAUGAGCAUCCGUUCCCCGGUUUCUGACCAAUUCAUAGGGGUUCGACACUUACGUCCAUAAAGCACUUCGAAGGGUGCCAUCUUCAGGCUGGCUUGAUAGCUGUUAUUAUAAGAGAACUCCGCAUAAGGGAGAGAUUCUUCCCACUUCUUACCGAAAGAAAUAACAUAGGCUCAAAGCAUGUCUUUAAGAAUUUGAUUGACUCGCUCGACUUGUCCUUGGGAUUGGGGAUGAUAAGAAGUGCUCCAGGUAAUAUGAGUUCCCAUUGCCUCCUGGAAACUAUCCCAGAAAUUUGAAGUGAAUAUACUGCCACGGUCUGAACUGAUCUCCUUCGGAAUGCCGUGGAGUGACACAAUUCGGGAGAUACACAAAUUUGCUAAUUGACUAGUAGUGAUAGUCUCCUUGACUGGCAGAAAGUGAGCAACCUUCGGGAAUUGGUCGAUGACGACAAAAAUAGCAUCGUUACCUUUCUGAGACUUGGGAAGGCCAGUGACAAAGUCCAUCUGAAUCUUAUCCCACUUCCAUUCAGGAAUCGGAAGAGGUUGUAGAAGUCCAGUCGGUUUCUGAUGUUCUGCUUUGACACGACGACAAACGUCACAUUCUUCGAUAUAUCGAGCAAUAUCUUGCUUCAUCUUGGACAACCAAUAUUUCUGACGAAUGUCUAAGUACAUCUUGGUACUUCCUGGAUGAAUAGAGAGAGGGGUGUCAUGUGCUUCUUUCAUCACCUUCUUUGUCAUAAGCUCGAACCGAGGUACUACAAUGUGAUCUCUGAAGUACAAGGUUCCGUCUUCACCAAGUGAUAAAUCUCUUGAUUUCUCCAAGGGAAGACCCUUUUUCAUCAAAUCAACAUGAGCAUCCUUGGCUUGUGCAGACUUAAUUGCUUUUAGAAGAGUUGGUUCCAAGACAAGGUUAUUUAGAGAACCCUGUGGAACUAGUAGAAGGUUCAGCUUGCAUAGCUCUUCAUAAAGGCGGGGUUGAGCUUUGUAGACCAUGUGAUUAUGGCAAUAUGACUUAUGGCUCAGGGCAUUGGCCAUUACAUUAGCCUUACCAGGGGCAUAGGAUAUACCGCAGUUGUAGUCGGCAAUAGGUUCCAUCCAUCGUUGCUGACGGAGGUUCAGAUCUGGCUGAGUAAACAGGUACAUCAGACUCUGAUGAUUACUGAAGAUCUCGCAACGAUUACUGAGAAGGUACUGUCGUCAUAGCUUUAAUGCAUAGAUAACCGCAGCAAGCUCAAGGUCAUGAACUGGGUAGUUCUCUUCAUGAGGACGCACUUGACGAGAGGCAUAAGCAAUCACUCUGUGCUCUUGCAUUAGGACACAGCCUAAUCCUUGACGCGAAGCAUCGCAAUAGAUUACAAAGUCCUUGCGAGAAUCAGGGGGAGCAAGCAUUGGGGCAUAUGUCAGCUUGUCUUUGAGUGCCUGCAAACUUUCCUGACAUUUGUUUGUCCAAUCAAACUUAAUGCCUUUGUGAAGCAGGUUGGUCAGUGGCUUGGCGAUCUUGGAGAAGUUCUUGACAAAGCGGCGACAAUAGCUGGCUAGACCGAGAAAGCGUCUGACUUGCUUGACAGUCUUCGGAGGGGUCCAGUCAAGAAUAGCCUGAACUCGCUCUGGGUUGACGGCAAUACCAUCCUUAGAGAUGACAUGACCAAGGUAGGUGACUUCGGGUAACCAAAUUCGCACUUGGAAUACUUGGCAUAAAGUUGAUGUUCUCGAAGCUUCUCUAGAACAAGUCGAAGAUGUUCAACAUGUUCUUCUUUGUUCUUCGAAUAUACCAGAAUAUCAUCCAGAUAGACUACGACGAACUUGUCGAGGUAAUCCAUGAAUAUGUAGUUCAUCAGACGAGAGAAUGUGGCUGGAGCAUUGGUCAAGCCAAAAGACAUGACGGUGUACUCGUAAGAACCAUAAUGAGUGACGAAUGCGGUCUUUGGAAUAUGCUCUUCACGAACACGGAUCUGGUGAUAACCCAACCUCAAGUCGAGUUUAGAGAAUAUCGAUGAACCAGCCAGUUGAUCAUAUAGAUCAUUGAUCCGAGGAAGGGGAUAUUUGUUCUGAAUUGUAGCUUGGUUGAUAGGACGGUAGUCUUAGACCAAACGAUUCGUUCCAUCCUUCUUCUUUACAAAGAGAGAAGGUGCUCCCCAAGCUGAGGAACUUGGACGAAUGAAUCCACUGUGAAGAGAUUUAUUGAUUUCCUCAAGUUCAAGGAGCUCAUGAGGCGGCAUCUUGUAGGGUCGUUUGGCAAUAGGAAUAGUGUCUGGUUUCAAGUCGAUGAUGAACUCGACAGCCCGAGCAGGAGGUAUUCCUGGAAGUUCUUCUGGAAAGAUGUCUAGGAAGUCGGGAACAACUGGAAUCGUUUCAAUUCCCUCUAGAGGUGUUGCAUUCAACACAUUCAAGACAUAAAGUCGUGCUUCAGCGUUUUGAACAAGUUGAGCAUGGUAGCUUACUAUCUCAUCGGAAGGAUGUAGGAGGUGAACGACCUUGGUGGCGCAAAUGAUAGAAGCAGUAUGCGCUUUCAACCAUUCCAUUCCCAGAAUGAGGUCAAUAUUGGAAGACUCCAGAAUAAUGGGAGAAACAAGGAAUUCCAACCCUUCAAUCUCAACGGGAACAUUGCGACCAAUCAUGGUAGUUUGACAUCGGCCCGCAGGGGUGCGUACCACUAUCACUACUAGGAAAAGGGCUAUAGAUGAAAUUGACACUAAUGGCGCACCAGAGAAGUGGUGCACCACUACUAUAUACUAAUGGCGCACCAUGUGGUGAUGCGCCAUUAGUGUGGAAGACACUAAUGGCGCACCAGGCACAAGGUGCGCCACAAGUAACAAUUUUUUUUUCAUUUUUCCAAACAUACUAAUGGCGCAUCCUGGAAAAGUGCGCCAUUAGUAGUUCUAACUAGUAAUGGCACACCAGCCAUGGAGUGUGCCACUACUAUAUUUCUUUUAUUCUUUUUUUUUUGCAAAACUACUAAUGGCGCACCGUGGCAUAGUGCGCCAUCACUAGUUUAAACUAGUAAUGGCGCACUAUGCCACGGUGCGNNNNNNNNNNNNNNNNNNNNNNNNNNNNNNNNNNNNNNNNNNNNNNNNNNNNNNNNNNNNNNNNNNNNNNNNNNNNNNNNNNNNNNNNNNNNNNNNNNNNNNNNNNNNNNNNNNNNNNNNNNNNNNNNNNNNNNNNNNNNNNNNNNNNNNNNNNNNNNNNNNNNNNNNNNNNNNNNNNNNNNNNNNNNNNNNNNNNNNNNNNNNNNNNNNNNNNNNNNNNNNNNNNNNNNNNNNNNNNNNNNNNNNNNNNNNNNNNNNNNNNNNNNNNNNNNNNNNNNNNNNNNNNNNNNNNNNNNNNNNNNNNNNNNNNNNNNNNNNNNNNNNNNNNNNNNNNNNNNNNNNNNNNNNNNNNNNNNNNNNNNNNNNNNNNNNNNNNNNNNNNNNNNNNNNNNNNNNNNNNNNNNNGAUAUUUAUUUAUUUAUUUAUUUAUUUAUACUUUUUUUGCAAAACUACUAAUGGUGCACUGCCAGGAGUUGCGCCAUUAGUAUGUUGGGUUACUAAUGGCGCAUGGCUGUGUGGUGCGCCAUUAGUAACCUGGGACCAGCUAGAUAUUUUGGAUAGCCACACCUACACACUCACUUUCCCCACUUCAUUCCCUCCACCUCCUUCUCCAAGCUUGUCGGCUGCCUCCUCCUCCUCACCUCAUUCGCACCAUAGAUUCAUCAAAAUUAAGUGGUGAAAUUACCUUUUUUUGAUAGGUAAGUAAGGGGAAAGCUAUCUUCAUGUUGUAGAUCUACUUUUUUCUCCCUAGCUCGCUCCAACAACGUGCACAUGCACUUUUUGUGGCCUAGCUAGAUCCAUGUAUGUUUGUGGUGUUGCAUAUGUUUGUGGUGUUGCAUAUAUGUUUGUGUUUGCAGGUACCGGUAUUUGAAAUGCGAUAGUUGCCAAUAUUUUGCCGGAAUGUUGAUUCAUUUCCGUUUCGGCGAGAAUUUUGGCACUAUGCAUUCUUUUUGGUCCUAUUUUUAGGGAAAGUCAUGCCAAAUUUUUUCUUGGUUCUAAAAUAUCGUUUUGCUCUACCCCGCAGGCGACCAUGGUCCGCACGAUGACCGAAGGCAUCGUGAAUAGGUUUUUGAGCUCCGUGAAGGCUGAGAUGCUUCAAAAGAACGAGACGGAGAUAAGAUGUCCAUGUAGAAGAUGCAAGCUGAAGAGCCUUAUUGCGGACCCAGAUUCCGGGCAGGUGCGGGACCACCUGCUCUUGCGUGGUUUCAUGGAUGGCUAUCGGUGGCCAGGUGAUGAAGAUGUCUAUGGAGUCGUCCAUGGGGGUCGGGCAAGAAAUGAGGAAGGGCAGCAAGACAACCACCGCGACUCGGGCGGGUGAGAAGAUGAAGAAUCUCCAGGACAUGAUCACGACGGUGAUGCUGUACAUAGUCAUCAUGUAGAAGAUGCCGGACAUGAUGAUGAGGAAGAUGCCGGACAUGAUGAUGAGGAAGAUGCCGGAGCAGACGAAGGGCAUGAUCAUGAAGAUGAAUAUGCCAGCGGGGCAGACGACGAUGGACCAUCGAUGGGUUGGGUGCAGGACCCUCAUAUUCAAGAGCUGCUUCUCAAGCAGACGGAUAACGCAAGAGCUGUCGCCCGAGAGAAAGCCAAGCUGGAUCAAGUGGAGAUAGACGCGGUUACUCCAUUGUAUGAAGGAUGCAGACCCGAGGAUACCCGCCUGAAAGUAACGCUCAUGGCUCUGGAGAUGAAGGUAAAACACAAAAUGACCGAUGCAUGCUUCGACGAGAACAUCCUUUGAUGAGCGAAGAUGACUACAAGGAGUUCAAGAUCAAGUGCGAGAGCCCCGGAACCUCCGAAUCAAGUCAGUGGGGGAAAGAAAUGUGGCGGUUGAACUUAGGGGUCCACCAACUCGGUCCUGGCGGUUACAGAGUGGCGGAGCCUAUAUGAGACAAGGAGGACGUGGAGCGUGCCGAGCAAGGCCUACCGCCCCGCUUCGAGAAAUACCGUGACAAGCAGACUAGGAACUUUCUCAGGGCCCGGUACAAGGAGGACCCGGUAACAAAGGAGCUUACCACGGAUCCAAAGACCAAGGCGCUUGAGCUUGUUCUGGUAAGGAAUACACCCCCACGUAAUUAGCUCCACAUGGUUGCAUUCUAAUUAAUCCCCAAUAUUUCUAAAUGGUUCACGUUCCUUCCGCAGGACAAAGAAAGAAGUAGCGCGGGAUCGUCUCAGAGCUCCCCUUUCGACACCCCUUUGAAUAGGGCGUUGAACAUAAUGAAAAACAAGGAUAAGCUCAGUAAGCCGACGUCAGCUGGUCGUGUGGCCGGCAAAGGCUUGUCCACAAAAUGGUCGUCAUACUAUACCGCUGUUGGGCGAAAGGAGAAAAAGACCAGCUCGGAAAGCCAGUCGCGCGAGGUUGAAGCACUCAAGGCGCAGGUGGCGCGGAUUCCGGAGAUGGUCCAAGAGCAAGUGCAACAACAACUGGGAUCGAUGCUCACCGACAUUAUGCCUACCUUGAUUCAUGGGAUAACGACAUGGAUUGCAGGUGGCCAACAGGGGCCGCCCCCGAUUCCCAGCUUCACGACCAGCAACUCGCACAACGCGCAGGCGGCACCAUUGGUGUCUCCGGCGGCGGUGGUAUUGGUGUCUCCAAUGCUGGCAUUGGAGCUUAAUGCACCCGGGUGUACGCCGGCCGACACCUCGCCAGCAAGCGGCCCCUCCGUCAGUUGCAUGCCCGCCGUUGGCGGUGCCUCGACAUUAGCCGAGCUCGACGCCAUCAUCACGGUAACUGAUUAAGCCUCUCGGCCGAGGACUUCAUAUCCUUGCCAUUGACUGGGCAUCCCUGACGCCCUACAUGUUUUCGCAGGGCGUCGCCAAUGUUCCGUGCACUCUCCUGCACUUCGUGAACGACGAGUUGGUCGAUGUCGCCAAGGGAAAAAUCGUUCAACCGGGCAACCCCGUGUUCCACGGUAAACCGAUGCCACCCACCGUGUAUAGGGUUCAACUGGUUCGGGUGUUGCCAAGCUGCGACGAGUUGUUACCUCCGAUUCAACCCGCCGGGGCCGACGAAGAUGAUCUGAUGACCCUCAGCACCUGCCUAAGCUGGCCCCUGCUUUGGCCGAAGAGCCAGAUUCAUUUGGGGGCGGGGGACACCACCCCAAAGACAACACCGCCAGUCGUGCCGGCGCCAAGCCAUGGCAAGACCACCGCAACGCUACCGGACAUGCCGGACAUCCCUAUGGCACAGGAUCCGAACAUGCAUAUGGCACAGGAUCUGGACGACGACAACAACGACGACCGUACAUUUAGCAAUGUCGAUAAGUACUUUGCCGAACAUGGGUACGAUGACGAAUUCUAUGGGCCUCUUUCUCAAGAACCCAACCAAGACGACCGCGGUUUAGCUGGUACGGCGGAGAAACCCAGUUGCAACAGGCAUCGUAUGGUGUUCAGUUCUCAGGAGACGCCUCCAGAUGCCGACUUCACCGAGCCUCAGAUAGCCGAGGUGCCAAAUAUUAUCAGCCCCAACACACUCAAGAAGGCGGUCUAUGAGCAGAACUCCGUCCCAUUACAACAGAAGAAGAAGGGACGGAAAAAAAAGAGUAACAAGGGUGCGAGCCAGCCGGCACCGAGUACGAUCCGUGCUCAGGACGGGCCACCUUCACCUAUGGGUAUCUCGAGGAGGGUGCAUGUGGCGGGUAGGGCGAUGCUACCGACAAAUAUGCUCAAUGCUGCAACCGGUGCUAUGCGGAGUCUGCAUGAAAGUGUUCUUUCUUUGGAGAAGCAGCGUCUCAGAGAGAAUGAUGUGGCAUACCCGGUUUUCGUGGCCAAGGUGCUAGAGGGCAAGGGCUUUGUGGAUGGCGCCAUCGGGGGUACGAUCGUCCUGCGGUUUGAUGACAUCUUUGCUAUGUUUAACCUUCAUCUGCUGCACUACACCUUCGUUCGGCUGUUUUCACUGAGUAUGGAGAUGCGGAUCAUUAGAGACAAGACCCCAGACAUCGUGAUAGUCGACCCCUUCUAUAUGCGUGCCAAGCUCUUGGGCAGCGCUGGGGACUGCCAAGUCAUGAGUUCACACCUCGAAGGCGUCAUUCUGGCAAACCCAGAUAAGGAUAACUUCCUCGUGGCUUACUUUCCCGAGUAAGUCAUCCCUUAACCGCGUAACAUAUGAUUUCUUAGAUUUCGAUCAUUUUUUUCUAACAUUCCGUGUUCUGUGUAGUGACACACAUUGCACACUCAUCCUCUUAAGCCCGAAAUAUUCCAUGGCCACGUAUUUCGACCCGAACCGUGACUCCAAGAUGGACUACACAAAUAUCAAGAAAGUUCUUGAUGAUGUUCUCCCCGGCUACGCCAAAUCUGGAGGCACCUUCACCAGGCCAGUUCAUAGGUACGGCAAGCACGUGUUUGCCCACAAUACUAAGUUCUACUGCGUCAAGCAGCCGCCUGGCGGUCAGACGGAUGCCUACUACGCCCUCCAUCACAUGCGGGCGAUCGUAAGGUACCAUCAUCACCUUCUGCUACCAGAUAAUCUCAAAGAUUGGGCCGCGAGCUUGUCGGCAAUCCAGGAUGCGGACAUCAGACAAGAAUUCUUUCGCAUCCAGUCGGAGUUUGCGGACAUCAUCCAUCAAGAUGUCCUUCAUACCUCGGGGCAGUUCUACCUCAGAUAUCAACCGUCCAAUAGGGAGAUAGACGGAACGCUACAAAUGCAGGCUGACAACGCCCGCGAUUUCAUGACCAUCACGACAGACGGCGGCUUCAUCCAUGCUCCGGUCCCAUGAGUCGAGUCGACAGUAGUGAUGCUAUGUGUAGUUCUGAAACAUUAAUUGGCUCAUGUUGUAAUUAAACUUUAAUGAACUUGUAUGUCUCUUUGGUUUGGACAGUCGUUCAACUUAGAUGUAAUCGAUGCUAUUUAUUAGUAGGACCAUGAAUCGUGCUAUUAAUGUCAUGCCUUGCUUUUCUCUUCCGAUCCUUUUGUUGCAUACUUAUAUAUUGCUUAUGUAUGUAUUGUCUGUUGUUUGUCUUGUGCAUAGAGAUGCCGUCGUAUGUCGUGUACAAGGGUAAGGUUCCCGGAGUCUACGAUGACUGGGAGGAGUGUCGGAGACAGGUUCACCAUUUCAGCGGUAACAGUUAUAAAGGGUACACCACUAGGGCGGAGGCGGAAUCUAGAUACGCCCGCUAUCUAGCGGGAGAGUGGAGGGAGCGUUGGAGGAACCGGAUGAAGACCAAUUUCAUUGCGAUGAUGCUCAUCGUGAUGACCACAGCUCUCUUCUAUGUGAUGGUAGUUUAGAUGAUCGAUAUCGACUUGUAAUGUGAAGACAAACUCGAUACUCGCGGUCUCGAGACUUGUAGUGUUUUACAUUUGUUCGGUCUUUUGAAUUCGGAGACUAAUAUGAUGAAUUGUAUUCGAAGACUAAUCUUCUAUUGUAUUCGAUGAAUCUGUUGUUGCUGUGUGCUGCUGUGUAUAUUCUGUCAAAUAAUAUAUUUUGUAACCUGUGCAAAAAUCAGAAAAGUAAAAAAGAAUAAAACCUAAUAUUCAUACUAAUGGCGCAUCACUACAGAGUGCGCCAUUAGUAUGCCAAAGUAUACUAAUGGCGCAUCACACAACAGUGCGCCAUUAGUAUGCCAAAGCACAUGGUUAAAUAUGGCCCCCUGGGAGGCAUACUAAUGGCGCAUGGUGUUCUAUACUAAUGGCGCACUGCGUGGUGCACCAUUACUAUACCAGAUACUAAUGGCGCACCAGUGGUGCGCCAUUAGUAAGAAAUACUAGUGGCGUGAUACUAAUGGCGCACCAGUGUAUCGGAGUGUUCAUGGGCUCGCAUUGAAUGUCGUGUGUGUAUGCAAACUUUUCUGACAUGAAUGAAUGCGAUGCUCCUAAAUCAAAUAAAAUAGAUGAUGGUACUGAAUUAACAAGGAGAGUACCCAUCACAGUAGCAGGCUGGUCUUGAGCUUCAUUCAGAUCAAUGUUGUUAGCCUGCCCACGACCAUAUGGUCUGGCAUUGUGGUUGUGGGGAUGAUUGAUACCACGAGCAUUAGAAGGCAGAGCCAGCUGAUUCUGAUUCUAAGGGCAGUUCCUGGAGUGGUGACCCGGAAGGCCACACUUGAAGCACAGACCAUCAUUGGGAUUGGGAGCAGAAGCUUGGGAUGGUACAGCCCGAAGGGGCUGCCUCUGUGGUGGAGGGGGAAAAUGUGGAGCAGCAUAGGACUGUCUUGGUGUAGGUGCCGUUGGACGAUACAAGCUAUGGGGAAUCCAUAUCUGACGCUUCUGUGCUGACGGGCCCAAAGAUGAGCCAGCAUCACGGCUGCGCCUGAGGGAUCCCCGGUGUUCCUGAAGACCAGUCUCAACCUGAAUAGCCUUGUUCACCAAGGUGGCAAAGUCGGCAAAGUCAUGAGCUAGCAGUGCUAGCUUAAUAUCAGGGUGAAGUGCAUCACGGAACUUUUCCUGCCUACGAGCAUCAGUUGCAAUGUCUUCUUUAGCAUAAUGAGACAAGUCUAGAAAUUCCCACUGGUAAGCAUCUACAGUAUUGUUUCCUUGGGUGAGGUUGCAGAACUCUUGCUUCUUCCUGUCCAUGAUUCCCCGUGGAAUGAAGCGGGCACGGAAAGCAGCUUGGAAAUCCGGCCAAGUGAUGACCGUUCCAGCAGGCAGGGUACGCCUGUGGCUGUCCCACCAUUGAGUAGCGGGACCCUUCAGAAAGAAAGAUGCAAAGGUGACAUAGCUAGCAGGGGCCACACUAGCAGACUUCAUUUCAUACAUGAUGUCGCGGAGCCAGUCAUCAGCAUCAAGGGGUUGAGUUGAGCUGCGGUAAAUAGUUGGGUUGAGACGCAUGAAGUCCUGCAGAGUUCCUGGGGUUGGCUGUUGAUUCAUGUUCGGACGAGGAAACUGAGCCAUCAUUCCUUCCAUGAACUGGCGGUUCAGCUCAAAUUGUUGCAUCAUUCUAGCAAAGAAUUCGGGCGGUGGUGGAUCGUUGGCACCACGGCCACGACCAGCGGGUCUAACCAUCCUGCUAACAUGUAACAGGGGGUAGUUCAGCAUUGAGCAUUUGUAAAAACAAGGAUCAUUCAUGAUGAAACAUGCAUAAUGAAAGAGGUACGAUGGAUACCACUUUGUUGUCAUCACGACAGUGUGUGUACUAUCCAGAAUACAAUUCUAAGGAAAACCUAUGGCUUAUCCAGCUUUGGGGUGAAUGUGGUCACGAGAUCCUAAUGUUAGAGUUAGUAAAACCAUUUUAACCCGAAUAGAAGAGAGAUCAGAGUCCCAGAGUAAAGAUCAAGGAGUAAAAGAUCCUAAUACCACCCAUAUGGCGACGUGGGCCAUAAGACACACAACCAUGUUAGUAAAAGUUUUUGUAGUGACUAGACUCAACUUCGGCCAAGGAGUUGGAAAGGGGGCUACCUAUAGGCAGUCGGCUCUGAUACCAACUUGUGACGCCCUCGAUUCAAUCGUACACUAAUCAUACACGCAAAUGUGUACGAUCAAGAUCAAGGACUCACGGGAAGAUAUCACAACACAACUCUAGACACAAAUUAAAAUAAUACAAGCUUUAUAUUACAAGCCAGGGGCCUCGAGGGCUCGAAUACAUAAGCUCAAAAUACACAAGAGUCAGCGGAAGCAUCAAUAUCUGAGUAUAGACAUGAGUUAAACAAGUUUGCCUUAAGAAGGCUAGCACAAAAACAACAUCGAUCGAAAAGGCAAGGCCUCCUGCCUGGGAGCCUCCUAACUACUCCAAGUCGUCAGCGGUCUUCACGUAAUAGUAGGCACCCUCGGGGUAGUAGCAGUCAUCAGUGGCGUCAUCUGGCUCCUGGGAUCCAUCAUCUGGUCGCAACAACCGGGUAUGGGGGAAAAGAGGUAGCAAAGCAGUUGUGAGUACUCAUCCAAAGUACUCGCAAGACUUACAUCAAAUCUAAACUAUGUAUGCAUCUGUAUCAAAGGAAAAGGGUUGUAUCUGUGGACUAAACUACAGAAUGCCAGAAAGAAGGGGAAAGCCUAGCCUAUCGAAGACUAGCAUCUUAAGCAUCUUGUAGCAUAUAGAAGAGUACAGAUCAACAUAAUGUAAAGUAGUAGUGUUAUCAACCUCGGCCAGAGAUCCUUUCUCGACUCCCAGCGACAAAGCAAUCCCAGACCCAUACUAUCCAUUUCUCAUCACAAUCAAUUUCUCAUCACCAUCCAUUUCUCAUCACAAGUAUCCAGUUCUAGUUGUAUCGAUCGGGAUGCAACUCCAAGUGUCCGCUACCGUAGGACAGGCUAUCGAUAGAUGUUUUCUUCCAUGCAGGGGUGCACCAACUUACCCAUCGUGCUUGAUUAACUCUGGCCAGACACACUUUCUUGGGUCAUGCCCGGCCUCGGCCAAACAAUACGCCGCAUCCCGACCUAGGCUUAAUAGAGAGGUCAAUACGCCAGACUAGACCUAUGCCCACAGGGGUCAUGGGCCAUCUCACCGGGAACUCCUGCACGUUGCGUACGCGGCUGGUGAGCAGACCUAGCUACCUCCUUAAACAAGGCAGGAGCUUAUGUAGUCCAACCUGGCGCGCGCCGCUCAGUCGCUGAAUCGAUUAAGCUUCGGCUGAUGCAUACGACGCAGAACACCCAUACAAUGCCCACGUGAUAGUUAGUGCUAUCAGGCCAGAGGCCCCUCGGAUCAAAUAUCCAAAUCAUAGUGGAUUAGGAGCAUGCGGUAACGAGCAGAGACUCACGGUCGAUGUGACCCUGUCCCCCGUCUCGAGUACUUACGGCAAGGGCUAAGAAUGCCCGGCCACGCCUCGUAAGUAUCUCAUGGGCACCUUCCAGGUCAACCCGACUCCACAUCACUCGCUAUUAAGCUCGUGUGGGUACCCCUCAGGGCCGACCCAUCUUUAGUAACAUGGCCCAGUGCAAAGUCAUAGUAACCAUAGUAACUGUGUGUCUAACACCAAGGGGAAAACCCGAGGAAUCACCCCCGGUGAAUCCCACUCGAUUUUAUCAUCAAGGUGAACAUAAGAGGAUCCACCCUCGAGGUUCACAUUUGAUGGAUUGCAUGAUAGAGCCGUAACGGAAGUGGUUAAGGAGGAAAUCACCCUCGAUGACCUCGACCGUAUAGCUACACUACAGAGAUCUCAUCAGGAGUGAUGUAAGAGGUUCCACCCUCGGCACUCGAUGGUAACUCUGUAGAGUCGUACAACUAGGGGUGAUGUGCGGUGUCGGGGCCUGGACGUCGAUCACGCUGAUCGAGUCAUUGAACAUAAAGCGAGGCAACUGGGACAAGGUGGUUCACUGAUUUAUCACUUACCAACCUAUACUAAGCAGUUUAGGAUAAGCAGGUAAGGUAACAAUAAGCAGGUAACAAAAACAGGCUAUGCAUCAGAGUAGGAUCAUACUGAAAACAGUAGCAGUUCUAAUGCAAGCAUGAGAGGGAAAGAAAUGGGCGAUAUCGAAAUGCUCAAGGGGGGUUUGCUUGCCUGGUUGCUCUGGCAAGGAGGGGGUCGCCGUCGACGUAGUCAAUCACAGGGGCAACAUCGGUCUCGGGGUCUACCGGAGAGAAGAGGGGGAAGAAACAGUAAAUACAGAGCAAGCAAUGCAUCACAAGGCAUAACAUGACGAUAGGCAGAGCUAGGGUUGUCCUAACGUAGUUCUACACGUUGCAGACGGAGGGGAUAAACAUCCGAGGAUGAAUCCCCGGCGUUAGACGAAUUCCGGACAGAUGAAAGAGAGGGGACGGUUCCAUGUUCAGCAUUCUAGGGGCAUGUGACAGGUGAAUGGACCGCGCAUUCGGAUUCGUGGGAUUUUUCUGAGCAACUUUCAUAUAGAAAACAUUUUCAUCGGAGUUACGGUUUAAUUUCUAUGAAUUUUCAAAGAUUAAAGCAAUUCCAAAAAUUAGUUAAAUUGGCAGAAAAGGAAAAAUGACGUCAGCAUGACAUGUUGAUGACAUCAGCAGUCAACAGGGCUGAUGACCAUGUCAAACUGACCAGUGGGUCCCACAUGUCAUAUACAGAGGGCUAACAGUGGGUUAUUUUAAUUAAACAGAGUUAAUUAGCAGUAGGGCCCCACAUGUCAGUGACUGAUUAGGCUAACUAAUUAGUUUUAAUUAUAAAAAAAUUUAAUUAGCUUAAUUACACGGUGGUUCCGCGUGUCAGUGAUACUGUGUGCCCAGUCAGCACAGUUGACCACGGUCAACGUGGUCAACUGGGGCCAUGGGGCCCACAGGCAGUGACCGAGAGGCGGGCCACAGGUGCGCCACGUCGGCGGCGUUGGGGUUUCACCGCCAGCGACCAAAACAGCGGUGGGGCUGGCCGGACUUCGCCAGAAUCACGCCAUAGGGGGUCAUUAGGCGCGGGACUUGGCGCGUUCGAACGAGGAGAGCUCGCCGCGUCGCGUGGUGAGGCCGGCCAGAGCUAGAGCUGCCGGAAACGGCGCCGCCGACGAGUGUGGGCGGCGGUUGGCUUCGGGCCUCAUCGUGGCCGAGGCUACGAGCAUUCAAAAGGAGCGUGGGGUAGUGCGUUUGAAAGCAGGGGCUCGGGCGUAGCCAUUCGAGGUCUCAGCCGAGGAUGGGAUGGACGGAGUCGUCGCCGGCGACAUGGACGGCAGAGACACGAGGCACGACGAGCUUGCAAAUGGCGCAAUGGCAAGCAAAAUGAGCGGUGUUGAGUACGUAUGGCGUCUACACGUGCGGGCGAGCAUGAUGGACACGCUUGCGCGGGCGUUCGGUCACCGGAACGUGACCGGUGAUGAGCUCGGCGGAGGCGAGCUCGGACAUGUGGGGAACGGCGCCUACGGGCGCGACAACGGCGGGAAGACAGAGGGGAGAGAGGUGUAACACCCAUGAUACGGCUAUAUCUCCCACGUGUCAAAGCACGACUUAGAGGCAUAACCGCAUUGUAAGAAAUGUCGCAAGAGGGGUAAUAUUUACACAUCCCAUGUACUGAAUAAGACAAGAGGUACAUAGUUGGCUUACAAUAGCCACAUCACACAAUAGCAUAAAUAUAUCAUUACAUUCAUCCAGAUACAAACAAGGUCCGACUACGGAACCAAAAUAAAGACAACCCCAAAUGCAUAAUGUCCCCGAUCGACCCAACUGGGCUCCACUACUGAUCGUCCGGAAAGGAAACGUAGUAUCAUCCUGAGUCCUCAUCGAACUCCCACUUGAGCUCAGUCGCAUCUCCUGGAACGGUAUCAUCGGUCCCUGCAUCUGGUUUUGGAAGGAAUCUAUGAGUCACGGGGACUCAGCAAUCUCACACCCUCGCGAUCAAGACUAUUUAAGCUUAUAGGUAAGGUAAAAGGUAUGAGGUGGAGCUGCAGCAAGCACUAGCAUAUAUGGUGGCUAACAUACGCAAAUGAGAGCGAGAAGAGAAGCCAAGGCACGAUCGAGAAACUAUGAUCAAGAAGUGAUCCUAGAACAACCUACGGUCAAGCAUAACACGAGACCGUGUUCUCUUCCCGGACUCCGCCGAAAAGAGACCAUCACGUCCACACACUCUGUUGAUUCAUUUUAAUUAAGUUAAGUUUCAGGUUUUCUACAAUCGGACAUUAACAAAUUCCCAUCUGCCCAUAACCGCGGGCAUCGCUUUCGAAAGUUCAAAACCCUGCAGGGGUGUCCCAACUUAGCCCAUCACAAGCUCUCACGGUCAAUGAAGGAUAUUCCUUCUCCCAAGCAAUCCGAUCAGACUCGGAAUCCUGGUUACAAGACAUCUCGACAAUGGUAAAACAAGUCCAGCAAGACCACCCGCUGUGCCGACAAAUCCCGAUAGGAGCUGCACAUAUCUCGUUAUCAGGGCACACCGGAUGAACACUACGUACAACUAAAACCAACCUUCAAGUUUCCCUGAGGUGGCGCGGGAAGUGGCUCUGUUUUGGACCAACACUCAGAGGAGCACUGUCCCGGGGGUUUAAAAUAAAGAUGACCCUUGAGUCCGCGGAACCCAAGGGAAAAGAGGCAGGUGGCAAAUGGUAAAACCAAGGUUGGGCCUUGCUGGAGGAGUUUUAUUGAAAUCAAACUGUCAAGGGGUUCCCAUUAUAACCCAACCGUGUAAGGAACGCAAAAUCAAGGACCAUAACACUAGUAUGAUGGAAACUAGGGCGGCAAGAGUGGAACCAAACGCCAGGCAUAAGGCUGAGCCUUCCACCCUUUACCAAGUAUAUAGAUGCAUUAAAGUAGACAAGAUAUAAUAAUGAUAUCCCAACAAUAAACAUGUUCCAACAAGGAACAAACUCCAAUCUUCACCUGCAACUAGCAACGCUAUAAGAGGGGCUGAGCAAAGCGGUAACAUAGCCAAACAACGGUUUGCUAGGCCAAGGUGGGUUAAAGGUUUGACAUGGCAAUAUGGGAGGCAUGAUAAGAAAGUGGUAGGUAUCGUAGCAUAGGCAUAGCAAAAGAGCGAGCAUCUAGCAAGCAAAGAUAGAAGUGAUUUCGAGGGUAUGGUCAUCUUGCCUGCAAAGUUCUCCGAGUUGACGUUAGCUUGAUCCUCGUAAGCGUACUCAACUGGUUCCUCGAUCACGUACUCGUCUCCCGGCUCUACCCAAAGCAAGAACACAAGCAAAGGGAGACACAAUCAACCACGGUGCAAUGCGCAAACAACAUGAUGCAAAACAUGGCAUUCUAUGCGGGAUGUGGUAUGUAAUGCAUAUGCAUCCUUCGGAAAGGAAAAAUUGAACCUGGCCUUAACUUGGAAAACCAAGAGUGCCACUGGAAAGAGGAGUUGAUUUCGGUCGAAGUCGAUAUAAAGAUCACCGGAAUCGGAUGCACGGUUUGCAAAUGGCAAGCAAAACAAUAAUGGCGCAAAGCUGCGAUUAACAGCACGAGGCCAUCUAAAUGUAUCAAGAACAACAAGCUACUGCACUCUAACAUAGCAACAAAACACAAGGCAGUGAUCCUCUGAAGAUGCUUGAUAAAAGAUGAACACUGAACUACGGCUAAAUCACACAAUAGCAAGUUCAAACAAGCAUGGCAAAAGUGCAAAAGAUAUCAGGUUACACACUUAGUGAAAAUAACAACAUGCCAGGAAUUUAACAUCAGGAAGCAAUGUUUAGAGCACGAUAACAACAUGCCAAAGGAAAAUAUCAUGGCAAAGCAAGGCAUGGCAUGAAGCUACUUAAAGCAUACAAAAAAAGUCCCUUAUUGACCAUAAGCCAAAAGGGAUCAGAAAAUACAAUGGCAACCAUGUGAACAUAGCAAGUUUCGUUAACAGAUUCAGACUUAGCAGAAAACUGGAACAUGGCAAAACAGAUUCACGUAGGCAUGUUUACGAGCUCGAUGCACUCACCACAAGGCAUUGCAUGACAAACUAAGCAUACACCCAGCAAGUAGACAUCAUAUAUAAGCUAACCAUGGCAAGAACACUCUCAUAGCAUGCAUGGACAAACUAUAAUAACCUCGGCAAAAUUGCUUAACAUGUAAACAAUCUGCCAGGAACAUUUUAUAGCAAAAGUAGAGCAAUAUUGAGUCAUGCUAGGGUGCUCCAUAAUUGUAAACAAAGACAUUGAUGGAUAAAGCAUAACAAUAUCUCAAAAACAUCCUUACUGAACAUGCACAAAAUAGGCAUGGAUCACUCUAUAGCAACAAGAAUACAUGGCAUAAAAAUAUUAUCAAGGAAAAGACUUAGAAGAUUUCUAAGUCCCUGAAAUCAGCAACAUCACGAGAGCUACUUUGCAUGCUUGUGCUAGUCACCACAGAGAUCACAAAAAUACAUGGCAUACACCCCUAUAAAGAUGGCAUGGCAUACUUCAAAACACAUGUAGGGCUCAAGAUCAUAGGAGACACACAUUAAACAUGGAAAAAAUGACAAAUGUCCAAUCUCUGCUAAGAAACUGAAACUAACAUUGCAUAGCACUCUUGCAACAGCAUUUAGGGCAUCAAGAUGAGCUCAAAAGAACAUGGUGCAAUGGAAUGAAAUGAAGUACACAUCGAGACGAGCAAGUUGAUAUGCUACACGCCCAAAACGGAGCCACGGAUGCAAAGUUAUGGCAUGAUGAAAUAUGCUAAAAAGUAUUGGGACUUAGGAGAAAAAUUAGGUCAACCCUUGAGUUUCAGAUCUGGAUCGGGCACAGAGGACGAGGUACAGCGGAGCUUCACUGGAAUCGACGAGGACGGUGGUCGGAGUCGUCGGAGGAGCGGGAUCCGGCCGGAGAGCUCGCCGGGGCGACGCGAGGCGGCGAGGGCGGCGGUGGCGCGGCAGGGCGGCGCGGGUAGAGGGAGCCGGGCGGNNNNNNNNNNNNNNNNNNNNNNNNNNNNNNNNNNNNNNNNNNNNNNNNNNNNNNNNNNNNNNNNNNNNNNNNNNNNNNNNNNNNNNNNNNNNNNNNNNNNNNNNNNNNNNNNNNNNNNNNNNNNNNNNNNNNNNNNNNNNNNNNNNNNNNNNNNNNNNNNNNNNNNNNNNNNNNNNNNNNNNNNNNNNNNNNNNNNNNNNNNNNNNNNNNNNNNNNNNNNNNNNNNNNNNNNNNNNNNNNNNNNNNNNNNNNNNNNNNNNNNNNNNNNNNNNNNNNNNNNNNNNNNNNNNNNNNNNNNNNNNNNNNNNNNNNNNNNNNNNNNNNNNNGUUGCUGCGGCGUGGGGCGGCGCGGCGAAGGAGGAGGCCGGGCAGCGCGAUGGGCCUCAGGGGCCCACCCUGGGCUCGGCGGGCCGACGGCGGAGGGAGGCGGGCGGGCGAAUGGUGUGAUGCCACGUGGCAGCGGCGGCGCGGGUCAGACAUGUCCGGCCGGCGAUUUUCGUCCGGCGGCGCGAGGAGAGGGAGAGGUUAGGGUUUCGCCCGAAAUUUCGGAGGGGGGUGGUCUAUAUUUAUAGGUAGAGGGAGCUAGUAGACUCCAAAUUGAGCACGGUUUGCGGCCACACGAUCGUGAUUGAACGCCCGAGAUGAUGGAAGGGGUUUAGGUGGGUUUUGGGCCACUUUGGAGAGGUGUUGGGCUGCAACACACACGAGGCCUUUACGGCUCCUCGGUUAACCGUUGGAGUAUCAAACAAAGUCCAAAUGGCACGAAACUUGACAGACGGUCUACCGGUAGUAAACCAAGGCUGCUUGGCAAGUCUCGGUCCAAUCCGAGAACGUUUAACACCCGCACACGAAAAGAGGUAAAAGGGGACACCGGAGGACAUAGGAGCGCCGGAAUGCAAAACGGACAACAGGGAAAAUGCUCGGAUGCAUGAGACGAACACGUAUGCAAAUGCGAUGCACAUGAUGACAUGAUAUGAGAUGCAUGACAACGACAAAAGCAACACGAAGACAAAAACCCGACAACGAGGAAAUAUCAUAACUUAGUGCUGGAAAAGGCAAGAGUUGGAAUACAAAUAUGGCAAGUUACAUAUGGGGCGUUACAACACUCCACCACUACAAAGGGAUCUCGUCCCGAGAUCUAGGACUGGAAAAACUCUGAAUAUUCAGAACGGAGGUGGUCCUCGCGUUCCCAUGUGGCUUCAUAGUCAGAAUGAUGUGACCACUUCACUUUCAGGAAUUUGAUAGACUUGUUGCGAGUCUUGCGCUUAGUUUCUUCAAGAAUAGCAACGAGGUGCUCAUGAUAAGACAGGUCUUCUUGGAGAUCAAUCUCUUCAAAGUUGAUGGUGCGGUCAGGAGUCUUGAAACACUUGCGGAGCUGAGACACGUGAAACACGUCGUGCACAUUUGCAAAGUUGGAUGGAAGCUCAAGUUGAUAGGCGAGAUCGCCUCUUUUGCCAAUGAUCUUGAAAUGACCCACGUAUCUAGGGGCAAGCUUCCCUUUGAUACUGAAGCGAUGAGUACCUUUCAUUGGAGAGACGCGGAGGUAGACAUGGUCUCCGAUCUCAAAAGCCAAGUCACGAUGCUUGCUAUCAUAGUAACUCUUCUUGCGUGAUUGCGCGGCUUUGAGAUUUUCACAAAUGACUUUGCACAUUUCUUCAGCCUCUGUGAUCAAGUCGUUGCCAAGAAGUUGGUGUUCAUCAGUCUCUGACCAGUUAAGAGGACUAUGGCCCUUCCUGCCAUAGAGAAUCUCGAAUGGGGCCUUGCCCGAACUUGCUUGGAAGCUGUUGUUGUAGGAGAACUCGACAUAUGGAAGACAAUCUUCCCACUUCAUACGGAAAGAAAUGACACAUGCCCUGAGCAUAUCUUCAAGAAUUUGAUUGACUCGCUCGACCUGGCCACUGGUUUGAGGAUGAAAAGCUGUGCUGAAGCGAAUGUAGGUGCCCAUGGCCUUCUGAAAGGAAUCCCAGAACUUGGAGGUGAAUAUGCUACCACGAUCUGAAGAGAUCAACUGCGGAAUGCCGUGCAGAUAGACAAUCCUGGAGGUAUAUAGCUCUGCCAACUGAGUUGCUGUGCUAGAUUCUUUGAUAGGGAUAAAAUGAGCCACUUUGGUGAGCUUGUCGAUGACAACAAAGAUAGCAUCAUUGCCACGCUUGGACUUGGGAAAUCUAGUCAGAAAGUCCAUCUCAAUAUGAUCAAACUUCCAUUCUGGAAUGGCAAGAAGUUGGAGGAGACCAGCUGGUCGUUGGUGUUCUUCUUUUACUCUCCUGCAGACAUCACAUUCAUUCACGAACUGAGCAAUCUCGCGCUUCAUUCGAGUCCACCAAUACGACUGCUUGAGGUCAUGGUACAUCUUUGUACUUCUAGGGUGAAUAGAUAGGAGUGAAUUGUGAGCCUCGUUCAUAAUGACUUUACGAAGGUUGCCUUUAGGAACAACAAUGCGAUCCUCGAAGAAUAGAGUAUCCUUGUCAUCAAGGCGAUAGUACUUGUACUUGGGUUGAGGGAGUCCUGGAUUAGGGGGUGUCCGGAUAGCCGGACUAUACCUUCGGCCGGACUCCUGGACUAUGAAGAUACAAGAUUGAAGACUUCGUCCCGUGUCCGGAAGGGACUUUCCUUAGCGUGGAAGGCAAGCUUGGAGAUACGGAUAUGUAGAUCUCCUACCAUUGUGACCAACUCUGUGUAACCCUAGCCCUCUCCGGUGUCUAUAUAAACCGGAGGGUUUUAGUCCGUAGGACGAACAACAAUCAUACCAUAGGCUAGCUUCUAGGGUUUAGCCUCCUUGAUCUCCUGGUAGAUCUACUCUUGUACUACCCAUAUCAUCAAUAUUAAUCGAGCAGGAGUAGGGUUUUACCUCCAUCGAGAGGGCCCGAACCUGGGUAAAAACAUCGUGUCCCUUGUCUCCUAUUACCAUCCGCCUAGACGCACAAUUCGGGACCCCCUACCCGAGAUCCGCCAGUUUUGACACCGACAUAGGUGCUUUCACUGAGAGUUCCUCUGUGUCGUCACUUUUAGGCCCGAUGGCUCCUCCGAUCAUCAACGACAAUGUGAUCCAGGGUAAGACUUUUCUCCCCGGAUAGAUCUUCGUAUUUGGCGGCUUUGCACUGCGGGCCAACUCACUUGGCCAUCUGGAGCAGAUCGAAAGCUACGCCCUUGGCCGUCAGGUCAGAUUUGGAAGUUUAAACUACACAGCGGACGACCGCGGAGACUUGAUCUUCGAUGGAUCUAAGCCGCAGCCGAGCGCGCCGCACUGUCCUGAUGGGCAUGAUCUAGCUCUGCCGCCGAACAGUGCCCUGGAGGCCGCACCUGUGUCCGCUUCGACCCUUGGCCCGGAGCCGACCACACCAAUCGAGGAUGGGUGGUUAGACACCGCCUCGGGGGCUGCAAUCUCUACGGCGAUCAAGCCGAACACCAGCCUUGUCCUCUGUGAAGCCCGGGACUCCUCUCUGGACUCCGAGCCCUCUGCACCCCUACCGAUCGAAUCCGAUUGGGCACCGAUCAUGGAGUUCACCGCCGCAGACAUCUUUCAGCACUCGCCCUUCGGCGACAUUCUGAAUUCACGCAGGUCUCUCUCUUUGUCAGGAGAGUCCUGGUCGGACUAUGACCGGCAGGAUUGGGAUGUGGACGAUGAAGAAAUUCGAUGCCCACCCACCACACACUUCAUAGCCACUGUCAAUAAUUUAAACGACAUGCUUGACUUCGACUCCGAAGACAUCGACGGUAUGGACGACGAUGUAGGAGAUGAACAUGAACCAACACCUAUAAGGCACUAGACAGCCACCUCAUCUCAUGAUGUAUACAUGGUGGACACACCCAAAGGAAGCGGUGACGAGGAACACAGGGAUGCAACGAGGGAUCGUUCACUCGAAAAGCAAUCAAAGCGGCGACAUAAGCGCCACUCCAAGCCCCGCCUCGACAGAGAAAGCAGCCAUACAGACCCAGCCAUAGAGUAGGACGAGCUAGCGGACGACGAACAUGCCUUCGAGCAACCGUCUGAACAGGGCAACUUGGACAAACAAACCGAACACCCCGUCCCCGGUGAAAACAACAGUCCGGACGACGUUACACCGGAUAGGCUCAUGGAGCAGAAGAACCUCCACAAAAGGCUCGUCGCCACUGCGCGUAGCCUGAAAAAGCAGAAGCGGAAGCUCAAAACUGCGGAAGAUGCACUCAGAAUCAGAUGCAGCAAAGUACGCAACACCGCAGACAAAUAUGGCAGCAGUCGCCGCACAAAAAGCUAUCCAAAGCGAAAGCUACUGCCUGAAUUUGACGAGUAGUCCUUAGAGCCCCCGCAGCCAAAAAAUAGGAAAGCCACCCGGUCAGAUAGAAGACCGCAUGGCCAGCAUGGAGCGGCAAGCGGCGCCGAACACAAGCCAGCACGCGAUCCACCAAAGGAUCCACAUCAAAAAGAUGGCCCAGCCAGAUCUAUCUACGGGCCAAGAAAACAAGCUCUAGUAAGCAAUGCAACACAACAAAUAUCCGAACAUCACGGCACACCCAAAUACAGGGGUGCCGCACACCCCCUAUGCUUCACCGAUGAGGUGCUGGACCAUGAAUUCCCAGCGGGAUUCAAGCCCAUAAACAUAGAGGCGUACGACGGAACAACAGACCCUGGGGUCUGGAUCGAGGAUUAUAUCCUCCACAUACACAUGGCCAGAGGAGAUGACCUCCACGCCAUAAAAUACUUACCCCUCAAGCUUAAAGGGCCAGCCCGGCAUUGGCUCAAAAGCCUUCUCGAAAACACCAUUGGAAGUUGGGAAGAGCUUGAGGAUGCUUUCCGGGCAAAUUUUCGAGGGACCUAUGUCCGCCCUCCGGAUGCAGACGAUCUCAGUCACAUAACUCAACAGCCCGGAUAGUCAGCCCGGAAAUUCUGGAACAGAUUUCUUACUAAAAAGAAUCAGAUAGUCGACUGUCUGGACGCCGAAGCCCUGGCAGCUUUUAAGCAUAACGUUCGAGACGAAUAGCUCGCCAGACACCUCGGCCAAGAAAAGCCAAGAACAAUGGCCGCAUUAACAAGCCUCAUGACCCUCUUUUGCGUAGGACAGGACAGCUGGUUGGCAAGAUGUAGCACCAGCGACCCAAGUACAUCCGAAGUUAGGUAUGGAAACGGAAAACCCUGACGCAGCAAGGACCAGCGCCGGAAUAAGGGAAACAGCCCAAAGAGCAUGGUGCUCAACGCCGGAUUCAAAAGCUCGCAGUAGAAUCAGAGAAAGCCGCCCCUCAAGGAUAACAGGGACGAGCUAUCCAACUUAAACAAAAUCUUGGACCAGAUAUGUCAAAUACACAGUACUCACGGGAAGCCUGCGAACCAUACCCACAGAGAUUGUUGGGUUUUCAAGCAAUCUGGCAAACUCAACGCCGAACACAAGGGGCUCGACACACCAAGUGACGUCGACAACGAACCCCACAAGCAGAGCACCAGGAAACAAAAGGAUUUCCCACAAGAGGUCAAAACAGUAAACUUACUUCACGUGACGAACAGAAUGGCGCCAACAGAGAUACGUGCCAUACGGCCUAUCCCAAAGGAGUGUAACACCCCGGAUGUAACUUUUCCAAUUUGUACUCCAACUCUUGCCGUUUCCGGCGUUAAGUUAUUUUAUUUUCUCGGGUUCAGGUUUUUGUCUCCGUGUUUCAUUAUCGUUGUCAUGCAUCUCAUAUCAUGUCAUCAUGUGCAUUGCAUUUGCAUACGUGUUCAUCUCAUGCAUUCGAGCAUUUUCCCCGUUGUCCGUUUUGCAUUCUAGCGCUUCGUUCUCCUCCGAUGGUCAUUUCUAGCUUUCUUUCAUGUGUUGGGAUUAAACAUUUCCGGAUUGGACCGAGACUUGCCAAGCGGCCUUGGUUUACUACCGGUAGACCGCCCGUCAAGUUCCGUACCAUUUGGACUUUGUUUGAUACUCCAACGGUUAACCGAGGGACCGAAAAGGCCUCGUGUGUGUUGCAGCCCAACACCCCUCCAAUUUGGCCCAAAACCCACCUAAACCUUCUCCAUCAUCUAGAGCGUUCGAUCAUGAUCGCGUGGCCGAAAACCGCUCCUCAUUUGGACUCUCCUAGCUCCCUCUAUGCUUAUAAAUAGGUCCUCAAAAAUCUCGGAUCCCCCUCCCCGAAACCCUAAAAAUCGUCUCCGCGCGGCCGGACAUUGUCCGCACCGCGCCGGACACACCGCCGCGCCCACUUCUGUGCCGCCAUGUGGCACCUCCGCCGCCAGCCGCCGCCGCGGCCCGGUGAGCCCACAGCGGGCCCGCCCGGCCCAUUGUCGCCCUGCCGUGCUCCGCCUCCACCCCGCGCCUCCCUCGUNNNNNNNNNNNNNNNNNNNNNNNNNNNNNNNNNNNNNNNNNNNNNNNNNNNNNNNNNNNNNNNNNNNNNNNNNNNNNNNNNNNNNNNNNNNNNNNNNNNNNNNNNNNNNNNNNNNNNNNNNNNNNNNNNNNNNNNNNNNNNNNNNNNNNNNNNNNNNNNNNNNNNNNNNNNNNNNNNNNNNNNNNNNNNNNNNNNNNNNNNNNNNNNNNNNNNNNNNNNNNNNNNNNNNNNNNNNNNNNNNNNNNNNNNNNNNNNNNNNNNNNNNNNNNNNNNNNNNNNNNNNNNNNNNNNNNNNNNNNNNNNNNNNNNNNNNNNCACCGCGCCCUCCGGCCGCCGUAAAGCCUCGCCGCGCCAGCGAGCUCGGCGCCCGGAGACCCUGCCGCCUCUCCGCCGUCACGCUGGCUCCGACGAGCUCUCUCAGCCGCCGGUGAACAGUGCCCGUCGUUCCUCGAUCCCCGUGCAGAUCCAGAUCUGAAUCGGCUUAGGGUUGACUUUUGCCCUGAUUUUUUCAGUAUUUUUUGCAUUCUUCAUGGCCUCGUAACUUUGCAUCCGUAGCUCCGAUUCAUGCAUAUAGCAUAUCAAAAUGUUCAUCUCGAGACAGUACAUCAUUUCAUUCCAUUGCAUCAUUUUCAUUUGAGUUCAUCUUGAUGCCCGAAAUGCUGUUAGAAGAGGGCUACUUGAGAUAAUUGUCAGAUCUGCUGCUCCAUUUAGCUUUUUGUCAUUUUUGCCAUGAUUAAUGUGUGCAUGAUAUGCCCCUGAGUUAUACAUAUGUUUUGGAAAGGGUUUUGCCAUAUUUCCAGAGGUGCAACCCAUGUAUUUUUGUGAUGUGUGUGGUGACUAGUACAAGCUUGCAAAGUGAGGCACUUAGUAAUCCUGUUUUCAGAGACUUAGCAUUUCCACCAAGUCCUUGAGCUGUUUAUCUCAUGAUGCCAUAUGUCCAUGUUGUUUCCUAGUGAUCCGUGCCUCUUUUGAGGAUGAUCAGUAAGGACGUUUUGUUAAUCUUAUAGUGCUCUAUCCAUCCAUGUCUUUGUUUGCAAUUAUGGAGCACCCUAGCUUGAGUCAAUCGAGCUCUACUUUUGCUACUUUGUGAAUCUGGGCAGAUUGUCAACUUGUUUGCAAUUUUGCCGAUGAUGUUGUAGUUGAUCCAUGCAUGCUAUGUUAUUGUUCUUGCCAUUUCUAGCUUUCAUUUUGUGUGUUCUAGAUGGAUGCAUGCUUAGUUUGUCAUGACUUGCUCCGUAGUGAGUGCAUCGAGCUUGUAAACAUGCCUACUUGAGUUAUGUUUCAGCAUGUGCCAGUUUUCACUAAGUCUGAAAACUGAUUAUGUUUUUGCUAUGUUCACAUGCUUGUUAAUAUGUUUUAUGAUCCCUUUUGGCUCAAGGUCACUAAGGAACUUUUGUUAAGCUCUUUGAGUAGCUCCAUGCCAUGCUUUACUUUGCCAUGUUCAGGUCUUGUAGCAUGUAGUUUUGUUGCUCCGAAGAGUGCUAUCUGAUCUGAAAUUUCAGACAAGUGUUAAUUUCACUAAGUCUGAGAUCUGUUUACCAUAUGCAUUUUUGCCAUGCUUGUUCGAACCUGUUAAUGGAUGAAUUGGCCGUAUUUCAGUGCUAGACUUUUGUUAAGCAUCUUGAGUGCAUCCCUGCUAUGUAUUUUGUUGUCAUGUUUGGGUGUUGUAGCAUGUUCAUCUCAUUGCAUUUAGAUGGCUACUUGCUGUAAAUCGCAGACCGGUGUCAUAUUUGAAUCGCUUGCCAUUUCCAAACCGUAACUCCGAUUCCGGCAUUCUUUAUAUCGUUUUCAAGCGAUUUCAUCUCAUCUUUCCAGUGGCACACUUGGUUUUCCAAGUUGAGUCCAGGUUCAUGCAUUCCUUGUCACAUCUUGCAUAUGCAUCCCGCAUCGCAUCCCGCAUAGCAUAUCAUCAAUGCAUCAUAUUGUUUGAUCCUUGCACGUGGUUGAUUGUGUCCUUGUUGCUUGUUUGUCUUAAUUGGGUAGAGCCGGGAGACGAGUUCACUAACGAGGAGCCCGUUGAGUUUGCUUUCGAGGAUCCAGUCAACUCUGACAGCUUUGCAGGCAAGAUGAUUAUACCCUCGAAAUCACUACUAUCUUUGCUAUGCUAGAUUGCUCGCUCUUUUGCUAUGCCAAUGCUAUGAUGCCUACCACUUGCUUUCAAGCCUCCCACAUUGCCAUGUCAAACCUAUAACUCACCUUGUCCUAGCAAACCGUUGAUUGGCUAUGUUACCGCUUUGCUCAGCCCCUCUUAUAGCGUUGCUAGUUGCAGGUGAAGAUUGGAGACUGUUCCUUGUUGGAACAUUUAUUUACUUGUUGGGAUAUCAUUACAUUGCCAUGUUAACUUAAUGCAUCUAUAUACUUGGUAAAGGGUGGAAGGUUCGGCCUCUCGCCUAGUGUUUUGUUCCACUCUUGCCGCCCUAGUUUCCGUCAUAUCGGUGUUAUGUUCCCAGAUUUUUGCGUUCCUUACGUGGUUGGGUUAUAAUGGGAACCCCUUGAUAGUUCGCCUUGAUUAAAGCUUUUCCAGCAAUGCCCAACCUUGGUUUUACCAUUUGCCACCUAGCCUCUUUUCCCUUGGGUUUCCGGAGCCCGAGGGUCAUCUUACUUAAACCCCCCCGGGCCAGUGCUCCUCUGAGUGUUGGUCCAAAUAGAGCCACUUGCAGCGCCACCUCGGGGCAACUCGAGGGUUGGUUUUAGUUGUACGUAGUGUUCAUCUGAGUGUGCCCUGAGAAAGAGAUAUGUGCAUCUCCUAUCGGGAUUUGUCGGCACAUUCGGGCGGUGUUGUUGGUCUUGUUUUAACCUGUCGAAGUGUCUUGAAGAACCGAGGUACCGAGUCUGAUCGGAACAUCUCGGGAGGAGGUCUAUUCCUUCGUUGACCAUGAGAGCUUGUCAUGGGCUAAGUUGGGACUCCCCUGCAGGGAUUUGAACUUUCGAAAGCCGUGCCCGCGGUUAUGGGCAGAUGGGAAUUUGUUAAUGUCCGGUUGUAGAUAACUUGAACCUUAAAUUAAUUAAAAUGAAUCAACCGUGUGAGUUACCGUGAUGGCCUCUUCUCGGCGGAGUCCGGGAAGUGGACACGGUGUUAGAGUAAUGCUUGCGCAGGUUGCUCUCUAGUUUCUCGCUCGCGCUUUGCCUCCUCUUCUCGCUCUCUUUUGCGAAUAGGUUAGCCACCAUAUAUGCUAGUCGCUUGCUGUAGCUCCACUCAUUUUUACCUUGUCUUACCUAUAAGCUUAAAUAGUCUUGAUCGCGAGGGUGCGGGAUUGCUGAGUCCCUGUGGCUCACAGAUUACUAUUACACCAGAUGCAGGGCCUGAUGAUUCCGCUCCAGGUGACGCGCUCGAGCUCAAGUGGGAGUUCGACGAGGACUCUCAACGUUAUUAUGUUUCCUUUCCUGAUGAUCAGUAGUGGUGCCCUGUUGGGGGUGAUCAGGACCGUGUCGCAUGUUGGGUUAUCUUUUAUUUUGGCGCCGUAGUCGGGCCAUGAGUGUUUGGAUGAUGUAAUGUUAUUUAUGUACUUGAUUGACGUGGCGAGUGUAAGCCAACUAUGUUAUCCCUUUUAUUAUCUAUAUUACAUAGGAUGUUUGUGAUGAUUGCCUGACUUGCGACAUAUGCCUUCAAUGUGAUUAUGUCUCUAAGUCGUGCCUCGACACGUGGGAGCUAUAGUCGCAUCGAGGGUGUUACAAGGAGUCUCGCCAAUGGUUGUGAAAACCGAUCACCUUCGACCAUCAGGAUUACUCUAGAAGUAUCCGGAAUGCGGGCUGGACUGCCUUGGUAUUAGAUCCAAUAAUCGGCGGACUCCACUUUACAAAUGUCCUGAUGGACGGCGGCAGUGGUCUAAAGUUGUUAUACCAGGACACAAUCCGCAACAUGGGGAUAGACCCAACAAAAAUUCGCCAUAGCAAAACCUCCUUUCAAGGGGUAACGCCAGGCCCGGAUGCCCAUUGCAUGGGUUCUCUCCGGCUAGAAGUUAUGUUCGGCUCCCCCAAUAACUUCCGUCGUGAACAACUAACUUUCCACAGCGCCCCAUUCUCAAGUAGCUAUCAAGCACUGCUGGGACGCAAAGCUUUCGCCCGGUUUAACGCAAUACCGCAUUAUGCAUCUCUUACACUUAAGAUGCCAGGUCCACGAGGCAUCAUCUCAUUAAAGGGGAAACAUUGAGUGUUCCUCCCGCGCGGAAGACAGUGCGGCUGCCUUGACAGCCCCACAAUAAAGCGGCUUCACUAGCUAGAGCACCUAAAUAGGUCGUCAAGACCACGGACAUGGCUAGACGAGUCCGGCAUAAACAUACAAUUGAUAAAGGCUUAAUAGCCGUAUACCCCUGUGCUAGGGGCUCCUCGCAUAUAAAACAAGAGACAAUAAAGCUCAAUUUUACCCAUUUCGAUUUAUACUUUGUUUAUUUAGUAUAACUCAUGUUCGGCACGAUCUUUCUUCAACUAAGUUCCUCUCUUUUAUAGAUAAACAACAUGCUACACCCGUCCAGGAUACGGCACAACAGAGAAACAGGCGCAGGCGUGCGGUAGGGAUCCAUUCCAAGGAUUCUUUUCAGAUUAAGACCCUGCGUAAACCUUUUUUACUGUCUCUUGUUGAUACACAUCCCCUGGUUUCUUGGUAUAACCAAGGAGGAGGCUGGCGUUUUGGCAUGUGGCCACGUCAGAGUUUUGCACGUACCUGGACACUAGGGGCUUAUUACUAAGGGCGUUAUCCCGCCCGCCCUCAUAAAGACCGAAUACCUUAGGGAGUGUUCGGCGUCGUGAGUUUCGCCUUAUAUGCAUCAGCUCCGAAUCAUGUCUUUGGUCAAAUGUUGGGUUUGCCCGGCUCCUGUGUUUUGCUACCUUACAUUCCACUCUAUCGGCUAAGGCGGCACCAGGAGAACUCCUGUGAUUGUGCCCCGGUUCGGCCAGGCGAGCACCUCAGUAGAGAAAGUCGAAAACUGACUGUCAUGAUAUAGCGUGAGACCGGUCAACCACUCGAUGACUUACCGGAAUCUUUAGGAUUCCUCCGCAUUAACGAAGGGCCGCUUCCCGGCCAGGCACAUACGUGCCCUGAGUUCGGGCGAGCGCAGGUGCCACCAGGGGCUAUAUAAGUAGCCUCACUGUCAAACUCCUAUGGCUAAGUGAAAGUGAUAAAGCAUCAUAGUCUGAUUGCCUAGUUCGCCGCGCUAUCACCUCCUUUGUAGGACCAAGACGUUGGAUCAAGUGUGAAAAUGCGCCUUCUGCGAACACCCCCGCAUUAUGUGCGUGGGGGAUGAAGCCGACGACUGCCAUCUUUCAGAUUAUAUAUACAUAUAUGUUAAACGGCCGCACAGGAGGUAUUAUAAUACUUGCAGGCACAAGUAUAAAAAGCUUCUACAAUUUAUCAAAACAUUGUUUUACAAUAAUAUAUGCUAUUCAAAUAUAGUAUCCUUCGAGCACUGUGUCUCUAUUAAACGAGCGCCUUGCCGAACUUCCUGAAAAUAGUGCUCGGCAGGUACUCGGCUUCCAUCCGAGUCUGGGGAUGCAACAACGGUGGCCUCCAUUUCUGGCCAGUAUGUCUUGACACGGGUAAGAGCCAUCCGCGCACCCUCUAUGCAUGCUGACCUCUUCAUCGCAUUGAUAUGCGGUGCCGCACCAAGGAACUGCUGCACCAAGUUGAAAUAACUUUUCGGCUCUGGCCUCUCUAGCCACAGAUGACUCCUGACAUACUUCGCCAAGGAUCCGCUGGUUUUGACACCAACAUCAUGUCCCUUGUCUCCUGUACUUGGGUUGACUCUUGGCAAUCCCAAUCUUUACCUUCUUCACCAUAGCAUCAAUAAGUUGAGCCUCACGAAUCUGAUCUUCCAAAGUAGGAGAGACUUGGAGGUUGGCAAGGAAUCCUUGAGGAACAACUUGGAGAUUAAGUUUGCGGAAAGCUUCACAAAGCUCUGGUUGGUAGGGCUUGAUAAUCAAACUGUUGCAGUAAGCCUUCCUGCUCAAUGCAUCAGCAAUCACAUUGGCCUUGCCUGGAGUAUAUUCGAUACUCGGAUUAUACUCUUGAAUCAUUUCGACCCAACGAGUCUGUCUGAGGUUGAGGUUGGGCUGAGUGAAGAUGUACUUGAGACUCUUGUGAUCAGUGAAGAUGUCCACUUUUCUUCCCAACAAGAGAUGUCUCCAUGUUAAAAGAGCAUGGACAACUGCCGCCAACUCGAGGUCAUGAGUGGGGUAGUUCUUUUCGUUGGGCUUCAACUGGCGAGAGGUAUAGGCCACAACUUUCUUCUCUUGCAUCAACACUGCACCGAAACCUUGAAGGGAAGCAUCACAGAAGACUUCGAACGGUUCGGAUUCAUCAGGAGGAGUCAGAACUGGAGCAGUGACUACUCUUUGAGGGUGUUGAAAGCGAUGUCACAUUCAGGCAACCAAACAUACUUUAGAUGCUUCUGGAGGAGGUUGGAAAGAGGCUUCACGAUCUUAGAGAAGUUCUCAACGAACCUUCGACAAUAGCUUGCGAGACCAAGGAAGCUGCGGAGUUGCUUCACAUUCUGAGGCGGUUCCCAAUUCACAAUUGCAGACACCUUCUCAUGAUUUACAGCUAUGCCCUUGGGAGAGAUGAUAUGCCCAAGGUAGAGAACCUCAUCGAGCCAAAACUCGCACUUUUAAAACUUCGCAUAGAACUGAUGUUCUGUGAGUUUAUCCAGCACCAAUCUCAAGUGCUUGGCAUGAUCCUCCUUGUUAUUGGAAAAGAACAAAAUGUCAUCGAGGUAGACCAAGACGAAGUCAUUUGUGUAGGCGUUGAAGAUGAAGUUCAUCAUGCAAGAGAAUGUUGGAGGAGCAUUGACAAGGCCGAAAGACAUGACAGUGUAUUCAUAUGAACCAUAGCUUGUUCUGAACGCUGUCUUGGGGAUAUCUUCUUCACGAAUGUGAAUUUGAUGAUAGCCCAUACGGAGAUCAAGCUUGGAGAAUACUUGAGCACCUUUGAGUUGUUCGAAAAGCUCAUUGAUGUUGGGAAGUGGGUACUUAUUCUUUAUGGUCUUCUUGUUCAAUGGACGGUAGUCGACACAAAGUCGGUCCGUUCCAUCCUUCUUCUUGACGAAAAGAAUACCACAACCCAUGGAGAAGAACUUGGUCGGAUGAGACCCAUACGCUCUUGAAUAUCGAGUUGUUUCUUCAGCUCCUUCAACCCUUCAGGUCCAAGCUUGUAAGGACGUUUGCAAACAGGUUCCGUGCCAGGCUCAAGAUCAAUGACGAAUUCAACUGGCUGGUGAGGAGGCAUUCCUGGAAGCUCUUCUGGAAAGAUGUCUUGAUAUUCACAAACGACUGGAAUCUGAGAUAUGGCAUCCAAUUCGCCCUUCUCAUUGAGAGAAAACAGUCGAAUGGUAUCAUCACGAGUGGCAAAGACGAUUACAUCCUCAAACGAAUGUGUCAAUUGAAUCUGCCUCGCAGCACAAUCAAGUUGAGCCUUGUGCUUAGAAAGCCAGUCCAUUCCGAGAAUAAGAUCAAUAUCCGAGUUACCAAGGACCACUGGAGAGGACAGAAACUUAUAGUCGCCCAACAUGAUAGUAACAUCCAGGACGCAAUUGUUAGAUGUCAUUUGCUUGCCCGGGAACACAAUCUUCAACGGGAAAGGAAUCUUUUCAGUCACAAAUUCGUGCUUGGCAACAAAAGGUCUUGAAAUAAAAGAAAGCGAUGCACCAGUGUCAAAAAGAACGUUUGCAGGAAUAUUGUUAACAAGAAGGUUACCCAUAAUCACUUCUGACGAGUCCUCUACCUGAGCUUCGUUCAACAUGUUGACCUUGGCAAACUUGGGAUUAUGCUUGACCACUGCAGUGCUAGCAGAUCUCACAGGAGGAGGAGGAGGAGGAAGACACCUCUGAUUGUAGCAUUUGUUGGCAUAGUGACCCUUCUGCUGACACUUGUUACAUGUGACCUCUGAAAGCGGACGGUGAUACGGAGCACUUGAUCUUGGAGCAUGAGACGAAGUCUUGUUCUGAAAGCCUGGGUUGGGUGGGUGGGAAGAUCCAUUGCCACCUUUGCUCUUCUGCUGAUAAGGCUGACGGAACGGAGGAGGAGGAGGCAACCAAUUCUUUUGCUGCUUAGUUACCACUUGAGUUGAGUUAGAAGGGGUUGCAUCCCUGGCUCAUUUCUUGGAAGCAUCGCACUUGAGCUGAGCAGUCUCCUGUUUCAGUGCCAUGUUGUAAAACUCAUCAUACUUCUUCGGCUCAAAAAGCAUGAGAGCUAGUUGAAGAUCUUCUCUGAGGCCACCUCUGAACUGAUAAAUCAUGCUCUUCUCGUCAGGGACGUCUUGCUUAGGGAAACGAGCGAGCUUCUGGAACAUGAUGUUAUACUGGUAAACAGACAAGCUGCCUUGCUUCAGAUUGCGGAACUCCUCACGCUUGCUCUCAACAACACUCUGAGGAAUGUGGUGAGCUUUGAAGUCUUGACAAAAUUCAUCCCAGGUAAUCACACGACCUCCUCUAGAAUCUUUGUAUUGCUGAUACCACUCUGCAGCUUGGUCUUUGAGUUGGAAUGAAGUAAACUUGACAAAGUCCUCAGGCCUGGCAUUGCUGCACUCGAAAUGCUUGCAAAUAUCCACGAGCCAAUCAUCAGCGUCUGUAGCCUCGACACAGUUACUGAAGGUCUUUGGCUGGUUUGCGAGGAACUGGUUGAGUGUAGCUGAUAACCCACAAGUAUAGGGGAUCGCAACAGCUUUCGAGGGUAGAGUAUUCAACCCAAAUUUAUUGAUUCGACACAAGGGGAGCCAAAGAAUAUUCUCAAGUAUUAGCAGCUGAGUUGUAAAUUCAACCACACCUGGAAACUUAGUAUCUGCAGCAAACUGUUUAGUAGCAAAGUAAUAUGAUAGUGGUGGUAGCAGCAACAAAAGUAAAAGAUAGUAAAAGUAAUGUUUUUGGUAUUUUGUAGUGAUUGUAACAGUAGCAGCGAGAAAGUAAAUAAGCGAGAACCAGUAUAUGGAAAACUCGUAGGCACCGGAUCAGUGAUGAAUAAUUAUGUUGGAUGCGGUUCAUCAUGUAACAGUCAUAACAUAGGGUGACACAGAACUAGCUCCAAUUCGUCAAUGUAAUGUAGGCAUGUAUUCCGUAUAUAGUCAUACGUGCUUAUGGAAAAGAACUUGCAUGACAUCUUUUGUCCUACCCUCCUGUGGUAGCGGGGUCCUAUUGGAAACUAAGGGAUAUUAAGGCCUCCUUUUAAUAGAGAACCGGAACAAAGCAUUAUCACAUAAUGAAUACAUGAACUCCUCAAACUAUGGUCAUCACCGGGAGUGGUCCCGAUUAUUGUCACUUCGGGGUUGCUGGAUCAUAACACAUAAUAGGUGACUACAGACUUGACAGAUAGUAUCAAGAACUCACACAUAUUCAUGAAAACAUAAUAGGUUCAGAUCUGAAAUCAUGGCACUCGGGCCCUAAUGACAAGCAUUAAGCAUAGCAAAGUCAUAGCAACAUCAAUCUCAGAACAUAAUGGAUACUAGGGAUCAAACCCUAACAAAACUAACUCGAUUACAUGAUAAAUCUCAUCCAACCCAUCACCAUCCAGCAAGCCUACGAUGGAAUUACUCGCGCACGGCGGUGAGCAUCAUGAAAUUGGUGAUGGAGGAUGGUUGAUGAUGACGACGGCGACGAAUCCCCCUCUCCGGAGCCCUGAACGGACUCCAGAUCAGCCCUCCCGAGAGGUUUUAGGGCUUGGCGGCGGCUCCGUAUCGUAAAACGCGAUGAUUUCUUCUCCCUGAUUCUUUUCUCUCCGAAAGCAAAUAUAUAGAGUUGGAGUUGGCGUCGGAGGGCAUCCAGGGGGCCCACGAGGUAGGGGGCGCGCCCUAGGGGGGGUGCCCCCCACCCUCGUGAGAAGGGUGUGGGCCCCCCGCUCUUCAUCUUUGGCGAGGAUUUUUUAUUGUUUUUUCUAAGAUGUUCCGUGGAGUUUCAGGUCAUUCCAAGAAUAUUUGCUUUCUGCACAUAAAACAACACCAUUGUAAUUCUGCUGAAAACAGCGUCAAUCCGGGUUAGUUCCAUUCAAAUCAUACAAGUUAGAGUCCAAAACAAGGGCAAAAGUGUUUGGAAAAGUAGAUACGACGGAGACGUAUCAACUCCCCCAAGCUUAAACCCUUGCUUGUCCUCAAGCAAUUCAGUUGACAAACUGAAAGAAAGAAAGAAAAACUUUUACAAACUCUGUUUGCUCUUGUUGUUGUAACUAUGUCAAGCCAGCAUUCAAGUUUUCAGCAUAGAUCAUAACUAACCAUACUUGCAAUAAUUCUCAGGUCUCAUAAUUACUCGUAUCAAUAGGAUAAUCAACUAGCAAGUCAUAAUAAUAAAUCUCGGAUGACAACACUUUCUCAAAACAAUCAUAAUAUGAUAUAACAAGAUGGUAUCUCGCUAGCCCUUUUUGAGAUUGCAAAACAUAAAUGCAGAGCACCUUUAAAGAUCAAGGACUGACUAGACAUUGUAAUUCAUGGUAAAAUAGAUCCAAUCAUAGUCAUACCCAAUAUAAAUUAACAGUGAUGAAUGCAAAUGACAACUGUGCUCUCCAGCUAGUGCUUUUUAAUAAGAGGGUGAUGACUCAACAUAAAAGUAAAUGGAUAGGCCCUUCGCAGAGGGAAGCAGGGAUUUGUAGAGGUUCCAGAGCUCGAUUUUGAAAUAGAGGUAAAUUGAAUUUUGAGCGGUAUACUUUUCAUUGUCAACGUAACAACUAAGAGAUGUCGCUAUCUUCCAUGCUAAACACAUUAUAGGCGGUUCCCAAAAAGAAUGGUAAAGUUUAUACUCCCCCUCCACCAACAAACAUCAAUCCAUGGCUUGCUCGAAACAAUGAGUGCCUCCAACAUACAUCAGCUCCCAGGGGGAGUUUUGUUUGCAAUUAUUUUGAUUUAGUUUGCAUAAAGCAUGGGACUGGGCAUCCCGGUGACCAGCCAUUUUCUCAUGAGUGAGGAGCGGAGUCCACUCCUCUUGAGAAUAACCCGCCUAACACGGAAGAUAAGGACAGCCUUUGUUGAUACAUGAGCUAUUCGAGCAUACAAAACAGAAUGUUUAUUUGAAGGUUUAGAGUUUGGCACAUACAAAUUUACUUGGAACGGCAGGUAGAUACCGCAUAUAGGAAGGUAUAGUGGACUCAUCUGGAAUAACUUUGGGGUUUAAGGGAUUGGAUGCACAAGCAGUAUUCCCGCUUAGUACAGGUGAAGGCUAGCAAAAGACUGGGAAGCGACCAACUAGAGAGCGACAAUAGCCAUGUACAUGCAUUAAAAUUAAUAAACAUUGGAUGCAAGCAUGAGUAGGAUAUAAUUCACCAUGAACAUAAAUAUCGUGAAGGCUAUGUUGAUUUUGUUUCAACUACAUGCGUGAACAUGUGCCAAGUCAAGUCACUUAAAUCAUUCAAAGGAGGAUACCACCCCAUCAUACCACAUCAUAAUCAUCUUAAUAACAUGUUGGCACACAAGGUAAACCAUUAUAACUCAUAGCUAAUCCAGCAUGUGGCACAAGCAACUCUGAUCUCUAAUCGUCAUUGCAAACAUGUUUAUUCAUAAUAAGCUGAAUCAAGAACGAGGGGCUCAUCAUAUUUACAAAAACAAAAGAGGUCGAGUUCAUACCAGCUUUUCUCAUCUCAGUCAGUCCAUCAUGUAUCAUCAUAAUUGCCUUUCACUUGCACGACCGAACGGUGUGAAUAAUAAUAAGAGUGCAUGUGCAUUGGACUAAGCUAGAAUCUGUGAGCAUUCAAUAAACAGGAGAAGACAAGGCAAUAUGGGCUCUUGGUUAAAUCAACAAUAAUGCAUAUAAGAGCCACUCCGACAAUUUAAUUAUGGUCUUCUCCUACUGACCCCCAAAGAAAAGAAAUAAAACUAUUUACACAGGAAAGCUCCCAACAAGCAAAAGAAGAACAGGAAAUAUUUUUGGGUUUUCUUUUUAAUUAUUACUACUACAGCAGAAAAGUAAACUACUACCAAUUUUUUUGGUUUUUAUUAAGGUUUAACAAGCACACAAGAAGAAAGUAGGAAAAAGAAAAUAAACUAGCAUGGAUAUUAUAGUGAAAAAGUAUGAGCACCCACAUCUAGCAAUGAGUGUGUGUGAACAUAAAUGUAAUGUCGAUGAGAAAUACGUACUCCCCCAAGCUUAGGCUUUUGGCCUAAGUUGGUCUAUGGCCAUAGCUGGCCUGGCGGAUAUCCAUAAUAAAAGUUGUUGGGGUCGUACUGUGAUGAGGAAGAAGAAGGCUCCGAUUGCCACUGGCUGGCAAUCAUCUCCGGAUCCCACUGAUAGUUAGACUUCCGUGAAGGAUCAAAUUGUGGUUCCGGUUCUGGCUCCUCGGCUGGUGCAGGGUUCCAGUAGGCGUGAAUAGCCGUCAACGGAACAAGGUACGUGCCUGCAGUCAAAUCAAACAAAGAAGGAGCAGGCAAGGUAAUAGUCUCAGGAUGAUGUUUAUUAAAGAACAAUUGAUACUUAAGCUCUCCUGCCCUAUUCUUAACAAUAAAAUCAUGUGCCACCAUACUUUUAUGAUCUAGAUAAACACGGGGCAGCACCUUUUCUUCCUUCUCAGCAUGCCUAAUAGGUAUGUUAAAAUGUGCGGCUAGGCGUGUGGCAUAGAUGCUUCCAAAGAUGGGGCCCUUAGUAUGGUUCAUAUUUAACCGUCUAGCAAUAAUACCGCCCAAACUAAAAGUGUUAUCACUGUAUAAACCUUGGAGCAGAAUAAUUAAAUCAGGGAUACUCAGGUUUCCAGAAUUUCCGCGUCCAAUUAAACAACGACUAGCAAAUAAUGCAAAGUAAUGCAAAACAGGAAAAUGUAUGCUAGUGAUUCGUGCAUCAGAAACCUUCCUGGUUUCUCCUACAGUGAUAUUAUUAAUAAAUCCCUCCACAUCAUCAUGAUGUGGUUCUUCUAUAUUGCCCUCAAAAGGGACUAAACAGAUCUGACAGAAAUCAUAAAGUGACAUCUCCUUAUGAUCAUCAUAUAAAUGAAACUCCACCAUAGGUGGUGAGUUCCUAGAAUGAAAAUGAAAGUUUUGCACAAAAGUAUUUGUGAGCAAGAGAUACUGAUCGCAUUGGUCGUGGAGGAAAGCGGUGAAGCCUGCACUGUGAGCCAAUUCAUGAAAAUCUUCAUAGAUACCGGUUGCUCUCAAGAAAUCAUCAGAAGGCCAUUCACAUGCCUGAAUCUCCGUGGUGCGUGGCAAACUAUACUUAGGCUUCGGUGCCUUUUCCUUCGAGCUUUGGCUCGAUGAGCCCCUCAAAAUUCUCCUCAUUAUAUUCUGAAAAAUUCUGAAAUUUUUAGUAACUUCAAACAAAAGUGAACCAAUCUCAAUAAAACUGAUAGGAAAUACUCCUACUAGUGCCUAGAGCCUAAAUCAAGCAUUAGAACUACUUGGAACCAUAUAAAUUUGACAUGCAAGCUCAAGAACAUGGUCACCUAUGCAGCACAAAUUUGGAAAGAAUAAAGCACUAGAACAAAAACUAAUUGGACCAAUGGAGGAGUCACAUACCAAGGAACAAUUUCCCCAAGCAGUUUUGCGAGAGGUGCUUUGAGCAAGGAGAUCGAAAAUCACAGCAAAAUGAGCUUGGACUCGGGUUUGAGUUGGUUUUUCGGGUUUGUAUGAGAUAGAGGAAGAAGAUGGGUGCUGGGAUAAGUGGAGGAGGGCCACCGUGGGCCCACAAGGCAGGGGGCGCGCCCACCACCCUCGUGGCCAGGUGGCAGCUCCUCUCGCGGUAAUUCUUGCACAGUAAAUCCUCAAAUAUUCCCGAAAAAAUCAUAUUAAAUUGGCAUGGCAUUCUAGGGACUUUUAUUUUCGGGAUAUUUUUAUGUUGCACGGAUAAGUCAGGAAACAGACGGAAAAAUACUAUUUUUACUUUAUCUAAUAUAAAUAACAGAAAGUAUAGAGAGGGUACAGAAGGUUGUGCUUCUAGUUUCAUCCAUCUCAUGCUCAUCAAAAAGAAUCCACUAACAAGGUUGAUCAAGUCUUGUUAACAAACUCAUUCCGAUAAUCAUGAAACCGGAGAAAUUUCGAAUAACACUAAGUUACCUCAACGGGGAUAUGCACAUCCCCAAUAAUAAGAAUAUCAUAUUUCUUCUUGACAGUAGGGAGAGGAAAUUCAAAACCUCCAAAUAUAAUUGAUGGAAUUUUUCCAAUAGAGUUGAUACUAUGAACUUCAUGUUGUUUCCUCGGAAAGUGUACCGUAUGCUCAUUACCAUUAACAUGAAAAGUGGCAUUGCCUUUGUUGCAAUCAAUAACAGCCCCUGCAGUAUUAAGAAAAGGUCUUCCAAGAAUAAUAGACAUACUAUCAUCCUCGGGAAUAUCAAGUAUAACAAAGUCCGUUAAAAUAGUAACGUUUGCAACCACAACAGGCACAUCCUCACAAAUACCGACAGGUAUAGCAGUUGAUUUAUCAUCCAUUUGCAAAGAUAUUUCAGUAGGCGUCAGCUUAUUCAAGUCAAGUCUACGAUAUAAAGAGAGAGGCAUAACACUAAUACCGGCUCCAAGAUCACAUAAAGCAGUUUUAAUAUAAUUUCUUUUAAUGGAGCAAGGUAUAGCAGGUACUCCGGGGUCUCCAAGUUUCUUUGGUAUUCCACCCUUAAAAGUGUAAUUAGCAAGCAUGGUGGAAAUUUCAGCUUCCAGUAUCUUUAUUUUAUUAGUAAUGAUAUCCUUCAUAUAUUUAGCAUAAGGAUUUGUUUUGAGCACAUCAGUUAAUCUCAUACGCAAAAAGAUAGGCCUGAUCAUUUCAAAAAAACGCUCAAAAUCCUCAUCAUCCUUUUUCUUGGAUGGUUUCGGAGGAAAAGGCAUGGGUUUCUGAACCCAAGGUUCCCUUUCUUUACCAUGUUUCCUAGCAACAAAGUCUCUUUUAUCAUAACGUUGAUUCUUUGAUUGUGGGUUAUCAAGAUCAACAGUAGGUUCAAUUUCUACAUCAUUAUCAUUACUAGGUUGAGCAUCAUCAUGAACAUCAUCAUUAAUAUUUUUACUAGGUUCAUGUUCAUUACCAGAUUGUGUUUCAGCAUUAGACAUGGAAAUAUCAUUUGGAUUAUCAGGUGGUUCAGCAAUAGGUUCACUAGAAGUUUGCACAGUUCUAUCAUUUUUCUUCUUCUUCUUUUUAGAAGAACUACGAACAUCAAUAUUAUUUCUUUGAGAAUCUUGCUCAGUUCUCUUAGGGUGGCCUUCAGGAUACAAAGGUUCCUGAGUCAUUCUACCAGUUCUAGUAGCCACUCUAAUAGCAUAAUCAUUUUCCUUACUAUUCAUUUCAUCAAGCACUUCUUUUUGAGCCUUAAGUACUUGUUCUACUUGAGUGGUGACCAUAGAAGCAUGUUUGCUAACAAGUUUAAGUUAACCUUUAAUAUCAGCCAUAUAAUCACCCAAGCGUCUAAUCAUAUAAUCAUUUUCUUUUAAUUGUCUACCAAAAUAAGCAUUGAAGUCGUCUUGCUUAAACAUAAAGUUAUCAAACUCAUCCAAGCACUGACUAGCAAUUUUAGUAGGAGGAACUUCAGCUUUAUCAUGUCUAUAGAGUGAAUUUACCUUUACUACCUGUGUCGGGAUAUCGGGAUCAGGAGGUUCUUCAAUAAAUAAAGAAUUGAGAUCAUAUGUUUCUUCAACAUGCGGUAUAUUAAGACCAUGUAUUUCUUCAAUAGGAGGUAAAUUCUUAACAUCUUCAGCUUUAAUACCUUUUUCUUUCAUAGAUUUCUUUGCCUCUUGAAUAUCUUCGGGACUGAGAAAUAGAACACCUCUCUUCUUCGGAGUUGGUUUAGGAAUAGGCUCGUUAAUUGGAGCAGGAGCUGGCUCAGGAGGUGGCUCAGGAGGUACCCAAUUAUUUUCAUUUGUCAACAUAUUAUUCAAUAGAAUUUUAGCUUCAUCCGGUGUUCUUUCCCUGAAAAGAGAACCAGCACAACUAUCCAGGUAAUCUCUGGAAGCAUCGGUUAGUCCAUUAUAAAAGAUAUCAAGUAUUUCAGGUUUCUUAAGAGGAUGAUCAGGCAAAGCAUUAAGUAACUUGAGAAGCCUCUCCCAAGCUUGUGGGAGACUCUCUUCUUUAAUUUGAACAAAGUUAUAUAUAUCCCUCAAAGCAGCUUGUUUCUUAUGAGCAGGGAAAUAUUUAGCAGAGAAGUAAUAAAUCAUAUCCUAGGGACUACGCACACAACCAGGAUCAAGAGAAUUAAACCAUCUCUUAGCAUCACCCUUUAAUGAGAACGGAAAUAUUUUGAGUAUAUAAAAGUAACGUGAUCUCUCAUCAUUAGUAAACAGGGCAGCUAUAUCAUGUAACUUAGUAAGAUGUGCCAUAACAGUUUCAGAUUCAUAGCCAUAAAACGGAUUAGAUUCAACCAAAAUAAUUAUAUGAGGAUCAAUAGAGAAUUCAUAAUCCUUAUCAGGAACACAAAUAGGUGAAGUAGCAAAAGCAGGGUCGGGUUUCAUUUUAUCUCUAAGUGAUUCUUUGUUCCAUUUAAUUAAUAACCUCUUAAGCUCAUAUCUAUCUUUGCAAGCUAAAAUAGCGGCAGAAGAUUCCAUAUCAAAAAGAUAGCCCUUAGGAAUAACAGGCAUAUUUUCAUCAUCACUAUCAUCAUCGUAUUCAGAUUCAAUAAUUUCUUUUUCUCUAUCCCUAGCAAUUUGUUCAUCAAGAAAUUCACUAAGGGGCAUAGUAGUAUCAGGCAUAGAAGCAGUUUCAUCAUAAGUAUCAUGCAUAGCAGAAGUGGCAUCAUCAAUAACAUGCCACAUAUCAGAACGAAUAGCAGAAGCAGGUGUAGGUGUCUCAAACUUACUCAUAACAGAAGGUGAAUCAAGUGCAGAGCUAGAUGGCAGCUCCUUACCUCCCCUCGUAGUUGAGGGAUAGAUCUUGGUUUUUGGAUCACUCAAGUUCUUCAUAGUGUCCAGCAUAUAUAAAUCCCAAGUGACCCAAAGAAUAGAGCUAUGCUCCCCGGCAACGGCGCCAAAAAUUAGUAUUGAUAACCCACAAGUAUAGGGGAUCGCAACAGCUUUCGAGGGUAGAGUAUUCAACCCAAAUUUAUCGAUUCGACACAAGGGGAGCCAAAGAAUAUUCUCAAGUAUUAGCAGCUGAGUUGUCAAUUCAACCACACCCGGAAACUUAGUAUCUGCAGCAAAGUGUUCAGUAGCAAAGUAAUAUGAUAGUGGUGGUAGGGGCAACAAAAGUAAAAGACAGCAAAAGUAAUGUUUUUGGUAUUUUGUAGUGAUUGUAACGGUAGCAACGAGAAAGUAAAUAAGUGAGAACCAGUAUAUGGAAAACUCGUAGGCAUCGGAUCAGUGAUGGAUAAUUAUGCCAGAUGUGGUUCAUCGUGUAACAGUCAUAACAUAGGGUGACACAGAACUAGCUCCAAUUCGUCAAUGUAAUGUAGGCAUGUAUUCCAUAUAUAGUCAUACGUGCUUAUGGAAAAGAACUUGCAUGACAUCUUUUGUCCUACCCUCCCAUGGCAGCAAGGUCCUAUUGGAAACUAAGGGAUAUUAAGGCCUCCUUUUAAUAGAGAACCGGAACAAAGCAUUAGCACAUAGUGAAUACAUGAACUCCUCAAACUAUGGUCAUCACCGGGAGUGGUCCCGAUUAUUGUCACUUCGGGGUUGCCGGAUCAUAACACAUAGUAGGUGACUAUAGACUUGCAAGAUAGGAUCAAGAACUCACAUAUAUUCAUGAAAACAUAAUAGGUUCAGAUCUGAAAUCAUGGCACUCGGGCCCUACUGACAAGCAUUAAGCAUAGCAAAGUCAUAUCAACAUCAGUCUCAGAACAUAAUGGAUACUAGUGAUCAAACCCUAACAAAACUAACUCGAUUACAUGAUAAAUCUCAUCCAACCCAUCACCGUCCAGCAAGCCUACGAUGGAAUUACUCACGCACGGCGGUGAGCAUCAUGAAAUUGGUGAUGGAGGAUGGUUGAUGAUGACGACGGCAACGAAUCCCCCUCUCCGGAGCCCCGAACGGACUCCAGAUCAGCCCUCCCGAAAGGUUUUAGGGCUUGGCGGCGGCUCCGUAUCGUAAAACGCGAUGAUUUCUUCUUCCUGAUUUUUUUCCCUCUCAAAGCAAAUAUAUAGAGUUGGAGUUGGCGUCAGAGGGCAUCCAGGGGGCCCACGAGGUAGCCUAGGGGGCGCCCCCACCCUCGUGAGAAGGGUGUGGGCCCCCCGGUCUUCAUCUUUGGCGAGGAUUUUUUAUUGUUUUUUCUAAGAUGUUCCGUGGAGUUUCAGGUCAUUCCGAGAAUAUUUGCUUUCUGCACAUAAAACAACACCAUGGUAAUUCUACUGAAAAUAGCGUCGGUCCGGGUUAGUUCCAUUCAAAUCAUACAAGUUAGAGUCCAAAACAAGGGCAAAAGUGUUUGGAAAAAUAGAUAUGACGGAGACGUAUCAGUAGCAAACCGAUUCUGAUUGUUGCCAUGGCCUUGAUUUCCUUGGUUGCGCUCUUGCAAGAGUUGCAUAAGCAUCUGCGUGUUGGCAUUGGUAGCAGCCAUCAUAGCUUGCCAUGCCUCCGGAGGUGGAGGUGGUGGCGGCGGUUCAGGAUUCUGACGCAUUGGAGGAGCCAUCCUAAAGAGGGUGACAUCCGUUAGCAUCUUGAAAGACAUAUAUUCAAGCUGAAUCAAAUGGAUAGAAAUUGCAACAUAUAGUCUUAACAUUCGAACAAAAUGAACCAAUGAAUUCCAAAUUAAAUGGUCACACUUCCAUAAAUUGAGAAGCCACUUAGAUAGAGGUAGAUGAAUAAAACAACAAGGUACGUACAAGAACAAAUACUUGGUGAGGAUUACCCAAUCACAAACCAAAUAUCUGCGGAAGAAAUACUAGAGCUACAUGAAGUCCCACCUAUGAAACUCCCGAAAUUUUCCCGGUUAUGCAAUCAGGUGUUGGGGAUACAGGGGAAGCAUAAUAUCUCACCCAAAGCUAGCAAAUCCUACAUCCAGCUGUAUCCAUCCUUCAACACAUAACCAAGAAACCUUCGGAAAUCAUUUACCUCAACCUUCGAAAAGCAUCUGUUAUAUGAGUUAUGGCAAUACUCCCGAACUCCCGCCCGAGUACUCGGUGGCAUCGAGGUUAUCUCACCAACAACUGCAUAAAAGAGAUUUUCGAUGUCGGCGAAACUCAGGUAUUCCAGAAUUGCAACGAUGAAAUUGUGACGACAACACCUCGGAGCUCAACUCCCCGGGACACUGCCACAACCCCUAAAUGUCAGGAGGCACCAAGAACAAUGUUCUCGUCACAAAACCAUCGGAAUGAUUCCAAGAUACCCGCGUGAUCCUAAAAAAAUUUAGUGAAAUUUGAGAAGAGAAGAGUCAAAACUCUACGUCAGGAUGCCUCACCAGAUCGAUGAAGGGACUGAGGAGUAAAAAGAAUCCUACUCUCCGAUAUAUAUAAUCCUAAAAGACUCAAAUCAUUUUUUUCUAGACUCAACAACACCAACGAUUCGAUCAAGCAGGGGGCUUCUAAGUCGGGGAAGGCUCUGAUUACCAACUUGUAACGCCCACGAUGCGGCUAUAUCUCCCACGUGUCAAAGCACGACUUAGAGGCAUAACCGCAUUGUAAGCAAUGUCGCAAGAGGAGUAAUCUUUACACAUCCCAUGUACUGAAUAAGAGAAGAGGUACAUAGUUGGCUUACAAUCGCCACGUCACACAAUAGCAUAAAUAUAUCAUUACAUUCAUCCAGAUACAAACAAGGUCCGACUACGGAACCAAAACAAAGACAACCCCAAAUGCAUAAUGUCCCCGAUCGACCCAACUGGGCUCCACUACUAAUCGUCCAGAAAGGAAACGUAGUAUCGUCCUGAGUCCUCAUCGAACUCCCACUUGAGCUCAGUCGCAUCUCCUGGAACAGUAUCAUCGGUCCCUGCAUCUGGUUUUGGAAGGAAUCUGUGAGUCACGGGGACUCAGCAAUCUCACACCCUCGCGAUCAAGACUAUUUAAGCUUAUAGGUAUGGUAAAAGGUAUGAGGUGGAGCUGCAGCAAGCACUAGCAUAUAUUGUGGCUAACAUACGCAAAUGAGAGCGAGAAGAGAAGCCAAGGCACGGUCGAGAAACUAUGAUCAAGAAGUGAUCCUAGAACAACCUACGGUCAAGCAUAACACGAGACCGUGUUCUCUUCCUGGACUCCGCCGAAAAGAGACCAUCACGGCCACACACUCUGUUGAUUCAUUUUAAUUAAGUUAAGUUUUAGGUUUUCCACAACCAUACAUUAACAAAUUCCCAUUUGCCCAUAACCACAGGCACGGCUUUCGAAAGUUCAAAACCCUGCAGGGGUGUCCCAACUUAGCCCAUCACAAGCUCUCAGGUCAAAGGAGGAUAUUCCUUCUCCCAAGACAAUCUGAUCAGACUCGGAAUCCCGGUUACAAGACAUCUCGACAAUGGUAAAACAAGUCUAGCAAGACCACCCGUUGUGCCGACAAAUCCCGAUAGGAGCUGCCCAUAUCUCGUUCUUAGGGCACACCGGAUGAACACUACGUACAACUAAAACCAACCCUCAAGUUUCCCUGAGGUGGCGCUGCAAGUGGCUCUGUUUUGGACCAACACUCAGAGGAGCACUGGCCCGGGGGUUCAAAAUAAAGAUGACCCUUGAGUCCGCGGAAACGAAGGGAAAAGAGGCUAGGUGGCAAAUGGUAAAACCAAGGUUGGGCCUUGUUGGAGGAGUUUUAUUCAAGGCAAACUGUCAAGGGGUUCCCAUUAUAACCCAACCGUGUAAGGAACACAAAAUCAAGGAACAUAACACCAGUAUGACGGAAACUAGGGCGGCAAGAGUGAAACCAAACACCAGGCAUAAGGCCGAGCCUUCCACCCUUUACCAAGUAUAUAGAUGCAUUAAAGUAGACAAGAUAUGAUAAUGAUAUGCCAACAAUAAACAUGUUCCAACAAGGAACAAACUCCAAACUUCACCUGCAACUAGCAACACUAUAAGAGGGGCUGAGCAAAGCGGUAACAUAGCCAAACAACGGUUUGCUAGGAUAAGGUGGGUUAAAGGUUUGACAUGGCAAUAUGGGAGGCAUGAUAAGCAAGUGGUAGGUAUCGUAGCAUAGGCAUAGCAAAAGAGCGAGCAUCUAGCAAGCAAAGAUAGAAGUGAUUUCGAGGGUAUGGUCAUCUUGCCUGCAAAGUUCUCCGAGUUGAUAUUAGCUUGAUCCUCGUAAGCGUACUCAACUGGUUCCUCGAUCACGUACUCAUCUCCCGGCUCUACCCAAAGCAAGAACACAAGCAAAGGGAGACACAAUCAACCACGGUGCAAUGCGCAAACAACAUGAUGCAAAACAUGGCAUGCUAUGCGGGAUGUGGUAUGUAAUGCAUAUGCAUGCUUCAUAAAGGAAAGAUUGAACUUGGCCUAAACUUGGAAAACCAAGAGUGCUACUAGAAAGAGGAGUUGAUUUCGGUCAAAAUCGAUAUAAAGAUCACCGAAAUCGGAUGCACGGUUUGCAAAUGGCAAGCAAAACAAUAAUGGCGCAAAGCUGCGAUUAACAACACGAGGCCAUCUAAAUGUAUCAAGAACAACAAGCUACUGCACUCUAACAUGGCAACAAAACACAUGGCAGUGAUCCUCUCAAGAUGCUUGAUAAAAGAUGAACACUGAACUACGGCUAAAUCACACAAUAGCAGGUUCAAACAAGCAUGGCAAAAGUGCAAAAGAUAGCAGGUUACAGACUUAGUGAAAAUAACAACAUGCCAGGAAUUUAACAUCAGGAAGCAAUGUUUAGAGCAUGAUAACAACAUGCUAUAGGAAGAUAUCAUGGAAAAGCAAGGCAUGGCAUGAAGCUACUCAAAGCAUACAACAAAAGUCCCUUACUGACCAUAAGCCAAAAGGGAUCAGAAAAUACAAUGGAAACCAUGUGAACAUAGCAAGUUUCGUUAACAGAUUCAGACUUAGUAGAAAACUGGAACAUGGCAAAACAGAUUCACGUAGGCAUGUUUACGAGCUCGAUGCACUCACCACAAGGCAUUGCAUGACAAACUAAGCAUACACCCAGCAAGUAGACACGAUAUAUAAGCUAACCAUGGCAAGAACACUCUCAUAGCAUGCAUGGACAAACUAUAAUAACCUCGGCAAAAUUGCUUAACAUGUAAACAAUCUGCCAGGAACAUUUUAUAGCAAAAGUAGAGCAAGAUUGAGUCAUGCUAGGGUGCUCCAUAAUUGCAAACAAAGACAUGGAUGGAUAGAGCAUAACAAUAUCUCAAAACAUCCUUACUGAACAUGCACAAAAGAGGCAUGGAUCACUAUGUAGCAAGAAGAAUACAUGGCAUAAAAAUAUUAUCAGGGAAAAGACUUAGAAGAUUUCUAAGUCCCUGAAAUCAGCAACAUCACGAGAGCUACUUUGCAUGCUUGUGCUAGUCACCACAGAGAUCACAAAAAUACAUGGCAUACACCCCUGUAAAGAUGGCAUGGCAUACUUCAAAACACAUGUAGGGCUCAAGAUCAUAGGAGACACACAUUAAACAUGGCAAAAAUGACAAAUGUCCAAUCUCUGCUAAGAAACUGAAACUAACAUUGCAUAGCACUCUUGCAACAGCAUUUAGGGCAUCAAGAUGAGCUCAAAAGAACAUGGUGCAAUGGAAUGAAAUGAAGUACACAUCGAGACAAACAAUUUGAUAUGCUACACGCCCAAAACGGAGCCACGGAUGCAAAGUUAUGGCAUGAUGAAAUAUGCUAAAAAGUACUGGGACUUGGGAGAAUAAUUAGGUGAACCCUCGAGUUUCAGAUAUGGAUCGGGCACGGACGACGAGGUACACCGGAGCUUCACCGGAAUCGACGAGGACGGCGGCCGGAGUCGUUGGGGGCGUCGGUGGAGCGGGAUCCGACCGAAGAGCUCGCCGGGGCGGUGCGAGGCGGCGAGGGGCGGCGAGGUCGACGGUGGCGCGGCAGGGCGGCGCGGGUGGAGGGAGCCGGGCAGCGUGGCGCACGGCGAAGGUGGCAGCGGCAGCCNNNNNNNNNNNNNNNNNNNNNNNNNNNNNNNNNNNNNNNNNNNNNNNNNNNNNNNNNNNNNNNNNNNNNNNNNNNNNNNNNNNNNNNNNNNNNNNNNNNNNNNNNNNNNNNNNNNNNNNNNNNNNNNNNNNNNNNNNNNNNNNNNNNNNNNNNNNNNNNNNNNNNNNNNNNNNNNNNNNNNNNNNNNNNNNNNNNNNNNNNNNNNNNNNNNNNNNNNNNNNNNNNNNNNNNNNNNNNNNNNNNNNNNNNNNNNNNNNNNNNNNNNNNNNNNNNNNNNNNNNNNNNNNNNNNNNNNNNNNNNNNNNNNNNNNNNNNNNNNNNNNNNNNNNNNNNNNNNNNNNNNNNNNNNNNNNNNNNNNNNNNNNNNNNNNNNNNNNNNNNNNNNNNNNNNNNNNNNNNNNNNNNNNNNNNNNNNNNNNNNNNNNNNNNNNNNNNNNNNNNNNNNNNNNNNNNNNNNNNNNNNNNNNNNNNNNNNNNNNNNNNNNNNNNNNNNNNNNNNNNNNNNNNNNNNNNNNNNNNNNNNNNNNNNNNNNNAGGGAGGCUGCCGGGCGAAUGGUGUGACGCCACGUGGCGGCGGCGGCGCGGGUCGGACACGUCUGGCUGGCGAUUUUCGUUGGCAGCGCGAGGAGAGGGAGAGGUUAGGGUUUCGCCCGAAAUUUCGGAGGGGGGUCUAUAUUCAUAGGUAGAGGGAGCUAGGAGACUCCAAACUGAGCACAGUUUGCGGCCACGCGAUCGUGGUCGAACACCCGAGAUGAUGGAAGGGGUUUAGGUGGGUUUUGGGCCACUUUAGAGAGGUGUUGGGCUGCAACACACACGAGGCCUUUACGGCUCCUCGGUUAACCGUUGGAGUAUCAAACGAAGUCCAAAUGGCACGAAAGUUGACAGGCGGUCUACCGGUAGUAAACCAAGGCCGCUUGGCAAGUCUCGGUCCAAUCCGAGAACGUUUAACACCCACACACAAAAAGAGGUAAAAGGGGACACCGGAGGACAUAGGAGUGCCGGAAUGCAAAACGGACAACGGGGAAAUGCUCGGAUGCAUGAGACGAACACGUAUGCAAAUGCGAUGCACAUGAGGACAUGAUAUGAGAUGCAUGACAACGAGAAAAGCAACACGAAGACAAAAACCCGACAACGAGGAAAUAUCAUAACUUAGUGCCGGAAAAGGCAAGAGUUGGAAUACAAAUAUGGCAAGUUACAUAUGGGGCGUUACAAGAGGCGAGGCUCACCGGGAGGCUACGUAAAGCCCCUGGAAGGUUAGUAGUAGCAGCAGGCGUCGCCGGAGUCGAAGGGGAUUGCCGGAGCAGAGGCGGAAGGAGGGUGGCUCGAUCCGCUUCCUGCGAUGCUCCUCGAGCUUGAUGGCGAGGCGUAGUCGAGGUAGGGGUCAACGGCGCGUCUUGUGGACGUGCUGGCGAGGCGCGGGGUGUCCGAUGGCCGCGUGGUGGAUGGAGAACGGCGGCGAUGGCGUUCGGAAGAGGGGGAGAGGAGCGAGCGAGCGAGAGGAAAGGGGAGAGGUGGAGAGGACGAGGGAGAGAGAGGGCAAGUGGGCGAGUGGGGAGGGAGCACAAGGAGUCGGGGCCUUAUCCCCUCUCGCCGGCGACGUGGAGUACGGGGCGGCGCGCCCGGUCCGGCGGGGACGAGUGGGACGCGCCCGGUCGGACGAACAGGGGGGAGGGGGAAACAGGGGAGAGGUAGGUGGGCCGGCCCAGGUGGGUUCGGUCCAGGGAGGAGGUUCCUCUUUCCUCUCCCUUUUCUCUUUUUUCCUUUUUCUUUUUUUCAAGCUUUUCUGUUUUAGCUAUUUUAGGCCACAUAGGCAUUUUGCAAAAAUGUUGGAUCACCACCAAUAUUACCAGGAGAAUAUUUUACACAUGAUGAACAUUUUAGUUUUCAUGUUUGAGCAUUUUUGAUAUUCACUCAAAAUUUGAAAUUGAAUUCAACUGGAAUUUGAAAAGAGAGAGAACCAAGGAUGAUCAAACACUUGUUUAGCAAAAUGAUUAACUUAACCCGAGGGGUUACUGUAGCAACAUUACACCAGGGUGUUACAGAGGUGAAUAGAGAAAGAGAUGGAGGAUGGAGAGAGAGAGGGUGAUAAAACGGCAAGGGUGAAGUUGGGGGAGAGGAAAACGAGAGGCAAAUGGCAAAUAAUGUAAUGCGGGAGAUAAAGGUUUGUGAUGGGUACUUGGUAUGUUGACUUUUGCGUAGACUCCCUGACAACGGCGCUAGAAAUCCUUCUUGCUACCUCUUGAGCACUGCGCUGGUUUUCCCUUGAAGUGAAAAGGGCGAUGCAGCAGAGCAGCGUAAGUAUUUCCCUCAGUUUUUGAGAACCAAGGUAUCAAUCCAGUAGGAGGCCACGCACGAGUCCCUCGCACCUACACAAACAAAUAAACUCCUCGCAGCCAACGCGAUAAACGGGUUGUCAAUCCCUUCACGGUCACCUACGAGAGUGAGAUCUGAUAGAUAUGAUAAGAUAAUAUUUUUGGUAUUUUUAUGAUAAAGGGAAAUAAAGAUGCAAGUAAAAUAAAUGGCAAAGGAAAUAACUAAGUAUUGGAAGACUAAUAUGAUGGAAAAUAGACCCGAGGGCCAUAGGUUUCACUAGAGGCUUCUCUCGAGAGAAAAAGUAUUACGAUGGGUGAACAAAUUACUGUUGAGCAAUUGACUGAAUUGAGCAUAGUUAUGAAAAUAUCUAGGUAUGAUCAUGUAUAUAGGCAUCACAUCCAAGACAAGUAGACCGACUCCUGCCUGCAUCUACUACUAUUACUCCACACAUCGGCCGCUAUCCAGUAUGCAUCUAGAGUAUUAAGUUCAAGAGAACAGAGUAACACUUUAAGCAAGAUGACAUGAUGUAGAGGGAUAAACUCAUGCAAUAUGAUAUAAACCCCAUCUUGUUAUCCUCAAUGGCAACAAUACAAUAUGUGCCUUGCUGCCCCUACUGUCACUGGGAAAGGACACCGCAAGAUUGAACCCAAAGCUAAGCACUUCUCCCAUCGCAAGAAAGAUCAAUCUAGUAGGCCAAACCAAACUGAUAAUUCGAAGAGACUUGCAAAGAUAACCAAUCAUACAUAAAAGAAUUCAAAGAAGAUUCAAAUAUUGUUCAUAGAUAAACUUGAUCAUAAACCCACAAUUCAUCAAUCUCAACAAACACACCGCAAAAGAAGAUUACAUCGAAUAAAUCUCCACAAGAGAGGGGGAGAACAUUGUAUUGAGAUCCAAAAAGAGAGAAGAAGCCAUCUAGCUAAUAACUAUGGACCUGUAGGUCUGAAGUAAACUACUCACACUUCAUCGGAGGGGCUUUGGUGUUGAUGUAGAAGCCCUCCGUGAUCGAUGCCCCCUCCGGCGGAGCUCCAGAAAAGGCCCAAGAUGGGAUCUCGUGGAUACAGAAAGUUACGGCGGUGGAAUUAGGAUUUUGGCUCCGUAUCUGGUAGUUUGGGGGUACGUAGGUAUAUAUAGGAGGAAGGAGUACGUCGGUGGAGCAACGUGGGCCCCACAAGGGUGGAGGGCGCGCCUGGGGGGUAGGCGCCCCCCCUACCUCGUGCCUUCCUGGUUGAUUGCUUGACGUAGGGUCCAAGUUUUCUGGAUCAUGUUCGUUCUGAAAAUCACGUUCCCGAAGAUUUCAUUCUGUUUGGACUCCGUUUGAUAUUCUUUUUUUGCGAAACCCUAAAAUAGGCAAAAAACAGCAAUUCUGGGCUGGGCCUCCGGUUAAUAGGUUAGUUCCAAAAAUAAUAUAAAAGUGUAUAAUAAAGCCCAAUAAUGUCCAAAACAGGAUAUAAUAUAGCAUGAAACAAUCAAAAAUUAUAGAUACAUUGGAGACGUAUCACUGGCCACACCUUCGACCUUAUAACUGUCACAAACUCGAGUUUCGAUCAAAAAAUAUGUGUUUCUUGGGUAUAGUUCCCUUCAUAAAGGGUAUAAGUGUCUCCAUGUUCCGUCUAAUCAUGUCUACAUAUCCCGUGACGUUGUCUUUGAUGAGAACCUUUAUCCCUUUUCUAAUUUUCCCACAUGACAAACUCCAUCUAGCAACUCUGAUACUCCAUCGCUUCCUUCGUCUGACAAAUUUGUAGAUGUUGCAUAGUCUCCUUUUUUGCUUCCUAACUAUGGCAUAGUUAUUGGGCGAGGUGCACAGCUAGAGUUGCUAGAUGAUAAGCAGCUCACGAUGAUUACAGGCAAGCAAUUCAGACCAAUGCAUCAAGCGAUACUCACGUGCAUGCGCGAGACGUUGAUUGCAUGCACCGCCAUGCAACGGCGGCUCGGUCCGAGCCGGAUCCAGCCGAACGACACGUCGAGCCAGAGCCGCGCGUAUGUUACUACCUCUAUAAUGAGGAGUAACAUAUGUGUGGUAACAUGCAACACUUUAUUUAUUAGGGUAUAGACAUAUCUUGCCUUGAUACGUAUGAUGUUAGUCAUACUAUUAGGCCUCUCCCAAUGCUACACCUUGUACAGGUGCUAAGCCUUCCAUGUAGGCAAAAAAUCUGAUGUGACAUGUUAUUUAAGAGGAGAGAGAUGAGUGUUGUGACCCCAGAAAGAAACAAUGCUAAGAGUGUGAACCUAGGCAAAACAUUUAAAGGAAAGAAACCCACCAACACAUGAAGAGUUUUAGUUGCUAAAGCAUUAAAUGAAGCAAGCUUAGAAACCAUAAGCUAAGCAACUAUGCAUUGGGGAGUAUAGUUGCUAAGCUAUUUAAUGUGCUUAGCACCUCAUCUAAGCACCCAUGCAUUGGGAGCAGCCUUAGUAACUAGCUAUGUUACCACUUUCCUCUCUUUUUUCAUUUAUUGCUUGCCACAUCAUCCAUUUUAUCUAGAUAUGUGUGAUACCACUACCUAUGUUACUCCCACUGUAGGUAGUCUGACUCACCAGCGCUAGAGACCGAGCCGAGCUCCACAACGCCACUGACGCUUGCGACUGACCAUGUCGUGGUUGUGCCUGUGUCGCCUGUGUCGGCAUCUUAUGGACCGUUAUCGCCCGUCCAGCCGACGACCCCUGCUGUUACUCAAAGGGUGCAUACGCAUAGUCAAAGCGGCAUUUUCCAACCGAAGCAACAAACUUAUGGUACUAUUGCUUGGCUGGCAACUUCCAUGGUGCAGGCUGCAUCUGAUCCGACGUCCGAACCUCAACAUUUUCAAGCAGCUAUGACCAUACCUCACCGGCGAAAUGCAAUGGAACAAGAGUUCCUCGCACUUUAGAGAAAUGAGACCUGGAAACUUGUUCCUCCUCCUUCCGGGGUAAAUAUGAUUGAUUCUAAAUGGAUAUUUAAAGUAAAAAAGCAUGCUAAUGGCUCUGUUGAACGCUAAAAGGCGCGACUGGUUGCCAAAGGGUUUAAACAAUGAUAUGGGCUUGAUUACGAAGACACUUUCAGUCCUGUCAUCAAGCCUACCACUAUUCGUCUUCUUCUCUCCUUGGCAGUUAUUCGUGGUUGGUCUCUUCGACAAUUGGAUGUCCAGAAUGCAUUCCUUCAUGGUGUCCUAGAGGAAGAGGUUUAUAUGCGACAACCUUCUGGUUUUGUUGAUUUAGAUCAUUCACAUCAUCUUUGUCGGCUCCAUAAAGCAAUUUAUGGUCUCAAACAAGCCCCGCGUGCUUGGCAUGCUCGUCUUGGUUCUGCUCUUCGGUCGCAUAAAUUUGUUCCCUCUACUGCAGAAGAGUCUAUGUUUCUUCUACAGUGCCCUGGGCUCACGAUGUACCUAUUGCUUUAUGUUGAUGAUAUUAUUCUCAUCCGUUCUUCACCUACUACAGUUGAUAAACUCAUACUAAGUCUUCGACAUGACUUUGCUGUUAAGGAUCUUGGUCCUCUUCACUAUUUUCUGGGAAUAUAAGUGACUUAUACUGCUGUUGGUCUCUCACUCACUCAGAAGAAAUAUUCUUUGGACCUUCUCCGGCGUGCGGGCAUGCUGAAGUGUAAACCUGUCACCACACUCAUGACUGUGACCGAGAAGCUCUGUGCUGAUGUUGGUGUUCUCCUCUCGCCUGGUGAUGCUACAGAGUAUCGCAAUAUUGUUGGUGGGCCACAUUAUCUUACUAUUACUUGACCAAAUCUUUCCUUUGCAGUUAACCGUGUCUGCCAGUAUCUUCAUGAGCCUCGUGACACACUUCUAGAGUCAAAUGCAUCCUGCGUUAUGUUCGUCUCACUGCCUCCUUCGGUUUGCAUCUUCAACCGACCACUUCUAGAGUGUUGUCUGCUUUCUCUGAUGCGGGCUGGGCAGGGAGUCCUAAUGAUCGGCGAUCUAUGGAGGAUAUGUUGUGUUCUUUGGUUCCAAUUUGAUCUCCUGAAAUGCUCGCAAGCAAGCCACAGUUUCUCAUAGUAGUACAGAAGCUGAGUACAAAGUUGUUGCUAAUGCUACUGCCGAACUCAUUUGGUUACAGUCUUUGCUGCGAGAAUUGGGCAUUCCUCAAGACGUACCCCAAGUUCUAUCGUGUGAUAAUAUUGGAGCUACAUAUCUUUCAUGCAAUCCUGUCUUCCACGCAAGGACGAAGCACAUCGAAGUUGACUUUCACUUUUUGAGGGAACAGGUUGCACAAAAGCUACUACAAAUCAAGAAUCAAGUUCAUCUCAUCGAAAGAUCAACUUGCGGACAUUUUCACUAAGCCGUUGUCACUUCCCUUGUUUGAAGUUUGUCGGCGCAAUCUCAACCUUUUUGAUACCGGUUAAAAUUGAGGGAGUAUGUUAGAAUCCAUAUUGUAUACGUUUGUAGAUACAUAUUUGUAUCUACCUUGUACAUGUAAUACCUACUGCUAUAUAUUGAGAAGCAGCGCACCCUACUGGGAUUGUGCGAGACCCUCCAUCAAUUAGGUACGUCUUAUAGCUGGCUAGCUCUCUUCUUGCUAAUGUAACGCUGGAGAUUUGUGUGUGUAUGUGUUUAUAUACAGUUCUUGAGUUCUGGGUGCUGAUUUACUUAAGUUGACUAUCAAAGCUGGGUAACUUCAUGCGCGCAUGGAAAAAAUGCAGAACUUUGUUGCUUAAUCAAUUACUUAAUAGGUGGAAUUGCAAAUCCAGAUUUGGGUUGCUUAAUCAAUUAAUUAAUGAAGGAGCAGGGUAAGUUCCGAUUGCUAAUUGCCUGUUCUGUCACUGUCAUGCGUAGUGAAACGUGUUAGCAUUUCGGUGUCACGUUUAGGUUUAAGGACGAGUCUAGCGAGCAGCCAUUGGCUCCCUGACGCUUCACAGCGGCCGGUUAUUAAUGGAAAGUGUUUGUCCCUUCGGCCUGAUUAGGAAAGAUUCCUUUGGUCUCAACUAGUUAAACAGAAAAUAUCCAACCAACAUGCAUAUUAAAUGGUCCACAUGCAUUGGUUGCACCUUUUUUUGCUGCAUGGACGUGGAUGGCUUUGUACCAUUUGAUUCAUGAUUUACAAAUUUUAGAAUACCAUAACUUUUAAAUCGCGAAUCGAAAUUAAGAUUCGUUUUCACUGUUGGAACCCUCAUGACGUGCUUUUCGAAACUAGAUCCCGCAUGAAUAUGUUUUGAUGAAUCUUUUGUGCAACUUAGUCCCUUGUUUUGUGCAACUACUAGUAGUCGAUGUGCAACUGGCUGACCGUGGAUGUGCAACUUUUCUCCUACCCCGUGGACGUGCAGUUUUCACUGAUGUUACCUCCACCUUCUCGAACUACCCCUUCUAGUGAGAUGUGCAACUUCGUCUGUUGCUCAGGCCAACUCCCUAGUAAUUGAUGUGCAACUUUUUCCUUUCCCGUGGAUGUGCUUUCACUGUUUGUUGCAUUUGCCAACUUUCUAGUAUUGGAUGUACAACUUCGGAUACUGCAACGGCCAACUAUCUAGCAGUGAUGUGCAACUUUUCAUCGUAUCCCAUGGAUGUGUAAUUUUCCCUUCUAGCAACUGGUUCGAACCACCCUUGCUAGUAAGAUUUGCAACUUUAGCGCCCUAUCUAUAUGCAACUUUUCACUAUCCUCGUGAAUGUGGAAUUUUCACCAUCCAACUAUCCCCUGCCUAUGAGAUGUGCAACUUCGUAUGUUCACCUGGCCAACUGCCUAGAAGACUAUGUGCAACUCUGUUUGUUCCCCCGCCAACCAAAACUGCAUAUCCACAAAUAGGGAGGGAAAAGAGUUGCACAUCGACUGAUAGAUAGUCGGCAUGAACAACAUACUAAGUUGCGCAUAUCGCUGGUAGGGAAGGUGGGGCAGGGUGUGCCAACAGUAGGCAUCCAUAAGUAGGUAGGGGAGGUUUGCACAUCUACUACUAGGUAGUUGACUGGGACAGUAGACUAGUUGCACAUCACAAAAUUCCGUUGUUAGUUGCUAUGUUAUAGCCUCAUCACUGGUUGGAUCAUACAUCUCUAAAAUUGAUUUUAAAAAAAUUUGCACCAUACAGGACUAAAGUUGCACCAUCAAUACUAAAGGUUGCACAAUAUAGCCCCCAAAAUUGGCAUUGAAAAAAUUUCGUCAAAACAUACUCAUGCGGGAUCUAGUUUCAAAGAUCUCGUCGCGAGGAUUCCGACAAUGAAAACAAAUUUGAAUUCCGACGCGCGGUUAGAAAGAUAUGCUUUUUUGAAUUUUUGAGAAUCCAAAAUGAAUGUACGUGAAUUUGUCUGUUCCCAUACUAAAGGAGCAGUGUGACGCAUUUAAUGCCACGGUCGCAUGCACUAGCAGACAAAAAAAUUAAGCGCAUGCAUGUGCUAUGAGUCAAGCCGCUCGUUUUGUCUAAAAAGUGCGCGUGCACUUUACAAAAUUUGGGUAGGUUUAAUUCCCUAUAGAAAAACGUGUUAGCAUUUCGGUGUAGGUAAAGUGUAUGGGUCUUGUUAGUAUUUUGUAUAGUUUUAUCGGAAAUAUUACAAAUGAGAGAUGAAACAAAUAUCUAUAUAGGUAAGAGGGCACAUAUUACAAUUUACAAAUGAGAGAUGCAACACAUAAAUACUUCAGUUGAGAGGUUUAUAUUUUCUGUAAAUAAACACUGCAUUUUUCUUUUGUACAAGGGGCACUAGUGAACAAGCUAGUUCUUUUUUUUCUUUUGCCUCCUUUCUUGAUGUAACUUCACUUGUCACCUUCCUUGAUGUCUCCAUUGGCUUCCUCCGGUGCUUUGUCCUUCCCUUUGUUUUCCUCAUUGACUUUCUUCACCUCUGCCUCCUCUUUCUCCUUAACUUUCUUUGCUUCAGCCUCCUUGGCCUCUUCUUCCUCCUUCGCCUUGGCAGCUGCUGCUGCCGCAUCUUCCUUGGCCUGCUUGAGUGCCUUGACGAGGCCCGACAAACACAAAUCAGGGUCCCUCUUUUUCUUCUUCGACAUUGGCAUCAGGUUCUCUGCAACGUCGGCGGGCGACAUGUUGGUCUCCUCGAGCAGCUGCUGAAUUUCUCCAAACAACUCAUGCUUGAUGACAUCUAAGUAGUUCUUGGCGAGGACCUUGAAGCCCUCGAAUCGGCAGUAUGACAUCUCGAUGUGCUUGUCCAUUCUUCCUCGACGGAUCAGCGCCGGAUCGAGCUUCUCCUUGUGGUUAGUGGUGAAGAUGAUGAUCCGCUCACCCCCGCAAGCAGACCAAAGUCCAUCAAUGAAGUUGAGGAGGCCCGAGAGCGUCACCUUAGUGGCAUUGUCCUUCUCUGGAUCCAUCGGUAGCUUGGGUUUGUCAUCAUCGUCAGAGUCCUUAUCACUAGAGGCCUUCUUGUCCUUGCGACGUUUUCCAGUGAGGUCUAUUGAGCAGUCGAUGUCCUCUAUGACUAUGAUGGACUUGCCCGUGGUCUCAAUGAAGAGCUUCCGCAGCUCGGUGUUGUUCUUGACGGCAGUGAGCUCGAGAUCGUAGACGUCGUAGUCAAGGAAGUUGGCCAUGGCAGCGAUCAUGGUGGACUUGCCGGUGCCAGGCGGUCCAUAAAGGAGGUACCCGCGCUUCCAUGCCUUGCCGACCUUUGCAUAGUAGUCCUUGCUCUCCUGGAACGCCAUGAGGUCGUCAACGAUGGCCUCCUUCUCAUCGGGGUGCAUGGCGAGCGUGUCGAAGGUGGCGGGGUGCUCGAAGGCGACGUGGCUCCAGACGCUCUUGCUGCGGUAGGGGUUCCAGUUGCAGCUGGCGUUGUUGGUGAAGAGACGGCGCUGGCGGUUCUUGACGGUGACGGCACGGCCCUCACCAAGCACGAAGGGCAGGUAGGAGUCGACGACGAGGUCGCGGUGCCGCCUGUGGAAGACGACCUGGUAGAAGCGCCGCUCGUCCUCGCCGGGGUAGAUGCUGAUGACGUUGGCCUUGGACUGCCGCUUGGAGGCGUACCACCAGAUGGUUGUCCCGGAGAAGUCGUCAGUAACCUCCUCGUGGUCGUCGACGGUGACCCGGAGGUUCUUGCUGUCCUUGACGAGUUCAGCCUUGAGCUUGCGUGCGCGGCGGGCGCAGGCGUCGCUGAGGUAGGCCUCGACGGCGAGGAAGAAGUCGCUGCGCUGGAAGCGCUCCGCGCCGUACUCGGAGAUGGUGAUCUGCAGAUAGGGGUUGAAGCAGGCGGCGAGCUUGGCGGCCCAGGCGGUGAGAUAGAGGCGGAAGGUGGGGGGCACGUAUUUCUGCACCACGGGCCAGAGGAAGAUGACGGUCGCCGCCGCUGACCCGAACCCUGCCCACCUCUCCACCAUCAUCGCCACCAUGGCUGGGCCUGGACCUGGACAGAGGAAGAUGAUGCUGUGCGUCUUUGGGCGGUCUUGCCUUGAUGGAAAGCUGUAGGUCGACCAGGACGCACAUAUAUAUACUGCCAAUGAUUCAUGCGGUAAUCUGCUUAGGUUGAAGCUGAGCAGCGUGUAGUCGUCGUCGUCGUCGUCGCCGUCUGCCUUGGAGCAGGUGAGGAGGAGCUGUCGGAGGCGAGAAGAAGCGGCGAGCGAGCGUCAUGGAACAGUCCAAGGAAACGGAGUUACUUAACUCUGAAGGCAGUGGCAAAUGCGGAAUUGGCUCGUUCAGUCUCUACUUUGUGGCCAAAUGCCAAGAUGAUGCUCCGAUUGUUGAUUGCAAAAAUCUCCGUCGCUGUUUUUAGCUCAUGGAUUGCAUCUCUUGAGACUGACAGCCGAGUAUAGAACAGAGACGAGGUAGGCCGGUGACAUGUUCAGUCGUCGGCAAAUGGAAGCAUGGGUGACGACAUGGUGUUGCGUUGGUGAGUGCUGAGGAUGCAUGACGCCAUGUACUAUUUAUUGAGCAGUGCUAUAUGGACGAUAGUUCGUGCACGAUUUGUGGAUGAUGGCUGUGAUCCGACCCUACAACACUUGGGCAAACGAACCCAGAUCGUUGGAUUUACUAUCGUGCUAGCAUCGUGCAAAAGACAUCGUGUGUGUAGUAGUUUUGAUAUUGAUCACAAAAGAAGUGCUAUGCACACGACAAACUUCGGACGAUGCACAGACGAUGGUUAAAUCUGGAUGGACAUUAGUAUGAUUGAACAAGUUGCCGGCCGCUGGAUCGCUAUGUUGUCCAUAAAUCAUACACUUGUAUCAUCGUGCAUGGAGCAGUUUCGUGAUCGCAACGAUUCUAUGUAAGUUAACUGAAUUUGCAUUGGAGCGGUUGACUUUUGCGAGGAAGGAAGGAGGAGGCAAGGCACAGAACAGAGGCCGAGAUGAGGGCGGCGCGGCGAGUGGCAGAGAGGUGCUGGGACCCCGGUGAGGCUGAAGUAGGAGCAAGUUGUAGCCUGUGAUGACGUGGCUCGCCGCAGCAUAUACGGAGGCGAGUUUGAGGGUUAGCAGGUGCGGGUGGUUGGUCUUUUCGUUUUGAUUCCCCACCGGAUUAGACAGAGCCCUCGCCGUAGGAGGGGACAACACAGCGAGCCGCAGCAAGGCGGGCCAUCGAAGCCGGGGGCGAGCGCUUGAUGAGGAAUGGUGGCCGAAGGAAGAAGAAAGAAAUGAGGCCAUUGGAACUUAAUACAACGGUCCAGAAUUAUUGACCCAAAAAUCUCCAGGUAACUUACUGGUAGCCGGUCCCAAUAUUUAUCUUGGCAUUUAUUUGCUAGACGACCUGCAACUAUCUAUUUUUUUUCCUUUUUAAUAUGCCGUUGACCUCUACCUCUGGCUGCUCAGUGGUGUGCAUCCAGGCAUAGAUAGGCGAUUUUUUUUUGGAAAAGGAGGGUAGACCCCCGGCCUCUGCACCAAUUGAUUUAUACAUCCAUCUUUAUUAAUUACUGUAUUUCAAAAAGGCAUGACAAGAAAAUACAUCAAGCCACCCAUUAUUUCACAAAGGUCUGACAAGAAAAUACAUCAAGCUGUUCGAAGCCACCACUCACACCUACAAACUCGAUAAUGUGGAGUGCUCUCACCCCCCCCAUAUCUAAAACCGGUGUCGUCGUUGAUCCAUCCACAUAACGUAUCGGGACCAACAAUCCUGCAGCAGACCUAAAGCCGCCAUCAUCCUCGGAUCACCGACCCAUCUUCAGGAUAGAGAUCCGCAUCAUCCUUGCCAUUCCAAACAUCCGUCGAUGCCACCACAGCGUCCAACGGGGCCACCGCCCUGCGCGCAUUCAUCCAGACGCGAAGAUUCUGGAGAUCUGUCGUGCGUAGCACCUGUCGACCAGACAUGACACAACGUAGCACCUGUCGGUCAAGCAUGACUUGACAUCUCCACCGACGCUCCGUGCAAGACUUAGCCGCUCCAUGAAGGAAAUAUGCCCUAGAGGCAAUAAUAAAUUGUUCUUUAUAUUUUCUUAUAUCAUGAUAAAUGUUUAUUAUUCAUGCUAGAAUUGUAUUAACCGAAACUCAGUACAUGUGUGAAUACACAGACAAACAGAGUGUCGCUAGUAUGCCUCUACUUGACUAGGUCGUUAAUCAAAGAUGGUUAAGUUUCCUAGUCAUAGACAUGUGUUGUCAUUUGAUGAACGGGAUCACAUCAUUAGAGAAUAAUGUGAUGGACAAGACCCAUCAGUUAGCUUAGCAUAAUGAUCGUUUAGUUUUAUUGCUGCUGCUUUCUUCAUGACUUAUACAUGUUCCUCUGACUAUGAGAUUAUGCAACUCCCUAAUACCGGAGGAACACCUUGUGUGCUAUCAAACGUCACAACGCAACUGGAUGAUUAUAAAGAUGCUCUACAGGUGUCUCCAAUGGUGUUUGUUGAGUUGGCAUAUAUCGAGAUUAGGAUUUGUCACUCUGUCUAUCGAAGAGGUAUCUCUGGGCCCUCUCGGUAAUGCACAUCACUAUAAGCCUUGCAAGCAAUGUUACUAAUGAGUUAGUUGCGGGAUGAUGCAUUACGAAACGAGUAAAGAGACUUGCCAGUAACGAGAUUGAACUAGGUAUUGAGAUACCGAUGAUCGAAUCUCGGGCAAGUAACAUACCGAUGACAAAGACACUGGUAGAAAAAGGGCCUAUAGUCCCGGUUCGUAAGGGCCUUUAGUCCCGAUUCCGAAACCGGGACUAAAGUGUCGGUACUAAUACCUCCCCCCCUUUAGUCCCGGUUCAAUCCAGAACCGGGACUAAAGGCCCUUCACGUGGGUAGUGCGCAGAGCCCAGUCAGGAGACCCUUUGGUCCCGGUUGGUGGCACCAACCGGGACCAAUAGGCAUCCAUGCGUCAGCACUUCUGUGGCUGGGGUUUUGUUUUUUUUUAAAGGGGGGGGGGGUUGGGGGUUUUGGGGGUUAAUUUAGGUGUUUCAUAUAUUGUGUUAGCUAGUUAUAAUUAAUAGAGAGAAGUGUCCUCUGUUAUGUCCGUGCUUGGUCGACGCUACGUACUAUACAUACAUAUAGAGAGGACUAGACACGCUAGCUAGCUAGUAAGCAAACGAAGGAAACAGAAGAUCGUCAUGAACAUAUAUGCAUACAGAGAGAAGUGAUAUCGACCACCUCUCCUUCUCCGAGAGAUUGGUCGAACAACAAGUUCUCGUAUAUCUAUCUGACACUACCGGCUACAUAUAUACAAUAAUUAUCUCUUACAAAUAUAAUCAUUCGGACUCAGGGUCCACAUAGAAUUCUCCGUCUUCAGGGAUCACGAGGUCAAGAAAGAAUGCCGCCAAUUCCUCUUGAAUUGCUCGCAUGCGAGCUGGUGCUAGGAGUUCAUCCCGCUUCCGAAACAUCUAAUUUGAAGAAGGGGGUCAAUACAUACAUAUAUAUAUAUAUAUAUAAAUGAAUGAAACUCAACACAAAUGAUGGUAAUAAAAUAAAAUUGUGAAUGUUGUUAUUUACGUACUUCAUAUUGUUCGUUAGAGUACCCGCCCCGCUCACAGGUCGUGUGGCGGAUGGACUCGCAGAUGUAGUAUCCACAGAAAUCAUUCCCUUGUUCCUGCCACAACCACUUUACAAGAAAUAGAGGUCAAUCAAACUGAUAAGCAAGAAUGCUAAAUGGUAUUGAUGAAACUAGCGCUUGAAUCACUAGGAGAUGCGCGGAACAUGCUACUAUAGUACUUACUUUCGGGUGUCUAAAUUCCAGCUCCUUCGGCAGUCCCGGAACUGUUUUGGUGAAUUUUCUCCAAACCCUGCCGGACAAAGAAAACAAUUACUUGAUAUCAGGAAAUGAACAAAGUUGCUGAUAUGGUGGAUAAUGAUCGAUUUAACUUACUUCUUGAGGAUUUCAGUCAUGUCCGCAUACUCCUUGGGAUCUUUUUGUUUAGAGUCCAAGACGGUUACUACUCCCUGCUCAAGCUUAAUCUCUAGGAGAAUAUAGUGGAAACUGCACACACAUGCAUAACUCAUGAAUUACAUUACUAUAACCUUGACUAAUAUAUAAGGGAAAUCGAAUACGCACAAGACAGUAACACUCACCUGAAGUUGUAAGGAAAGAGUAUUAUAUCUUUGUUUUGAUUUAUUACGAAUGAUCAUAGCAAGUUGGCCUCAGUAGCUGCGGCAUGAAGUUUAACCUGAGUUGCAUCUAUGAGAUAUGUGUUAAUGAACCCAAUAUCACCGACUUGUCUUUUCUUCAAUUCGGCGAUCUUCAAUCUGCAUAAUAUAGUGAGGAUGAUUACAAAUACAUGCAAUGAAAGAGCUAAGCUAUAUAGAGAAACUUAAUGACAGAAGUAGUACUACUUACAGACAGUAGCAGGCGACCGUUGUUUUAUCGAGGGCCAAUUGAUUGAAAAACUGAUAGAACUCCUCAAAUGGAACAGGCAGCAGAUCAAUUCCAACGAGGUCAUACUCCUUUUUAACUUUCACAUACAAAGUACUCCUCCCCCCAGAGUCUCUGCAGAUUUUCAAGUACCAAUCAUGCAAUCUUCGCAUCAUCGUUGAUAGAGAUCUUUCAUGUUUGACGAGAGGCUUCCCGUACUCGUAUCUUUGUAUCUGCACGUCCAUGGGUUCAUAAUGUACUUCGUCGGGCAGGUAAUCUGCAAGAUUGCUAUAACCGGGCACCAUCCUCGGAUCAUUAGUGACGUUGUGGCUAGGCACCUUGAGCGGGGGGCACGAUUGCUUCGCUUGUUCGCCGAGCUGGGCAAUUUGUUUCCCAGCUCAUCGUUCUUUCAGCCUUUGAUCACUGACAGUACUUCCCGACCGCUCCGCUUCGGCAAAUUCCUUUCCAAUAAUGCGGUCAUAGUUUCCUUUCGGCGGAUCAGACUUCGGUGGUUUUGUCAGGGCAGCCAGAGUGCGCUUCACUUUCACCCGAUCUACCUUCUCCUCCGGAGGUGGAUGUUUCUUUGCUUUCACCCCUUCAAAGAAGUUCCUCACUUCUUCUCGCGUGAUCUCGGCGUUCUCCUCCAGGGUCCUCUCAUAUGGUAACUUCUCUGGAGUCUACAGAGAAGGACCGAAUCUAUAUGUCCUCCCGCCUCUGGUUGUACUGCUAGACGCCGACCGAGCAGACGGAGCGGUUGUCUUCUUUACUUGCUUAAGAGGCGGAGGAGAAGGACUACGACGCGCCGGAGCAGCUGGAGCGGUGGCAGGUCUCUUCCGCCCUUGCUGACAAGGCGGAGAAGGAGGAGGCUGGCUGCUCGGGCGCGUCGGCGCAGGCGGAGAAGGAGGCGGAGUGCCGCCACACGCCGGAGAAGGAGCCGGCCGAGGGCCCUGAUCGUCACUCGCCGGAGGAGGAGGCGGUGGAGGCGGAGUGCCCUGACUCGCCGAAGGAGGAGGAGGAGGCGGUGGCGUCCAGUUCAGAAGGUUGAUGAGCUCCUUCCGCCAUAGGCAUGGAGUCUUCAGAGCAGACCCCAGCCGAGUCUCCCCUUCACCGGUAGGGUGGUCAAGCUGGAGGUCCUCAAAUCCCUCCGUUAUCUCAUCCACCAUCACCCUAGCAUAUCCUUCUGGAAUUGGCCGGCAGUGAAAAGUUGCGCCGGGUUCAGUAGGAUAAACAGAGCCAACAGCCGCCUUGACCUUCAAAUUCAUCCAUUGCGUCAUAAGGUGGCAAUUUUGAGACUCCGUUAUAGCAUCCACGGGAUAGCUGGCAGGAGCCGUCAAGGCAUGCUCCAGCUGAAGCAGCUCGGUGGAAGCCAUGUUGCUUCUGCGCUGAGAUGGUGGGGUAGCUUCGGGGGAGGCUUCGGCAGUAUGUUUGCUGCGAUUUGCUUCUCGUUCCUCUAUCGCGUCUACCCUUGCUUGCAGCGCCUGUAUUUGGGUCUGCUGCACUUUUUUCCUCCUCUCAUGGGAUUUGUAACCGCCUGCGUCCGGAAACCCAACCUUCCACGGAAUGGAGCCUGGCGUGCCUCGUGUCCGUCCAGGGUGCUCAGGAUUCCCGAGGGCCAUUGUGAGCUCGUCGUUCUCUCUGUCUGGAAAGAACGUCCCUUCUUGCACUGCUUCGAUAUACUACUUAAGCUUACUGACUGGUAUGUCCAUUUGAUCGUUCGUCCAAAUGCACUUCCCUGUUACAGGGUCCAGUGUUCCGCCAGCCCCGAAGAACCAAGUCCGGCAACGGUCUGGCCAGUUAAUUGUGUCUGGUUCGAUCCCUUUAUGAACCAGAUCAUUCUCAGUCUUGGACCACUUAGGCCGGGCUACGAGGUAGCCACCUGACCCCGUGCGAUGGUGAAGCUUCUUCUUCGCAGCAUUUUGCUUGUUUGUCGCCGACAUCUUCUUACUCUUUUCUGAUGUCUUGUGGGCCACAAAUGCGGGCCAGUGAUCUCUGAUCUUCUCAUAUCUGCCCUUGAAUUCUGGUGUCUCAUUAUUUUCGACAAACUUAUUCAGCUCUUUCUUCCACCUCCUGAAUAGUUCUGCCAUCCUCUUCAGAGCAAAAGACUUGAUUAAUUUCUCUUUAACUGGGUUCUCUGGAUUAUCCUCGGGCGGUAGGGUGAAAUUUGACUUCAGCUCAGUCCAAAGAUCAUUUUUCUGCAUAUCAUUGACAUAAGACACCUUAGGGUCUUCUGUAGCCGGCUUAAACCAUUGCUGGAUGCUUAUCGGGAUCUUGUCCCUAACCAGAACCCCGCACUGAGCAACAAAUGCGCUCUUUGUCCGGAGGGGUUCAAUAGGUUGGCCGUCGGGCGCGAUUGCUAUGAUCUCAAACUUUUCAUCCGAGCUCAACUUUUUCUUCGGGCCUCGUCUCUUUACCGAAGUUGUGCUUGAUCCGGAGGGCUAGAAAAAAGAACAAAGACUUAAUUAAUAUGUGUACAUACCAAAACAAUGAAUGCAUCAGCUAGUCAGCAUAGGCUUAACUAAUAUAUAUACCUGGCCGGACUCGGUUCGGUCACCGGAGCCGUCAUCACGGUCUCCUUCUUGCACCGGCAUUGGGUCACCGGAGCCGUCCUCAUGUUCUUCUUCUUGCACCGGCAUUAGGUCACCAUAGCCAGCUUGUUCACCCUCUCCUUCCAGACCAUCGGUUUCGUUGAGAAACAACGAGAUGGCAUCACUUCCUUCUGCGAUUAUGUCCCUCAACAACGCUUCUUUUGUUGCUUCGUCUAGGGCGGUGUCCAUAGUUUCUACAAAUAUUUACAACAUGGCAAUUAUUAUUCAAACAUGACAGAUGGAUAUAUUAGUGCCAAACGUAGAAGAUCUCCUCUAUUCUUUCUUCUCCUCUUUUUUUUUCUUCUUCCUCUUCUUUUUUUAUCCUCUUCUUCCUCUCAUGUUCGAUAGGAUCGCCGAGGGGUCGGGAGGUUGCUUGGUGUCAAGGGAUUCAACAAAACCAUGUCUUCAUCAUUAGGCGAAAGUAACAUGUGCAUGAUGGUACGAAGCUCUUCAAAGUUGUUCUGGAACGGAGUCCCAGAUAGGAUAAUUCGCUUUUUGGUACAAAGUUCAGCAAGAGCCUUCCGAAUAUCGCUAUUUGGAAGGCCUUUGCUGAAUUCGUACCAAAAGGCGGAUUAUUCUAUCCGGGACUCCAUUCCAGAACAACUUUGCAGAACUUCGUACCAACAUGCACUGGUUACUUCCGGCUAAUGAUGAAGGCAUGGAUUUCUUCAAUACUUUGACACUAGGAAACCUCUCUCUACUUCCGGCUAAUAAUAAUAAUAAUAAUAAUAAUAAUAAUAAUAAUAAUAAUAAUAAUAAGAAGAAGAAGAAGAAGAAGAAGAAGAAGAAGAAGAAGAAGAAGAAGAAGAAGAAGAAGAAGAAGAAGAAGAAGAAAGGAAUAGUGGAGAAGAAGAGAAAAUAGAAUAUACUUCUCCACUAUUCAUUUCUUCUUCUCCUCUUCUUUUUCUUCUUUUUUCUUCUUCUUAUUUAUUUCUCCUCUUCUUUUCGGUAGAGGAAACCCUAAAUAGCUAGCAAGUAUCGUGGGUGUGAGAUACAUGUGGCCUUCGGUGUCGGACACUACAUCCACGUCCCACAAGUGACGUGGGCGUCGAAGCCCGCGCCACUUGUGGAAUGUGGGUGUAGUGUCCGACACCGACGGUACAUGUAUCUCACACCGACGAUACUUUCUAUUUAGGGUUUCUCCUCUACCACUCCUCGAUCUCUCGACGACCCUCGUUCCCGAUAAAAUAAAGAGGAAGAAGAAGAAGAAAAAGAAGAGAAGAAAGAAUAGAGGAGAAGACUUCCUCUUCUUCCUCUCCUCUUCUUCUCCCUCUUCUUCCCCUUCUUCCUCGCCUCUCUCAUGAAUGUCCGGCGUUCUCGACCCCCCCCCCACGUGUCGAAGAAAAAAAAGAAGAAGAAAAAAGAGGAGAAGAAGAAAGGAAUAGAGGAGAAAAGAGAAAAUAGAAUAUAUAUUCUAUUUUUCUCUUCUUCUCCUCUAUUCCUUUCUUCUUCUCCUCUUCUUUUUCUUCUUUUUUCUUCUUCUUAUUUAUUUCUCCUCUUCUUUUCGGUAGAGGAAACCCUAAAUAGCUAGCAAGUAUCGUGGGUGUGAGAUACAUGUGGCCUUCGGUGUCGGACACUACAUCCACGUCCCACAAGUGACGUGGGCGUCGAAGCCCGCGCCACUUGUGGGAUGUGGGUGUAGUGUCCGACACCGAUGGUACAUGUAUCUCACACCGACGAUACUUUCUAUUUGGGGUUUCUCCUCUACCGCUCCUCGAUCUCUCGACGACCCUCGUUCCUGAUAAAAUAAAGAGGAAGAAGAAGAAGAAAAAAGAAGAGAAGAAAGAAUAGAGGAGAAGACUUCCUCUUCUUCCUCUCCUCUUCUUCUCCCUCUUCUUCCCCUUCUUCCUCGCCUCUCUCAUGAAUGUCCGGCGUUCUCGACCCCCCCCCCACGUGUCGAAGAAAAAAAAAGAAGAAAAAAAAGAGGAGAAGAAGAAAGGAAUAGAGGAGAAAAGAGAAAAUAGAAUAUAUAUUCUAUUUUUCUCUUCUUCUCCUCUAUUCCUUUCUUCUUCUCCUCUUCUUUUUCUUCUUUUUUCUUCUUCUUAUUUAUUUCUCCUCUUCUUUUCGGUAGAGGAAACCCUAAAUAGCUAGCAAGUAUCGUGGGUGUGAGAUACAUGUGGCCUUCGGUGUCGGACACUACAUCCACGUCCCACAAGUGACGUGGGCGUCGAAGCCCGCGCCACUUGUGGGAUGUGGGUGUAGUGUCCGACACCGACGGUACAUGUAUCUCACACCGACGAUACUUUCUAUUUAGGGUUUCUCCUCUACCGCUCCUCGACCUCUCGACGACCCUCGUUCCCGAUAAAAUAAAGAGGAAGAAGAAAAAGAAAAAAGAAGAGAAGAAAGAAUAGAGGAGAAGACUUCCUCUUCUUCCUCUCAUCUUCUUCUCCCUCUUCUUCCCCUUCUUCCUCGCCUCUCUCAUGAAUGUCCGGCGUUCUCGACCNNNNNNNNNNAAAAAGAGAAGCUCCUCUAUUCUUUCUUCUCCUCUUUUUUUUCUUGUUCCUCUUCUUUUUUAUCCUCUUCUUCCUCUCAUGUUCGACGACCCUCGACCCCGAUAACAUUUUUUUCCCCGAUAACAUUUUUUUCUCCGAGAUAGUUAGUGUUCCCGAGUGAACCGGAGGGGGACAUUGGUCAUAUCGGAUUCGUCAUAUUUUCUACGAAUGUUCUAUAUACAUACAUCCAUCGAUAUCAUUCCAUACAUACAUAUACAUCUACAUUAUAUAUGAACAAAAAAAUAUCAAAAUUCAUCAUACAUACAUGUAUAGUAUAUAUGAACAAAAAUUAUAAACUUUCUCCCCAACUCAUACAUACAUACAUACAUACAUCUACAUCAUAUCAAUAUUUUGCAAAUUAAGGAGCAGGGAAGGAAGGAAGGGGGGAGGAUGGAGCGGUAGCUACCUCUCCCGGAGGGAUCGGGGAGGAGACGCGGGCGGCCGGCGUCGGGGGCGACGGCGACGAGGACGGGCUCGGGGUCGGCGAGGGNNNNNNNNNNGGGCAGGAGCUCGGGGGCUCGGGGACGGCGGAGCUCGAGGGCGAGGGCGAGGGCGACGGCUGGGCGGCUCUGGGUCGGCGACGACGGCGAGGCAGGGCGCGCUCGGGGGCGGGGCAGGGGCAACGGCGGCGACGGCGAGGCGAGCAGAGGGGCAGCCUGGCGGCGAUCGAAGAAACUGUACCAAAAUUUUCACAAGUGUGGCUUAUAUAGACGGAGCAUUGGUCCCGGUUGGUGGCACCAACCGUGACCAUUGCCCCCUUUGGUCCCGGUUCAAGCCACCAACCGGGACCAAAGGCCUCUUUUCGGCAGCCCAAAGGGCGGGAAGCGAAGGCCAUUGGUCCCGGUUGCUGGCACCAACCGGGACUAAAGGGGCGCAAUGAUCACGGCUGGUGCCACCAACCGAGACCAAUGGCACCUUUAGUCCCGGUGGGUGCCACCAACCGGGACCAAUACCCUUGUGCUGCCCCGCGCCCAAAAGUUUAGUCCCACAUCGCCAGUUGACAGCGCCCAACACCAGUUUAUAAGCUCUGCUGCCUCCUCCCUCUCGAACUCCUCUGAACUGCAGGCCUAUGGGCCUAAUUUGACACUGCUUUGCCUGUGGGCCUAUUGGGCCUUCUGCGGGCCUGAAUCCUCGCCCAUGUAGGGUUUCUAGUCGUAUUCAGGUCGUGGAGGCCCAGUAGGUGGCAUUUUUUUUGGUUUUGUCUUUUUUAUUUCUACAUUUUUUUGGUUUUUUAUUUUUUUAUUUCUACUUAAAACUAAAUACUUACAGUUUUUUAGUGAUUCCUUUUUGCUUUUAGGUCACAAAAAUUAUAAACUUUAUGUUAGUGCCAUUAGUUUUAAAUUUUAAAUAGUUUAAAUUUGAAUUUUUAAAAAUUUGUGUGAAUCACUAGUUUAUGAAUAACUUUACUAUAAAAUUAGAAUUUUUUUUCUAUUUAUUUUUUAUUUCUACUUACAACUAAAUACUUACAGUUUUUUAGUGAUUUCUUUUUGCUUUUAGGUCACAAAAAUUAUAAACUUUCUGUUAGUGCCAUUAGUUUUAAAUUUUAAAUAGUUUAAAUUUGAAUUUUUAAAAAUUUGUGUGAAUCACUAGUUUAUGAAUAACUUUACUAUAAAAUUAGAAUUUUUUUUCUAUUUAUUUUUUAUUUCUACUUACAACUAAAUACUUACAGUUUUUUAGUGAUUUCUUUUUGCUUUUAGGUCACAAAAAUUAUAAACUUUCUGUUAGUGCCAUUAGUUUUAAAUUUUAAAUAGUUUAAAUUUGAAUUUUUAAAAAUUUGUGUGAAUCACUAGUUUAUGAAUAACUUUACUAUAAAAUUAGAAAUUUUUUUCUAUUUAUUUUUUAUUUCUACUUACAACUAAAUACUUACAGUUUUUUAGUGAUUUCUUUUUGCUUUUAGGUCACAAAAAUUAUAAACUUUCUGUUAGUGCCAUUAGUUUUAAAUUUUAAAUAGUUUAAAUUUGAAUUUUUAAAAAUUUGUGUGAAUCACUAGUUUAUGAAUAACUUUACUAUAAAAAUAGAAUUUNNNNNNNNNNUUUUUUCUUCUUUGCUAUUUAUUUUUUAUUUAUACUUACAAUUAAAUACUUAUAGUUUGAUUUUAGGUCACAAAAAUUAUAUUCUUUUUGCUAUUUAAGAAUAUUAUAGUUUUAUUUUAGUUGAUCAUAACAUAAUAUUUUAAUUGAUUGUUUUUAUUUUCAUAAAAGUUUUGUAGUUUAUUCUGUUUGCUAUUAAUUCAUUCUUUGAGCUAAAUGACUCUGAAAUUGGAAAGCAUUUCAAAACGAACUCUGAAAAGGUUGAAAAUUGGCAUGGUAUCAUUAUUUCACCCAUAUAGCAUGUUCCAAAAAGUAGAGAGGGUUACGACAAAAACUUGAUGCACUUCGCGUACAAAAUGGGCAAUCACUUUUGAAGUAUCAAAGUUUCAAACCAUAAGACAUGAAAGCAUUUCAAAUGAACUCUGAAAAAGUUGAAAGUUGGGAUGGUAUCAUAAUUUCACCCACAUAGCAUGUGCAUGUACAAAACGGACAAUGGUAGCAUGUUCGUCUGUUACAAAUUUGGCAUGGUAUCAUCAUAAUAGUUGCGAGAGAAAGUCUUCACUUUUUCUUCGCUUGUGUCAUUUGCUUAUUGCGCCGUAACCAUGGAUAAUCUUCAUUGUUUAUCAGGAUGCUUGGGUCGGCCUUGACAUUGAAGGGAGGAAUUUCAUGAAACUUUUCAUAAUCUUCAGACAUGUCUGUCUUGCCGUCCACUCCCAGGAUGUCCCUUUUUCCUGAAAGAACUAUGUGGCGCUUUGGCUCAUCGUAUGAUGUAUUCGCUUCCUUAUCUUUUCUUUUUCUCGGUUUGGUAGACAUGUCCUUCACAUAGAUAACCUGUGCCACAUCAUUGGCUAGGAUGAACGGUUCGUCAUUGUACCCAAGAUUUUUCAGAUCCACUGUUGUCAUUCCGUACUGUGGGUCUACCUGUACCCCGCCGCCUAACAGAUUGACCCAUUUGCACUUAAACAAAGGGACCUUAAAAUCAGGUCCGUAGUCAAGUUCCCAUAUGUCCACUAUGUAACCAUAAUAUGUGUCCUUUCCGCUCUCAGUUGCUGCAUCAAAGCGGACACCGCUGUUUUGGUUGGUGCUCUUUUGAUCUUGGGUGAUCGUGUAAAAUGUAUUCCCAUUUAUCUCGUAUCCUUUGUAAGUCAAUACAGUCAAAGAUGGUCCCCUGGACAACAAGUACAACUCAUCACAAACAGUGUUGUCACCUCUGAGACGUGUUUCCAACCAACUGCUGAAAGUUCUGAUGUGUUCACAUGUAAUCCAGUCGUCGCACUGCUCCGGGUGUUUCGAGCGCAGACUGUUCUUGUGUUCAUCGACAUACGGGGUCACCAAGGUAGAGUUCUAUAGAACUGUGUAGUGUACUUGAGACCAAGAAUAUCCGUCCCUGCAUAUUAUUGAGUCUCUUCCAAGAGUGCCUUUUCCAGCCAGUCUCCCCUCAUACCGCGAUUUAGGGAGACCUAUCUUGUUAAGGCCAGGAAUGAAGUCAACACAAAACCCGAUAACAUCCUCUGUUUGAUGGCCCAUGGAGAUGCUUCCUUCUGGCCUAGCGCGGUUACGGACAUAUUUCUUUAAGACUCCCAUGAACCUCUCAAAGGGGAACAUAUUGUGUAGAAAUACGGGCCCCAGGAUGACAAUCUCGUCGACUAGAUGAACUAGGACGUGCGUCAUGAUAUUGAAGAAGUAUGGUGGGAACACCAGCUCGAAACUGACAAGACAAUGCGCCACAUCACUCCUUAGCCUUGGUACGAUUUCUGGAUCGAUCACCUUCUGAGAGAUUGCAUUGAGGAAUGCACAUAGCUUCACAAUGGCUAAUCAGACGUUUUCCGGUAGAAGCCCCCUCAAUGCAACCGGAAGCAGUUGCGUCAUAAUCACGUGGCAGUCAUGAGACUUUAGGUUCUGAAACUUUUUCUCUGGCAUAUUUAUUAUUCCCUUUAUAUUUGACGAGAAGCCAGUCGUGACCUUCAUACUGAGCAGGCAUUCAAAGAAGAUUUCUUUCUCUUCUUUCGUAAGAGCGUAGCUGGCAGGACCUUUAUACUGCUUCGGAGGCAUGCCGUCUUUUUCGUGCAAAUGUUGCAGGUCCUCUCGUGCCUCAGGUGUAUCUUUUGUCUUCCCAUUCACGCCCAAGAAACCUAGCAGGUUCACGCAAAGGUUCUUCGUCACGUGCAUCACAUUGAUUGAGGAGCGGACCUCUAGGUCUUUCCAGUAGGGUAGGUCCCAAAAUAUAGAUUUCUUCUUCCACAUGGGUGCGUGUCCCUCAGCGUCAUUCGGAACAGCUAGUCCACCGGGACCCUUUCCAAAGAUUAUGUAGUGUAAAUCGUUGACCAUAGCAACCACGUGAUCACCGGUGCGGAUGGCAGGCUUCUUCCGGUGAUCUGCCUCGCCUUUGAAAUGCUUGCCUUUCUUUCGACAUUGAUGGUUUGUCGGAAGAAAUCGACGAUGGCCCAGGUACACAUUCUUCCUGCAUUUGUCCAGGUAUAUACUUUCAGUAUCAUCUAAACAGUGUGUGCAUGUGUGGUAUCCUUUGUUUGUCUGUCCUGAAAGGUUACUGAGAGCGGGCCAAUCGUUGAUGGUCACGAACAGCAACACCUUAAGGUUAAAUUCCUCCUGUCUAUGCUCAUCCCAUGUACGUACACCGUUUCCAUUCCACAGCUGUAAAAGUUCUUCAACUAAUGGCCUUAGGUACACAUCAAUUUCGUUGCCGGGUUGCUUAGGGCCUUGGAUGAGAACUGGCAUCAUAAUGAACUUCCGCUUCAUGCACAUCCAAGGAGGAAGGUUAUACAUACAUAGAGUCACGGGCCAGGUGCUGUGAUUGCUGCUCUGCUCCCCGAAUGGAUUAAUGCCAUCCACGCUUAAAGCAAACCAUACAUUCCUUGGGUCCUUUGCAAACUCAUCCCAGUACUUUCUCUCGAUUUUUCUCCACUGCGACCCGUCAGCGGGUGCUCUCAACUUCCCAUCUUUCUUUCGGUUCUCACUGUGCCAUCGCAUCAACUUGGCAUGCUCUUCGUUUCUGAACAGACGUUUCAACCGUGGUAUUAUAGGAGCAUACCACAUCACCUUUGCAGGAACCCUCUUCCUGAGGGGCUCGCCGUCAACAUCAUCAGGGUCAUCUCGUCUGAUCUUAUACUGCAACGCAUCGCAUACCGGGCAUGCGUUCAGAUCCUUGUAUGCACCGUGGUAGAGGAUGCAGUCAUUAGGGCAUGCAUGUAUCUUCUCCACCUCCAAUCCUAGAGGGCAUACGACCUUCUUUGCUGCGUAUGUAUUGUCGAGCAAUUCGUUAUCCUUUGGAAGCUUCUUCUUCAAUAUUUUCAGUAGCUUCUCAAAUCCUUUGUCAGACACAGCAUUCUCUACCUUCCACUGCAGCAAUUCCAGUACGGUACCGAGAUUUGUGUUGCCAUCUUCGCAAUUGGGGUAUAACCCUUUUUUGUGAUCCUCUAACAUGCGAUCGAACUUCAGCUUCUCCUUUUGACUAAUGCAUUGCGUCCUUGCAUCGACAAUGACCCGGCGGAGAUCAUCAUCAUCGGGCACAUCGUCUGGUUCCUCUUGAUCUUCAGCAGCUUCACCCGUGGCAGCAUCAUUGGGCACAUCAUCUGGUUCCUCUUGAUCUUCACCAGCUCCCCCCGUUGCAGCAUCACCGUAUUCAGGGGGCACAUAGUUGUCAUCGUACUCUUCUUCUUCGCCGUCUUCCAUCAUAACCCCUAUUUCUCCGUGCCUCGUCCAAACAUUAUAGUGUGGCAUGAAACCCUUGUAAAGCAGGUGGGAGUGAAGGAUUUUCCGGUUAGAGUAAGACCUCGUAUUCCCACAUUCAGUGCAUGGACAACACAUAAAACCAUUCUGCUUGCCUCAGCCGCAUCGAGAAACUCAUGCACGCCCUUAAUGUACUCGCGGGUGUGUCUGUCACCGUACAUCCAUUGCUGGUUCAUCUGCGUGCAUUAUAUAUAAUUAAGUGUCCAAAUUAAUAGAAGGUCAUCAUCACAUUAAAACCAAAGUGCAUAGAUAGUUCUCAUCUAACAACAUAUAGCUCUCCAGAGCAUCUAAUUAAUUAAACCAUACAUUGAAACUAUGUAAAACAUUUCAAUGUGAAAACAAAUGCGAUCAUAAUCGCAACCAAGGUAACAAUUGAUCCAACGGCAUAAUGAUACCAAGCCUCGGUAUGAAUGGCAUAUUUUCUAAUCUUUCUAAUCUUCAAGCGCAUUGCAUCCAUCUUGAUCUUGUGAUCAUCGACGACAUCCGCAACAUGCAACUCCAAUAUCAUCUUCUCCUCCUCAAUUUUUUUUAUUUUUUCCUUCAACAAAUUGUUUUCUUCUUCAACUAAAUUUAACCUCUCGACAAUAGGAUCGGUUGGCAUUUCCGAUUCACAUACAUCCUAGAUAAAUCAAAUCUAUGUCACGUUGGUCGGCAUAAUUUUCAUAAACAAUAAAUGAACCAAUAGUUAUAAAGAUAAUAUACAUACCAAAUCCGAAUCAUAGACAGGACGAGGGCCGAUGGGGGCGGAUACCAAAACCAUCGCACUAUAUAAGAUGCAAUAAUAAAUGUAAAAAAAAUAUACAAGUAUCUAUCUAAACAUACAAGUAAGAAUAUUUUUCCUUUCAGAAAGAAGAUAAGAACAAGAGGCUCACCACGGUGGUGUCGGUGAUGAGAUCGGCGCGGGUGAUCGACGGCGGUGAAGACGGGGACGGGGCGUGACGGACCGCUAAAUCUAGACAAAUCUCGAGGAAAAUGGAGCUUGGAGGUCGAGC